UUCCUCUUUAGCCUCCUCAUCCUCUUCUUCUUCCACUGCAAAGUAAAGUAACCGCAGAGUUCAUUAGUACUAGUAGUAUUCAAGGAAAUGCUUAGGAACAUAACAAUAAUUCUAAUAUGAAAACUGAGAUAUAGCAGCAUGUGACUUGGAAUCAGAAGAUCGAGUGUUUCAUUGGAUAUCAUCACGUGAUUUUCAGAAACACGAGCCAAUUGUCCUUCAUCAUUUCCCAAACUUAAGUCAAUUUCAAAUUGAAAUAGGACACAACUUUCUAUGAUAUCUACAGAACUAACUCAGCAAAGCAGAUCUGCAGUCGGUUUGACAUUAAGAAUGAGUAGGAGGAUUUUAUCAUCAAAUGAAUGGAUUGUCCACACAAUUCAACUAAAUGGAUUGCAUCAGACUCAUCAGUGUAUUCAUCUGUUGGAAAUAUGCCCUAGAGGCAAUAAUAAAAUGGUUAUUAUUAUAUUUCCUUGUUCAUGAUAAUUGUCUAUUGUUCAUGCUAUAAUUGUAUUAACUGGAAACCGUAAUACAUGUGUGAAUACAUAGACCACAACAUGUCCCUAGUUGACUAGCUCGUUGAUCAAUAGAUGGUUAUGGUUUCCUGACCAUGGACAUUGGAUGUCAUUGAUAACAGGAUCACAUCAUUAGGAGAAUGAUGUGAUGGACAAGACCCAAUCCUAAGCAUAGCACAAGAUCGUGUAGUUCGUUUGCUAAAAUCUUUUCUAAUGUCAAGUAUCAUUUCCUUAGACCAUGAGAUUGUGCAACUCCCGGAUACCGUAGGAAUGCUUUGGGUGUGCCAAACGUCACAACGUAACUGGGUGGCUAUAAAGGUGCACUACGGGUAUCUCCGAAAGUGUCUGUUGGGUUGGCACGAAUCGAGACUGGGAUUUGUCACUCCGUGUGACGGAGAGGUAUCUCUGGGCCCACUCGGUAAUGCAUCAUCAUAAUGAGCUCAGUGUGACUAAGUAGUUAGUCACGGGAUCAUGCAUUACGGAACGAGUAAAGUGACUUGCUGGUGACGAGAUUGAACGAGGUAUUGGGAUACCGACGAUCGAAUCUCGGGCAAGUAACGUACUGAUUGACAAAGGGAAUUGUAUACAGGAUUGCUUGAAUCCUUGACAUCGUGGUUCAUCCGAUGAGAUCAUCGUGGAACAUGUGGGAGCCAACAUGGGUAUCCAGAUCCCACUAUUGGUUAUUGGCCAGAGAGCUGUCUCGGUCAUGUCUGCAUGAUUCCCGAACCCAUAGGGUCUACACACUUAAGGUUCGGUGACGCUAGAGUUGUUAUGGGAAUUAGUGUGCAGUUACGAAUGUUGUUCGGAGUCCCGGAUGACAUCCCGGACGUCACGAGGAGUUCCGAAAUGGUUCGGAGGUAAAGAUUUAUAUAUGGGAAGUCCUAUUUUGGCCACCGGAAAAUGUUCGGGAUUUUUCGGUAUUGUACCGAGAAGGUUCUAGAAGGUUCCGAAGUUGGGCCACCUGCAUGGGGGGACCCACAUGAACGUGGGUAGUGGGGGAAAGGCCCCACACCCCUGGUCAAGGCGCACCAAGAUCCCCCCUUAGAAGGAAUAAGAUCAUAUCCCGAAGGGAUAAGAUCAAGAUCCCUAAAAAGGGGGGAGAAUAAUCGGUUGGGAAGGGAAAUGACGGGGUUUCUUUCCUCCCACCUUUGCCAACGCCCCAAUGGACUUGGAGGGAAAGAAACCAGCCCCCUCCAACCCUAUAUAUAGUGGGGAGGCGCAUGGGAGCUGCAACCCUUGUUAGGGAACGUAGUAAUUUCAAAAAAAUUCCUACGCACACGCAAGAUCAUGGUGAUGGCAUAGCAACGAGAGGGGAGAGUGUUGUCUACGUACCCUCGUAGACCGUUAAGCAGAAGCGUUAUGACAACGCGGUUGAUGUAGUCGUACGUCUUCACGAUCCGACCGAUCCAAGCACCGAACGUACGGCACCUCCGUGUUCAGCACACGUCCAGCUCGAUGACGUUCCCCGGGCUCCAAUCCAGCAAAGCGUCGGGGAUGAGUUCCGUCAGCAUGACGGCGUGGUGAUGAUGAUGAUGUUCUACCGGCACAGGGCUUCACCUAAACUCCGCGAUGUUAUAACCGAGGUGGAAUAUGGUGGAGGGGGCACCGCACACGGCUAAGGAACGAUCCGUAGAUCAACUUGUGUGUCUCUAGGNNNNNNNNNNNNNNNNNNNNNNNNNNNNNNNNNNNNNNNNNNNNNNNNNNNNNNNNNNNNNNNNNNNNNNNNNNNNNNNNNNNNNNNNNNNNNNNNNNNNNNNNNNNNNNNNNNNNNNNNNNNNNNNNNNNNNNNNNNNNNNNNNNNNNNNNNNNNNNNNNNNNNNNNNNNNNNNNNNNNNNNNNNNNNNNNNNNNNNNNNNNNNNNNNNNNNNNNNNNNNNNNNNNNNNNNNNNNNNNNNNNNNNNNNNNNNNNNNNNGCAAGGGGGGAGGCCGGCCGGCCCUUGUGGGCGCGCAAGGAGGAGGAGUCCUCCUCCUAGUAGGAGUAGGACUCCCCCUUUCCUACUCCUACUAGGAGGGGGAAAGGAAGGGGGAGAGGGGGAAGGAAAGAGGGGGGGGCGCCCCCCCCCCUCCUAGUCUAAUUCGGACCAGAGGGAGAGGGGGCGCGAGGCCCACCCUGGCCGCCCCUCUCUCUUUCCACUAAGGCCCAUGUGGACCAUUAACUCUCCCGGGGGGGUUCCGGUAACCCUCCGGCACUCCGGUUUUCUCUGAAAUCACCCGGAACACUUCCGGUGUCCGAGUAUAGUCGUCCAAUAUAUCAAUAUUUAUGUCUCGACCAUUUCGAGACUCCUCGUCAUGUCCGUGAUCACAUCCGGGACUCCGAACAAACUUCGGUACAUCAAAACUUAUAAACUCAUAAUAAAACUGUCAUCGUAAUGUUAAGCGUGCGGACCCUACGGGUUUGAGAACUAUGUAGACAUGACCUAGAACUAUUCUCGGUCAAUAACCAAUAGUGGAACCUGGAUGUUCAUAUUGGUUCCUGCAUAUUCUAUGAAGAUCUUUAUCGGUCAAACCGCAUAACAACAUACGUUGUUCCCUUUGUCAUUGGUAUGUUACUUGCCCGAGAUUCGAUCGUCGGUAUCCAAUACCUAGUUCAAUCUCGUUACCGGCAAGUCUCUUUACUCGUUCCGUAAUACAUCAUUUUGUAACUAACUCAUUAGUUACAAUGCUUGCAAGGCUUAAGUGAUGAGUAUUACCGAGAGGGCCCAGAGAUACCUCUCCGACAAUCGGAGUGACAAAACCUAAUCUCGAAUUAUGCCAACUCAACAUGUACCUUUGGAGACACCUGUAGAGCACCUUUAUAAUCACCCAGUUACGUUGUGACGUUUGGUAGCACACAAAGUGUUCCUCCGGUAAACAGGAGUUGCACAAUCUCAUAGUUGUAGGAACUUUGUAUAAGUCAUGAAGAAAGCAAUAGCAACAUACUAAACGAUCAAGUGCUAAGCUAACGGAAUGGGUCAAGUCAAUCACAUCAUUCUCCUAAUGAUGUGAUCCCAUUAAUCAAAUGACAACACAUGUCUAUGGUUAGGAAACAUAACCAUCUUUGAUCAAUGAGCUAGUCAAGUAGAGGCAUACUAGUGAUACUAUGUUUGUCUAUGUAUUCACACAUGUAUCAUGUUUCCGGUUAAUACAAUUCUAGCAUGAAUAAUAAACAUUUAUCAUGAUAAGAGGAAAUAAAUAAUAACUUUAUUAUUGCCUCUAGGGCAUAUUUCCUUCAGUCUCCCACUUGCACUAGAGUCAAUAAUCUUAGAUCACAUAGUAAUGAUUCUAACACCCAUGGAGUCUUGGUGCUGAUCAUGUUUUGCUCGUGAGAGAGGCUUAGUCAACGAGUCUGCAACAUUCAGAUCCGUAUGUAUCUUGCAAAUCUCUAUGUCUCCCACUUGGACUUGGUCCUGAAUGGAAUUGAAGCGUCUCUUGAUGUGCUUGGUCCUCUUGUGAAAUCUGGAUUCCUUUGCCAAGGCAAUUGCACCAGUAUUGUCACAGAAGAUCUUCAUUGGUCCCGAUGCACUAGGUAUAACACCUACAUCGGAAAUGAACUCCUUCAUCCAGACCCCUUCAUUUGCUGCUUCCGAAGCAGCUAUGUACUCCGCUUCACAUGUAGAUCUCGCCACGACGCUUUGUUUAGAACUGCACCAACUUACAGCUCCACCGUUUAAUAAAAAUACGUAUCUGGUUUGCGAUUUAGAAUCAUCCGGAUCAGUGUCAAAGCUUGCAUCGACGUAACCAUUUACGACUAGCUCUUUGUCACCUCCAUAUACGAGAAACAUAUCCUUAGUCCUUUUCAGGUAUUUCAGGAUGUUCUUUACCGCUGUCCAGUGACCCACUCCUGGAUUACUUUGGUACCUCCCUGCCAAACUAAUAGCAAGGCACACAUCAGGUCUGGUACACAGCAUUGCAUACAUGAUAGAGCCUAUGGCUGAAGCAUAGGGAACUCAUUUUAUUUUCUCUCUAUCUUCUGCAGUGGUCGGGCAUUGAGUCUGACUCAACUUUAUACCUUGUAAUACAGGCAAGAACCCUUUCUUCGCCUGAUCCAUAUUGAACCUUUUCAACACUUUAUCAAGGUACGUGCAUUGUGAAAGUCCAAUCAAGCGUCUUGAUCUAUCUCUAUAGAUCUUAAUGCCCAAUAUGUAAGCAGCUUCACCGAGGUCUUUCAUUGAAAAACUUUUAUUCAAGUAUCCUUUUAUGCUAUUCAGAAAUUCUAUAUCAUUUCCAAUCAACAAUAUGUCAUCCACAUAUAAUAUUAGAAAUGCUACAGAGCUCCCACUCACUUUCUUGUAAAUACAGGGUUCUCCAAAAGUCUGUAUAAAACCAUAUGCUUUGAUCACACUAUCAAAGCGUUUAUUCCAACUCCGAGAGGCUUGCACCAGACCAUAGAUUGAUCGCUGGAGCUUGCACACUUUGUUAGCUCCCUUAGGAUCGACAAAACCUUCCGGUUGUAUCAUAUACAACUCUUCUUCCAGAAAUCGAUUCAGAAAUGCAGUUUUGACAUCCAUCUGCCAAAUUUCAUAAUCAUAAAAUGCGGCAAUCGCUAACAUGAUUCAAACAUACUUAAGCAUCGCUACGGGUGAGAAAGUCUCAUCGUAGUCAACCUCUUGAACUUGUCGAAAACCUUUCGCAACAAGUCGAGCUUUAUAGACAGUUACAUUACCGUCAGCGUCAGUCUUCUUCUUAAAGAUCCAUUUAUUCUCAAUGGCUUGCCGAUCAUCGGGCAAGUCAACCAAAGUCCAUACUUUGUUCUCAUACAUGGAUCCCAUCUCAGAUUUCAUGGCUUCUAGCCAUUUUGCGGAAUCUGGGCUCAUCAUUGCUUCCUCAUAGUUCGUAGGUUCAUCAUGGUCAAGUAACAUGACUUCCAGAAUAGGAUUACCGUACCACUCUGGUGCAGAUUUUAUUCUGGUAGACCUACGAGGUUCAGUAGAAACUUGAUCUGAAGUUUCAUGAUCAAUAUCAUUAUCUUCGUCACUAAUUGGUGUAGAUGUCACAGUAAGCAGACAUAGUUAUCUCAUCAAGUUCUACUUUCCUCCCACUCACUUCUUUCGAGAGAAACUCUUUUUCUAGAAAGGAUCCAUUCUUAGCAACGAAUGUCUUGCCUUCGGAUCUGUGAUAGAAGGUGUACCCAACAGUCUCUUUUGGGUAUCCUAUGAAGACACAUUUCUCCGAUUUGGGUUCGAGCUUAUCUGGUUGAAGUUUCUUCACAUAAGCAUCGCAACCCCAAACUUUAAGAAACGACAACUUUGGUUUCUUGCCAAACCACAGUUCAUAAGGCGUCGUCUCAACGGAUUUUGAUGGUGCCCUAUUCAAUGUGAAUGCAGCCGUCUCUAAAGCAUAACCCCAAAACGAUAGCGGUAAAUUAGUAAGAGACAUCAUAGAUCACACCAUAUCUAGUAAAGUACGAUUACGACGUUCGGACACACCAUUUCGUUGUGGUGUUCCGGGUGGCGUGAAUUGCGAAACUAUUCCGCAUGGUUUCAAAUGUAAACCAAACUCGUAACUCAAAUAUUCUCCUCCACGAUCAGAUCGUAGAAACUUAAUUUUCUUGUUACGAUGAUUUUCCACUUCACUCUGAAAUUCUUUGAACUUUUCAAAUGUUUCAGACUUGUGUUUCAUUAAGUAGAUAUACCCAUAUCUGCUCAAAUCAUCUGUGAAGGUGAGAAAAUAACGAUAUCCGCCACGAGCUUCAAUAUUCAUCGGUCCACAUACAUCUGUAUGUAUGAUUUCCAACAAAUCUGUUGCUCUCUCCAUAGUACCGGAGAACGGUGUUUUAGUCAUCUUGCCCAUGAGGCACGGUUCGCAAGUACCAAGUGAUUCAUAAUCAAGUGAUUCCAAAAGUCCAUCAGUAUGGAGUUUCUUCAUGCGCUUUACACCGAUAUGACCUAAACGGCAGUGCCACAAAUAAGUUGCACUAUCAUUAUCAACUCUGCAUCUUUUGGCUUCGACAUUAUGAAUAUGUGUAUCACUACUAUCGAGAUUCAAUAAAAAUAGACCACUCUUCAAGGGUGCAUGACCAUAAAAGAUAUUACUCAUAUAAAUAGAACAACCAUUAUUCUCUGAUUUAAAUGAAUAACCGUCUCGCAUCAAACAAGAUCCAGAUAUAAUGUUCAUGCUCAACGCUGGCACCAAAUAACAAUUAUUCAGGUCUAAAACUAAUCCUGAAGGUAGAUGUAGAGGUAGCGUGCCGACCGCGAUCACAUCGACUUUGGAACCAUUUCCCACGCGCAUCGUCACCUCGUCCUUGGCCAGUGCUCGCUUAUUCCGUAGUCCCUGUUUUGAGUUGCAAAUAUUAGCAACAGAACUAGUAUCAAAUACCCAGGUGCUACUACGAGCUCUAGUUAGGUACACAUCAAUAACAUGUAUAUCACAUAUACCUUUGUUCACUUUUCCAUCCUUCUUAUCCGCCAAAUACUUGGGGCAGUUCCGCUUCCAGUGACUAGUUUGCUUGCAGUAGAAGCACUCAGUUUCAGGCUUAGGUCCAGACUUGGGUUUCUUCUCUUGAGCAGCAACUUGCUUGCUGUUCUUCUUGAAGUUCCCCUUCUUCUUCCCUUUGCCCUUUUUCUUGAAACUAGUGGUCUUGUUGACCAUCAACACUUGAUGCUCCUUCUUGAUUUCUACCUCCACAGCCUUUAGCAUUGCGAAGAGCUCGGGAAUUGUCUUGUUCAUCCCUUGCAUAUUAUAGUUCAUCACGAAGCUCUUGUAGCUUGGUGGCAGUGAUUGGAGAAUUCUGUCAAUGACGCUAUCAUCCGGAAGAUUAACUCCCAGUUGAAUCAAGUGAUUAUUAUACCCAGACAUUUUGAGUAUAUGCUCACUGACAGAACUAUUCUCCUCCAUCUUGCAGCUGUAGAACUUAUUGGAGACUUCAUAUCUCUCAAUCCGGGCAUUUGCUUGAAAUAUUAACUUCAACUCCUGGAACAUCUCAUAUGCUCCAUGACGUUCAAAACAUCGUUGAAGACCCGGUUCUAAGCCGUAAAGCAUGGCACACUGAACUAUAGAGUAGUCAUCAGCUUUGCUCUGCCAGACGUUCACAACAUCUGGCGUUGCUCCUGCAGCAGGCCUGGCACCCAGCGGUGCUUCUAGGACGUAAUUCUUCUGUACAGCAAUGAGGAUAAUCCUCAAGUUACGGACCCAGUCCGUGUAAUUGCUACCAUCAUCUUUCAACUUUGCUUUCUCAAGGAACGCACUAAAAUUCAACGGAACAACAGCAUGAGCCAUCUAUCUACAACAAACAUAGACAAGCAAAAUACUAUCAGGUACUAAGUUCAUGAUAAAUUUAAGUUCAAUUAAUCAUAUUACUUAAGAACUCCCACUUAGAUAGAUAUCUCUCUAGUCAUCUAAGUGAUUACGUGAUCCAAAUCAACUAAACCAUAACCGAUCAUCACGUGAGAUGGAGUAGUUUUCAAUGGUGAACAUCACUAUGUUGAUCAUAUCUACUAUAUGAUUCACACUCGACCUUUCGGUCUCUGUGUUCCGAGGCCAUAUCUGCAUAUGCUAGGCUCGUCAAGUAUAACCUGAAUAUUUUGCGUGUGCAAAACUGGCUUGCACCGGUUGUAGAUGGACGUAGAGCUUAUCACACCCGAUCAUCACGUGGUGUGUGGGCACGACGAACUUUGGCAACGGUGCAUAUUCAGGGAGAACACUUCUUGAUAAUUUUUAGUGAGAGAACAUCUUAAAAUGCUACCGUCAAUCAAAGCAAGAUAAUAUGCAUAAAGGAUAAACAUCACAUGCAAUCAAUAUAAGUGAUAUGAUAUGGCCAUCAUCAUCUUGUGCUUGUGAUCUCCAUCUCCGAAGCACCAUCGUGAUCACCAUCGUCACCGGCGCGACACCUUGAUCUUCAUCGUAGCAUCGUUGUCGUUUACGCCAUCUAUUGCUUCUACGACUAUCGCUACCACUUAGUGAUAAAGUAAAGCAAUUACAGGGCGUUUGCAUUUCACACAAUAAAGCGACAACCAUAUGGCUCCUGCCAGUUGCCGAUAACUUCAGUUACAAAACAUGAUCAUCUCAUACAAUAAAUAUAGCAUCACGUCUUGACCAUAUCACAUCACAACAUGCCCUGCAAAAACAAGUUAGACGUCCUCUACUUUGUUGUUGCAAGUUUUACGUGGCUGCUAUGGGCUUAGCAAGAACCGUUCUUACCUACGCAUCAAAACCACAACGAUAGUUCAUCAAGUUAGUGUUGUUUUAACCUUUGCAAGGACCGGGCGUAGCCACACUCGGUUCAACUAAAGUUGGAGACACUGACACCCGCCAGCCACCUAUGUGCAAAGCACGUCGGUAGAACCAGUCUCGCGUAAGCGUACGCGUAAUGUCGGUCCGGGCCGCUUCAUCCAACAAUACCGCCGAACCAAAGUAUGACAUGCUGGUAAGCAGUAUGACUUGUAUCGCCCACAACUCACUUGUGUUCUACUCGUGCAUAUAACAUCAACGCAUAAAACCUAGGCUCGGAUGCCACUGUUAGGGAACGUAGUAAUUUCAAAAAAAUUCCUACGCACACGCAAGAUCAUGGUGAUGGCAUAGCAACGAGAGGGGAGAGUGUUGUCUAUGUGCCCUCGUAGACCGUUAAGCGUAAGCGUUAUGACAACGCGGUUGAUGUAGUCGUACGUCUUCACGAUCCGACCGAUCCAAGCACUGAACGUAUGGCACCUCCGUGUUUAGCACACGUCCAGCUCGAUGACGUUCCCCGGGCUCCAAUCCAGCAAAGCGUCGGGGAUGAGUUCCGUCAGCACGGCGGCGUGGUGACGAUUAUGAUGUUCUACCGGCGCAGGGCUUCGCCUAAACUCCGCGACGAUAUAACUGAGGUGGAAUAUGGUGGAGGGGGGCACCGCACACGGCUAAGGAACGAUCCGUAGAUCAACUUGUGUGUCUCUAGGGUGCCCCCCACCCCCGUAUAUAAAGGAGCAAGGGGGAGGCCGGCCGGCCCUUGUGGGCACGCCAAGGAGGAGUCCUCCUCCUCCUAGUAGGAGUAGGACUCCCCCUUUCCUACUCCUACUAGGAGGGGGAAAGGAAGGGGAGAGGGGGAAGGAAAGAGGGGGCGCCGCCCCCCCCCCUCCUAGUCCAAUUUGGACCAGAGGGAGAGGGGGAGCGCGGCCCACCCUGGCCGCCCCUCUCUGUUUCCACUAAGGCCCAUGUGGCCCAUUAACUCUCCCGGGGGGGUUCCGGUAACCCUCCGGCACUCAGGUUUUCUCCGAAAUCACCCGGAAUACUUCCGGUGUCCGAAUAUAGUUGUCCAAUAUAUCAAUCUUUAUAUCUCGACCAUUUCGAGACUCCUUGUCAUGUCUGUGAUCACAUACGGGACUCCGAACAAACUUCAGUACAUCAAAACUUAUAAACUCAUAAUAAAAUUGUCAUCGUAACGUUAAGCGCGCGGACCCUACGGGUUCGAGAACUAUGUAGACAUGACCUAGAACUAUUCUCGGUCAAUAACCAAUAGUGGAACCUGGAUGUUCAUAUUGGUUCCUACAUAUUCUACGAAGAUCUUUAUCGGUCAAACCGCAUAACAACAUACGUUGUUCCCUUUGUCAUCGGUAUGUUACUUGCCCGAGAUUCGAUCGUCGGUAUCCAAUACCUAGUUCAAUCUCGUUAUCGGCAAGUCUCUUUACUCGUUUCGUAAUACAUCAUUUCGUAACUAACUCAUUAGUUACAAUGCUUGCAAGGCUUAAGUGAUGAGUAUUACCAAGAGGGCCCAGAGAUACCUCUCCGACAAUCGGAGUGACAAAACCUAAUCUCGAAUUAUGCCAACUCAACAUGUACCUUUGGAGACACCUGUAGAGCACCUUUAUAAUCACCCAGUUAGGUUGUGACGUUUGGUAGCACACAAAGUGUUCCUCCGGUAAACGGGAGUUGCACAAUCUCAUAGUUGUAGGAACUUUGUAUAAGUCAUGAAGAAAGCAAUAGCAACAUACUAAACGAUCAAGUGCUAAGCUAACGGAAUGGGUCAAGUCAAUCACAUCAUUCUCCUAAUGAUGUGAUCCCAUUAAUCAAAUGACAACACAUCUAUAUGGUUAGGAAACAUAACCAUCUUUGAUCAAUGAGCUAGUCAAGUAGAGGCAUACUAGUGACACUAUGUUUGUCUAUGUAUUCACACAUGUAUCAUGUUUCCGGUUAAUACAAUUCUAGCAUGAAUAAUAAACAUUUAUCAUGAUAAGAGGAAAUAAAUAAUAACUUUAUUAUUGCCUCUAGGGCAUAUUUCCUUCAACCCUUGCCCCUGGCGCAGCCCUCCCCCUCUCCAACUCCACCUCCUCCUCAGUAGUGCUUGGCGAAGCCCUGCCGGAGAAGUGCAAGCUCCACCACCACGCUGUCGUGCUGCCAGAGCUCUCCCUCAACUUCUCAUCUCCCCUUGCUGGAUCAAGAAGGAGGAGACGUCCCCGGGCUGUACGUGUGUUGAACGCGGAGGCACCGUCCGUUCGGCGCUAGAUCGGAUCUUCCGCGAUUUGAAUCGCCGCGAGUACGACUCCAUCAACCGUGUUCUUGUAACGCUUCCGCUUAGCGAUCUUCAAGGGUAUGAAGAUGCACUCCCUCUCUCUCUUGUUGCUAGAAUCUCCAUAGAUUGAUCUUGGUGAUGCGUAGAAAAUUUUGAAUUUCUGCUACGUUCCCCAACAGUGGCAUCAUGAGCUAGGUCUAUUGCGUAGAUUCUAUGCAUGAGUAGAACACAAGUAGUUGUGGGCGUUGGUUUUGUUCAAUAUGCUUACUGUUACUAGUCCUAUCUUGUUUCGACGGUAUUGUGGGAUGAAGCGGCCCGGACCGACCUUACACUUACACUUACAUGAGACAGGUUCCACUGACUAACAUGCACUUGUUGCAUAAGGUGGCUAGCGGGUGCCAGUCUCUCCCACUUUAGUCGGAUCGGAUUCGAUGAAAAGGGUCCUUAUGAAGGGUAAAUAGCAAUUGGCAUAUCACCGUUGUGGCUUUGCGUAGGUAAGAAACGUUCUUGCUAGACACCCUUUGCAGCCACGUAAAACAUGCAACAACAAUUAGAGGACGUCUAACUUGUUUUUGCAGGGUAUGCUAUGUGAUGUGAUAUGGCCAAAAAGAAUGUGAUGAAUGAUAUGUGAUGUAUGAGAUUGAUCAUGUUCUUGUAAUAGGAAUCACGACUUGCAUGUCGAUGAGUAUGACAACCGGUAGGAGCCAUAGGAGUUGUCUUAAUUUAUUGUAUGACCUGCGUGUCAUUGAAUAAUGCCAUGUAAUUACUUUACUUUAUUGCUAAACCGUUAGCCAUAGUAGUAGAAGUAAUAGUUGGCGAGACAACUUCAUGAGACACGAUGAUGGAGAUCAUGAUGAUGGAGUUCAUGGUGUCAUGCCGGUGACGAAGGUGAUCAUGUCGUGCCUCAAGAUGGAUAUCAAAGGCGCAAGAUGAUAUUGGCCAUAUCAUGUCACUUUAUGAUUUGCAUGUGAUGUUUGUCAUGUUUACAUCUUAUUUGCUUAGAACGACGGUAGCAUAAAUAAGAUGAUCCCUCACUUAAAUUUCAAGAAAGUGUUCCCCCUAACUGUGCACCGUUGCGAAAGUUCGUUGUUUCGAAGCACCACGUGAUGAUCGGGUGUGAUAGAUUCUAACGUUCACAUACAACGGGUGUAAGCCAGAUUUACACACGUGAAGCACUUAGGUUGACUUGACGAGCCUAGCAUAUACAGACAUGGCCUCGGAACACAAGAGACCGAAAGGUCGAACAUGAGUCGUAUAGUAGAUACGAUCAACAUGAAGAUGUUCGCCGAUGAUGACUAGUCCGUCUCACGUGAUGAUCGGACACGAACUAGUUGACUCGGAUCAUGUAUCACUUAGAUGACUAGAGGGAUGUCUAUCUGAGUGGGAGUUCAUUAGAUGAACUUAAUUAUCAUGAACAUAGUCAAAAGGUCUUUGCAAAUUAUGUCGUAGCUUACGCUUUAGUUCUACUGUUUAAGAUAUGUUCCUAGAGAAAAUUUAGUUGAAAGUUGACAGUAGCAAUUAUGCGGACUGGGUCCGUAUACUGAGGAUUGUCCUCAUUGCUGCACAGAAGGCUUAUGUCCUUAAUGCACCGCUCGGUGUGCUGAACCUCGAGCGUCGUUUGUGGAUGUUGCAAACAUCUGACAUACACGUUUUUGAUGACUACGUGAUAGUUUAGUGCGUAAUGUUAAACAGUUUAGAAUUGAGGCACGGAAGACAAUUUUGAAACGUCACAGAACAUAUGAGAUGUUCCAAGAGCUGAAAUUGGGAUUUCAGGCUCAUGCCCACGUCAAGAGGUAUGAGACCUCCGACAAGUUUCUUAACCUACAAACUAAGGGAGAAAAGCUCAAUCAUUGAGCAUGUGCUCAGAUUGUCUGACUACUAUAAUCACUUGAAUCGAGUGGGAGUUAAUCCUCCAGAUGAGAUAGUGAUGGUUCUCCAUAGUCACUGCCACCACGCUAUUAGAGCUUCGUGAUGAACUAUAACAUAUCAGGGAUAGACAUGAUGAUCCUUGAGCAAUUCGCGAUGUUUGACACCGCGAAUGUAGAAAUUGAGUAGGAGCACCAAUUGUUGAUGGUUAGUAAAACCACUAGUUUCAAGAAGGGCAAGGGCAAGAAGGGAUACUUCAUGAAACGGCAAAUUAGUUGCUGCUCUAGUGAAGAAACCCAAGGUUGAACCCAAACCGAGACUAAGUGCUUCUGCAAUGAGGGAACGGUCACUGAAGCAGAACUUCCCUAGAUACUUGGUAGAUGAGAAGGCUGGCAAGGUUGACAGAAGUACAUUGGAUAUACAUUAUAUUAAAUGUGUACUUUAAUAGUACUCCUAGUAGCACCAGGGUAUUAAGAUACCGGUCCGGUUGCUAAGUGUUAGUAACUCGAAAUAAAAGAGCUACAGAAUAAACAGAGACUAGCUGAAGGUGAGAUGACGAUGUGUGUUGGAAGUGUUUCCAAGGUUAAUGUGAUCAAGCAUCGCAUACUCGCUCUACCAUCGAGAUUGGUGUUAAACCUAAAUAAUUGGUUUUUGGUGUUUGCAUUGAGCAUAGACAUGAUUGGAUUAUGUUUAUCGCAAUACGGUUAUUCAAUUAAGGAGAAUAAUGGUUACUCUGUUUAUUUGAAUAAUACCUUCAAUGGUCUUGCACCUAAAAUGAAUGGUUUAUUGAAUCUCGAUCGUAGUGAUACACAUGUUCAUGCCAAAAGAUAUAAGAUAGUAAUGAUGGUACCACAUACUUGUGGCACUGCCAUUUGAGUCAUACUAGUAUAAAACGCAUGAAGAAGCUCCAUGUUUAUGGAUCUUUGGACUCACUCGUUGUUGAAAAGAUUGAGACAUGCAAACCAUGUCUAUUGGUAUAUAUGCAUGAAGAAACUCCAUACAGAUGGAUCGUUUGGACUCACUUGUUUUUGAAUCACUUGAGACAUGCAAAUCAUACCACAUGGGCAAGAUGACUGAAAGGCCUCGUUUUCAGUAAGAUGGAACAAGAAAGCAACUUGUUGGAAGUAAUACAUUUUGAUGUGUGCAGUCCAAUGAGUGCUGAGGCACGCAGUGGAUAUCGUUAUGUACUUACUUCACAGAUGAUUUGAAUAGAUGCUAAGUAUAUUUACUUGAUGAAACACAAAUCUGAAGUAUUGAAAGGUUCAAGUAAUUUCAGAGUGAAGUUGAAGAUCAUCGUGACAAGAGGAUAAAAUGUCUAUGAUAUGAUCAUAGAGAUGAAUAUCUGAGUUAUGAGUUUGGCACACAAUUAAGACAUUGUGGAAAUUGUUUCACAACUAAUACCGCCUGGAACACCAUAGUGUGAUGGUGUGUCCGAACAUCAUAACUGCACCCUAUUGGAUUUAGUGCAUACCAUGAUGUCUCUUAUCAAAUUAACACUAUCGUUUAUGGGUUAGGCAUUAGAGACAACCACAUUCACUUUAAUAGGGCACCACGUAAUUCUGUUGAGAUGACAGCGUAUGAACUAUGGUUUAGAGAAACAUAAGCUGUCAUUUCUGAAAAGUUUGGGGCUGCGACGCUUAUGUGGAAAAGUUUUAGCCUGAUAAGCUCAAACCCAAAGCGGAUAAAUGCAUCUUCAUAGGACACCCAAAAACAGUUGGGUAUACCUCCUGUCUCUGAUUCAGAAGCAAAAGUGAUUGUUUCUAGAAAUGGGUCCUUUCUCGAGGAAAAGUUUCUCUUGAAAGAAUUGAGUGGGAGGAUGGUGGAGACUUGAUGAGGUUAUUGAACCAUCACUUCAACCAAUCUGUAGCAGGCCACAGGAAGUUGUUCCUGUGGCGCCUACACCAGUUGAAGUGGAAGCUGAUGAUAGUGAUCAUGAAACUUCGGAUCAAUUCACUACCAAACCUCGUAGGUCGACAAGGACGCGUACUGCUUUGGAGUGGUACGGUAAUCCUGUCUUGGAGGUCAUGUUGCUAGACAACAAUGAACCUACGAGUUGUGGAGAAGAGAUGGUGGGCCCAGAUUCCAACAAAUGGCUCGAGGCCAUAAAAUCCGAGAGAGGAUCCAUGUAUAAAACAAAGUGUAGACUUUGGAAGAACUACUUGAUGGCCGUAAGCUGUUGGGUACAUAUGGAUUUUAAAAGGGAAGACGGACAACGAUGGUAAGUGUCACCAUUAAGGAAGCUCGACUUAUCGCUAAGAUGUUUUCCGACAAGUUCAAGGAGUUGACUACGAUGAGACUUUCUCACCCGUAGCGAUGCUAAGAGUCUGUUGAAAAAUUAUAUUAUUAGUUCUUGCAUUACUUAUGAAAUCUUGCAGAUAGGAUGUCAAAACAUUGUUUCCUCAAAGAUUUUCUUGAGGAAAGGUUGUAUGUGAUACAACCAGAAAGUUUUUGUCAAUCCUAAAAGAUGCUAACAAGUAUGCAAAGCUCUAGCGAUCCUUUAAGGACUGGAGUAAGCAUCUUGGAGUUGGAAUAUACGCUUUGAUGAGAUGAUCAAAGAUUUUGGGUUUAUACAAAGUUUAUGAGAAACUUGUAUUUCCAAAGAAGUGAGUGGGAGCACUAUAGCAUUUCUGAUGAGUAUAUGUUGUUGACAUAUUGUUGAUCUGAAAUGAUGUAGAAUUUCUGGAAAGCAUAUAGGGUUAUUUGAAAAGUGUUUUUCAAUGGAAAACCUGGAUUAAGAUACUUGAACAUUGUGCAUCAAGAUCUAUAAGGAUAGAUCAAAAUCGCUUGAUAGUACUUUCAAAUGAGUACGCACUGUGACAAGAUUUUGAAGGAGUUCAAAAUAGAUCGACAAAGAAGGAGUUCCUGGCUGUGUUAUAAGGUGUGAGUAUUGAGUAAGAAUCAAGACCUGACCACGGCAGAAGAGAGAGAAAGGACGAAGGUCGUCCCCUAUGCUUUAGACGUAGGCUCCACAGUAUGAUAUGUUGUGUACCGCACAUAAAGUGUGCCUUGCCAUGAGUCAGUCAAGGGGUACAAGUGUGAUCCAGGAAUGGAUCACAGGACAGCGGUCAAGGUUAUCCUUAGUAACUAGUGGACUAAGGAAUUUUCUCGAUUAUGGAGGUGGUAAAAGAGUUCGUCGUAAAGGGUUACGCCGAUGCAAACUUUGACACUAAUCUGGAUGAUUCUGAGUAGUAGACCAGAUUCGUAUAGUAGAGCAGUUAUUUGGAAUAGUUCCAAAUAGCGCAUGGUAGUUGCAUCUAGGAGAUGACAUAAAGAUUUUUAAAGCACACAUGGAUCUGAAAGAUUCAGACUCGUUGACUAAUAACCUCUCUGACAAGCGAGAUAUGAUCAAACCCAAUGGGUGCUGGAUUCAUUACAAUCACAUACUGAUGUGAACUAGAUUAUUGACUCUAGUGCAAGUGGGAGACUGUUGGAAAUAUGCCCUAGAGGCAAUAAUAAAAUGGUUAUUAUUAUAUUUCCUUGUUCAUGAUAAUUGUCUAUUGUUCAUGCUAUAAUUGUAUUAACUGGAAACUGUAAUACAUGUGUGAAUACAUAGACCACAACAUGUCCCUAGUUGACUAGCUCGUUGAUCAAUAGAUGGUUAUGGUUUCCUGACCAUGGACAUUGGAUGUCAUUGAUAACAGGAUCACAUCAUUAGGAGAAUGAUGUGAUGGACAAGACCCAAUCCUAAGCAUAGCACAAGAUCGUGUAGUUCGUUUGCUAAAAUCUUUUCUAAUGUCAAGUAUCAUUUCCUUAGACCAUGAGAUUGUGCAACUCCCGGAUACCGUAGGAAUGCUCUGGGUGUGCCAAACGUCACAACGUAACUGGGUGGCUAUAAAGGUGCACUACGGGUAUCUCCGAAAUUGUCUGUUGGGUUGGCACGAAUCGAGACUGAGAUUUGUCACUCCGUGUGACGGAGAGGUAUCUCUGGGCCCACUCGGUAAUGCAUCAUCAUAAUGAGCUCAGUGUGACUAAGUAGUUAGUCACGGGAUCAUGCAUUACGGAACGAGUAAAGUGACUUGCCGGUAACGAGAUUGAACGAGGUAUUGGGAUACCGACGAUCGAAUCUCGGGCAAGUAGCGUACUGAUUGACAAAGGGAAUUGUAUACGGGAUUGCUUGAAUACUUGACAUCGUGGUUCAUCCGAUGAGAUCAUCAUGGAACAUGUGGGAGCCAACAUGGGUGUCCAUAUCUCGCUAUUGGUUAUUGGCCAAAGAGCUGUCUCGGUCAUGUCUGCAUGAUUCCCGAACCCGUAGGGUCUACACACUUAAGGUUCCGUGACGCUAGAGUUGUUAUGGGAAUUAGUGUGCAGUUACCGAAUGUUGUUCGGAGUCCCGGAUGAGAUCUCGGACGUCACGAGGAGUUCCAGAAUGGUCCGGAGGUAAAGAUUUAUAUAUGGGAAGUCCUAUUUUGGCCAACAGAAAAUGUUUAGGAUUUUUUGGUAUUAUACCGGGAAGGUUCUAGAAAGUUCCGGAGUGGGGCCCACCUGCAUGGGGGGACCCACAUGAACGUGGGUAGUGGGGGCAAGGCCCCACACCCCUGGUCAAGGCGCACCAAGAUCCCCCCUUAGAAGGAAUAAGAUCAUAUCCCGAAGGGAUAAGAUCAAGAUCCCUAAAAAGGGGGGAGAAUAAUCGGUUGGGAAGGGAAAUGAUGUGGUUUCUUUCCUCCACCUUUUCCAAUGCCCCAAUGGACUUGGAGGGAAAGAAACCAGCCCCCUCCACCCCUAUAUAUAGUGGGGAGGCGUAUGGGAGCUGCAACCCUUGCCCCUGGCGCAGCCCUCCCCCUCUCCAACUCCACCUCCUCCUCAGUAGUGCUUGGCGAAGCCCUGCCGGAGAACUGCAAGCUCCACCACCACGCCGUCGUGCUGCCGGAGCUCUCCCUCAACUUCUCCUAUCCCCUUGCUGGAUCAAGAAGGAGGAGACGUCCCCGGGCUAUACGUGUGUUGAACGCGGAGGCGCCAUCCGUUUGGCGCUAGAUCGGAUCUUCCGCGAUUUGAAUCACCACGAGUACGACUCCAUCAACCGCGUUCUUGUAACGCUUCCUCUUAGCGAUCUUCAAGGGUAUGAAGAUGCACUCCCUCUCUCUCUUGUUGCUAGAAUCUCCAUAGAUUGAUCUUGGUGAUGCGUAGAAAAUUUUGAAUUUCUGCUACGUUCCCCAACAUCAUCAUCAUGGAGAACCGCAAAGUUCAAGCAUGUCUAACGACAUCGUCAACAUAUGCCUAUGUCACUCGAGCAAGGCUUUCCCCUUUGGGCAAUACAACCCUACCACCAACAUCAGCUAGCGGUAUAUACCAAGGCCAACCCUUCCUUAUGCAAACUCAAAUUUUUCUCAAGAGCUCGGUCAUUGUCGGACUUGCAACCUCAUCAUUCCUCCAGGUUUUAUCUAGCUUGGCUACUGAAAUAAAAUUUUGGAACUUAAUCGAUGUCUUCUUUAAACAACUGAAAGCUACCUUACUUAGGGCUUACUAAUAAAAUACAUCAUAUGUGUGUAUUGUAUGAUGAUUUCUUUGGACAUGCAUUGCAAUUACAAUUAUCCGUUUGGUAGUUUUUCUUAUUCUUACAACAUUUUGUUUUGAUGUAUUGUUACUUUGGUUAUGACGACAUAAUAAAUUUGUGGUUAUGUGCAUCUAUAUUUUAUGCAAAGACACAUGUACUAUAUCUAGCUCAUUCAUUUCAUGAAAAAAGAGGGAUGAGAUCUACCAAUUGCCUUUUCAGCCACAUAGUUCAUGGGGUAGUCUAAAUGUAUAACUUUGACAUAUUCCAAUAAGAAAGCACUUUUAAUAAAUCUACUUUAUGACACCUACCAACUAUAUUUUGCUCUAUGUGUGCCUCAAUAUAUAACCAUCAAACUACUACUCAUUUCACAUAUGACCAGCCACCUUAUGAUACUUCAUAGGUUUAAAUUCCAUGCUCAUCUAUGCUCUAUGAUUCUAGUACAUGCUAGUUUGUUGGAACAGAUUGUUAGGAACAUAUCAUGCUCAAUCAUGAAAUAUACUACAUUAAGGUUGGCCGUCGACUUGGUUGGGCCAUAUAUAAGAAAGCACACACAUAUCCAUGAGGUACAAUAUGUGUGAUGUAAAAGUACACACACACACACACACACACACACACACACCUUAUUUAGUUUAUAAGUUGCUUGGAAUGAGCGGCCCAGGAAAACAUCUAUCACAGGAUGUAUGGAGUGCACAUUAAAAAUCUGAGGCUUCACUCCAAAAUCUUCCUCAUGAAGAAGAUGUAAUUUUUUUACUUCAAACUUUUCUUCACUCUUGUGGUCUUUUUGACUAGGAUACCCUAGCAAAGGGAGAUGAGCGAACCUGUCUUAUUGACGUUUGAUGAGUUAGCAAUUUGCUUCCUUUGGAGUAGCUGCCUCAUCUUUUGGCGUUUCCUCUUGAGCCUCCUCAUGUUCUUCUUCUUCCACGGCACAUAAUUGCAAAAGGAUGUACAAAUCAGUACACAAUGUAUAAUAUAAUUUUAAAUGUGAAGAGUACAAAGUAGGACAAGAAAACAUAUAAUUGUUGGAAGCAUGAGUAUUGAGUGUUCAGACUUGAUCGGCCUCAUUGCGUGAUGAUCAAUUGGUUAAAUGAACAAAUAGAAAGCAAGGGUAAACGAAACAAGGGCAGAUCUUACAACACAGUAUUUGGCAAAAAGUGAUAAGAAUGAAAGAGUGAGAUGAAUCUUUCUCCGAAAGAGAGCAUAUAUGCAAUCGUUUUGAACUUAAGAAUGAGUGGGAAGAUUUUUUUUUUCAUCAGGUAGAUUGUCUUCCUCAUUGUGCCAACAACACAGUUAAUCCUAAAAUGGAGUCACAAAGUUAAAGACUAAUCAUCUUCUUUCAAACAAAUGCCUUGAUUAUACACAUGGUUUAAUAGAAUGGAUUACAUCACACUCGUCAUAUAUUUUAAUCGCUACAGAGAAUUAACACAACAAUAUCAACUAUUUAUACCUAACACCAGUACUCUCUCCGUUCCUAAAUAUAAUUCUUUUUAGAGAUUCCAAUACGAACUACAUACGGAUGUAUAUAGAUAUAUUUUAGAGUGUAGGUUCACUCAUUUUGCUCCGUAUUUAGUCCAUAUUGGAAUCUCUAAAAAAGACUUAUAUUUAGGAACGGAGGGAGUAGUCAAGCAAAAUACAUACGCACAUAUAAUGACUAAAAAAGCCUGGGGCAAGUUUAAUAACUAUUCUCCGAGACAAAUGCCUCAUUAUUCCACACGGUUUAGUAUAAUAGAUUACAUCUGACUCUUAACCUCUGUUCAUCAUCAUUGAGAACAAUAACACUAGAAAUACCGACAAUUUGACUUGAAUGUCAUGACUCAUGGGCGGCCUAGCAAAUCUUCUCUUAUCAACCUGUGCACACACACUACAUCUAAUGCGUAGUAGCAACCACAGAGCAAAAUAUGUUGCUUCUUGUCCGUGGUUUAAAUUAAGUGAAAUUUUCAAGGUUAGCAUAUCAUCGUGUAGCACGGUUGCUAUUUGUAUGUACACACAUACAAAAAUAAGGUGUGUGCAUUGAAUGCUUCAUCCUAGUGAUCCUUCCAUUGUCUAAAAAGUGUCCAGGGGUUAGUAUUGAUAUUUGGUCACAUCGGAUUUAAGCUAAGCCCGUGAUGCAGACUCAAGUUUGAAAUAUGUCAGGCCCUGACCUUGAGCAUGAUCUGUUUGACAGCUCUAGCAAAAUGAUAGAUUCAACCCAAGAAAAUUAGUGAUGAAAUAGUAAUAGAUUGAUAUCUUCUCCUAUUAGUCACCUACCGACAUUCAUAAAUUGCGAUAGUACUUGAGCCAUCAAAGUUGCAGGGAGGGACUUGAAAAUAACUUUGCCAUGUGCAAGGUUAUUACCUCAAGUACUUGACCACAAGUAGUAUAUGGUAUCAUCUUUGCUAUUUCCUUUCUAGAAGUCAGUUCACACGACGCACAGACGCAUUCUUGUGACCCGUGAUUAACAAUGUUUGUGAUCCUAACCAAACACAUUGCUCAUCACAUUUUAGCCUCUUUUGUUUGUUGUAAGCAUGUGAAGACAAAAUCACUUGUUGAUGUGAAUGUGGUGCACUGAAGCACCAUGGCGGCUUGGGAAUGAGUGGCAUCGUGAAAACAUGUCAAACAAUGAUGAUUCUUGAGGUUGUUUGGUUUGGUUCCUGGUCACAAGGUGUGGAUGUUGUGUGGAGGACGUUUAGUGUGUGUCCUCGAGAGUGGAUGGCUUGCCCGUCAUGAUUCCAUAUAGGCAUGAGAUUAUCCUGGCCCAAGCGCUCGAACUCCGAUGCAUGUGCGAGCAUCGUCUGCAACCUGGAUGCUAAGCGCUUGGUUGGUACUUCGGUUUCCAGCCGAAUCCCUCUGUAAAACAUACACCCCUGUAAAGAAGAUCAUUUUUGCCCUAGAAAAAUUACACCCGUUUCUUAGAUUAUGCUGGUAUUUGUCCGGUAUUUCCCUUUGUCUCGAUCCACAUAAACGAGUACAAGCACACACGCCCCGGGACGGCCUGUGCCAAAGCAGGGCACCAGCGACCGUGACGGUUGGGCUGGAGGAUCCCUGGCUCUCACCGGCCAUAAAAAUGCAAGGACUGGGUGGCAAUUGUUAGAACUCAGAAAAUUAAGAGUAAACUUGUAUUGGUUGAUAGACAGAGUACAACUUAUAUAUGUCUUGAAGAGAUGCAUCUCAUAGGUCGCGACGGUUCAUACAGGCGCAUCCUAGAGAUGCGUCGGUUGGUGCUAAGUAAUUGCCGUGCAGUUAAACAAGAGGAGAUUUUCCCUAAUUAAUAUAUGUGCAAAUUAAUCACAACACUCCCCCUAGUCUAUGCUUGUCUAUAUAGAAUCGUCAUAGGAUCAUCAGGUAGAAUCGUCAUCUUGAAAGAUUGUCCAGGUUGCAUCAUCAUCUCAAAGGAUUCUUCUCCGACAAUUCUUCAUUAAUAUUCUUGACGAGAACCUGAAACAUAAAAUUCACAGAGAAAAAGAAAUGUAAUAUGAUACUUCAAACAGGUACAGUUCAAGGAGACACUCCCCCUGAUUCUUGCAAGUCCCGAAGUCGUCGCAUACCAAUUCCAUGAACAUAUUUCUGGAAUGUAGAAUUUGGUAGAGACUUGGUAAAUAAAUCAGCAAGAUUUUCACAUGAUUUAAUUUGCAAGAUGUUUAUUUCCCCCUUUUUCUGAAGAUCAGGGGAAAAAGCACUUAGGAGAAAUAUGUUUAGUGAUAUUACUGUUGAUGUAUCAUGUUUGCAUCUGUGCAACACAACCGCAUUAUCUUCGUAGAUAAUGGUAGGUGAUUCUAUAGAACCAAUUCCACAUGACUGUUGUAUGUGGUUUAUCAUUCUACGAAGCCACACACAUUCGCGUGAUGCCUCAAAUAAUGAAAUUAUUUCAGAAUGAUUGGUAGAUGUUGCCACCAGAGUCUGUUUAGAAGACUUCCAUGAUAUGGCAGUUCCACCAUGUAGGAACACAAAGUCGGACUGCGAUCUGGCAUUAUGGGAUCAGAUAAAUAGCCAGCAUCGGCGUAUCCAAUCAUAUUAGAGUCUUGAUUUCUCUGGAACUGAAAGAAUAGGCCAAGAUCCUUUGUGCCUUGGAGAUAUCGAAAGAUAUUCUUAACUCAGGACCAAUAGCGUUUGGUGGGAGCUGCGCUAUGUCUAGCAAGUAGAUUCACUGCAAAUGCGAGGCCAGGUCUCGUGCAAUUUGCAAGAUACGUGAGCGCUCCAACGGCACUAAGAUAUGGAACCUCAGGUCCCAAUAUUUCUUCUCCAUCGUCCCUUGGCCUGAACGGAUCUUUCUCUACGUCUAGAGAGCGAACCACCAUGGGAGUUUUAGAUGGGUAGGAUUUGUCCAUAUUGAAUUUCUCCAAUAUUUUCUGGAUAUAAGCAGCUUGGUAUACCAUGAUUCCUGAGGUGAGGUGCUCAAAUUGAAUACCUAAGCAAAUUUUGGUUUUACCCAAAUCCUUCAUCUCAAAUUCUAUCUUUAGAUGAUUGUGUGCUUCAUCAAUGUCAUGUGUGUUGCCAAUGAUGUUGAGGUCAUCGACGUACACUGAAAUGAUGCAAAAUCCUGUAUAGGACUUUUUGAUAGACACAUGGGCAAUCACUACUAUUAGAGUAGCCUUUUUGUAGAAGGAACUCAUUAAGUCGGUUGUACCACAUCCGUCCCGACUGUCUUAAGCCAUAUAUUGACUUAUUAAGUUUUACACAAUACAUGUUGCAUUUUGCGCUUGUAUUCGGGAUAGAGAUUCCGUCAGGAACCUUCAUAUACAUGUCUAAAUCUAGUGACCCGUAAAGAUAUGCGGUCACGACAUCCAUCAACUGCAUAUAUAGACGGUUUUGCACUGCCAAAGAUAUAAGGUAUCGGAAAGUGGUUCCACUCAUUACAGGAGAAUAUGUUUCAUCAAAAUCAAUGUCGGGUCUCUGCGUGAACCCUUGCGCUACGAGCCUUGCUUUGUAUCUCACCACCUCAUUGUUCUCAUUCCGUUUCCGGAGAAAAACCCAUUUGUAUCCGACAGGGAAAACAUUGGGAGGUGUCGGUAUUGCUUUAGUGAAUACCUUUCUUUUGUUAAGCGAGGCAAUUUCUGCUUGUAUUGCGUCCUUCCAUUUAGGCCAGUGGGAGCGCUUUUGGCACUCAACGAUAGUCUUUGGAUCAUGAUCAGUCAUAAGGAUAUCUGCAAUUUUUUCAGCAAAAUAAAUGUUGACAGUCGUAAACUUACGGUCGAAAGAUUCUCCAGAAUCGAUAUAGUUGAUGGAAAUUUCCUGCACCCCUAGUGACUCUUCAUGUUUUCCCAAUACGCGUGAGUCUGGGUGUUUUGAUGGCCCAGCCAGUGUGUGCAAACUGAAGCUGGGUUGUGGAGGUUGUCCUUCCACUGGGUGUAUACUACCCAUAAGGUGUUUGUCAAUGUUGAGCUGACCUGCAUUUACUAACUCCGGGGUUUUUCUCCUCGAUCUCCUUUGUUGCUUGCUGGAAGCUUGUUCCAGGUCAGAGGUCGUACUACUCCCCCUCUUUUUAGGAAUAGGGAGUUGAGUGGUUUUUAUUAGUACCUCCACUCUUUCGGGCGCAUUUCUGGACGGAUUUAAGGACUUUGUAACACCUUUUAGAUCAGUAAAUGAAUCUGGCAGGUUAUUUGCAAGAUGUUGCAAAUUAAUGAUUUUCCAAACUUGGAGUUCAGUCUCUUGUGUACGUGGAUCAGAGUACGAAAUGGCUUGAGCAUUCCAAUCAAUUUCCGGGCAUUCUUUCUGGUACUUGAAAUCUCCCCCUAAUGCCGGAAAGUGUUCCUCAUUAAAUAUACAAUCAGCGUGACGGGCUGUGAACAGGUCCCCAGUAAGUGGUUCUAGGUACUUAAUAAUCGACGGCGAUUUGUACCCCACAUAGAUCCCCAAUUUCCUAUGUGGGCCCAUGGAUGUCCGCUGUGGUGGUGAGAACGGGAUGUAUGCAGCACAUCCGAACUUGUGCAGAUGGGAAAUGCUAGGAGGAUUUCCACGUACCAAUUGUAGAGGGGAAGUACUGUGAUAUGCAGUAGGCCUCAAUUGUAUCAAGUCAGCAGUGUGUAGGCAAGUUGCAAUUCAUUAACAAAGGUCUUGCAAUGAGUUUGAUCAUUUUAAUCAAUGAUUCAGCUAAACCAUUUUGUGUAUGGACAUAUGGAACGGAGUGCUGAACUUCAAUCCACAGGGCCAUGCAAUAAUCAUUGAAAGCACGUGAGGAGAAUUCUGCAGCGUUGUCCAUGCGAAUUGUCUUAAUUUGGCUUUCUGGAUAAUGGGCUUGUAACUUAAUAACUUGCCUCAUUAUCUUGGCAAAUGCAUGGUUUCACGUGGAUAGAAGAUACACGUGUGACCAUCAUGUAGAUGCAUCAAUUAGAACCAUGAAGUACCGGAAAGGUCCAGAUAAUGGUUGGAUGGGACCACAAAUGUCUCCUUGAAUGCGUUCAAGAAAUUGAAGUGGUUCAACUUGUAUUUUGAGGUAGACAGAGUACAGCUUAUAUAUGUCUUGAAGAGAUGCGUCGCACAAGUCGCGACGGUUCGUACAGGCGCAUCCUAGAGAUGCGUCGGUUGGUGCUAAGUAACCGCUGUGCAGUUAAACAAGAGGAGAUUUUCCCUAACUAAUACUUCCUCCUUUCCAUUAUGUAAGGUGUAUUAUUUUCAGCAUGGUGACCAAGGCACAAAAUUAUAGACAUGUUAGGACUGAAUUACCCUUGGCAAAUUUGUUAAUUAGUGAUAAGUAAAUCAAUUAGUCCAGGAAAGUAAGAGAUGCAUGCAAUCGACAGAGAGAUACUUUCCUUAUUUUGCCAAAGGAGAGAUAUAGACAAUCAGGAGAGGGAUACUUUCCAUUUUUAUACAGGGCUAACAAGGGAAGAAGAAAUGCACCUGCAAAUUAAUCACAGCAGCAAUCACUCUCUGCUCCCAACCUGGCUGGGGGUGGCAACAAGGUGGGUCUCGGACUCCAACUCCUGGCCCGGUGGAUCUCGUCCUCGCGCCUGACCGUGUUGUGACGAACGAGGGGCAGAUGCCUCUGAGCAUGUUUGGUAUGCCGCGUCCUCGAGCACUCAAACAGUGCAUGGGAGCACCGGCUGCAGUCUAUGUGCCCCCUUAUAAAAAAGGAGAAAGAUUGCACAUAUCUCUCUUUUUCUAAAGAUUUAUCACAAGUACAGAGCACCCCUAGAAUGGAGAAAAAUGACUCUCAACACUAAGCCAAGAGAUCAUCUAAAAGAUAAGAGAAGUUGUAAAAUUGUUUCUCUCUUUCAAUCUGCGCCUGAAACAAAACUACGGCUGCAGAGGAAGAGCUCCGUAAUGAGGUCUGCUUGUUGUAGGGGCAGAUUGAGUACUCAUAGCAAUUCCAGUUGUAAAUAUGCUUUCGACAAGCAAAUGGAAACAAAACAAACUAAAAUAACACUCAAAACAUCAGAUGCAUGCCAGAAAAGAAGGAACAGGCAGGGCAACAGAUCAAAAAUAGACGAUAAUAUUUCUUAAGCCAAAUAUCCAGCCUUGGAAGGAAAGCAUAUAAUUAUCCUCAUGUUACAAGGGUUGGCAUCCCCCAAAUAUCACAACAACCCAGACAUAUCAGGAACCAAAAGACCCUAUCAUCCCAACAGACUGGUGCAGUGAUACAAGGUUAAGCUUUCUCCUCGUUCACCUACUUGGAUCGCUGCCUCAUCUUUCGGCGCUUCCUCUUGAGCCUCCUCAUCCUCUUCUUCUUCCACUGCAAAGUAAAGUAGCCGCACAGUUCAUUAACACUAGAAAUAUUCCAGGAAAUGCUUAGGAACACAACAAUAAUUCCAAUAUGAAAACUGAGAUAUAGUACUAUGUGACUUGGAAUCAGAAGAUUGAGUGUUUCAUUGGAUAUCAUCACAUGAUUUUCAGAAACACGGACCAAUUGUUCUUCAUCAUAUCCCAAACUGAAGUCAAUUUCAAAGGCAAAUAGGAAAAAACUAUGAUAAGAUAUCUGAAGAACCAGCUAAGCAAAGUAUAGAAUCACAGUCGGUUUGACAUUCAGAAUGAGUAGGAGGAUUUUAUCAUCAAAUAGAUCAGACGCCAAUUGUCUUCCUCAUCAUGCCAACCGACGCAAUUGUUUAUACAAAAAAAAGUAGGGAGAAUGAGCACUCUAGGAGAUGCAUAGGAACAUAACAACAAUUCAAUCAUGAAAAUGGAAAGAUAGUUCAUGUGAUUUAGAAUCAGAAGAUUUGAGUGUUUCAUUGGUUAUCAUCACAUGAUUUUCAGAAACACGGACCAAUUGUUCUUCAUCAUAUCCCAAACUAAAGCUGAUUUCAAAGGCAAAUAGGAAACAACUAUGCUAAGAUAUCUAAAGAACUACUUAAGCAAAGCAGAGAUCUGCAUUCGGUUUGACAUUCAGAAUGAGUAGGAGGAUUUUAUCAUCAAAUAGAUCAGACAGCAAUUGUCUUCCUCAUCAUGCCAACCACACAAUUAUACACAAAACAAACAGCGGGAGAAAACGAGCUAAGCAAUCAGCGUUCUCUCAGACAAAUGCCUCGAUUGUCCACAUGGUGUAAUAGAAUGGAUUACAUCAGACUCGUCAUCUGUUUUAAUCAUCACAGAGAACAAACACAACACUAACAACAUUGUACCGAACACCAGCAGUCAAGCAAAUCUAAUGAAGACACAUGCAGAAAUUGCGUCAAAGAAAGAAGAAGACAAAGUUAGGGGGCAUUGACAAGUAUUCUCUCAGACAAAUGCCUCGAUUGUCCACACGGUGUAAUAGAAUGGAUUACAUCAGACUCGUCAUCUGUUUUCAUCAUCAUAGAGAACAAUAGCCCAGUUGACUUGAGUGACACAGGCGGCCAAACAAAUCUAACCUUAUCCUACAUCUACACAGCAGCAAUCACAAAAUUAAAAGCUUGAAAAAAACCAGAGUUCUCUCAGACAAAUGCCUCGUGUUGUCCCCACGGUUGAAUGGAAUGGAUUGUAUCGGACAUCUAAUCAGUGUUGAUCAUCACGGAGAACCACAAACAAAAAAAAUCCCAUCAAUGCAAAACGCAUCUAGACUCAAAACGAACAAGCUGCAUCUACAAAAUCCAAUGUUCUCUCAGACAAAUGCCUCGAUUGUCCACAUGGUUUAUAGAAUGGAUUGCAUCGGACUCGUCAUCUGUUUUCAUCAUCACAGAGAACCGCAAACACGCAACUACAACUACCGAGCGCGCGCGCUACCGAGAGAACCACUAGAUCACAUCGAGCAGUCGGUUCAAAAGGUAGAGAUGAAUCGGGAACGAACCUUGGCCCUCAUCGCGGAGGUGGCGGCGGCGGCGCAGCAGGCGGACUGGGUCUCGGUAUCUGCUUGCUGCGGCGGCGGCGGAGGUGUACGAGGAUGGCUCUCGCGUGGUACUUAUAGAGGUCGGAAAGGAACCCUAACCCAGGAGGGAUGGACGGCUCAGAUCGAGAUGCGCUGAGUUGGGCCUUGACUCUUUGGCCCAUAUGUAUUUGUAAGAGAUGAUGAUUAGAAUUUUUGGGAGCAACUUUCCUUGGGCCACAGGAGCCUGUUUGGGACUACUUCGCUCCUUAAAAUUUAGUUUCGCUCUAGAAAAUGCAAGCCAAAUGAGGUAGCUCCACGAUAUACCGCUUCGUAAAAAAACUAGAAUCUGAGAGUGUGUCGUGCAUCCAGCCGUCGCCAUGUGUCGCGUGUUGUGCGCAUCUUUGGGAUUUUAUUUUUUAUUUUUACACAUGUUUUUGGAUUUUAUAUGGUUUUUUGUGCUUUUGCUUGGCUUCCUCUUUAUUUUGGCAUAUUUUUUUUCAGAAAGCAACACAUUUGGGCGAGGAGCACAACAUGUGCUUCUCCGAGAAGCACAGUUGUGCUUCCUAGAAAAUAAACACGGUCAUGAAAAGUACAACCUUGCUUUCAUGAGAAAUACAACCUUGCUUCCAGAGAAGAAUAUUUGUGCUUCCCAAAAAUGAAAAAUAGAGCAAUGCUUCCUUGAAAAAGGGAAAAGCACAGUUUGUGCUUCUGCGUGAGAACUACACAUUAUGCUUCCCCGAAUAAAGGGAAAAUCACAGCUUGUCCUUCUGCGUGAGAAGCACACAUUGCCCUUCUCCGAAAAAAGGGAAAAGAAAAGCCUGUGCUUCCUAAAAAAGACUAAAAUGAAACUAUGCUUCCGGGCUUCGGUUUUUAUUCCUUUGGGGGGCUUUAUUACCGUUUUUCUUUCAGUUUCCUUCUUUUUCUUGCUUUUCUUUUUUCGUACAAAAAUUCAUUGAAACAUUGACCUGGGAUCUAGUUUUGAAUCUCAACAUGAGAAAUUCAACGGUGAAAACGGUUCGGGAUUUGGACCCAUGGUUCAAAAGAUGAACUAUUUUGAAGAAACAAAUCUAUUAAAAAAACUCCUAGAUUGCGAGAAGUGACGUAUUGGGUCUCCGUAUCUGCUUGGUGCAGCGGCGGAGGUGUACGAGGAUGGCUCCCGUGUGGUACUUAUUAGAGGUCGUAAAGGAACCCUAACCAAGAGGGGUGGACGGCUCAGAUCGAGAUGCGCUGAGUUGGGCCUUAACUCUUUGGCCCAUAUGUAUUUGUAAGAGAUGAUGACCAGAAUACUUGGGAGCAACUUUCCUUGGGCCACAGGGGCCUGUAUGGGACUACUUCGCUCCUUAAAAUUUAGCCCCGCUUUCGAAAACGCAAGCCAAAUGGAUAGCUCCAUGAUAUACCGCUCCGUAAAAAAAACUAGAAUUUGAGAGUGUGUCGUGCAUCCAACCGCCGCCACGUGUCGCGUGUUGUGCGCAUAUUUGGGAUUUUAUUUUUUAUUUUUGCACAUGUUUUUGGAUUUUAUAUGGUUUUUUGGGCUUUUGCUUGGCUUCCUCUUUAUUUUGGCAUUUUUUUCCAGAAAGCAACGCAUUUGGGCGAGGAGCACAACAUGUGCUUCUCCGAGAAGCGCAGUUGUGCUUCCUAGAAAAUAAACACGGUCAUGAAAAGUGCAGCCUUGCUUCCGCGAGAAGAAUAUUUAUGCUUCCAAAAAAUGAAAAUUAGAGUAAUGCUUCCUUGAAAAAGGGAAAAGCACAGUUUGUGCUUCUGUGUGAGAACCACACAUUAUGCUUCUCCGAAAAAAGGGAAAAGCACAGAUUGUCCUUUUGCGUGAGAAGCACACAUUGCGCUUCUCCGAAAAAAGGGAAAAGAAAAGCCCGUGCUUCCUAAAAAAGGCUAAACUGAAACUAUGCUUCUGGGCUUCGGUUUUUAUUCCUUUUUGGGUUUUUAUUACCGUUUUUCUUUCAGUUUCCUACUUUUUCUUGGUUUUCUUUUUUUCGAAAAAAAGGUUUGUUGAAACAUUGACAUGGGAUCUAGUUUUGAAUCUGGAGGCAAGAAAUUCAACGGUGAAAACGGUUUGGGUUUGGAUGCAUGGUUCAAAAGAUGAACUAUUUUGAAAAAACAAAUCUAUAAAAAAAACUCCUAGAUUGUGAGAAGUGACAUACAUGGACUGCGGCUCUAGUUAGCAUCAUAGAAGGUAGAGAAUGACCUUUGAAAUGGGUACCUUUUAAUUAGUGAUUUUGAGAAUUUUGUAUCCUAUUGUUCAUACCUUCGUUUUGUUUACCCUGCAUUUGGUCCAUGUUCAUUUUAUAAGUCGUAUUUUGGCUUAUCAUAGAAAUUGUUUUUAAGAUACUUUUUUGAGUUUUUUUCAAGAUAUUAGUGAUCAUGCAAUUACGGGUGGACAUAUUAGAGCACCUAUAACCAUAACGCCACUUCCCCCUGAUGUCCAGACGAACAACUUGGACAUUGCCCGGAUCCAAAAACGCUACCCGACCGGGCCCCCCAAAGCCAACUUGUACGUUCGGGCUGUCUGGCAUCCCUCAUAUCCAACCUAUGUGUGACGGAUUUGAGCCUGCCUAGACGCACUCGCAUGUUGGACCAACAUGCAGGACCCCGUGCAGAAAUGCGUCGGUCUGCCCCGAGGCUUAAUAGUUUGUUGUUCGCAUUCAUGGCACCACUUCGGCGUGUCGUGUGAGAGGUCAAGCUCUGUCUAUUAAGUGAGACAAACCCUAGGCACCCUCACACCACCUCCCCCGGUCUGGGUAUUCACACCGUGUGCACGGCCACAUCCCGUCCGUGCCCGAGCUUGUCAUGUGAAAGGGUGUGCACAAAGAUCACAUACUACAAGCUUUUGCCGUCAGAUCGUCGCCCUCAGAUCGUGGCAGUGGUUCGUCUGCAUUGGCCAGGCAUGUAGCCUGCAUAGCGGACGCCCUUUCUCUGACCUCGGAUGAGGACGGGGAUUUAUGCUCGAAUGUGGCUAGGUGAUACAUCACCGUCGUAUCUAUAAUUUUUUAUUGUUUCAUGACAAUGUUUUACAACUUUCAUAUACUUUUGGCAACAUUUUAUAUCAUUUUUUGGAACUAACAUACUGAUCCAAUGCCAGUUCCUAUUUGUUGCAUGUUUUUUGUUUCGCAGAAAAUCCAUAUCAAACGGAGUCCAAACGCGAUAAAAAUUUAUGGAGAUUUUUUUUCGAAUAUAUGUGAUUUUUAGGAAGCGGAAUCAAAGCAAGACGAUGCCAGAGGGGCCCACAAGCCCUUGAGGCGCGCCCCCCUAACCAGGGCGCGGCCAAUGGACUUGUGGCCACCCCGAAGGUCGGUUGGAGGUGUCCUUUGGUCGCAUGGAAGCUUAUAUCCGGAUAAAAAAAACGUGUUAAUAUUUCAGCCCAAUCGGAGUUACGGAUCUCUGGAUAUUUAAGAAACGGUGAAAGGCCAGAAUCUGGGUCACGAAACAGAAGGGAGAGAGAGAGAGAGAGAGAGAGAGAGAGAGAGAGAGAUCCAAUUUCGGAGGGGCUCUCGCCCCUCCACCGCCCGCCGCCAUGGAGGCCAUGAACCAGAGGGGAAACCCUCCUCCCAUCUAGGGGAGAGGUCAAGGAAGAAGAAGGAGGAGGGGGCUCUCUCCCCUCACUCCCGGUGGCACCGGAACGCCGUCGGGGCAAUCAUCGUGUGACGGCAAUCUACACCAACACAUGUGUCAUCUUCCCCAACAUCUUCAUCACCUUCCCCCAUCUAUACAUUCAGCGGUCUAAUACGUCUCCAACGUAUCUAUAAUUUUUUACUGUUUCAUGCUAUUAUAUUAUCUGUUUUGGAUGUUUUAUAUGCAUUAAUAUGUUAUUUCAUAUUAUUUUUGGGACUAACCUAUUAACCUGGACCCCAAUGCCAGUUUCUGUUUUUUCCUUGUUUUCGAGCUUCGCACAAAAGGAAUACUAAACGGAGUCCAAACGGAAGAAAACUUCACGAUGAUUUUUCUUGGACUAGAAGACACCCAGGAAGACCCACGAGGCGACGACAAGGGUGGAGGGCGCGCCCAGGGGGUAGGGCGCGCCCCCUACCUUGUGGGACCCUCGGUGAUCCCCUGACCUAGAUCUUCCUUCUAUAUAUUUGUAAAUAUUCCCAAACCACCAGAAGCAUCCAUGAAAACACUUUUUCACCGCCACAACCUUUGAAGGAAAUAUGCCCUAGAGGCAAUAAUAAAGUUAUCAUUUAUUUCCUUAUUUCAUGAUAAUGUCUAUUAUUCAUGCUAGAAUUGUAUUAACCGGAAACAUAAUACAUGUGUGAAUACAUAGACAAACUGAGUGUCACUAGUAUGCCUCUACUUGACUAGCUCAUUAAUCAAAGAUGGUUAUGUUUCCUAGCCAUGGACAAAGAGUUGUCAUUUGAUUAACGGGAUCACAUCAUUGGAGAAUGAUGUGAUUGACUUGACCCAUUCCGUUAGCUUAGCCCUUGAUCAUUUAGUAUGUUGCUAUUGCUUUCUUCAUGACUUAUGCAUGUUCCUAUGACUAUGAGAUUAUGCAACUCCCGUUUACCGGAGGAACACUUUGUGUGCUACCAAACAUCACAACAUAACUGGGUGAUUAUAAAGGUGCUCUACAGGUGUCUCCAAAGGUACUUGUUGGGUUGGCGUAUUUCGAGAUUAGGAUUUGUCACUCCGAUUGUCGGAGAGGUAUCUCUGGGCCCACUCGGUAAUGCACAUCACUAUAAGCCUUGCAAGCAUUGUAACUAAUGAGUUAGUUGUGGGAUGGUGUAUUACGGAACGAGUAAAGAGACUUGCCGGUAACGAGAUUGAACUAGGUAUUAAGAUAUCGACGAUCGAAUCUCGGGCAAGUAACAUACCGAUGAUAAAGGGAACAACGUAUGUUGUUAUGUGGUUUGACCGAUAAAGAUCUUCGUAGAAUAUGUGGGAGCCAAUAUGAGCAUCCAGAUUCCGCUAUUGGUUAUUGACCAGAGACGUGUCUCGGUCAUGUCUACAUAGUUCUCGAACCCGUAGGGUCCGCACGCUUAAAGUUCGAUGACGGUUAUAUUAUGAGUUUAUGCGUUUUGAUGUACAGAAGGUAGUCCAGAGUCGCGGAUGAGAUCGGGGACAUGACUAGGAGUCUCGAAAUGGUCGAUAGGUAAAGAUCGCUAUAUUGGACGACUAUAUUCGGACUUCGGAAAGGUUCCGAGUGAUUCGGGUAUUUUGCGGAGUACCGUAGAGUUACGGGAAUUCGUAGUGGGCCUUAAUGGGCCAUACGGGAAAGGAGAGAAAGGCAUCAAAGGGUGGCCGCACCCCUCCCCAUGGACUGGUCCGAAUUGGACUAGGGAGGGGGCACCCCCUUCCUUCCUUCUCCUUCUCCCUUCCCUUUCUCCUACUCCAACUUGGAAGGGGGGAAUCCUACUCCCGGUGGGAGUAGGACUCCCCUAUGGCGCGCCCAAGAGAGGGCCGGCCCUCCCCUCCUCUACUCCUUUAUAUACGGGGGAGGGAGCACCCCAUGGAGACACAAAAAUCGAUCCCUUGGAUCUCUUAGCCGUGUGCGGUGCCCCCUCCACCAUAAUCCACCUCGAUAAUAUCGUAGCGGUGCUUAGGCGAAGCCCUGCAUCGGUAGAACAUCAUCAUCGUCACCAUGCCGUCGUGCUGACGGAACUCUCCCUCAAAGCUCGGCUGGAUCAGAGUUCGAGGGACGUCAUCGAGUUGAACGUGUGCUGAACUCGGAGGUGCCGUGCGUUCGGUACUUGAUCGGUCAGAUCAUGAAGACGUACGACUACAUCAAACGCGUUGUGCUAAUGCUUCCGCUUUCGGUCUACAAGGGUACGUGGACACACUCUCCCCUCUCGUUGCUAUGCAUCACCAUGAUCCUGUGUGUGCGUAGGAUUUUUUUUUGAAAUUACUACGUUACCCAACAGUGGCAUCAGAGCCUGGUUUUAUGCGUAGAUGUUAUAUGCAUGAGUAGAACACAAGUGAGUUGUGGGCGAUACAAGUCAUACUGCUUACCAUCAUGUCAUACUUUGGUUCGGCGGUAUUGUUGGAUGAAGCGGUCCGGACCGACCUUACGCGUACGCUUACGCGAGACUGGUUCUACCAACGUGCUUUGCGCAUAGGUGGCUGGCGGGUGUCAGUUUCUCCAAACUUUAGUUGAACUGAGUGUGGCUACGCCUGGUCCUUGAGAAGGUUAAAACAUCACUAACUUGACAAACUAUCGUCGUGGUUUUGAUGCGUAGGUAAGAACGAUUCUUGCUCAGCCCAUAGCAGCCACGUAAAACUUGCAACAACAAAGUAGAGGACGUCUAACUUGUUUUUGCAGGGCAUGUUGUGAUGUGAUAUGGUCAAGACGUGAUGCUAUAUUUUAUUGUAUGAGAUGAUCAUGUUUUGUAACCAAGUUAUCGGCAACUGGCAGGAGCCAUAUGGUUGUCGCUUUAUUGUAUGCAAUGCAAUCGCCCUGUAAUUGCUUUACUUUAUCACUGAGCGGUAGCGAUAGUCGUAGAAGCAAUAGUCGGCAAGACAGCAACGAUGCUACGAUGGAGAUAAGGGUGUCGCACCGGUGACAAUGGUGGUCAUGACGAUGCUUCGGAGAUGGAGAUCACAAGCACAAGAUGAUGAUGGCCAUAUCAUAUCACUUAUAUUGAUUGCAUGUGAUGCUUAUCCUUUAUGCAUCUUAUUUUGCUUGAUUGACGGUAGCAUUAUAAGAUGAUCUCUCACUAAAUUUCAAGGUAUAAGUGUUCUCCCUGAGUAUGCACCGUUGCCAAAGUUCGUCGUGCCCAGACACCAUGUGAUGAUCGAGUGUGAUAAGCUCUACGUCCAUCUACAACGGGUGCAAGCCAGUUUUGCACACGCAGAAUACUCAGGUUAAACUUGACGAGCCUAGCAUAUGCAGAUAUGGCCUCGGAACACUGAGACCGAAAGGUCGAGCGUGAAUCAUAUAGUAGAUAUGAUCAACAUUGUGAUGUUCACCAUUGAAAACUAAUCCAUUUCACGUGAUGAUCGGUUAUGGUUUAGUUGAUUUGGAUCACGUGAUCACUUAGAUGAUUAGAGGGAUGUCUAUCUAAGUGGGAGUUCUUAAAGUAAUAUGAUUAAUUGAACUUUAAUUUAUCAUGAACUUAGUCCUGAUAGUAUUUUGCAUGUCUAUGUUGUUGUAGAUCAAUAGCUUGCAUUAUUGCUUCCCUAUAUUUUUAUAUAUGUUCCUAGAGAAAACUAUGUUGAAAAAUGAUAGUGGCAAUGAUACAGACUAGGUCCAUGAUCUGAGGUGUAUCCUCAUUGCUGCACAGAAGAAUUAUGUCCUUGAUGCACCGCUAGGUGACAGACCUAUUGCAGGAGCAGAUGCAGACGUUAUGAAUGUUUGGCUAGCUCAAUAUGAUGACUACCUGAUAGUUUAGUGCACCAUGCUUAACGGCUUAGAAUAGGGACUUCAAAGACGUUUUGAACGUCAUGGACCAUAUGAGAUGUUCCAGGAGUUGAAGUUAAUAUUUCAAGCAAAUACCCGAGUUGGGAGAUAUGAAGUCUCCAACAAGUUCUAUAGCUAAAAGAUGGAGUAGAGUUGCUCAACUAGUGAGCAAGUGCUUAGAUUGUCUAAGUACUACAAUCGCUUGAAUCAUGUGGGCGUUAAUCUUCCAGAUAAGAUAGUGAUUGGUAGAGUUCUCUAGUCACCAUCACCAAGUUACUGGAACUUCAUGAUGAACUAUAAUGCAAGGGAUGACAAAAAUGAUUCCCGAGCUCUUCGUGAUGCUGAAAUCGACGAUGGUAGAAAUCAAGAAAAGAGCAUCAAGUGUUGAUGAUUGAUAAGACCACUAGUUUCAAGAAAAGGGCAAAGGAAAAGAAAGGGAACUUCAAGUAGAAUGGCAAGCAAGUUGUCACUCCCGUGAAGAAGCCCAAAGCUGGACCAAAGCCUGAAACUAAGUGCUUCUACUGCAAAGGAAAUGGUCACUGGAAGCAGAAAUGCCCUGAAUAUUUGGUGGAUAAGAAGGAUGGCAAAGUGAACAAGGGUAUAUUUGAUAUACAAGUUAUUUAUGUGUACCUUACUAGUGUUUAUAGUAGGCCCUGAGUAUUUGAUACUUGUUCGGUUGCUAAGAUUAGUAACUCGAAAUAGGAGUUAUAGAAUAAACAGAGACUAGUUGAGGGUGAAGUAACGAUGUGUGUUGGAAGUGGUUCCAAGAUUGAUAUGAUCAUCAUCGUACACUCCCUAUAAUUUCGAGAUUAGUGUUGAACCUAAAUAAAUGUUAUUUGGUGUUUGCGUUGAGCAUAAAUAUGAUUAGAUCAUGUUUAUUGCGACACGAUUAUUCAUCUAAGACAGAGAAUAAAUUUUUAUUUUGUUUACACGAAUAAAACCUUCUAUGGUCAUACACCCAAUGUUGAUGGUUUAUUGAAUCUUGAUCAUGGUGAUACACAUAUAAUAUUGAUGCCAAAAGAUGCAAAGUUGAUAAUGAUAGUGCAACAUAUUUGUGGCACUGCCGUUUGGGUCAUAUCAGUGUAAAGCGCAUGAAGAAACUCCAUAAAGAUGGAUUCUUUGAAUCAUUUGAUUAUGAAUCAUUUGAUGCUUGCGAACCGUGCCUUAUGGGCAAGAUGACUAAAACUCCGUUCUCCGGAACAAUGGAACAAGCUAGUGACUUAUCAGAAAUAAUACAUAUUGAUGUAUGCGAUCCAAUGAGUAUUGAUGCUCGUGGCGGGUAUCGUUAUUUUCUGACCUUCACAAGAUGAUUUGAGCAGAUAUGAGUAUAUCUACUUAAUGAAACACAAGUCUGAAACAUUUGAAAAGUUCAAAGAAUUUCAGAGUGAAGUGGAGAAUCAUCGUAACAAGGAAAUAAAGUUUCUACGAUCUGAUCAUGGAGGAGAAUAUUUGAGUUACGAGUUUGGCCUUCAUAUAAAACAAUGCGGAAUAGUUUCACAGUUCACACCACCUGGAACACCACAACAUUAUGGUGUGUCCGAAUGUCAUAACCGCACUUUAUUGGAUAUUGUGCGACGUAUGAUGUCUCUUAUCGGUUUACCACUAUCGUUCUGGGGUUAUGCAUUAGAGACAGUUGCAUUCACUUUAAAUAGGGCACCAUCGAAAUCCAUUGAGAUGACGGCUUAUGAACUAUGGUCUGGCAAGAAACUAAAGUUGUCGUUUCUUAAGGUUUGGGGCUGCGAUGCUUAUGUGAAAAAGUUUCAACCUGAUAAGCUCGAACCUAAAUCGGAGAAGUGCGUCUUCAUAGAAUACCCAAAGGAAACUGUUGGGUAGACCUAUUCGAAGGCAAGAUAUUCGUUGCUAAGAUGGAUCCUUUCUAGAGAAGGAGUUUCUAUUGAAAGAAGUGAGUGGGAGGAAAGUAGAACUUGAUGAGGUAAUUGUACCUUCUCCCUUAUUGGAAAGUAGUUCAUCACAGAAGACAGUUCCAGUGAUUCCUACACCAAUUAGUGAGGAAGUUAAUGAUGAUGAUCAUGAAACUUCAGAUCAAGUUGCUACCGAACCUCGUAGGUCUUCCAGAAUAAGAUCCGCACCAGAGUGGUACGGUAAUCUUGUUCUGGAAGUCAUGUUACUAGACCAUGAUGAACCUACGAACUAUGAGGAAGCGAUGAUGAGCCUAGAUUCCGCGAAAUGGCUUGAGGCCAUGAAAUCUGAGAUGGGAUCCAUGUAUGAGAACAAAGUGUGGAAUUUGGUUGACUUGCUCGAUGAUCAGCAAGCCAAGUUAAAUAAAUGGAUCUUCAAGAGGAAGAUGGACACUGAUAGUAGUGUUACUAUCUACAAAGCUCGACUUGUUGCGAAAGGAUUUUGACAAGUUCAAAGUGUUGAAUACGAUGAGAUUUUCUCACUCGUAAUGAUGCUUAAGUCUGUCUGAAUCAUGUUAGCAAUUGCCACAUUUUAUGAAAUCUGGCAAAUGGAUGUCAAAAUUGCAUUCCUUAAAUAGAUAUUUCUUAAAGAAGUGUUGUAUAUGAUACAACCAAAAGGUUUUGUCAAUCCUAAAGGUGCUAACAAAAUGUGCAAGCUCCAGCGAUCCAUCAAUGGACUGGUGCAAGCAUCUCGGAGUUGGAAUAUACGCUUUGAUGAAUUGAUCAAAGCAUAUGGUUUUAUACAGACUUUUGGAAAGACCUGUAUUUACAAGAAAGUGAGUGGGAGCACUACAGCCUUUCUGAUAAGUAUAUGUGAAUGACAUAUUGUUGAUCAGAAAUAAUGUAGAACUUUCUAGAAAGCAUAAAGGAGUGUUUGAAAGGAGUUUUUUAAAAGAAAGACCUCGGUGAAGCUGCUUGCAUAUUGAGCAUCAAGAUCUAUUGAGAUAGAUCAAGACGCUUGAUAAGAUUUUUCAAUGAGUACAUACCUUGAUAAGAUUUUGAAGUAGUUCAAAAUGGAACAGUCAAAGAAAGAGUUCUUGCCUGUGAUGCAAAGGUGUGAAGUUGAGUAAGACUUAAAACCCAACCAAGGCAGAAAAUAGAAAGAGAAUGAAAAGGUCAUUCUCUAUGCCUCAGUCAUAGGUUCUAUAAAGUAUGCUAUGUUGUGUACCAAAAUUGUUGUAUACCUUGCUCUGAGUUUGGCAAAGGAAUACAAUUUUGAUCUAAGAGUAGAUCACUGGACAGCGGUCAUGAAUAUCCUUAGUAAGGACCAAGGAGAUGUUUCUCGAUUAUGGAGGUGAUAAAAGAGUUCGUCGUAAAGAGUUACAUCGAUGCAAGCUUUUACACCGAUCCAGAUGACUCUAAGUCUCAAUCUGGAUACAUAUUGAAAGUGGGAGCAAUUAGCUAGAGUAGCUCCGUGCAGAGCAUUAUAGACAUAGAAUAUUUGCAAAAUACAUACGACUCUGAAUGUGACAGACCCGUUGACUAAACUUCUCUCACAAGCAAAACAUGAUCAUACCUUAGUACUCUUUGGGUGUUAAUCACAUAGCGAUGUGAACUAGAUUAUUGACUCUAGUGAACCCUUCGAGUGUUGGUCACAUGACGAUGUGAACUAUGGGUGUUAAUCACAUACUGAUGUGAAUAUUGGUGUUGAAUCACAUGAUGAUGUGAACUAGAUUAUUGACUCUAGUGCAAGUGGGAGACUGAAGGAAAUAUGCCCUAGAGGCAAUAAUAAAGUUAUUAUUUAUUUCCUUAUUUCAUGAUAAAUGUUUAUUAUUCAUGCUAGAAUUGUAUUAACCGGAAACAUGAUACAUGUGUGAAUACAUAGACAAACUGAGUGUCACUAGUAUGCCUCUACUUGACUAGCUCAUUAAUCAGAUAUGGUUAUGUUUCCUAGCCAUGGACAAAGAGUUGUCAUUUGAUUAAGGGAUCACUUCAUUGGAGAAUGAUGUGAUUGACUUGACCCAUUCCGUUAGCUUACCACUUGAUCGCUUAGUAUGUUGAUAUUGCUUCCUUCAUGACUUAUACAUGUUCCUAUGACUAUGAGAUUAUGCAACUCCCGUUUACCAGAGGAACACUUUGUGUGCUACCAAAUGUCACAACGUAACUGGGUGAUUAUAAAGGUGCUCUACAGGUGUCUCUGAAGGUACUUGUUGGGUUGGCGUAUUUCGAGAUUAGGAUUUGUCACUCCGAUUGUCAGAGAGGUAUCUCUGGGCAAACUCGGUAAUGCACAUCACUAUAAGACUUACAAGCAUUGUAACUAAUGAGUUAGUUGUGGGAUGGUGUAUUACGGAACGAGUAAAGAGACUUGCCGGUAACAAGAUUGAACUAGGUAUUGAGAUACCGACGAUCGAAUCUCGGGCAAGUAACAUACCGAUGACAAAGGGAACAACGUAUGUUGUUAUGUGGUUUGACCGAUAAAGAUCUUCGUAGAAUAUGUGGGAGCCAAUAUGAGCAUCCAGAUUCCGCUAUUGGUUAUUGACUAGAGACGUGUCUCGGUCAUGUCUACAUAGUUCUCGAACCCAUAGGGUCUGCACGCUUAAAGUUCGAUGAUGGUUAUAUUAUGAGUUUAUGUGUUUUGAUGUACCGAAGGUAGUCCAGAGUCCCGAAUGAGAUCGGGGACAUGACUAGGAGUCUCGAAAUGGUCAAAACGUAAAGAUCGAUAUAUUGUACGACUAUAUUCGGACUUCGGAAAGGUUCCGAGUGAUUCGGGUAUUUUGCGGAGUACCAGAGAGUUACGGGAAUUCGUAGUGGGCCUUAAUGGGCCAUACGAGAAAGGAGAAAAAGGCCUCAAAAGGUGGCCGCACCCCUCCCCAUGGACUGGUCCGAAUUGGACUAGGGAGGGGGGCGUCCCCUUCCUUCCUUCUCCUUCUGCCUUCCCUUUCUCCUACUCCAACUUGGAAGGGGGGGGGGAAUCCUACUCCCGGUGGGAGUAGGACUCACCUAUGGUGCGCCCAAGAGAGGGCCGUCCCUCCCCUCCUCUACUCCUUUAUAUACGGGGGAGGGGGCACCCCAUGGAGACACAACAAUUGAUCCCUUGGGUCUCUUAGCCGUGUGCGGUGCCCCCUCCACCAUAAUCCACCUCGAUAAUAUCGUAGCAGUGCUUAUGUGAAGCCCUGCGAUGGUAAAACAUCAUCAUCGUCACCACACCGUCGUGCUAACGGAACUCUCCCUCAAAGCUCGGCUGGAUCGGAGUUCGAGGGACGUCAUCGAGUUGAACGUGUGCUGAACUCAGAGGUGUCGUGCGUUCGGUACUUGAUCAGUCAGAUCGUGAAGACGUACGACUACAUCAACCGCGGUGUGCUAAUGCUUCUGCUUUCGGUCUACGAGGAUACGUGGACACACUCUCCCCUCUCAUUGCUAUGCAUCACCAUGAUCCUGUGUGUGCGUAGGAUUUUUUUUGAAAUUACUAUGUUACCCAACAACCUUCUGUUCCCGUGAGAUCCCAUCUUGGGGCCUUUUCCAGCACCCUGCUAGAGGGGUUUUGAUCAUGGAGGGCAUCUACAUUAACUGUAUUGCCCUUCCGAUGAAGCGUGAGUAGUCCACCACAGACCUAUGGGUCCAUAGCUAGUACCUAGAUGGCUUCUUCUAUCUCUUUAAUUCUCAAUACCAUGUUCUCCUCGAUGUUCUUGAAGAUCUCUCUGAUGUAAUCUUAUUUUGUAGUGUGUUUGUCGAGAUCUGAUGGAUUGCGGAUUUAUGAUCAGCGUAUCUAUGAAUAUUAUUUGAAUCUCCUCUGAAUUCUUAUAUGCAUGAUUUGGUAUAUUUGUAUUUCUCUUCAAAUUAUCGAUUUGGUUUGGCCAACUAGAUUGGUUUUUCUUGCAAUGGGAGAGGUGCUUAGCUUUGGGUUCAAUCUUGUGUGAUUUCACCCAGUGACAAAGUAGGGGUAGCGAGACACGUAUUGCAUUGUUGCCAUCGAGGAUAAAAGCAUGGGGUUUACAUUAUUGCUUGAGUUUAUUCCUCUACAUCAUGUCAUCUUACUUAAUGUGUUACUCUGUUAUUUAUGAACUUAAUACUCUAGAUGCAUGCAGGAGUCGGUCGAUGUGUGGAAUAAUAGUAGUAGAUGCAGGCAGGAGUCGGUCUACUUGAUACGGGCGUGAUGUCUAUAUUGCAUAAUCAUUGCCUUGGAUAUCAUCAUAACUUUUCCCUUUUCUAUCGAUUGCUCGACAGUAAUUUGUUCACCCACCAUAUUAUUUGCCUUCAAGAGAGCAGCCUCUAGUGAAACCUAUGGGCCCCGGGUCUAUUUUCCAUCAUAUUAGUUUCCGAUCUACUAUUUUGCAAUCUUUUACUUUCAGAUCUAUAAAUCAAAAACCCAAAAAUAUUUUAUCUUUUGUUUAUCUAUCUCUAUGAGAUCUCGCUUUUGCAAGUGACCGUGAAGGGAUUGACACCCCAUUUCUCGCGUUGGGUCCAAGUGUUUGAUUGUUUGUGCAGGUAUUGGUGAUUUGCGCGUUCUUCUCCUACUGGAUUGAUACCUUGGUUCUCAAACUGAGGGAAAUACUUAUCUCUACCUUGCUGCAUCACCCUUUCCUCUUCAAGGGAAAAACAACGGAAGCUCAAGAAUUAGCACGACCCACUCUCCUGUAGCCCGUUGUACUCUCUACCUGAUCAUGGUGCUUUAUGCUUCAUACUAUUAUCCAAUGAUAUGUUGCCAUCCUAUCAUGCUUGAGUAGAUUUUUGUUGUCCUAUCAGUGAUUGGUGAAUUGCCAUGAUUGGUUUAAUUUGCUUGUGGUUAUUAUGAUGUACUUUAGUGCCCAUCAUACGAGCGCGCGUGUGGAUCACACCAUAGGGUUAAUUCUAUGUUGAUAGGACUAUGUAUUCGAGGGCAAGGGUGACAGCAGCUUCAGCCUAGCAUAGAAAUUGAUGCAUACGAGAUUGAAGGGGGACCAAUAUAUCUUAAUGAUAUGGUUGGGUUUUACCUUAAUGAACAUUAUUAGUUGCGGAUGCUUGCUAAUAAUUCCAAUCAUAAGUGCAUAGAAUUCCAUGUAAAGGAUGACAUGCUAGCAGUGGCCUCUCCCACAUAAAAACUUGCUAUCGGUCUAGUAACAUAGUCAAUUGCUUAGGGACAAUUCCGCAACUCCUACCACCACUUUUCCAGACUUGCUAUACUAACUUAAUUGUUUAUUUAUCUAAAUAGUCCCUAGUUCUUACCUACAUGCUCUUUAUUAUCUUGCAAAACUAUCCCACAACACCUACAAAGUACUUCUAGUUUCAUACUUGUUCUAGGUAAAGCGAACGUCAAACGUGUGUAGAGUUGUAUCAGUGGUUGAUAAAACUUGAGGGAAUAUUUGUUCUACCUUUUAGCUUCUCAUUGGGUUUGACACUCUUACUUAUCGAAAGAGGCUACAACUGAUCCCCUAUACUUAAGGGUUAUCACUAGGCUAUCUCGUUGGUCCCAAUGGUUGACCACACCUGCCCUAGGUUUGCGGUAGUCGUUCCGCCUCAUCAUGGAUGAGAAGCACCUCAUGGUAGAGGUGGAGCUUGAGGCAGAACGAGCAGGCACUAUCGCUCUCACCAAGCUCUGCGUCGACCCGGUCUUCAUUGCUGAAAAUCGCGCCAUCUCGAGUCCAUUAAGGAUGAACAGGUGGUGUCAGGCUAUCAAUGAACCGUUGCACGAUCUUCAUCCAUGAUGGAGAGCAAUAAGAGACCUUUGUGGAUGAGGAUGAGGACGAUGAGGGCGAGCAGGUGCCUCCCACCACUGAGAAAUUAUGUAGGGCCUACUUUCUCUGCAUGUUCCAUAGUCCCUAUCCUCCCCCACUGCCCAAGUACAACAUGCUAGCCCAUGAAUCUUGUUUGACGCCUUACAUGUUUCAAAAAAAGAUUGUCAUGGCAUGCACAAUGAGUGAAUAAUGUCAAUAAACAUGAUGACAUGCCCCAUCUCUUGCCAAGUUGUUGUUGUGCCAAUGGUAGCAUCAAUAAAUGCAUCAAAAGAAAAAGGCAGUUGCCCCCGCUUUGCCCCCAGGGGCGACACGGGCGGAUCCUCAGUCUCGCCGCCACUAAUACCACUCCAACGUAUCUAUAAUUUUUAAUUGUUCCAUGCUAUUAUAUUAUCCAUAUUGGAUGUUUUAUAUGCAUUUAUAUGCUAUUUUAUAUUAUUUUUGGGACUAACCUAUUAACCUAGAGCCCAGUACCAGUUUCUGUUUUCCCCUUGUUUUUGAGUUUUGCAGAAAAGGAAUAUCAAACGGAGUCCAAAGGAGCUAAAAAUUUAUGGUGAUUUUUUAUGGACCAAAAGAAGCCCCCGAAGCAAAAUAGUUGGGCCAGAAGAGUCCCGAGUCAACGACAAGGGUGGAGGGCGCGCCCACCUCCCUAGGGCACCCCCUGCCUUGUCGCUGACUCAUGGACCCCCCUAACGUGAAACCGGCGCAAAAAAUUCCUAUAAAUCCAUAAACCCCCAGAAAGAAAACUAGUUUGGGAGUUCCGCCUCCGCAAGCCUCUGUAGCCACGGAAAACCAAUCAGGCGCCCGUUCCGGCACCCUGCCGGAGGGGGAAUCCAUCACCGGCGGCCAUCUUCAUCAUCCUAGUGCUCUCCGUGACGAGGAGGGAGUAGUUCACCCUCAGGGCUGAGUGUAUGUACCAGUAGAUAUGUGUUUGAUCUCUCUCUCUCUCUCUCUCUCUCUCUCUCUCGUGUUCUUGAUUUGGCACGAUCUUGACGUACCGCGAGCUUUGUUAUUAUAGUUGGAUCUUAUGGUGUUCUUCCCUCUCUACCUUGUGAUGAAUUGAAUCUCUUCCUUUGAGGUUUUGUUAUGUCGGAUUGAAUCUUUGGAUGUGAGAGCACUUGGUGUAUGUCUUGCGAUGGGAUAUCCGUGUUGACAAUGGGAUGUUCUAUUGAUCCACUUCAUGUAUAUUUUGGUUAUCAAAUUGCGGAUUCCUGUGGUGACAUUGGGGUAAUAUAUGCAUAGGGGUUGGUACACGUUUUCAUAUUCCUUUCUCCGAUAGAAAUCUUGGGAUACUUUUGAAGUUCUUUGUGUUGGAUUGAAUAUUAUGAAUCUGAAGUUGUUUGAUGCAUAUCAUAUAAUUGACCCACGAAUACGUGUGGUGACAUUGGAGUAUCUAGAUGACAUUAGGGUUGAUUGAUGUGUGUCAUGUGGUGUUAUUUUAGUAUGAACUCUAGGGCUGUUUGUGGCACUUAUAAGAAUAGCCCAAAGAUCGACCAGAAAGAAUAACUUUGAGGUGGUUUCGUACCCUACAAGCAAUUUCAUCUUAUGUUCUCCGUGAUAGGAGCUUUGGAGUGAUUCUUCGUUGCACGUUGAGGGAUUGUCAUAUGAUCUAAUUAUGUUAUCAUUGUUGAGAGAACUUGCACUAGUGAAAGUAUGAACCCUAGGCCUUGUUUCCAAGCAUUGCAAUACCGUUUUUGCUCACUUUUAUUACUAACCUUGCGGUUUUUUAUUUUCAUAUUACAAAGACCUAUAUCUACCAUCCAUAUUGCACUAGUAUCACCAUCUCUUCUCCGAACUAGUGCACAUAUACAAUUUACCAUUGUAUUGGGUGUGUUGGGACACAAGAGACUCUCUGUUAUUUGAUUGCAGGGUUGUUUGAGAGAGACCAUAUUCAUAAUAUGCCUCCCACGGAUUGAUAAACCUUAGGUAAUCCUCUUGAGGGAAAUUUGCUACUGUCCUACAAAACUCUGUGCUUGGAGGCCCAACACGAGUCUACAAGAAGUAGGUUGCGUAGUACUCCCUCCGUUCCUAAAUAUAAGUCUUUGGAGAGAUUCCACUAUGAACCACAUACGAAUGUAUAUAGAUGCAUUUUAGAGUGUAGAUUCACUCAUUUUGCUUCGUAUGUAGUCCAUAGUGAAAUCUCUACAAAGACUUAUAUUUAGGAACGGAGGGAAUAGACACCAAGCUCUUUUCUAGCGCCAUUGCUAGGGAGGUGAGUGCUUGAAGGUAUAUCUUGAGAUCUUGUAAUCGAAUCUUUUCGUUUCUUGUUUUAUCACUAGUUUAAUCUAUAAAAGAAAACUAAAAAAUUGAAUUAAGGUUGCCUCACAUGCUUCAUCUUUUUAAUGUCUUUCAUGAAAAUGAUGGAAUGGAAAAUUGUGCUCAAGUGUUAGAGGAAGAAGUCAAUAGAUUGUUUGGCACUAAAUCUUUGUAUGAUGAGCAUGAUUGCAAUGUUGUUAGUAUGAGUUCCUUGAAUAUCCAUGAUGCUAACGAUAUGCAAAGCUACAAGCUUGGGGAUGCUAUGUUUGAUGAAUAUGAUAUUUUUAGUCCCCCAAGUUUUGAUGAGAAUAUUUAUUAUGAUGAAAGCAUGACUCCUAUUUAUGAUGAUUAUAUUGAUGAAAGUGGGUUUGGAAGAGUGUCAACUUUAGUAAGUAAUGAUCCCACUAUUUUGGAGGGUGUUGAAUCUUAUUAUAAUGAUAAAAGUGGAUUUGGAGAGGCCAUGACUUUAUUUAGUGAUGAAUCCACUAUUUCGGAAGAGGUUCCAAUUGAUUAUGAGAACAAAAGUUGCUAUAUAUGAUGAUUAUUGUGAUGACAUGUAUGCUAUAAAGAAUGAUGAUAAUCAUGAAACUUGUCAUCUUGAUUUUAAUUUUCAAUUGGAUUAUGCCUCACAUGAUAGUUAUUUUGUUGAGUUUGCUCCCACUACUAUUGAUGAGAAGAAAUUUGCUUAUGUGGAGAGUAAUAAAAUAUCUAUGCUUGUAGAUCAUGAAAAGAAUGAUCUGUGUGGUGGUUAUAUUGUUGAGUUCAUUCAUGAUGCCACUAAAAAUUAUUAUGAGGGAGGAAUAUAUGCUUGUAAGAAUUGCGGUAAUAUCAACUUUCCUCUCUAUGUGUUGAAAUUCUUAAAGUUAUGCUUGUUUUGCCUUCCUAUGCUAGUUGAUUCUUGCUCCCAUAAAUUGUUUGCUCACAAAAUCCCUAUGCAUAGGAAGUGGGUGGGACUUAAAUGUGCUAGUCAUAUGCUUCACGAUGCUCCUGUUAUGUUUCAAUUCUUAUCUUUCAUGUGAGCAUCAUUGAAAUAAUCAUGCCUAGCUAGAAAGGCAUUAACAAAAAGCGCUUGUUGGGAGGCAACCCAAUAUUUACCCCUACUGUUUUUGUGUGUUCGUAUGAUUAUGUUACUGUAUUAAUCAUGUUUUAUAGCUUUUGUUUCAAUAAAGGGCCAAGUAAAGCCUUUGGGAUAGUGUGGAUGAUAGUUGACUUGAUUCUGUGCAAAAACAGAAACUUUUGCUCUCAGUCCAGGAAUUUUGAAAAUUCACUAGAAUGUGCUUUUGAUAUGAAUUUUCUACACAUUAAUGAUAUACAAAUUUUCUAUGUUGUUCUAAUUUUUCAGAAUCUUUGGAGAUACAGAAGUAUACGAAGUUUCCUGAUUACUACAGACUGUUCUGUUUUAAACAGAUUCUGUUUUCUAUGUGUUGUUUGCUUAUUUUGAUGAAUCUAUGAGUAGUAUCAGAGGGUAUGAACCAUGGAUAAGUUGGAAUACAGUAUAUAUAACACCAAUACGAAUUUAGAAUGAGUUCACAACAGUACCUAAGUGGUGAUUUAUUUUCUUAUACUAACGGAGCUCAUAAGAUUUUCUGUUGAGUUUUGUGUUGUGAAGUUUUCAAGUUUUGGGUAAAGUUUCAAUGGACUACGGAAUAAGGAGUGGCAAGAGCCUAAGCUUGGGGAUGUCCAAGGCACCCCAAGGUAAUAUUCAAGGAAGAUCCAAGCAACUAAGCUUGGGGAUGCCCCGGAUGGCAUCCCCUCUUUCGUCUUCGUUCAUCGGUAACCUUACUUGAGGCUAUAUUUUUAUCCACCACAUGAUAUGUGUUUUGCUUGGAGCAUCAUUUUCUUUUGUUUAUUUGCUUGUUGUUAUUCAGAGACAUGUUUUAUAUCUUUUAGUUCAAUAAAAAGGUCAAGUAUAGCCUUUACCAUGCUUAUUUUACAAGUCUAUAUGUUGCUGUUUGAAAAUAGAAAGUUUGAUGUUAUGUUUUGAAUAUUGGUGAAUAGUCAGAACAUGAUAAAAUCUUGAAAUUUUUACACAAUAAGGUACAACAAAUUUUCUAAAUUGUGGUAAUUUUUCAGAAUUUUUUGGAGUUCGGGAAGUAUGAUUCCUCUUGCAUUAUUUAUAGACUGUUCUGUUUAGACAGAUUGAUGUUAUGUUUGCAUUGUUUGCAUAUGUUUGCUUGUUAAUUAUUCUAUUUGAGGAUAGGAGUGUUGAAUAUGACGAGGCAUUUAGUAUGCAAUGUCAAAUUAUAAUUUUAGUGAUUCUCUACAGUAGAAAAUGAUAAGGUUUUGCAUUGAUUUAUACUAACUUAUCUCACGAGUUCUUGUUGAGUUUUGUGUGUAUGAAGUUUUUAAGAUUUAGGAAAACCGUGAUACAAGAGGAAUUAAGGAGGCACAAGAGCUCAAGCUUGGGGAUGCCCAAGGAAUCCCUAGUUAAUAUUUCAAGAAGUCUCAAGCAUCUAAGCUUGGGGAUGCCCCGGUUGGCAUCCCACCUUUCUUCUUCAACAAUGAUCGGUCAGUUUUGGUUGAGCCUAAGUUUUUGCUUCUUCACAUGAUAUGUGCUAUCCUUGCAAUGUCAUUUUAUUUUGUUUUGCUUGAUUUUUAAAUAAAAUACUUAAGAUCUAAAUUUUCUAAAUGGGAGAGAGUCUUCACAUAGCUAAAUAAUUGUUUGACUACUCAUUGAUCUUCACUUAUAUCUUUUUGGAGUAGUUUGUCAUUUACUCUUGUGCUUCACCUAUAUCCUAUGAGUAAAUGGUUGAAUGAAUUAGAUACCAUAAAUCUUAAUUUAUAUAUGUUUCAUAUGCUUAUACCGUGGGGAGUAAUGACUUCACUUAUAAGAAGUAGAGGUGGUAAAUUUAUUGAAAGUUAGCAAACAUAGUAUUGGUCAAUUGAACAAUUCAUCAAAGAAUAUUGAAGGAAGAGAGAUUUCACAUAUAAAUAUACUAUCUUGGACAUCUUCUAUGAUUGUGAGCCCCAUUAAUUAUUUUCAAACUUGAUCAAAUUAGUUGAAGUUGGACAAGGAAGACAACUUAAUGAGUUAUGUUUGGGUAUUUUUGUAUAGAAGUUAUAUUGCUAUGGAUCCUCCAACACGUGGUGCUUGAUUUUUAGAAUCUUUUGCUAGCCAAAUUUUUUGUACUAAGUAGAGUUACUACUUGUGCAUCCAAAAACCCUUAAACCAAGUUUCUUCCAUGAGUGUCCACCAUAUCUACUUAUAUGCGGUAUUUACCUACCGUUCCAAGUAAAUUUGCAUGUGCCAAUCUCUAAACCUUCAAAUAAUAAUAUGUUUUGUAUGCCCGAAUUGCUCAUGUAUCGACUAGGGGCUGUCAGUAUCUUCCAUGAUAGGUGGGUUAUUCUCACGAUGAGUGGACUCCGCUCAUCAUUCACAAGAAAAUGGUUGGUAACUGGGAUGCCCAGUUCCAUGCUCAAAUCAAAUCAAAUAUAAUUGCAAACAAAACUCCCCCAGUAUUGUUGAUAGUUGGACGAUACCCAUUGUUUUGGACCAGCCGUGGAAUGUGCUUGUUGGUGGUGGGGGAGUAAAAACUUUACCAUUCUGUUUGGGAACCGCCUAUAAUGUGUCUAGCAUGGAAGAUAACUCUUGGUCGUUAUGUUGACAAUGAAAGCAUACCUCUCAAAAUUGUUUUCAUCUCUGUUUUAAAAGCUUCAAGCUCUGGCACCUCUACAAGUUCAUGCUUCCCUCUAUGAAGGGCCUAUCUUUUACUUUUAUGCAAGAGUUAGUGGUAUUCCUUCUCAUUCCAACCUACUCUUUAGUUGGCAAGCACCAUGUGAUGGGGAAAGAUCUAAGCAUAUAUGGCCAUUCAAAUAUAUUUGAUCAUGAAUUAUUAUUGUUGACAAUUAUCUAUAUGAUAAAUAAGUUGGGAGGCGAAACAUUAAGCCCCUAUCUUUCUCUAUGUUCAAUGGAUGCUAUUUGUUCUAAAAAUAUGCUUUGAGUGGUAGCAACCAUGGAAGACUAUAUAGUUGAGUAUGUGGGAUUUGCUAAAUCAAAGCUCUUACAUAGACCCUUCCUGAAAAUAAGAUGAAUUGCAAUUGUUUGAUGACUGAGAGCAUAAUUUGUUAGUUUUCAAGAAAGUUUAUGGUCUAUGCUUUAACAUGUGAAUAGCUUGUUACUUGAUCAUGGGAAGCUUUAUGCUAUGAGCUACUGUUACGAUAUACAAUGAUGCUAGAAAAAGUGAUUAAAAUUAUCUUUGAUCAAACUUGUGCACUUGCUAGCAUUCCAUAUGAAAAAUUCUUUUUUUACCAUUUACCUACUCGAGGACGAGCAGGAAUUAAGCUUGGGGAUGCUUGAUACGUCUCCAACGUAUCUAUAAUUUUUUAUUGUUCCAUGCUAUUAUAUUAUCCAUCUUGGAUGUUUUAUAUGCAUUUAUAUGCUAUUUUAUAUUAUUUUCAAGACUAACCUAUUAACCUAGAGCCUUGUGCCAGUUUAUAUUUUUUCCUUAUUUUUGAGUUUUGCAGAAAAGGAAUAUCAAACGGAGUCCAAACGAGCUGAAAAUUUAUGGUAAUUUUUUAUGGACCAGAAGAAGCCCCCGAAGCAAAAGAGUUCGACCAGAAGUGUCCCGAGUCAAUGACAAGGGUGGAGGGCAUGCCCACCCCCCCCCUAGGGCACGCCCCCUUCCUUGUCGCUGACUCGUGGAGCCCCCCNNNNNNNNNNNNNNNNNNNNNNNNNNNNNNNNNNNNNNNNNNNNNNNNNNNNNNNNNNNNNNNNNNNNNNNNNNNNNNNNNNNNNNNNNNNNNNNNNNNNNNNNNNNNNNNNNNNNNNNNNNNNNNNNNNNNNNNNNNNNNNNNNNNNNNNNNNNNNNNNNNNNNNNNNNNNNNNNNNNNNNNNNNNNNNNNNNNNNNNNNNNNNNNNNNNNNNNNNNNNNNNNNNNNNNNNNNNNNNNNNNNNNNNNNNNNNNNNNNNNNNNNNNNNNNNNNNNNNNNNNNNNNNNNNNNNNNNNNNNNNNNNNNNNNNNNNNNNNNNNNNNNNGGGGGGGGAUCCAGCACCGAUGGCCAUCUUCAUCAUCCCGGUGCUCUCCAUGACAAGGAGGGAGUAGCUCACCCUCGGGGCUGAGGGUAUGUGCCAAUAGCUAUGUGUUUGAUCUCUCUCUCUCUCUCGUGUUCUUGAUUUGGCACGAUCUUGAUGUACCGCGAGCUUUGUUAUUAUAGUUGGAUCUUAUGGUGUUCUUCCCUCUCUACCUUGUGAUGAAUUGAAUCUUUUCCUUUGAGGUUUUUUUAUGUCGGAUUGAAUCUUUGGAUGUGAGAGCACUUGAUGUAUGUCUUGCGAUGGGAUAUCUGUGGUGACAAUGGGAUGUUCUGUUGAUCCACUUGAUGAAUGUUUGGGUUAGCAACUUGUGGAUUCCGAUGGUGACAUUGGGGUAAUCUAUGCAUAGGGGUUGGUGAUAUGUCUCCAAUGUAUCUAUAGUUUUUGAUUGUUCCAUGUUGUUAUAUUAUCAUUCUUGGAUGUUUUACAAUCAUUUUAUAGUAAUUUUAUAUCUUUUUUUGGGUACUAACCCAUUGACAUAGUGCCCAGUGCCAGUUGAUGUUUUCUUCUUGUUUUUACAUCGCAGGAAAUCAAUACCAAAGGGAGUCCAAACACAGCGAAAUUUUUGUGGAUUUUUUCUGGACCAGAAGACACCGCAUGGGCCAAGAAAGUACCUGAGGGGAGCUAUGAGGGGAGCACAACCCACUAGGGCACGCCUGGGGUCCAGGCGCGCCCAGGUGGGUUGUGCCCACCUCGGUGGCCUCCCGCACCGCCUCUUUGCUCUAUAAAUACCCCAAUAUUCCAGAAACCCUAGGGGAGUCGAUGAAAGUAAAUUCCAGCCGCCGCAAGUUCUAGAAACACCAGAUCCAAUCUAAACACCAUCAUGGAGGGGUUCAUCAUGUCCAUUGGUGCCUCUCCAAUGAUGCGUGAGUAGUUUUUUUGUAGACCUACGGGUCCGUAGUUAUUAGCUAGAUGGCUUCCUCUCUCUCUCUCCCUCUCUCUCUCUCUCUCUCUCUCUCUUGAUUCUCAAUAUAAUGGUCUCUUGGAGAUCCAUAUGAUGUAAGUCUUUUUGCGGUGUGUUUGUUGGGAUCCGAUGAACUUUGAGUUUAUGAUCAGAUCUAUGUUUUUAUCCAUGAAAGUUAUUUCAGUCUUCUUUGAUCUCUUAUAUGCAUGAUUGAUUAUAGCCUCAUAUUCCUUCUCUGAUAUUUGGGUUUUGUUUGGCAAACUUGAUCUAUUUAUCUUGCAAUGGGAAGAGGUGCUUUGUGAUGGGUUCGAUCUUACGGUGCUUGAUCCCAGUGACAGAAGGGGAAACGACACGGAUGUAUCGUUGUUAUUAAGGAUAACAAGAUGGGGUCUAUUUCUACAUAAAUAGAUCUUGUCUACAUCAUGUCAUCAUUCUUAUUGCAUUACUCUGUUUUUCCAUGAACCUAAUACAUUAGAUGCAUGUUGGAUAGUGGUCGAUGUGUGGAGCAAUAGUAGUAGAUGCAGGUCGGUCUACUAAUCUUGGACAUGAUGCCUAUAUAAUGAUCAUUGCCUGGAUAUCGUCAUGAUUAUUUGAAGUUCUACCAAUUUCUCAAUAGUAAUUGUUUUCCCAACGUUUGCUAUUUUUCUUGAGAGAAGCCAAUAGUGAAACCUACGGCCCCCGGAUCUCUUCUUUAUCAUGAUUGCCUUUGCGAUCUAUUUUCCUUUGCUUUUAUUUUCAGAUCUAUUAAACCAAAAAUACAAAAAUAACUUGAUGCACUUUAUUUUAUCUGCGAUCUAUUUAUCCUAUCUAUCACAACUUUAUCACGUCUUCUCGCCAAUUUAUGGCACCGUUACCCGAAAGGGAUUGACAACCCCUUUAACACGUCGGGUUGUGAGUAUUUAUUAUUUGUGUGCAGGGGCUGUUUACGUUGUGUUGCUUGGUUCUCCUACUGGUUCAAUAACUUUGGUCUCAUCACUGAGGGAAAUACCUACCAUCAUUGUGCUGCAUCAUCCCUUCCUCUUUGGGGAAAGAUCGACGUAGUUCAAGCAGGCAUCAAAAGGAAUUUCUGGCGCCGUUGUCGGGGAGGAUCAUCAACAUCAACCAGGUUCCUAAUCAAAAAAUCUCAUCUCCUCACAAUUUACAUUAUUUGCCAUUUGCCUCUCGUUUUUCUCUCCCCCACUUCACAAAAAUUUACCGUUUUAUUCUCCCUCUUUUUCGUUCGCCGUUUUCUCCUCAUAUCUGUUUUUGUGUGCAAUCUUGUUAACCACUUUUUGUCAUUAAGGAUAGUUCUUCCUCUAUUGCAUACACUCCCGAGAACGAGGUUCUUAACUUUAAACAAAGAGGAGGGGAGAAUUUAAAAGAUGCUUGGUAUAGGAUUUGCAAUGCUCAUAAUAUAUCUAUCCGUAAGCAAUCUACCGUUGUUCUUCUUCGUUGUUUUUAUGUGGGCGUCACCACUUGGUAUAGAUUCUUCCUUGAUACGAUUACCGGUGGAAAUUUCUUGACGUGUCCUUCUCUUGGUGCUUUUAAUGCUUUGGGAAAUUUAGUGGGUUCACCACCUCUCAUGAUCAAUGAAACAAUUGUGACCCUCGAGCAUGUUAUGGAAAGACUAGAUGCUAUUGAAAAGAAAAUGCUUACCAAAGAACAUAUUGAAAACUUGGAUAGAAAAAUGCAAAACUACGCUACUAAAAUUGGGUCAAAAGCGUGAGAAAUUUUAAAGUUGUUAGAAGAAAAGGGGACUGUAAUUCAUGAAAGAAUUGAAGAAAGCCCGUCUAGGAUUGAUAAGUUGGAAGAAAUCUUUAGUAAUCUAAUGAAUUCCUCAACUUUAUGCCGAGAAGUUUCGCUAUUUUACUUGCCAAUUCUCCAAAUAAAUCUGGUUGUGUGCUUGAAGAGUUGGGAACUAAAGAUGACAAAACUUAGAUCCUACGCAUUAUGCCUAGCUAGGGGCGUAAAAUGAUAGCGCUCGUUGGAAGGCAACCCAACUUGUAUCUUUUUGAUUUUUGGUUUUCUUGCUGUUCUAAAUAAAAUUCCAAUUAUGCCUCUCAUUAAAUGUCCUUUUGUGGUUUAAAUAAGUGUUUCUGCCAAGCACGGCCUUUGGGAUGAUUUGGGUGUGAGUUGAUUUGAUCUUGCUGAAAAACAGAAACUUUUGCGCUCACAAAAUUAUUUUUCAUUUUUAUCAGAAGAGUUAUUUUGGGUUGUUUCUUUUUGCAAAAGAUUAAUAAACAAAUUAUUCACGUCUUCCUAAUUUUUUAGAACUUUUGGAGUUACAGAAGUAUUCGAAAUAGUCUAAUUGCUACAGACUGUUCUGUUUUUGACAGAUUCUGUUUUCCUUGCAUUGUGUGCUUGUUUUGAUGAUUCGAUGGUUUUCUUUGAAGAGUUUUUGCCAUAGAAAAGUUGGAAUAUAGUAGAUAUAAUGCAAAAAUAAAAUAUGAAUGGGUUGCAACAGUACUUAUAGUAGUGGUUUGCUUUCUUAUACUAACGGAUCUCAUGAAGGUUUUGUUGAGUUUUGUGUGAUUGAAGUUUUCAAGUUUUGCGUGAUCUUGCUGAAGGAAAUAUUCCCUAGAGGCAAUAAUAAAGUUAUUAUUUAUUUCCUUAAUUCAUGAUGAAUGUUUAUUAUUCAUGCUAUAAUUGUAUUAACCGGAAACUUAGUACAUGUGUGAAUACAUAGACAAAACAUAUAGUCCCCAGUAUGACUCUACUUGACUAGCUCGUUAAUCAAAGAUGGUUAUGUUUCCUAAGCAUAGACAUGUGUUGUAAUUUGAUGAACGGGGUCACAUCAUUAGGAGAAUGAUGUGAUGGAUAUGACCCAUCCGUUAGCUUAGCAUUAUGAUUAUGUUAGUUUCAUUGCUACUGCUUUCUUCAUGACUUCAAGUUCCUCAGACUGUGAGAUUAUGCAACUCCUGAAUACCGGAGGAACACUUUGUGUGCUACCAAAUGUCACAACGUAAAUGGGUGAUUAUAAAGGUGCUCUACAGGUGUCUCCGAAGGUGUUUGUUGGGUUGGCAUAGAUCGUUGGCAUAGAUCGAUAUUAGGAUUUGUCACUCCGUGUUUCAGAGAGGUAUCUCUGGGCCCACUCGGUAAUACUCAUCACUAUAAGCCUUGCAAGCAUUGUGACUAGUGAGUUAAUUGCGAAAACCUUUCAGGAUGACGUUACUUAUGUCCAACGGAAACCUUUCAGGAUACCGUUCACACUAGGACACAAUGUACAACCCCAGAAUCUAUUUGUGGAAGCAGUGCGCCAUCCAUGUUACUAGAUGGUAGCAGUUCAGAGGCAACACCACCGGAGAGCAGUCUGGGCACAUAUAUUAUAGUGCUUGAGGCUCUACUAGAGGCAGAAAGAGAUGGUGUGGCUGCCAUGAAUGAGGUAAUCUUUAUCUUGACGCUGGAAAUUACGGAAUUAGCGGCACGCAUUAUGCAAGCAACCCAAGAAUUGGAGGAAGUAAGAAUGUUGCAUUUGAGAACGGAGGAGGUCCUGCUGUUUCUACUAUUUGAAGCCCAAGGUAAUCCCGGUUCUUAUUUAGAUACUAGUUGAAAUUGUCAUUAGAUUAUUGUACUUGCAUGUUGUGUCAUGUCUCCGAAUGGAUUAUGUUGCAAGACCCCCUAUGUUGUCCAUGUGUUGUAAUGAUCCGGAUUUUUUAGGUGAGGUAAUCCUCAAUACUUGUAUGAUUGAAAUAAGGUGAACUGUUUUUCGUGUGAGCAUAUUGUAUUGGAUGAAAUAAUUGUUUGACUCAGAGUGUAUCCAACCUACUGAAUUCGAAGAUCACGGCAUUUCUAAAUCAUAAUCAUAUAUAAAGGUGGAAUAAAUCUUUGUUGUGGUUUUGAAUAAAUAAAUACAAAACGUAUAAUUAUCUAUGGAUAUACGUAAUCGAAUACAAAUUGGAUUUGAAUUUAGUUUGCCAGGGCCCAGGGCAAAUGUGAAUGCUAAUUCUCCCAAGUUUUUAACGAAGCGGCUAAACACCCACUAUAACUUGUGGGCUGCCCGAAGCAAGUGUUUGCGAGAUGGAAAUUACUGUCUACCCCUGACACCUGACAUCCUUAUCGACCGGAUUUACACUACUGUCGAUAGGGGUAGACUAGUAACUUCAAUCAGACGCGACAUGACGGCCUCUGAGCCCAUUCAGACAUGGUGGGCGCCAAACGUGGGCGGCAAAACACAUUUGAUUCAAGCUCGUCUGAAAGACAUGUGUCUCUUCCUCCAUUUCCCCAUUCAUACACGGUGGGCGGCAAAACAAACUCUCCUCGUCCGAAAUUGAUGUAGGCUAAUAUUUUAAAUAGGGGCAGAUGUGUAACUAACAUCAGACGUGACACAACCGCCCUACCUGUCAGCCCCAUUCAUACACCGUGGGCGCCAACCGUGGGUGGCAAAACACCCUCUCCUCGCUCGAAAUAGUUACCGGAAAACAUUUGGGAGAUGCGAGAUUACCGUCCUAUCCCCAACCGACGCGAUGUCCGAAAUUUUAAAUGGGGGAUAAGCUCGUAACUUUCCCCCAUUUCAGAGAAGCGCGUCCCAAAGUUUGAGAUCCCCCCUCCCCCCAUUUCCCCAUUCAUACACCGUCGGAGGCACGACAACCUCCACACUGCGACCAACCUCCUCCGUCCACCACCCCAUCCUCCACCUUGCCGGAGCCGCUACCCCUACCCCGUCGUCCACUGCAAGAGAUGGACGUCUCUCAUCCAUGGCGCUGGACCAGGAUCCUUUCAUCGCCUCCUCUCGCUUCAUCAGCGCCGUCGUCCACCUUGCCGUUGGCGCUCCUACGACCGCCUCGUCCACGGCAACAGGAUAUAUCCCCCGACCCGGCUGUCUGCCGUCUAAAGUCUUCUUCCCCGCCACCGACAGCCAUCGCACCCGCAACACCCUCAACGUAUCAGCAUAGGCCUACACAACAUCGCAAGAGAGGUGGUACUCUUCCAUAUGUGCUUAAGUUAUUGAUCUCACCUGCAAAAUAGAUCGUAAUUUGUUUACUGUACUUUCCUUGUCCGUAUCAAAUCGUAGUGGCUAGUUGAAAGCAAACAUUGGUUGCGAAGUAGCUUUGCCCGGUUUGCACCUUUAGAUCCGCCAUAGCACGGGCACUAUACUCGUAAAGCUUAUGGUUUCCCCCCUUUAUAUUCACUACCAUCAUCGUAGGUGAUUCGUGUCGUGCUAGCACGGCUCCUCAAGACCUCAACCCAAAGCUUACGUGUUGAAAUACGAAUCUGAUAUGAUGCUCAUAUCACUAAAACAGAGAACGUUUAAUUGGUCACCUAAUGUUCCUAUAUUCGUUUCGAAAAGCAUGUGCGCCACCCACUGGUCCAGCUAGUUCCACUUUCCUGAUUUUCUCUUGAUGCUUAGGGUUUUCCCCUUUUAUCUACUAUACUAUGAUCUGCGUAGGUGCUUUCUGUCAUACUAGCAUUACUCCACCCUUCAAGCUAAACAACACGCACUCAGAAUUCGAAAGCUUAGUUGUUCAAAUAUGAUUGUGAUAUGAUACUGAUAUUAGUUAACCAACACAUUUAAUUGGUUAGCUAAAGGUCCCACUUGAGUUUCCAAAUGCAUGUCACGACAUAUAGAGAGACAACAUAAUUGCAUUUCUGUCACUUGUUGACCGUACUUUCUUGUCCAUACCAAAUCUUAGUUGUUAUUUCAAAGCAAACAUUGGUUGCUAACUACCCUUUGCGCGGUUUGCAGCUUCAGAUCUGCCAUCCCACUGCCACGGUCAACACUGUACUCAUCAUGCUUAUGUUUUCCCCAUUUUAUGAUGACCACAAUCAGCCUACGUGGUUCGUGUCGUAAUAGCACUGCUCCACCCAUCGAGCUAAACAAGCUUAGUUGUACAAAUUCAUAUAUGAUAUUAUUGCUGAUAUUAGUAAAACUGAGAGAUGUUUAAUUGGUUAGAUAAAUGUUCCUACUUUAGUUUCUAAAUGCAUGUGAGCCACAUAUGGAGAGACCGGAAAGAAUAGUAUUUCUCUGUGCGCUCUGGUUCAUCAUGGGUGGCCAACCGACAUUGUAUUGAAAGACUUGUAAUAUCUUCAAUCUGCUUGCUCUUCUACUCUUCUUUAAGAUGAUACUCUUCUCUUGCGGUCUACUGGUCAGGUCGAGUUGUUCUCCCUUAGUAUAUUUUGAAUCUUUCAGGUCAGGUCGACUUGUUCUUCUUUACUAUAUGUUGAAGCUGUCAUCUGCGAAGUGUCAUCAUUUCUGGAGCUCUGAUAUUUUGAGUAGUAGGCCACAUUAUAUUAAUGCACACAACAAAUUACAGCAUGCAUGUCAUCUUUUAAAAGAAUUGCAGAGAUAGCAGAAAGGGGUUUACAGGGAGGCAGUAUUGGAUUAGAAUCACUUCUGCAUUACAAAGAAAACCUCACUUGUUUUUAUGUUUUCAUGCAUGUCAGAUAUUGAACAUUAUCAAAAUGAAUAUGAGAAUGGGCGCAUGAGAGGAAUAUUGCGGAACAAUCCAUUGGCUAACAAACUUGGCAUGGUGGAGGAUGGCCUAUCUUAUUCACCCAUCAAGGUGCUUGCUCUAACUUUGCAAAGUUGUAUUGGUCGCACAUAUUUUGCAUCUGACCUCUUGCAUUACUUCCACUUUGUUACACCAUCUGCUUAGUUUAAGCAUCAUAUAUGAGUAUAUGCCAUACCUAUCCAUUUUCUGUACCUUUUCCAUGUGUCGUCACGCUAUGUUUUUCCAGUCAAAUCUUGUUCUUUCGUAAUAGAUGUCCAAAAGGAAGAGGGUGAGUGUAGAUCCUCAAGGAGUACAAACUAGGUAUUUGGAGAAGGUAGUGAUACCUGGUAAAUCAGAUAGAUCAGCAGCCACAGAAAACACAGGCCCAACUGUACCACACUUUACCCCUACUCCAGUGGCCAAACCCCUAUUAGAACUGCUGGGAGCCCAGCGUCAGGUACUGUCUAUGAUAUCAAUUCAAAAUUUGUACUCUUAAAUUUUUGCUUGUGCCUUACCUUCUCUCUUGUAUGAAAACUAAUUUCAGAUGAAUCUCCUUGCUCAAAGGAUCAUACAAUCUCAAAACAAUAAUGGGCUCUGCAUUGCUCUUGUGAGUACCUCUCUCCCUUUUGCCUUGUAAUGUUGUACUUAAUUAAUUGCUAUUUGAUUACGUAUCAUCAGUCUGCACCUGAGCCUCAUUAUCCUCUGUUUCUUCCAAUAUUAUUUGAUCUAUAUUUACUCUUUGCAAAAUGUAGAAUAAUGGCAACGCUUAUAAAGAAUUUUCUUUGGGGAAUUUAUUGAAUUAUCCUUCCACCAACAUGGAGAAGGGCUUUGUCCAGCCCGUGUUAACAUGUAAUGUAAGUUCAUCCUUCUCAGGCCUUCAAACUUUGUUCUAGUAUAUAUUUGGAUAGGCAUCAUUUCCUCCACUGCUGUUUGCUUUGUUGUUUACAUCUGGUUGGAUGUUUGCAACAACUACCAGUUUCAAAUUGUAGUUGUAAAAACAUGUUCCUUAUGCAGAACAGAUCCAUUUAUUUGCUUAUAUAAUUGUGAAACCUGUUACGUGUCUCCUUGUUUCUCUUUUAGAUUCGUAUCUCUUACGCCAGGCAGAAAUUUAGGGAAGAUAGUGAGCCAAACCAUCUUGAGGACAGCGAGAUGACCCCAAGGUCCUGUCUUGAUGAAGACAGUGAGUUGAAGCUACUCACCAGCAGGUGUGAGACAACCUCUGUGCAGUUGCUGCCUCAAUCAGUUCGACUUUUUCAGUCUCAACUUAAAGCGGAAAGGCUUGCUUCAACUCAGCUCCGACUUGAAGUCAAAGAUGCAAUGAAGAUGUCAGAGGACUGCCAUGCACACCAUCAUGCCUUAAAUCUAGUGUUGAUGCAUCUAUCGUUGACACAACUGAGGUCUACUCAGCUUCUUCAGCUGUUUGGGGGGGCCGACCUGGCCAGGCCUAGUGCCUUCUGAAGUGCUCUCAGUUUUGUAUAUUCUUUUGUCGGCGCAUUUAUUUGCACUGGUGGUGAAUUUUGAUGCCCAGUGGAUGUAAUAUGUGUGAUAGCCGUGAUAGCCUAGCAUAAGUUGCUUGCUUAUUUAUUUCCUUGUUGUCUUGUUUAUUUGUUUGCUUGUAGUCAUAGCAGUUCUUUUUCUGCGGUUUGCUAGUGGCUGCAAUAACAGUGGGCCUUCUACAGGCCAUAGAAACAGUGGGCCUUCUACGGGGCAUAGAAAUAAUGGGCCUUCUAUGGGCCAUAGAAACAAUGGGCCUUCUACGGGUCGUAUCAUCAAUGGGCCUUCUACGGGCCGUAUGAUCGGUUGGCCAAACAUGGGCCAAUAACAGGCCGCAAUAUGUUCGUAAACGGGCUAGAGUUGGAAUCAUCCGUUCAUGGGCCGACCAUAACGGGCCAUCGUUAAUAGGCCGUAUUUGAUGACGAUAUGAAAACGGCCCAACAUAUUAACGGACCACAAACGGGCCGAUUGUAACCACGGGCUGAAUUUGGCCCACAAGCAGAAAUUGAUAGUAACGGGCCGUAAGUAAACGAAUGCUGGAAAUGAGCCCAAGAAUAAAUGGGCUCUAAGAAGGCCGAAAGAUAACAUGGACUAGAAACGACCCAAUGGAAUAAUGGGCCGUUAAUGGGUAUAAAGUGAUACAUUGUUCAUUACGGGCCAGUUUCACCAUGGGCCGUUAAUGGGUGUAAAGUGAUACACUAUUCAUUACGGGCCAGUUUCACCACGGGCCGUUAAUAGGUCAAGAGUUACAUAGGGCCUCAUAUGGGCCGAAAGACGUCAUGGGCCAUACAUGGGCCAUAAGUGAAAACGGGCUGGAAUCAUAUUGGAUGGCCCAGAUGACGCUACUGGGCCUAAUUCGAAUAGGGCGUAACGGGCCUUGGGUUAGCGGGCUGUAAAUGGGCUAUAUGCGAACAUGCCGUUAACAGGCUUUACAUGGGCUGGCCCGCCAUCUUUUGACCAAGUCAAAUGGGCCGGCCUUUUCAUAGGAAUGGGCCUCUGUUGGGCCGUGCCACUUGUCGAUGUAUCAUAGGCGCCUUUUGUCCAAUGAGUGGAUGACAUCUGUCCCGAUGAUGAGCCGACACGUGUUUCCUCCAGCCAAUGAUGAUUUUACAUGUGGAAAAUCCCCAUUGGUCGGGGCUAUUAACGGGUUAUCGGAUCCAAAACCCAACCCGAUAGCUUAACAGUGUUCCAUUACGGUGGAUGCCACGUGUCGGUCACCCUUGACGAAAGCACUUCUGUGACGCGUGAUUUAUCGUCAUGGAAGUGGACACUUCCGUGAUGAUAAUUUUGGUAAUGUCAUGGAACACUUCUACGACAGCACAGGUAUGACUAUCUUGAUUCUGUCAUAAAUUUGUCAUGGAUGUACAUGCAUGACAAAGAACCCGACCUACUGUGACAAACACGUAUCAUCACGGAAGUGUAUUUUUUUGUAGUGUCUCCCUCUUCCUUCUUCUCCUACUCCAACUAGGGAAGGGGGAGACCUACUCCUACUGGGAGUAGGACUCCCCCCCUUGGGGGCGCCAUAGAGGGCCGGCCCUCCCCCUCCUCCACUCCUUUAUAUACGGGGGAGGGGGCACCCCAAAGGACACACAAGUUGACAAUUGUUUUAGCCAUGUGCGGUGCCCCCUCCAUAGAUUUCCACCUCGGUCAUAUCGUCGUAGUGCUUAGGCGAAGCCCUGCGCCGGUAACUUCACCAUCACCGUCACCACGUCGUCGUGCUAACGAAACUAUCCCUCGACCUCAGCUGGAUCUAGAGUUCAUGGGACGUCAUCAAGCUGAACGUGUGCAGAUCACGGAGGUGCCGUACCUUCAGUGGUAGGAUCGGUCGGAUCAUGAAGACGUACGACUACAUCAACCGCGUUGUCAUAACGCUUCCGCUUUCGAUCUACGAGAGUACGUAGACAACACUCUUCCCUCUCAUUGCUAUGCAUCACCUAGAGAUAGAUCUUGCGUGAUCAUAGGAUUUUUUUUGAAAUUACCGUGUUCCCCAAUAGUGGCAUCCGAGCCAGGUCUAUGCGUAGAUGUUAUAUUUACGAGUAGAACACAAAGAAUUGUGGGCGAUAAUAGUCAUACUGCUUACUAGCAUGUCAUACUUUGAUUCGGCGGUAUUGUUGGAUGAACCGGCUCAGACCGACAUUACGCGUACGCUUACGUGAGACUGGUUCUACCGACGUGCUUUGCACAUAGGUGGUUGGUGAGUGUCUGUUUCUCCAACUUUAGUUGAAUCGAGUGUGGCUACGCCUGGUCCUUGUUGAAGGUUAAGACGACACACUUGACGAAAAAUCAUUGUGGUUUUGAUGCGUAGGUAAGAACCGUUCUUGCUAGAAUCCCGUAGCAGCCACGUAAAACUUGCAACAACAAAGUAGAGGACGCCUAACUUGUUUUUGCAGGGCUUGCUGUGAUGUGAUAUGGUCAAGGCAUGAUGUGAUAUAAAUUGGUGUAUGAGAUGAUCAUGUUUUGUAACAAAGUUAUCGGCAACUGGCAGGAAUCAUAUGGUUGUUGCUUUAUUGUAUGCAAUGCAAUCGCCAUGUAAUUGUUUUACUUUAUCACUAAGCGGUAGCGAUAGUCGUAGUAACAAUAGUUGCCGAGACGACAACGGUGCUACGAUGGAGAUCAAGGUGUCGCGUGAUACGUCUCCAAUGUAUCUAUAAUUUUUGAUUGUUCCAUGCUAUUAUAUUACCCAUUUUGGAUGUUUAUGGGCUUUACUAUACACUUUUAUAUCAUUUUUGGGACUAACCUACUAAUCGGAGGCCCAACCCGAAUUGCUGUUUUUUUGCCUAUUUCAGUGUUUCGCAGAAAAGGAAUAUCAAAUGGAGUCCAAACGGAAUGAAACCUUCGGGAGUGAUCUUUUUGGAACAAACGCAAUCCAGGAGACUUGGAGUGGACGUCAAGUAGCAAACGAGGCGGCCACGAGGGUGCCCGGCGCACCCUAGAGGGGUGGGCACGCCCCCAACCCUCGUGGGCCCUUCAUGGCUCAACCGACCUACUUCUUCCUCCUAUAUAUAUCCACAUACCCUGAAACCAUCCGGGAGCACCACGAAAAACUAUUUCCACCGCCGCAACCUUCUGUAUCCGCGAGAUCCCAUCUUGGAGCCUUCGCCGGCGCUCCGCUGGAGGGGAAAUCGACCAUAGAGGGCCUCUCCAUCAUCACCAAGGCCUCUCCAAUGAGUUGCGAGUAGUUUACCACACACCUUCUCCAUAGUUAUUAGCUAGAUGGCUUCUUCUCUCUCUUUGAAUCUCAAUACAAAGUUCUCCUCGAUCUUCUUGGAGAUCUAUCUGAUGUAACUCUUUUUGCGGUGUGUUUGUCGAGAUCCGAUGAAUUGUGUGUUUAUGAUCAAGUUUAUCUAUGAGAAAUAUUUGAAUCUCCUCUGAAUUCUUUUAUGUAUGAUUGGUUAUCUUUGCAAGUCUCUUUGAAUUAUCAGUUUGGUUUACCUACUAGAUUGAUCUUUCUUGCAAUGGGAGAAGUGCUUAGCUUUGGGUUCAACCUUGCGGUGUCCUUUCCUAAUGACAACAGGGGCAGCAAGGCACGUAUUGUAUUGUUGCCAUCGAGGAUAAAAAGAUGGGGUUUAUAUUACAUUGCUUGAGUUUAUCCCUCUACAUCAUGUCAUCUUUCUUAAUGCAUUACUCUAUUCUUAUGAACUUAAUACUCUAGAUGCAGGCAGGAGUCGGUCGAUGUGUGGAGUAAUAGUAGUAGAUGCAGGCAGGAGUCGGUCUACUUGUUGCGGACGUGAUGCAUAUAUACAUGGUCAUGCCUAGAUAUUCUCAUAACUAAGCACUUUUCUAUCAAUUGCUCGACAGUAAUUUGUUCACCCACCGUAAUACUUAUGCUAUCUUGAGAGAAGCCACUAGUGAAACCUAUGGCCCCCGGAUCUAUUCUCUAUCAUAUAAGUUUCGAAUCUACUUUAUUUUGCAAUCUUUACUUUUCAAUCUAUAUCAUAAAAAUACCAAAAAUAUUUAUCUUAUCAUAUUAUCUCUAUCAGAUCUCACUUUUGCAAAUGGCCGUGAAUGGAUUGACAACCCCUUUAUCGCGUUGGUUGCGAGGUUCUUGUUUGUUUGUGUAGGUACGAGGGACUUGCAUGGAGUCUCCUACUGGAUUGAUACCUUGGUUCUCAAAAACUGAGGGAAAUACUUAUGCUACUUUGCUGCAUCACCCUUUCCUCUUCAAGGGAAAAACCAACGCAUGCUCAAGAGGUAGCAAGAAGGAUUUAUGGCGCCAUUGCCGGGGAGAUCUUCGCUCAAGUCAAGAGAUACCAAGUACCCAUCACAAACUCAUCUCCCUCGCAUUACAAUUUUUGUCAUUUGCCUCUCGUUUUCCUCUCCCCACUUCACCCUUACCGGUUUAUUCGCCCUCUCUUUUCCAUUAGCCUCUUUUUCGCUUGCCUCUUGUGUGCUUGUGUGUUGGAUUGCUUGUCACGGUGGCUCAAGAUAAUACUAAAUUGUGUGAUUUUUCUAAUACCAAUAAUAAUGAUUUCCUUAGCACUCUGAUUGCUCCUCUUAAUGAUGUUGAAUCUUGUGAAAUCAAUGCUGCCUUGUUGAAUCUUGUUAUGAAAGAUCAAUUCUCUGGCCUUCCUAGUGAAGAUGCCGCUACUCAUCUAAACAAUUUUGUCUAGUUGUGCGAUAUGCAAAAGAAGAAAGACAUGGAUAAUGAUAUUGUUAAAUUGAAGUUAUUUCCAUUUUUGCUUAGAGAUCAUGCUAAAACUUGGUUUUCUUCUUUGCCUAAAAAUAGUAUUGACUCAUGGAAUAAGUGUAAAGAUGCUUUUCUCUCUAAGUAUUUUCCUCCCGCUAAAAUCAUCUCUCUUAGAAACGAUAUUAUGAAUUUUAAGCAACCUGAGCAUGAGCAUGUUGCACAAUCUUGGGAGAGGAUGAAAUUAAUUAUUCGUAAUUGCCCUACACAUGGUUUGAAUUUAUGGAUGAUUAUACAAAAAAUUUAUGCCGGAUUGAAUUUUGCUUCUAGAAAUCUUUUAGAUUCGACCGCGGGAGGCACUUUUAUGGAAAUCACUUUAGGAGAAUCUACUAAAAUCCUAGAUAAUAUUAUGGUUAAUUAUUCUCAAUGGCAUACCGAAAGAUCUACUAGUAAAAAGUGCAUGCGAUAGAAGAGAUUAAUGUUUUGGGUGGAAAGAUGGAUGAACUUAUGAAGUUUUUUGCUACUAAGAGUGCUCCCAUUGAUCCUAAUGAUAUGCCUUUGUCUACUUUGAUUGAGAAUACUAAUGAAUCUAUGGAUGUGAAUUUUGUUGGUAGGAAUAAAUUUGGUAACAAUGCUUAUAGAGGAAGCUUUAAUCCUAGGCCAUUUCCUAGUAAUUCCUCUAAUAAUUAUGGUAAUUCCUACAACAAUUCUUAUGGAAAUUUUAAUAAGAUGCCCUCUAAUUUUGAGAAUAGUGUUAAAGAAUUUAUGAUCUCUCAAAAGAAUUUUAAUGCUUUGCUUGAAGAAAAAUUGCUUAAAGUUGAUGAAUUGGCUAGGAACAUGGAUAGAAUUUUUCUUGAUGUUGAUUCUUUGAAACUUAGAUCUAUUCCACUUAAGCAUGAUAUCAAUGAGUCUCUCAAAGCCAUGAGAAUUUCCAUUGAUGAGUGCAAAGAAAGAACCGCUAGAAUGCGUGCUAAGAAAGAUUGCUUUGUAAGAGUGUGUUCUUCUAAUUUUCAUGAUAAUAACGAUGAAGAUCUAAAAGUUAUUGAUGUGUCUCCUAUUAAAUCCUUGUUUUGCAAUAUGAACCUUAAUAAUGAUGGGAUUGGAGAUGAGUCAACUUUAGUUAAAAAGCGUCCCAAUGAUUUGGAGUCUUUUGAUCUUGAUGCUAAAAUUGGUAAAAGUGGGAUUGGAGAGAUUAAAACUUUACAUAGCAAUGAACCUACUACUUUGGAUUUCAAGGAAUUUAAUUAUUAUAAUUGUUCUUUAAUAGAUUGUAUUUCCUUGUUGCAAUCCGUGUUGAAUUCUCCUCAUGCUUAUAGUCAAAAUAAAGCUUUUACUAAACAUAUCGUUGAUGCUUUAAUGAAAUCUUAUGAGGGAAAACUUGAAUUAGAGGUUUCUAUCCCUAGAAUACUUUAUGAUGAGUGGGAACCUACUACUAAAAUUAAAAUAAAAUAUCAUGAAUGCUAUGCUUUGUGUGAUUUGGGUGCUAGUGUUUCUACGAUUCCAAAAAUUUAUGUGAUGUGCUAGGUUUCCGUAAAUUUGAUGAUUGCUCAUUCAACUUGCACCUUGCGGAUUCCACUAUUAAGAAACCUAUGGGAAGGAUUAAUUAUGUUCUUAUUGUUGCAAAUAGGAAUUAUGUGCCCGUGGAUUUUAUCGUUCUUGAUAUAGAUUGCAAUCUUUCUUGUCCUAUUAUUCUUGGUAGACCUUUCCUUAGAAUGAUUGGUGCAAUUAUUGAUAUGAAGGAAGGAGAUAUUAGAUUCCAAUUUCCAUUAAGGAAAGGCAUGGAACACUUUCCUAGAAAGAAAAUUAAAUUACCUUAUGAAUCUAUUGUGAGAGCCACUUAUGAAUUGAAUGCCAAAAUGGCAACACUUAGAUCUAUCUUUGCUUUUAUGCCUAGCUAAGGGCGUUAAACGAUAGCGCUUGUUGGGAGGCAACCCAAUUUUAUUUUUGUUCCUUGCUUUUUGCUCCUGUUUAGUAAUAAAUAAUUCAUAUAACCUCUGGUUAGAUGUGGUUUUAUGUUUUAAUUAGUGUUUGUGCCAAGUAAAACCUAUAGGAUCAUCUUGGGUGAAAGUUAAUUUGAUUCUGCUGAAAAACAGAAAGUUUUGCGCUCACGAGAAAAAAUCUAAUAAAUCACGGAAACACGAUUUUGAGUUGAUUAUUUUUUCAAUAGAUCAAUAUACAAAUUACCUAGGACUUCCUAUUUUGGUAGGAUUUUUAGGGUUCCAGAAGUAUUCGAAAGUUACAGAUUGCUAUAGACUGUUCUGUUUUUGACAUAUUCUGUUUUUCGUGUGUUGUUUGCUUAUUUUGAUGCAUCUAUGGUUAGUAUCAGGAGGUAUGAAGCAUAGAGAAGUUGGAAUACAGUAGGUUUAACACCAAUAUAAAUAAAUAAUGAGUUCAUUACAGUACCUUAAGUGGUGGUUUUUCUUUCUUGCACUAACGGAGCUCAUGAGAUCUCAUGUUGAGUUUUGUGUUGUGAAGUUUUCAAGUUUUGGGUAAAGAUUUGAUGGACUAUGGAAUAAGAAGUGGCAAGAACCUAAUCUUGGGGAUGCCCAUGGCACCCCAAGAUAAUUCAAGUACAACAAAAAGCCUAACCUUGGGGAUGCCCCGAAGGCAUCCCCUCUUUCGUCUUCGUCUAUCGAUAACUUUACUUGGAGCUAUAUUUUUAUUUACCGCAUGAUAUGUGUUCUGCUGGGAGCGUAUUGUAUGAUAUGAGUCUUUGCCUUUUAGUUUACGACAAUCAUACUUGCUGUACACACCUUUUGGGAGAGACACACAUGAUUCGGAAUUUAUUAGAAUACUCUAUGUGCUUCACUUAUAUCUUUUGAGCUAGACAGUUUUGCUCUAGUGCUUCACUUAUACCUUUUUAGAGCACGGCGGUGGUUUUAUUUUGUAGAAACUAUUGAUCUCUCAUGAUUCACUUGUAUUAUUUUGAGAGUCUUUUAAGAACAGCAUGGUAUUUGCUAUGGCUAAAAAUUGGUCCUAAUGUGACGAGCAUCCAAGUUGGGAAUAAUAAAAACUAUCAUAGGAAGUGAAUUGGAUGCUAUGAUCAAUUUAAUGCUUGAUAAUUGUUUUGAGAUAUAAAGGUGGUAAUAUUAGAGUCAUGCUGGUUGGGUAAUUAUGAAAUUGAGGAAUACUUGUGUUGAAGUUGGCAAAUCCCGUAGCAUGCAUGUAUGGUAAAAGUUGUGUAACAAAUUUAUUGCAUGGGGUGCUCUUUUGAUUGCCUUCCUUAUGUGUGGAGGUCGGGGGUGCGCGGUGGUUAACUCCUACCAACCUCCCCCCCUAGGAUCAUGCGUAGUAGUACUUUGCUUCGAGGGCUAAGAAAACUUUUGCAAUAAGUAUAUGAGUUCUUUAUGACUAAUGUGAGUCCAUGGAUUAUACGCACUCUUACCCUUCCAUCAUUGCUAGCCUCUUCAAUACCGUGCAUUGCCCUUUCUCACCUUGAGAUUUGGUGCAAACUUCACUGGUGCAUCCAAACCCUGUGAUAUGAUACGCUCUAUCACACAUAAACCUCUUUAUAUCUUCCUCAAAACAGCCACCAUACCUACCUAUUAUGGCAUUUCCAUAGCCAUUCCGAGAUAUAUUGCCAUGCAACUUUCCACCGUUCCAUUUAUCAUGACACGUAUCAUCAUUGUCAUAUUGCCUUGCAUGAUCAUGUAGUUGACAUCGUAUUUGUGGCAAAACCACCGUGCAUAAUUUUUCAUACAUGUCACUCUUGAGUCAUUGCCCAUCCCGGUACACCGCCGAAGGCAUUCAUAUAGAGUCAUAUCUUGUUCUAGUUUCGAGUUGUAAUUCAUGUGUUGUAAAUAAAUAGAAGUGUGAUGAUCAUCAUUAUUAGAGCAUUGUCCCUUACAAAAAAGAAAAAAAAGAAGGGCCAAAAAAGGAAAAAAAAGGGGGACAAUGUUACUAUCCUUUUCCACACUGGUGCUUCAAAGUAGCACCAUGUUCUUCAUAUAGAGAGUCUCUUAUGUUGUCACUUUCAUAUACUAGUGGGAAUUUUUCAUUAUAGAACUUUUGGCUUGUAUAUUCCAACGAUGGGCUUCCUCAAAAUGCCCUAGGUCUUCAUGAGCAAGCAAGUUGGAUGCACACCCACUUAGUUUCUUUUGUUGAGCUUUCAUACAUUUAUAGCUCUAGUGCAUCUGUUGCAUGGCAAUCUCUACUCCUCAUGUUGACAUCAAUUGAUGGACAUCUCCAUAGCCCAUUGAUUAGCCUCGUCAAUGUGAGACUUUCUCUUUUUUGUCUUCUCCACACAACCUCCAUCAUCAUAUUCCAUUCCACCCAUAGUGCUAUAUCCAUGGCUCACGCUCAUGUAUUGCGUGAGAGUUGAAAAAGGCUGAAGCGCGUUAAAAAGUAUGAACCAAUUGCUUGGCUGAAAUCGGGGUUGUUCUUGAUGGGAGUAUUUUGUGUGAUGAAAAUGAAACAUAGCCUAACGAUAUGAUUUUGUAGGGAUGAACUUUCUUUAGCCAUGUUAUUUCGAGAAGACAUGAUUGCUUAGUUAGUAUGCUUGAAGUAUUACUAUUUCUUAUGUCAAUACGAACUGUUAUUUUGAAUCAUUUGGAUCUGAACAUUCAUGCCACAAUUAAGAAAAUUACAUUAAGAAAUGUGCUAGGUAGCAUUCCACAUCAAAAAUUCUGUUUUGAUCAUUUACCUACUCAAGGAGGAGUAGGAAUUAAGCUUGGGGAUGCUUGAUACGUCUCCAACGUAUCUAUAAUUUUUGAUUGUUCCAUGCUAUUAUAUUACCUAUUUUGGAUGUUUAUGAUACACUUUUAUAUCAUUUUUGGGACUAACCUACUAACCGGAGGCCCAGCCCGAAUUGCUGUUUUUUUGCCUAUUUCAGUGUUUCGUAGAAAAGGAAUAUCAAUCGGAGUCCAAACAGAAUGAAACUUUCGGGAGUGAUCUUUUUGGAACAAACACAAUCCAGGAGACUUGGAGUGGACGUCAAGCAGCAAACGAGGCAGACACGAGGGUGCCCGGUGCGCCUUAGGGGGGUGGGCGUGCCCCCACCCUCGUGGGCCCCUCGUGGCUCAGCCGACCUACUUCUUCCUCCUAUAUAUAUCCACGUACCCUGAAACCAUCCGGGAGCACCACGAAAAACUAUUUCCACCACCACAACCUUCUAUAUCCGCGAGAUCCCAUCUUGGAGCUUUCGACGGUGUUCCGUCGGAGGGGGAAUCAACCACAGAGGGCCUCUCCAUCAUCACCAAGGCCUCUCCGAUGAGUUGUGAGUAGUUUACCAUAGACCUUCGGGUCCAUAGUUAUUAGCUAGAUGGCUUCUUCUCUCUAUUUGAAUCUCAAUACAAAUUUCUCCUCGACCUUCUUAGAGAUCUAUUCGAUGUAACUCUUUUUGCGGUGUAUUUGUCGAGAUCCGAUAAAUUGUGGGUUUACUAUCAAGUUUAUCUAUGAGAAAUAUUUGAAUCUCCUCUGAAUUCUUUUAUGCAUGAUUGGUUAUCUUUGCAAGUCUCUUCGAAUUAUCAGUUUGGUUUACCUACUAGAUUGAUCUUUCUUGCAACGGGAGAAGUGCUUAGCUUUGGGUUCAAUCUUGCGGUGUCUGAGGGAGUCCCGGAUUAGGGGGUGUCUGGAUUGUCGGACUAUGACCUUUGGCUAGACUCCUGGACUAUGAAGAUACAAGAUUGAAGACUUCGUCCCGUGUCCGGAUGGGACUUUCCUUGGCGUGGAAGGCAAGCUUGGCGAUACGGAUAUGUAGAUAUCCUCCCAUUGUAACCGACUCUGUGUAACCCUAGCCCUCUCCGGUGUCUAUAUAAACCGGAGGGUUUUAGUCCGUGGGACGAACAACAAUCAUACCAUAGGCUAGCUUCUAGGGUUUAGCCUCUCUGAUCUCGUAGUAGAUCUACUCUUGUACUACCCAUAUCAUCAAUAUUAAUCAAGCAGGAGUAGGGUUUUACCUCCACCGAGCGGGCCCGAACCUGGGUAAAAACAUCAUGUCCCUUGUCUCCUGUUACCAUCCGCCUAGACGCAUAGUUCGGGACCCCCUACCCGAGAUCCGCCGGUUUUGACAUCGACAUUGGUGCUUUCAUUGAGAGUUCUGUUGUGCCGUCUCCAUCAGGAAGGAUGCCUCAUCCCGUCUUUAAAGACGGCGCUGUCGCUAAAGGAGCUUUGGCUAUCGGCCAAACUCUCCGGCUAGGCGGUUUUCUUAUGACCGCCUGUUCGGCCGCCGCGCCGACAUGACUUCUCGGGUCAUCGAAAGCAAUCUCCACGUCAACUCGGAACUCGCCGAGCAGUUAGAUCCGAUGGAGCUCUUUUCCUUAAACGAGCUCUUGGAUCGCAUCGCCGCCCUGGGAGUCGCUACAGACUACGAUCAGAUUGGGCUUAAACCCGAUCUAAGAGAGAUUAACUCUCCCCAGGUCACCCACCAUGUCGCAGUGGUGGAGGAACAACGCGUCAAGUCUUCAUCUAUCUUAAGGACUAGUUAUGUCCGGAUUCCCGACCCCUCCAAGCCGGAUACCCGCGGAGGGGAGGACGUCACUCAAGCCCUGAACCUAAAGUCAGGCAGCGGGCUAGAUUCAUUGGACAACAUCCAAGAACCCAAGCUUCCGAGUUCGGAAACUCCUUGGCCCCUGAGUCUCAGAUUGGGCGAGGUUCCGGAUUUAAUUCCACCCGCCCACCCAAAUAUAAGGGAUCUAUCCCAAAUUCGGCAAGCGCCCGCAGAAAUAGUACACCAUUACUGGGCCAGAUUCCUCCUGGUUAUGAACAUGAUAAAGGACUUCCGCGAGGAGGAUGCAAUUUCAUUCUUCUGCAAUAAUUGCACGGACAACGGAAUCCUCAACGCCGUAAGUCGCCGUGAAAUUACACGCUUCGCCGACUUGGCAUCCAUAGUAUGAAAGUACUGUGCGAUGGAAAGCGCCUGGAAAACCGAAAUAAAAUUUUGGGACAAUCCGGCCCUGAAUACAACCCCAGUCCGAAAUAAAAGGGUGCAUUAUCACCAGGCACCUGGGUUAAACACCAAAAAGCAAAAACCCUCUAUAGGGCAUGGAACCGUACUGGAGGGAUGGCUCAAUGGACCUUGUAAAAUUCAUAGUACAUAGGGCACCACACAAACUCAUAGCCUUAGAGCAUGUUGGAUACUCCGGCAGGUGGCCAGGAGUGGCGAGGAGCUUCUAACUCCAAAAUUCACAGAGCACCGGCCCAGGGAUACCAGUACAGUAUUAACAGUCUUUGAGACUUUCGCAUCAAAUAAUAUGCGGAAACGAACACUCCGCAACCUUGCCGAAGUCUACCAAGUAGCAAUAAUAAACCCAUGGAGUGACACAGAUAUUACCUUUAAUGCCAGUGAUGAACCUAAAUUCCGAACAGCCCGAGCACCACGCAUUGGUCCUCAGUCCAAUAGUGGACGGCUUUCGCCUUACCAAGGUACUCAUGGACGGUGGCAGCGGAUUGAACCUCAUUUAUGAGGAAACCCUUCAAAAAAUGGAAAUAGACUGGAGCCGCAUUGAGCGAAGCAACACAACCUUUAGAGGAAUAAUCCCCGGUCGGGAAGCGUGCUGUACAGGAAAAAAUCACACUGGAUGUGGUGUUCGGCAUGCCGGAUAAUUACCGGUCCGAGGAGGUCACGUUUCAAGUGGCCCCGUUCAGCAGCGGGUACCACGCUCUAUUAGGGCGAGAGGUUCACAAUUUUUCAAGCUAUACCCCAUUACGGGUACAUGAAACUCAAAAUGCCCGGACCCAACGGAAUCAUCACUCUUGCUAGCGACCCGGACAUAGCACUCCACGUCAAAAAUAAGACAGCCGCACUGGCCCUUGAGGCACUAUCCGAAGCCCUGGCGGCCGAGGAACUGACUGCGCUGCGCUCCAUGGUGAACAGGGAUGAUGUGAUACUCGAUAAGAGAUCCAAGUCCACCUUCUUUAAACCGGCGGACGAAAUAGUAAAAUUCCAAGUCCAUCCAAUGGACCCUACAAAAACGGCCUCCAUCGGGGCACACUUAAACCCUGAUGUAGACACCGCACUACGAGAAUUCCUACGCGAAAAUUGGGACAUUUUUGCAGGCUCUUCGGCGUUUCUCCGAACCUAAGAGACAAGCCAUGGGAGAGGAGCUAGACAAACUACUGGAGGCCAGAUUCAUCAGAGAUAUAAAACAUCCGGACUAGCUAGCAAACCUGGUGAUGGUACCAAAGAAGGACAAAUCCUGGCGCCUCUGCGUCGAUUUCAAGGACCUCAACAAGACUUGCCCAAAGGAUCCCUUCACCCUCCCCCGCAUCGAUCAAAUUAUCAACGCUACCGCAGGACAGAUUCAUUGUUUCCUCGACGCAUACUCCGGCUACCAUCAAAUUAAGAUGGCAGAGCCAGACCAAGCCGCAACGGCAUUCAUCACCCCAUACGGCCCAUUCUACUUCAACAAAAUGCCCUUCGGGCUCAAAAACACCGGCGCAACAUAUCAGCGCAUGAUUCAGACAUGUCUGGCAAACCAGAUCGGCAAAAUAGUAGAAGCGUACAUAGACGACGUGGUCAUCAAAACCAAGCAUGUCGAAACUCUAGUAGAUGACUUGAGGCUCACAUUCGAUAACCUCCGAACAUAUGACAUCAAGCUCAACCCGGAAAAAUACGUUUUCGGCGUACCAGCCAGAAAGCUCUUGGGCUUCAUUGUAUCCGGUAGAGGAAUUGAAGCAAACCCAGCCAAGAUCCGAGCUCUGUCACAAUUGGAUAUUCCAAAGGACCUCAAACAAAUACAAAAAUUGACUGGAUGCGUGGCGGCUCUAAGCCGCUUUAUCUCCCGCUUGGGAGAAAAGGCAUUACCCCUUUAUUGCCUCCUCUGGUGCACCGAACACGACGGAUGCCGCCACGGUCGGACUCGAAGAAAUAAAAGCCACAUUGGAAACAAACCCGGUCCUGGCCGCGCCCAACAUCGGCGAUCCAAUGCUAUUAUACAUUGCGGCAACUUAUCAAGUUGUAAGCGCAGUACUCGUCGUCGAACGAGAAACGGACGGACACAAAUUCCCCCUUCAAAAACCAGUUUACUACGUGUCCACUGUCCUCACUCCAUGCAAUUCACGGUACCCACAUUAUAAGAAGAUAGCGUACGCGGUGUUUAUGGCAUCCUGGAAGCUGCGACUACUUUCAAGAGUGUUUGAUAACAGUAGCCUCCGAAGUACCUCUUAACGAUAUUAUAAACAACCGUGAAGCGACGAGCCGGAUUGCCAAAUGGGCCAUUGAGCUCCUCCCGUUCGACAUAACCUAUAAGCCACGGCGAGCUAUCAAGUCGCAAGGUUUGGCCGACUUCAUCGCCGAAUGGACUGAAGCCGAACUCCCUAAAGAGUACGACACAUAUUCCAACUAGAUCAUGCACUUCGACGGCUCCAAAAUCUUAGCUGGUUUGGGGGCUGGCGUCGUUCUGACGUCCCCAAUAGGAGAUACAGUUCAAUAUGUACUCCAGAUAAUGUAUAUGGACUCCAACAACGCAGCCGAAUACGAGGCCCUUCUACAUGGUCUCCGGAUGGCAGUCUCCAUGGGCAUCCAACGCCUAGAGGUGCGUGGGGAUUUGAACCUCCGAAAAUGGUAGCUUAUCGCAAACAUUUUCUUGGAAAGGCUAUUCAAGCCAUCCGUACUAUGGGAAGGGGAAUCCGGAAAUAACAGCCCAGACCCAACCGCACCGCCCGACACCGAACAUUCUGACACAACGGGAGGCUAUGCCAACGAAGUAACAUCCUUAGCCCAUGUAAUAAUGGCAGUCAUUGCCCCGUGGAUAGAACCAUUCCUAGCGUACCUAACUAGGCAGGAACUUCCCGAGGACCAAAACGAGGCACGCUGCAUAGUGCGACGAUCUAAAGCCUAUAAAGUCCAUGAAGGAAAGCUUUAUAAGAAAAGCACUACCGGAGUCCUUCAAAGGUGUAUCUCCGAAGAGGAAGGGCGGAAUCUUCUGGCUGAAAUUCAUGCUGGGCUCGGCGGGCACCACGCCGUAGCCCGGGCCCUUGUAAGCAAGGCCUUUCGUACAAGAUUUUAUUAGCCGACGGCCCGGGCAGAUGCUCAGGACUUAGUCCAACGAUGCGUCGGUUGCCAACUCUUUGCUAACCAAAGCCAUAUGCCACCCACCGCCCUCGAAACUAUACCCAUCACCUGGCCCUUUGUGGUCUGGGGGCUUGACAUGGUUGGACCCCUUAAAGGAGGAACCCACAAACAAAAAUACCUACUGGUCAUGGUGGACAAAUUCACCAAAUGGAUAGAGGCCAAGCCUGUUAAGAUGGCCAAAUCCGGACCAGUGAUAGACUUCAUAUCAGGGGUCGUACACUGUUACGGUGUCCCCAACAGCAUCAUCACUGAUAAUGGCACGAACUUUACGACCGACGAGGUCAAACUCUGGUGCAAAAACAUGGGCAUCAAGCUCGACUACGCUUCAGUCUAUCACCCACAAACUAACGGUCAAGUCGAGCAAGCAAAUGGUCUAAUAAUGAGUGGCAUCAAACCUAGAUUAGUGCGGUCCCUCAAGGAAUCUAACACGCACUGGGUAGAGGAGCUCGACUCCGUACUCUGGGGGCUGUGGACCACUCUGAAUCGCACAACCGGAUUCACACCAUUCUUUAUGGUAUACGAUACAGAGGCAGUUCUGCCCUGCGACAUAAUUCAUGACUCACCUCACGUGCGCAUGUACGAAGAAAGAGAAGCCGAACUCGAUCGGCAGGACAACUUGGACGCCUUGGAGGAGGAGCGUGACAUGGCAAAAGCCUGUUCAGCAUUCUAUCAACAGCAGGCUCGAAGAUAUCAAAGCAGAGAAGUACGGGCCAAAACUUAUAAUGUUGGUGAGUUAGUUAUAUGCCUGCUGGACAAGAAAAAGGACAAACUCAAGCCCAAAUGGGAAGGUCCCUUCAUUAUUGACCAAGUCCUCACUUGUGGAGCGUACUGUCUGCGAGAUGCAUCGGAUAACCGACUCGAGCCGAGCCCAUGGAACGCAGCCCGUCUCCGAAGAUUCUACGCCUAGCCCCGGACUCUGUGUUCGUCUCCUUCCUCUGUCCAUUUAUUAUACAUUAGUUGUCUUAUAUUUCUCUACUUCUCCCUCCUUUUCUCUUACAGCCUUUAAGGGCUUGUUCGUGCCUUGUUCGCACACAAUUGACGCGCUAUCCGCGCUCAUCAUACCUGGGGGCUUCUUUAACAAAAGCUUGUUUAUACAGGGCCUCAUGCCCAACACAUGUGUCACACUUCCGCAUGUACCUUUUUUCUCACCAUUAUAUGCAUCCAUAUGACUUAAGUUUUGGCCAAGCUGGGUUGCCUGGCUCAUGUGCUUACCCCUACGUUCCCGAUUGUUCGGCUAGGCGGUAAAGGGAGCACCUCUGCGAUUGUUACUGCCGGGUCAGCCGGAUGUGUACCUCAGACUGGGUGAAGUCGAAAGCUAGUGUUCUUAAGGGAAUAUUCGGUCGGUGAACUAAAGAUGAUUUCCAACUCGUUUAUCUAUCCGCCCCCAGAUGCUUUUCUUCUCUUUUCGCAGUCCGGACAUGCACUUUAGGGCAUGCCUCCCCAGGGAAAGGAACCCCUAACGGAACUAUUCUCCCUGGAAGAUGUUUCUUACUAACCAUGUAAUAUAACAUAACUAGUUGGGCACUUGUCUGUUCAAGCACUAAUGACCCCUACGCCUGGUCUCCACGCAUGCCCUAGUUCUUACAUAACCGAGAGGGUAUUCGGACACACUCCGGACUAUCGGGUCCCGAGGUUGAAGCGAGAAGGUCCGCCAUGACAAACGAUCUACAAUCCGGCUAGAAGGCAUUUUAUAUGUCAUUUUAAAUUACAUAGUCAAUUUGACUAGGUAUAUUCCUCUUCAAUACCAUCCAACAGGUUGUCUAGUUUACAGUCCUGUUGGGAAUAUUUGGCGGCCAACUCUACCUGGCUGUACACUAAACUCACAGGGAUCUCCUUCCCAUCGGGCCCCACAGGUCCGACCUCGGCCAUGUGGUUUGGGUCGGACUUCGUGUACCGCGUCUUCACCAUGGCCCAGGCUUCCCUGGCGCCUUGACGGCAGGCCGAUAUCUUCCAUAAUCGGAAGCGCCGCCACGCUCCCUUCAGCUUCUUUGCAAGCUCUCCAAGGCCUUCGGGCAUGGAGACGGAUGGCCACAAGGCCUGGAUGACACCUUGCAUUACCUGCCGAACUCGUUCGUGCAGUUGUAAGAGCUCAGGAAGAAGGUCACCCAUAGAACCGGGCAUUUCCUCGGCACGCCGACCUGUCAGCAUACCUACAGACAUAACUCUGUCAAUCGACUUCCUCGCCGAACUCUUUUUCGAAGUUCGUUCAAGCACUUACUAAAAAUGUCACGUCGAAGCCGCCGAUUCUCCUUCACGGAGUCCGACAGCUGAGCACGAACAUCCUUUAGUUCCUCGCCCAGCUGGGUGUUGGCAUCUUGGAGCUUAUUCUUCUCUUGCCUCACCCUUGUAAGCUAUCUCGCCGGCCUUUAACCGGCGCAAGAGUUGUUGCUUGUCCGGAUCCACUCCGGCGCCAUCUGCAAUGUUAUCGUCAAAUUUGCACACAUGCCGCCCUUCACAACAUACUUAUCUUUCGAAGCAUAUAUUACCAGAGGGGGUCUCCUUGGUCUCCCCCGCUGCGGCUAGUGUGGCCUCAAGUUGGGCUUUGCACUUUUCCAGCUCCUGGGACAGUUGGGUAUUCUUUUCUGUAAGAUCCUGCAUAACAAAUGAUCCUUAAAUCAGUUAUUCUAACUGUUUCAAGUCUUGGGGGCUACUGACAUAUAUAACCAUCAAUUUUUCUCACCCGUAUGUCUUUUACAUACUACUCUGUGGCUCCGGCUAGACCAUUUUGAGCGGCACGGAGGUAUGCAUAUCCCGUAUUAAAGGCAUCCAAUGCCUCCUGGGAUAAACAAGCGUCACGAAGAACUGUCCGGCGACGCCUGUGGUUCAUGGCACUCUCCACCUCGGAAUUGGUGGCAGACAGCCCGUCCGCAUCCUCUGUCGGAGGAGCGCCCGAUGCGCGCCUCGUGUUCGCCUCCGCUUCCGGACCCGGCCUUGGAGCCUGGCCGGUGGAGGCGCGAUUGGCAACCUCUCCGGAUAUAGUCCGGCGAGUGCUCUUUUUCCUGAAGAGAGCACGAGCGUUAGUAUACCUUGAGGGAAUAAAACCUGGGAAUAAAAUCGCGCGCCAUACCACUGCACCGGCGUCUCAAUCCGGACCGCACUUCUUUUCAGCCUGCCAGGCCUUGAUGCCCCUUGUUGGCUAGCCACCGCAGGCUCGGCCCUCCGCCUCAAGGACUUCCCCUGCAAAAACACCAUUGGUAUACGGUGGUCAAAAAUAAGCACGGGUGCAUCAUCUUAAAAGUACGGGGACUUCAGUCUCGGUUACUUGUGAGGCUAGAAGUAGUCCGGGAUAAUCGGUCGUAAUGGCCACUAAGGUGUUGUCCUUGCUCAAUUGAUGAAACACCCCAUCGAUCAGCUCCACAGAUAAGUCCGGGUCCUCUUGGGAGUCUGGAUUGAAGGACCGUUCCGGGUCCUCGGGUUGUGUAGGAGGGCUGUUUAUCUCCUUUACAGCCUAGCGUAGCUCCUGCAUUGAAAUUGCUAGGCUGAAUACUUAACUAUGGGAAUAUGAAACAGAUGGGCGAGUGAAAGUGCCUGCUUACCCAGCUUGGAGGAUUUUACAUAGAAAAUCCGCCCGUGGGUUGGCACGGAGGAAUUCCUCCUCUUCUCCCUUGUACAAAGUGGACAAGAUCUUUAUUAGAGCGGCAGCCGAUUCCGGCCCCUUACGGCCGCACCGGGUGUCGUCGUCCUCCCCGUUGAAAUCCCACAUGGGGUGGCCUCUAUACUGAAGCGGCUGCACCCCCCGCAUAGUGCAUGUGGCCAUGACCUCGAUCAUGGUCAGUCCGGAAUGAGCUAACAACCUUAUCCAGCUCAUCAGGUAAAGGACGUCCUUGUCAUUUUCCUUCUGAGGGCUCCGUGGACGCCAGCUUAGGCGCUUCUUCAAAGGAGCAUUAUUAAACUCAGGGAGGCCGAUCCGAAUAGGGUCCGGCAGGGGGACAUCUUCUAUAUAAAAUCAUUCUGAGGGACAGUCUUCGGACGCCUUCUUUGGGGUUCCGGAUAGAUAUCCGGUCCAGGCGAUGCGCCAUAGUUUGGCUCCGCCCACUUGAUAUAUCGACCCCUCCUGAGAAUGGGGCACAAGGCAGAACAACUUCUUCCACAGCGCGAAAUGGGCCUCGACGCCCAGAAACAGCUCGCAAAGGGCUAUGAAGCCCGCAAUAUGCAAUAUGGAGGCAGGCGUAAGGUUGUGCAACUGGAGGCCGUAGAACUCCAGGAGCCCCCGGAGAAACAGAUGAAUUGGAAAUCCGAGCCCUCUUAUCAAAUAAGAGACAAGGCAUACCCGCUCUCCUUUGGAGGGAUUGGGGACGCUCUCCGCUUGCUCUCCACCAUUAUAGGUGGCAAGCCCGGCUCGAACCGGGACCAUGUAGGCUGGGGGGAGAAACCCCUUGGUUUGGAGCACCACUAGCUCAUUGUGCGGGACGGAGCAUCUCUCCCAAUCUCCAGGCUGAGGGAUGUGGGGGCGAGAGGAGGAGCUGCAUCGACUGGCCAUGAUGGAAUGGAUCUCUGUCGAAUGCACUCCGAUGAAUGCUCGCGGAGGGAAGAUGGUGUGAUUCUGAUCUAAAUCCCCGUCUCUUUUAUAGGCGGCUCAUUUGCACAGCUAGGGGGGUAAAUGAAAAAACACCCUAGCUUUUCGCAUUCUCUUCACACGUGGAAGAUGGCCAUUAUUGGGCGCAGAAGCCAAGGAGCGCAACAUUCAUCAUAAGCUGGACACUAUUCAACAGGUAUAUGGAAUUUGGAGAAGAACCCGCCUUGCAAUGCCGAAGACAAAUCUGCGCGCCGGACUCAUCGUCAUUGAAGCCCUGUUCGGGGGCUACUGAGGGAGUCCCGGAUUAGGGGGUGUCCGGAUUGCCGGACUAUGACCUUUGGCCGGACUCCUGGACUAUGAAGAUACAAGAUUGAAGACUUCGUCCCGUGUCCGGAUGGGACUUUCCUUGGCGUGGAAGGCAAGCUUGGCGAUAUGGAUAUGUAGAUCUCCUCCCAUUGUAACCGACUCUAUGUAACCCUAACCCUCUCCGGUGUCUAUAUAAACCGGAGGGUUUUAGUCCGUGGGAUGAACAACAAUCAUACCAUAGGCUAGCUUCUAGGGUUUAGCCUCUCCGAUCUCGUGGUAGAUCUACUCUUGUACUACCCAUAUCAUCAAUAUUAAUCAAGCAGGAGUAGGGUUUUACCUCCACCGAGAGUGCCCAAACCUGGGUAAAAACAUCGUGUCCCUUGUCUCCUGUUACCAUCCACCUAGACGCACAGUUCGGGACCCCCUACCCGAGAUCCGCCGGUUUUGACACCGACAGUGUCCUUUCCCAGUGACAGCAGGGGCAGCAAGGCACGUAUUGUAUUGUUGCCAUCGAGGAUAAAAAGAUGGGGUUUAUAUCAUAUUGCUUGAGUUUAUCCCUCUACAUCAUGUCAUCUUGCUUAAUGUGUUACUCUGUUCUUAUGAACUUAAUACUCUAGAUGCAGGCAGGAGUCGGUCGAUGUGUGGAGUAACAGUAGUAGAUGCAACAGGAGUCGAUCUACUUGUUGCGGAUGUGAUGGAUGCCUAUAUACAUGAUAAUGCCUAGAUAUUCUAAUAACUAUGCACUUUUCUAUCAAUUGCUCAACAGUAAUUUGUUCAUGCACCAUAAUACUUAUGCUAUCUUGAGAGAAGCCACUAGUGAAACCUAUGGCCCCCGGGUCUAUUCUCUAUCAUAUAAGUUUCCAAUCGACUUUAUUUUGCAAUCUUUAAUUUUCAAUCUAUAUCAUAAAAAUACCAAAAAUAUUUAUCUUAUCAUAUUAUCUCUAUCAGAUCUCACUUUCGCAAGUGGCCGUGAAUGGAUUGACAACCCCUUUAUCGCGUUGGUGGCGAGGUUCUUGUUUGUUUUUAUAGGUAUGAGGGACUUGCGUGGAGUCUCCUACUGGAUUGAUACCUUGGUUCUCAAAACCUGAGGGAAAUACUUACCCUACUUUGCUGCAUCACCCUUUCCUCUUCAAGGGAAAAACCAACACAUGCUCAAGAGGUAGCAUCGCGCCGGUGAUGAUGGAGAUCAUGACGAUGCUUUGGUGAUGGAGAUCAUGAGCGCAAGAUGAUGAUGGCCAUAUCAUGUCACAUAUUUUGAUUGCAUGUGAUGUUUAUCCUUUAUGCAUCUUAUUUUUCUUAGAACGUCAGUAGCAUUAUAAGAUGAUCCCUUACUAAAAAUUUCAAGGUACAAGUGUUCUCCCCGAGUAUGCACCAUUGCUAUAGUUCGUUGUGCGGAGACACCAUGUGAUGAUCUAGUGUGAUAAGCUCUACGUUCACAUACAACGGGUGCAAGCCAGUUUUGCACACACAGAAUACUCAGGUUAAACUUGAUGAGCCUAGUAUAUGCAGAUAUGGCCUCGGAACAUUAAGACCGAAAGGUCGAGCAUGAAUCAUAUAGUAGAUAUGAUCAACAUAGUGAUGUUCACCAUUGAAAACUACUCCAUCUCACAUGAUGAUUGGACAUGGUUUAGUUGAUUUGGAUCACGUGAUCACUUGGAUAAUUAGAGGGAUGUCUAUCUAAGUGGGAGUUCUUAAGUAAUAUGAUUAAUUGAACUUUAAUUUAUCAUGAACUUAGUACCUGAUAGUAUUUUGCAUGUCUAUGUUGUAGUUGAUCAAUGGCUCGUGCUACUGUUCCAUUGAAUUUUAAUGCGUUCCUAGAGAAAGCUAAGUUGAAAGAUGAUGGCAGCAACUACACAGACUGGGUCCAUAACUUGAGGAUUAUCCUCAUUGCUGCACAAAAGAAUUACGUCCUGGAAGCACCGUUAGGUGUACCACCCGCGCCCGCAACUGCAGACAUUGUGAAUGCCUGGCAGGCGCGUGUUGAUGACUACUUGAUAGUUCAGUGUGCCAUGCUUUACGGCUUAGAAUCGGGACUUUAACGACGUUUUGAACGUCAUGGAGCAUAUGAGAAAUUCCAGGAGUUGAAGUUAAUAUUCCAAGCAAAUGCUCGAAUUGAGAGAUUUGAAGUCCCCAAUAAGUUCUACAGCUGUAAAAUGGAGGAGAAUAGUUCCGUCAAUGAACACAUACUCAGAAUGUCUGGGUACCACAACCACUUGACUCAACUGGGAAUUAAUCUUCCUGAUGAUAGUGUCAUUGAUAGAGUUCUUCAAUCACUGCCACCAAGCUACAAAAGCUGCGUAAUGAACUAUAAUAUGCAAGGGAUGAACAAGACUAUUCCCGAGCUCUUCUCAAUGCUAAAGGCUGUGGAGGUAGAAAUCAAAAAGGAGCAUCAAGUGUUGAUGGUCAACAAGACCACUAGUUUCAAGAAAAAGGGCAAAUGGAAGAAGGGGAACUUCAAGAAGAAUGGCAAAAAGGUUGUUGCUCAAGAGAAGAAACCCAAGUCUGGACCUAAGCCUAAAACUGAGUGCUUCUACUGCAAAGGGACUGGUCACUGGAAGCGGAACUGCCCCAAGUAUUUGGCGGAUAAGAAGGAUGGCAAAGUGAAAGGUAUAUUUGAUAUACAUGUUAUUGAUGUGUACUUAACUAAUGCUCGCAGUAGCGCCUGGGUAUUCGAUACUGGUUUUGUUUCUCAUAUUUGCAAGUCGAAACAGGGGCUACGGAUUAAGCGAAGAUUGACUAAGGAUGAGGUGACGAUGCGCGUGGGAAAUGGUUCCAAAGUCGAUGUGAUCGCGGUCGGCACACUACCUCUACAUCUACCAUCAGGAUUAGUUUUAGACCUGAAUAAUUGUUAUUUGGUGCCAGCGUUGAGCAUGGACAUUAUAUCUGAAUCUUGUAUAAUGUGAGACGGUUGUUCAUUUAAAUCAGAGAAUAAUGGUUGUUCUAUUUAUAUGAGUAAUAUCUUUUAUGGUCAUGCACCCCUACUGAGUGGUCUAUUUUUGUUGAAUCUCGAUAGUAGUGAUACACAUAUUCAUAGUGUUGAAGCCAAAAGAUAUAAGUUUAAUAAUGAUAGUGCAACUUAUUUAUGGCACUGCCGUUUGGGUCAUAUUGGUGUAAAGCGCAUGAAGAAACUCCAUGCUGAUGGAAUUUUGGAAUCACUUGAUUAUGAAUCACUUGGUGCUUGCGAACCGUUCCUUAUGGGUAAGAUGACUAAAACUCCGUUCUCCGGAACAAUGGAACGAGCUACUGACUUAUUGGAAAUAAUACAUACUGAUGUAUGCGGUCCAAUGAGUAUUGAAGCUCAUGGCGGGUAUCGUUAUUUUCUUACCUUCACAAAUGAUUUAAGCAGAUAUGGUUAUGUCUACUUAAUGAAGCAUAAGUCUGAAACAUUUGAAAAGUUCAAAGAAUUUCAGAGUGAAGUGGAAAAUCAUCGUAACAAGAAAAUAAAGUUUCUACGAUCUGAUCGUGGAGGAGAAUAUUUGAGUUAUGAGUUUGGUCUUCAUUUGAAACAACAUGGGAUAGUUUCACAAUUAACGCCACCUAGAACACCAUAGUGAAAUGGUGUGUCCGAACGUCGUAACCGUACUUUAUUAUAUAUGGUGCGAUCUAUGAUGUCUCUUACUGAUUUAUCGAUAUCAUUUUGGGGUUAUGCUUUAGAGACGGCUGCAUUCACUUUAAAUAGGGCACCACAAAAUCCGUUGAGACGACGCCUUAUGAACUGUGGUUUGGUAAGAAACCAAAGUUAUCGUUUCUUAAAGUUUGGGGCUGCGAUGCUUAUGUGAAAAAGCUUCAACCUGAUAAGCUCGAACCCAAAUCGGAGAAGUGUGUCUUCAUAGGAUACCCAAAGGAAACUGUUGGGUACACCUUCUAUCACAGAUCCGAAGGCAAAAUCUUUGUUGCUAAGAAUGGAUCCUUUUUAGAGAAGGAUUUUCUCUCGAAAGAAGUGAGUGGGAGGAAAGUAGAACUUGAUGAGGUAGUUGUGCCUUCUCCCUUAUUGGAAAGUAAUUCAUCACAGAAAUCAGUUUCUGUGAUUCCUACACAAUUAGUGAGGAAGCUAAUGAUGAUGAUCAUGAAGCUUCAGAUCAAGUUACUACCGAACCUCAUAGGUCUUCUAGAGUGAGAUCCGCACCAGAGUGGUGCAGUAAUCCUGUUCUGGAAGUCAUGUUACUAGAUCAUGAUGAACCUACGAACUAUGAGGAAGCGAUGAUGAGCCCAGAUUCCGCAAAAUGGAUUGAAGCCAUGAAAUCUGAGAUGGGAUCCAUGUAUGAGAACAAAGUGUGGACUUUGGUGGACUUGCCCGAUGAUCGGCAAGCCAUAGAAAAUAAAUGGAUCUUUAAGAAGAAGACCAACGUAGACGGUAAUGUUACUGUUUAAAAAGCUCAACUUGUUGCGAAAGGUUUUCGACAAGUUCAAGGAGUUGACUAUGAUGAGACUUUCUCACCCGUAGCGGUGCUUAAGUCUGUCUGAAUCAUGUUAGCAAUUGCUGCAUUUUAUGAUUAUGAAAUUUGGCAAAUGGAUGUCAAAACUGCAUUCCUGAAUGAUUUCUGGAAGAAGAAUUGUAUAUGAUGCAACCAGAAGGUUUUGUCGAUCCAAAGGGUUCUAACAAAGUGUGCAAGCUCCAUCGAUCCAUUUAUAGACUGGUGCAAGCCUCUCGGAGUUGGAAUAAACGCUUUGAUAGUGUGAUCAAAGCAUAUGGUUUUAUACAGACUUUUGGAGAAGCCUGUAUUUACAAGAAAGUGAGUGGGAGCUCUGUAGCAUUUCUGAUACUAUAUGUGGAUGACAUAUUGUUGAUUGGAAAUGAUAUAGAAUUUCUGGAUAGCAUAAAGGGAUACCUGAAUAAGAGUUUUUCCAUGAAAGUCCUCGGUGAAGCUGCUUACAUGUUGGGCAUCAAGAUCUAUAGAGAUAGAUCAAGACGCCUAAUUGGACUUUCACAAAGCACAUACCUUGAUAAAGUUUUAAAGAAGUUUAAAAUGGAUCAGUCAAAGAGAGGGUUCUUGCCUGUGUUACAAGGUGUGAAGUUGAGUCAUACUCAAUGCCCGACCACUACCGAAGAUAGAGAGAAAAUGAAAGUCAUUCCCUAUGCUUCAGCCAUAGGUUCUAUCAUGUAUGCAAUGUUGUGUACCAUACCUGAUGUAUGUCUUGCUAUAAGCAUAGCAGGGAGGUACCAAAGUAAUCUCGGAGUGGAGCACUGAACAACGGUCAAGAACAUCCUGAAAUACCUGAAAAGGGACUAAGGAUAUGUUUCUGGUUUAUGGAGGUGAAAAAGAGCUCGUCGUAAACGGUUACGUCGAUGCAAGCUUUGACACUAAUCCGGAUGACUCUAAGUCGCAAAUUGGAUAUGUAUUUUUAUUGAAUGGAGGAGCUGUCAGUUGGUCCAGUUCCAAAGAGAGCGUCGUGGUAGGAUCUACGUGUGAAGUGGAGUACAUUGCUGCUUCGGAAGCAGCGAAUGAAGGAGUUUGGAUGAAGGAGUUCAUAUCCGAUCUAGGUGUCAUACCUAGUGCAUCGGGUCCAAUGAAAAUCUUCUGUGACAAUACUGGUGCAAUUGCCUUGGCAAAGGAAUCCAGAUUUCACAAGAGAACCAAGCACAUCAAGAGACACUUCAAUUCCACCCGUCAUCAAGUGUCGGAGGGGGGCAUAGAGAUUUGCAAGAUACACAUGGAUCUGAAUAUUGCAGACCCGUUGACUAAGCCUCUUCCACGAGCAAAACAUGAUCAGCACCAAAGCUCCAAGGGUGUUAGAAUCAUUACAAUGUAAUCUAGAUUAUUGACUCUAGUGCAAGGUGGGAGACUGAAGGAAAUAUGCCCUAGAGGCAAUAAUAAAAAUAUUAUUUAUUUCCUGAAUUCAUGAAGAAUGUUUAUUAUUCAUGCUAUAAUUGUAUUAACCGGAAACUUAGUACAUGUAUGAAUACAUACACAAAACAUAUAGUCCCUAGUAUGCCUCUACUUGACUAGCUCGUUAAUCAAAGAUGGUUAUGUUUCCUAACCAUAGACAUGUGUUGUCAUUUGAUGAACGGGAUCACAUCAUUAGGAGAAUGAUGUGAUGGACAUGACCCAUCCGUUAGCUUAGCAUUAUGAUCGUGUUAGUUUCAUUGCUACUGCUUUCUUCAUGACUUAUACAAGUUCCUCAGACUAUGAGAUUAUGAAACUCCCUAAUACCGGAGGAACAGUUUGUGUGCUACCAAACAUCACAACGUAAAUGGGUGAUUAUAAAUAUGCUCUACAGGUGUCUCCGAAGGUGUUUGUUGGGUUGGCAUAGAUCGAGAUUAGGAUUUUUCACUCUGUGUUUCGGAGAGGUAUCUCUGGGCCCAUUCGGUAAUACUCAUCACUAUAAGCCUUGCAAACAUUGUGUCUAAUGAGUUAGUUGCAGGAUGAAGUAUUAUGUAAUGAGUAAAGAGACUUGCCGGUAACGAUAUUGAACUAGGUAUUGAGAUACCAACGAUCAAAUCUCGGGCAAGUAACAUAUCGAUGACAAAGGGAACAAUGUAUGUUGUUAUGCGGCUUGACCGAUAAAGAUCUUCAUAGAAUAUGUAGGAACCAAUAUGAGCAUCCAGGUUCCACUAUUGGUUAUUGACCGGAGAUGUGUCUCGGUCAUGUCUACAUAGUUCUCGAACCCGUAGGGUCCGCACGCUUAACGUUUGAUGACGAUUGGUAUUAUGAGUUUAUGUGUUUUGAUGUACCGAAGGUAGUUCGGAGUCCUGGAUGUGAUCACGGACAUGACGAGGAGUCUCGAAAUGGUUGAGACAUAAAGAUCGAUAUAUUGGAAGGCUAUGUUUGGACACCGGAAAGGUUCCUAGAGGUUCGGGCAUUUUUCCGGAGUAUCGGGACAUUACCGGAACCCCCCGGGGAGUCAAUGGGCCUUAAUGGGCCAUAGUGGAAGAGAGGAGGAGGCGGCCAAGGUGGGGCGCCCUCCCCCAAGCCCAAUCCGAAUUGAGAGGGGGGCCGGCCCCCCUUUCGUUCUCUUCCUAUCCCUCUUCCUUCUUCUCCUACUCCAACUAGGGAAGGGGGAGACCUACUCCUACUGGGAGUAGGACUCCCCCUCUUGGGCACGCCAUAGAGGUCCAGCCCUCCCCCUCCUCCACUCCUUUAUAUACGGGGGAGGGGGCACCCCAAAGAAACACAAGUUGACAAUUGUUUUAGCCGCGUGCGGUGCCCCCUCCACAGAUUUUCACCUUGGUCAUAUUAUCGUAGUGCUUAGGCGAAGCCCUGCGCCGGUAACUUCAUCAUCACCGUCACCACGCCAUCGUGCUGACGAAACUCUCCCUCGACCUCAGCUGGAUCUAGAGUUUGUGGGACGUCACCGAGCUGAACGUGUGCAAAUCGUGGAGGUGCCGUACCUUCAGUGCUAGGAUCGGUCGGAUCAUGAAGACGUACGACUACAUCAACUGCGUUGUCAUAACGCUUCCGCUUUUGGUCUACGAGGGUGCGUGAUACGUCUCCAACGUAUCUAUAAUUUUUGAUUGUUCCAUGCUAUUAUAUUACCCCUUUUGGAUGAUUAUGGGCUUUAUUUUACACAUUUAUAUCAUUUUUGGGACUAACCUACUAACUGGAGGCCCAGCCCGUAUUGCUGUUUUUUUGCCUAUUUCAGUAUUUCGAAGAAAAGGAAUAUCAAACGGAGUCCAAACGGAAUGAAACCUUUGGGAGCGUGAUUUUUGGAACGAAGGUGAUUCGGAGAACUUGGAGUGCAAGCCAAGAAGCAGCCGAGGCGGCCACGAGGGUGGAGGGCGCGCCCACCCCUCCUGGGCGCGCCCCCUGUCUCGUGGGCCCCUCAAGCGGCCACCGACGUACUUCUUCCUCCUAUAUAGGCCUACAUACCCCGAAAACAUCCAGGGAGGCAUCGAAGAAAUAUUUCUACCACCGUAACCUUCUGUAUCCACGAGAUCCCAUCUUGGAGCCGUCGCCGGCGUUCUGCCGGAGGGCGAAUCCACCAUGGAGGGCUUCUACAUCAACACCAUAGCCCUUCCGAUGAGUUGUGAGUAGUUUACCACAGACCUUCGGGUCCAUAGUUAUUAGCUAGAUGGCUUCUUCUCUCUUUUUGGAUCUCAAUACAAUGUUCUCCCCCUCUCUUGUGGAGAUCUAUUCGAUGUAAACUCUUUUUGCGGUGUGUUUGUCGAGAUCCGAUGAAUUGUGGGUUUAUGAUCAAGUUUAUCUAUGAAUAAUAUUUGAAUCUUCUCUGAAUUCUUUUAUGUAUGAUUGAGUUAUCUUUGCAAGUCUCUUCGAAUUAUCGGUUUGGUUUGGCCUACUAGAUUGAUCUUUCUUGCCAUGGGAUAAGUGCUUAGCUUUGGGUUCAAUCUUGCGGUGUCCUUACCCAGUGACAGAAAGGGUUGCAAGGCACGUAUUGUAUUGUUGCCAUCAAGGAUAAAAAGAUGGGGUUUAUAUCAUAUUGCAUGAGUUUAUCCCUCUACAUCAUGUCAUCUUUCUUAAUGCGUUACUCUGUUCUUAUGAACUUAAUACUCCAGAUGCAUGCUGGAUAGCGGUCGAUGUGUGGAGUAAUAGUAGUAGAUGCAGGCAGGAGUCGGUCUACUUGUCACGGAUGUGAUGUCUAUAUACAUGAUCAUGCCUAGAUAAUCUCAUAAUUAUUCGCUUUUCUAUCAAUUGCUCGACAGUAAUUUGUUCACGCACCAUAAUACUUAUGCUAUCUUGAGAGAAGCCUCUAGUGAAACCUAUGGCCCCCGGGUCUAUACUUUAUCAUAUAAGCUUUCAAUCUACUUAUAUUUUCAUCUUUAUUUUCUGCAUCUAUAUUAUAAAAUACCAAAAAUAUAUUUAUCUUAUCAUAUUAUCUCUAUCAGAUAUCACGUUCGCAAGUGGCCGUGAAGGGAUUGACAACCCCUUUAUCGCGUUGGUUGCGAGUUCUUUGUUUGUUUGUGUAGGUUCGUGGGACUUGUGAGGAGCCUCCUACUGGAUUGAUACCUUGGUUCUCAAAAACUAAGGGAAAUACUUACGCUACUGUGUUGCAUCAUCCUUUCUCUUCAAGGAAAACCAACGCAAGCUCAAGACGUAGAAGUACAUAGACAACACUCUCCCUCUCAUUGCUAUGCAUCACCUAGAGAUAGAUCUUGCGUGAUCGUAGGAUUUUUUUGAAAUUACCGCGUUCCCCAACACUUAUGAUGGAUGAAGGAAUAAGGAUUAACAAAAGGCUAAGCUUGGGGAUGCCUGAGGCACCCCAAGAUAAUAUUCAAUAAGUAGAAAGCAACUAAGCUUGGGGAUGCCCCCGAGUGGCAUCCCCUCUUUCUUUUAACAACCAUCGGUAUUUUACUUGGAGCUAUAUUUUUAUUUGUCACAUAUUAUGAGUUUUUCUUGCACCAUCUUAUAUGAUAUGAGUCUUUGCUUGUUUUGCUUUGUGUUUCAAGUCCUUAAUCCUUGCUGGACACACCUUUUUGAGAGAACAAAAAAUUAUGCUAUGCUUGCUCCUAUGCUUCACUCAAAUGUUUAGUGCCAUGUAACUUCUCUAUUGCUUCAAUUAUAUUUUUUAGCACGGUGUGCUUUGUUAUUUUGAAUAAAUGCUCUCAUGCUUCACUUAGAUUUAUUUGGGAGUUAGUAAAAAAAUUAAAAAAUUCUCUCUUGCUUCACUUAGAUUAUUUUGAGAGAAAGAAAAAUUAUGCUCAUGUUCUUCACUUAAAUCUGUUUGAGCUUAUUAAAAGCAACAUAUGAAAAUAGUCCCAAAGUGAUAGAUAUCCAAGGAGGAUAUAAUAAAAACUUUCAUGAAGAUCAUUGGACAAAAUAAACUUGGUUCUUAGUAAUGGUUUUGAGAUAUGACGAUGUGAUAUCUGAGUCAUGUUGAUGAGUAAUUAUGCAUUAGUAAGAAUAUUCGUGUUAAGGCUUGUGAUUCCCUAUGGAAGCACGAAAAUGAAGGAAAUAUGCCCUAAAGGCAAUAAUAAAGUUAUUAUUUAUUUCCUUAUUUCGUGAUAAAUGUUUAUUAUGUUGGGAACGCGGUAAUUUCAAAAAAAGUCCUACGAUCACGCAAGAUCUAUCUAGGUCAUGCAUAGCAACGAGGGGGAGAGUGUGUCCACGUACCCUUGUAGACCGAUAGCGGAAGCGUUAAGUAACACGGUUGAUGUAGUCGAACGUCUUCGUGACCCAACCGAUCAAGUACCGAAUGCAAGGCACCUCCAUGAUCUGCACACGUUCAGCUCGGUGACGUCCCUCGAACUCUAGAUCCAGCUGAGGUCGAGGGAGAGUUCCGGCAGCACGAUGGUGUGGUGACAGUGAUGAUGAAGUUACUGGCGUAGGGCUUCGCCUAAGCACUACGACGAUAUGACCGAGGUGGAGAACUAUGGAGGGGGCACCGCACACGGCUAAAGAUCAACUUGCGUGUCUAUGGGGUGCCCCCUGGCCACCUAUAUAAAGGAGGGGAGGGAAGAGGUGGCCGGCCCAAGGGGGGCGUGCCUGAUGUGGGAAUCCUACAAGGACUCCCCAGUCCAAGUAGGAUUCCCCUCCUCUUUCCUAUUCCUAGUAGGAGAAGGAGGGAAGGAGGAAGAGGGGAGAAGGAAGGAGGGGGGCCCCGCCCCCUCCUAGUCCAAUUCGGACCAGCCCAUGGGGGGGGCGGCCACCCCUUGAGGCCCUUCUCUCCUUUCCCGUACGGCCCAUUAAGGCCCAUUACUUCCCCCGGCGAAUUCCCGUAACUCUCCGGUACUCCAAAAAAUACCCGAAUCACUCGAAAUCUUUCCGAUGUCCGAAUAUAGCCUUCCAAUUUAUCAAUUUUUACGUCUCGACCAUUUCGAGACUCCUCGUCACGUCCGUGAUCUCAUCCGGGACUCCGAAUAAACUUUGGUCAUCAAAUCACAUAACACAUAAUACAAAUCGUUAUCAAACGUUAAGCGUGCGGACCCUACGGGUUCGAGAACUAUGUAGACAUGACCGAGACACAUCUCCAGUCAAUAAGCAAUAGCGGAUCCUGGAUGCUCAUAUUGGCUCCUACAUAUUCUACGAAGAUCUUUAUCGGACAAACCACAUAACAACAUACGUUGUUCCCUUUGUCAUUGGUAUGUUACUUGCCCGAGAUUCGAUCGUCGAUAUCAUCAUAACUAGUUCAAUAUCGUUACCGGCAAGUCUCUUUACUCGUUCCGUAAUGCUUCAUCCUAUAACUAACUCACUAGUCACAAUGCUUGCCAGGCCUAUAGUGAUGAGUAGUACCGAGAGGGCCCAGGGAUACCUCUCCAAAACACGGAGUGACAAAUCCUAAUCUCGAUCUAUGCCAACCCAACAAACACCUUUGGAGACACAUGUAGAGCACCUUUAUAAUCACCCAUUUACGUUGUGACGUUUGGUAGCACACAAAGUGUUCCUCCGGUAUUCGGGAGUUGCAUAAUCUCAUAGUCUGAGGAACAUGUAUAAGUCAUGAAGAGAGCAGUAGCAAUGAAACUGUAACGAUCAUAAUACUAAGCUAUUAGAUGGGUCAUGUCCAUCACAUAAUUCUCCUAAUGAUGUGAUCCCGUUCAUAAAAUGACAACACAUGUCUAUGGUUAGGAAACAUAACCUUCUUUGAUUAACAAGCUAUUCAAGUAGAGGCAUACUAGGGACACUAUGUUUUAUAUAUGUAUUCACACAUGUACUAAGUUUCCGGUUAAUACAAUUCUAGCAUGAAUAAUAAACAUUUAUCAUGAAAUAAGGAAAUAAAUAAUAACUUUAUUAUUGCCUCUAGGGCAUAUUUCCUUCAGCCUCCCACUUGCACUAGAGUCAAUAAUCUAGUUCACAUCACCAUGUGAUUUAACAUCAAUAGUUCACAUCUGUAUGUGAUUAACACCCAUAAUUCACAUCGCCAUGUGACCAACAACCGAAGGGUUUACUAGAUUCAAUAAUCUAGUUCACAUUGCUAUGUGAUUAACACCCAAAGAUUACUAAGGUGUGAUCAAGUUUUGCUUAUGAGAGAAGUUUAGUCAACGGGUCUGUCCAUUCAGAGCCAUAUGUAUUUUGCAAAUAUUCUAUGUCUACAUUGCUAUAUGUGGAGCUACUCUAGCUAAUUGCUCCCAGUUUUAAUAUGUAUCCAGAUUGAGAGUUAGAGUCAUCUGGAUUGGUGUAAAAGCUUGCAUCGACAUAACUCUUUUAUACGACGAACUCUUUAUCACCCCCGUCACCGAGAAACAUUCCCUUAGUCCUUACUAAGGAUAGUUUUGACCGUUGUCCAGUGAUCUACUCUUAGAUCACUAUUGUACCCCCUUGCCAAACUCAUGGCAAGGUACACAAUAGGUCUGGUACACAACAUACUUUAUAGAACCUAUGACUGUGGCAUAGGGAAUGACUGUCAUUAUCUUUCUAUCUUCUGCCGUGGUCGGGCUUUGAGUCUUACUCAACUUUACACCUUGUAAUAUAGACAAGAAAUCCUUGUUUGACUGAUCCAUUUUGAACUCUUUCAAAAACUUGUCAAGGUAUUUACUCAGUGAAAAAUCUUAUCAAGCGUCGUGAUCUAUCUAUAGAUCUUGAUGCCCAAUAUGUAAGCAGCUUCACCGAGGUCUUUCAUUGAAAAACUCUUAUUCAAGUAUCCCUUUAUGCUAUCCAAAAAAUCAAUAUCAUUUCCAAUCAACAAUAUGUCAUCCACAUAUAAUAUUAGAAAUGCUAUAGAGCUCCCACUCACUUUCUUGUAAAUACAGGCUUCACCGCAGGUUUGUAUAAAACUAUAUGCUUUGAUCAACUCAUCAAAGCGUAUAUUCCAACUCCGAGAUGCUUGCACCAGUCCAUAGAUGGAUCACUGGAGCUUGCACACCUUGUUAGUACCUUUAGGAUUGACAAAACCUUCUGGUUCCAUCAUAUACAACUUCCAGAAAUCCAUUCAGGAAUGCUGUUUUUACAUCCAUCUGCCAAAUUUCAUAAUCAUAAAAUGCAGCAAUUUCUAACAUGAUUCGGACAGACUUGAGCAUCCCUACGGGUGAGAAAGUCUCAUCAUAGUCAACUCCUUGAACUUGUCGAAAACCUUUUUGCGACAAGUCAAGCUUUGUAGAUAGUAACACUAUUAUCAAUGUCCAUCUUCCUCUUGAAGAUCCAUUUAUUCUUAAUGACUUGCCGAUCAUCGGACAAGUCCACCAAAGUCCACACUUUGUCCUCAUACAUGGAUCCCAUCUCAGAUUUCAUGGCCUUAAGCCACUUCGCGGAAUUUGGGCUCAUCAUCGCUUCCUCAUAGUCCGUAGGUUCAUCAUGGUCUAAUAACAUGACUUCUAGAAUAGGAUUACGAUACCACUCUGGUGCAGAUCGUACUCUGGUUGACCUACGAGGUUCGGUAGUAACUUGAUCUGAAGUUUCAAGAUCAUCAUCAUUAGCUUCCUCACUAAUUGGUGUUGGAAUCACUAGAACUGAUUUAUGUGAUGAAUUACUUUCCAAUUCGGGAGAAGAUACAAUUACCUCAUCAAGCUCUACUUUCCUCCCACUCACUUCUUUUGAGAGAAACUCCUUUUCUAGAAAGGAUCCAUUCUUAGCAACGAAUAUCUUGCCUUCGGAUCUGUGAUAGAAGGUGCACCCAAUAGUUUCCUUUGGGUAUCCUAUGAAGAUGCACUUCUCCGAUUUGAGUUCGAGCUUAUCAGGUUGAAGGUUUUUCACAUAAGCAUCGCAACCCUAAACUUUAAGAAACGACAACUUUGGUUUCUUGCCAAACCACAGUUCAUAAGGCGUCGUCUCAACGGAUUUUGAUGGUGCCCUGUUUAAUGUGAAUGCUACUGUCUCUAUUGCAUAACCCCAAAAUGAUAGUGGUAAAUCGGUAAGAGACAUCAUAGAUCGCACCAUAUCUAAUAAAGUGUGGUUAUGACGUUCGGAGACACCAUUACACUGUGGUGUUCCAGGUGGCGUGAGCUGUGAAACUAUUCCACAUUGUUUUAAUGAAGGCCAAACUCGUAACUCAAAUAUUCGCCUCUGCGAUCAAGUAAUAGAAACUUUAUUUUCUUGUUACGAUGAUUCUCCACUUCUCUCUGAAAUUCUUUGAACUUUUCAAAUGUUUCAGACUUGUGUUUCAUUUAAGUAGAUAUACCCAUAUCUGCUCAAAUCAUCUGUGAAGGUCAGAAAAUAACUAUACUCGCCACAAGCAUCUACACUCAUUGGACUGGAUACAUCAGUAUGUAUUAUUUCCAGUAAGUCAGUAACUCGUUCCAUUGUUCGGAUAACAUAGUUUUAGUCAUCAUGCCUAUAAGGCAUGGUUCACAAGUUUCAAAGGAUUCAUAAUCAAGUGAUUCCAAAAGUCCAUCUUUAUGGAGUUUCUUCAUGCGCUUUACACCAAUAUGACCCAAACGACAGUUCCACAAAUAAGUUGCACUAUCAUUAUCAACUUUGCAUCUUUUGGCAUCAAUAUUAUGAAUAUGUGUAUCACUACGAUUGAGAUCCAACAAACUAUUUUCAUUGGGUGUAUGACCAUCAGAGGUUUUAUUCAUGUAAACAAAACAAUAAUUACUCUCUGACUUUAAAUGAAUAACCUUAUUGCAAUAAACAUGAUCAAAUCAUAUUCAUGCUCAACUCAAAUGCCAAAUAACAUUUAUUUAGGUUCAACACUAAUCUCGGAAGUAUAGGGAGUGUGCGAUGAUGAUCAUAUCAAUCUUGGAACCACUUCCAACACACAUCGUCACUUCACCCUUAACUAGUCUCUGUUCAUUCUGCAACUCCCGUUUCGAGUUACUAAUUUUAGCAACUGAACCGGUAUCAAAUACCCAUGGGUUGCUAUGAACACUAGUAAAGUACACAUCAAUAAUCUAUAUAUGAAAUAUACCUUUGUUCACUUUGCCAUCCUUCUUAUCCGCCAAAUAUUUGGGGUAGUACCACUUCCAGUGACCAUUUCCUUUGCAGUAGAAGCACUUAGUUUCAGGCUUAGGUCCAGCUUUGGGCUUCUUCACGGGAGUGACAACUUGCUUGCCAUUCUACUUGAAGUUCCCUUUCUUUCCCUUUGCCCUUUUCUUUAAACUAGUGGUCUUGUCAAUCAUCAACACUCGAUGCUCUUUCUUUAUUUCUACCUUCAUCGAUUUUCAGCAUCACGAAGAGCUCAGGAAUUUCUUUCGUCAUCCCUUGCAUACUAUAGUUCAUCACAAAGUUCCAGUAACUUGGUGGUGGUGACUAGAGAACUCUGUUAAUCACUAUCUUAUCGGGAAGAUUAACUCCCAUUUGAUUCAAGCGAUUGUAGUACCCAGACAAUCUAAGCAUAUGCUCCCUACUUGAGCUAUUCUCCUUCAUCUUUUAGCUAUAGAACUUGUUAUAGACUUCAUAUCUCUCAACUCGGGUAUUCGCUUGAAAUAUUAACUUCAAAUCCUGGAACAUCUCAUAUAUUCCAUGACGUUCAAAACGUAUUUGAAGUCCUGAUUCUAAGCCGUAAAGCAUGGUAGACUAAACUAUCAAGUAGUCAUCUUACUGAGCUAGCCAAACGUUCAUAACAUCUGCAUCUGCUCCUGCAAUAGGUCUGUCACCUAGCGGUGCAUCAAGGACAUAAUUCUUCUAUGCAGCAAUGAGGAUAAACCUCAGAUCACAGACCCAGUCCACAUCAUUGCUACUAUCAUCUUUCAACUUAGUUUUCUCUAGGAACAUAUAAGAAACAUAGGGAAGCUACAAUGUGAGGUAUUGAUCUACAACAUAAUUUGCAAAAUACUACCAGGACUAAGUUCAUGAUAAAUUAAAGUUCAAUUAAUCAUAUUAAUUAAGGACUCCCACUUAGAUAGACAUCCCUCUAGUCAUCUAAAUGAUCACGUGAUCCAUAUCAACUAAACCAUGUCCGAUCAUCACGUGAGAUGGAGUAAUUUUCAAUGGUGAACAUCACUAUGUUGAUCAUAUCUACUAUAUGAUUCACGCUCGACCUUUAGGUCUUAGUGUUCCGAGGCCAUAUCUGCAUAUGCUAGGCUCAUCAAGUUUAACCCGAGUAUUCUGUGUGUGCAAAAAAUGGAUUGCACCCGUUGUAUUUGAACAUAGAGCUUAUCACACCCGAUCAUCACGUGGUGUCUCGGUAUGACGAACUGUCGCAACGGUGCAUGCUCAAGGAGAACACUUGUACCUUGAAAUUUAGUAAGGGAUCAUCUUAUAAUGCUACCGACGUUCUAAGAAAAAUAAGAUGCAUAAAGGAUGAACAUCACAUGCAAUCAAAAUAUGUGACAUGAUAUGACCAUCAUCAUCUUGCGCUCAUGAUCUCCAUCACCGAAGCAUCGUCAUGAUCUCCAUCAUCACCGGCGCGACACCUUGAUCUCCAUCGUAGCAUUGUUCUCGUCUCGCCAACUAUUGUUACUACGACUAUCACUACCACUUAGUGAUAAAGUAAAACAAUUACAUGGCGAUUGCAUUGCAUACAAUAAAGCGACAACCAUAUGGCUCCUGCCAGUUGCCGAUAACUUUGUUAUAGAACAUGAUCAUUUCAUACAAUAAAUUAUAUCACAUCAUGUCUUGACCAUGUCACAUCACAGCAAGCCCUGCAAAAACAAGUUAUACGUCCUCUACUUUGUUGUUGCAAGUUUUACGUGGCUGCUACGGGCUUCUAGCAAGAACCGUUCUUACCUACGCAUCAAAAACACAACGAUUUUUCGUCAAGUGUGUUGUUUUAACUUUCAACAAGGACCGGGCGUCACCACACUCGAUUCAACUAAAGUUGGAGAAACAGACACCCGCUAGCCACCUAUGUGCAUAAGCACGUCGGUAGAACCAGUCUCAUGAACGCGUUCAUGUAAUGUCGGUUCGCGCCGCUUCAUCCAACAAUACCAUCGAAUCAAAGUAUGACCCGUCGGUAAGCAGUAUGACUAUUAUCACCCACAACUCUUUGUGUUCUACUCAUGCAUAUAACAUCUACGCAUAGACCUGGCUCAGAUGCCACUGUUGGGGAACGCGGUAAUUUCAAAAAAAAUCCUACGAUCACGCAAGAUCUAUCUAGGUGAUGCAUAGCAACGAGGGAGAGAGUGUGUCCACUUACCCUCAUAGACCGAAACAGAAGCAUUAUGUAACGUGGUUGAUGUAGUCAAACGUCUUCGAGACCCAACUGAUCAAGUACCGAACACACAGAACCUCCGUGAUCUGCACACAUUCAGAUCGGUGAUGUCCCUCGAACUCUAGAUCCAGCUGAGGCUGAGGGAGAGUUCCAUCAGCAUGACGGUGUGGUGACGGUGAUGAAGUUACCAGCGCAGGGCUUCCCCUAAGCACUACGACGAUAUGACCGAGGUGGAAAACUGUGGAGGGGGCACCGCACACGGCUAAAGAUCAACUUGUGUGUCUAUGGGGUGCCCCCUGGCCACAUAUAUAAAGGAGGGGAGGUGAAAGGACAUGUGGUGCCCCCAUGUGUGGUUUUGGUAAUUGAUGACACUCUCUAUGGACUAAUGGUUGCAUUGAGUUAUAUUUGAAGGAUUUGUCCAUAGGCUCUUCUUGAAGUCCAUGUGUUGCUUUCAAGGAGUUUAUGUGUUGACCAAGGUGCUAUUAAGGAAGUAUCCAAAGAUUGGUUAUGUGAGUGUUGUGCUUAUUGCAAGCAUGUCUUGAAGAAGAAGAUUGUGUGAUCAUUCAUGCUUACCUUCAAGACAUCAUCCAAAUGAAGAGAGUUGGAAAGAUUCAAGGUUGAUCAAUACUAAGUCAAGAGUGAAUCAAGUUGAUCAACUCACAUAGCGUAGAAGAUGUACCGAGAGGGAUCAGUGAUCCCAUGGUAUGGUAAGCAUUGUCCACUGUGCUUUGUGUACUAGCCCAUGGUCUAUGUGAGAGUUCUAUGUGGGGUUAGGUAUGUGUUCAUGGGCUUGCGUCAAGAGGAAGAUAUCACUCAACCCAUGGAGAAGAAACAUCAAGUGGUGAUCAUCAUCAAGAUUGCCGUGUGAAAGUUUAAGUGGAGCAUCACGAAGAGACCAAAUGCUUGAAGCUUGCCAUCCAUUUUGGUGUCAAUGGACUUGUGAAGAUGUGCCGAAGAGUGGCUCGCCCAUAGUGGAGUAUGGGGGGGCAAUCAUCUAGUCUUCAUCGACCCAACGCAAUCAAGAAAGGUUGUAUUAACAGGAAACUUAGUACAUGUGUGAACACACAGACAAAACAUAGUGUCCCUAGUAUGCCUCUACUUGACUAGAUCAUUAAUCAAAGAUGGUUAUGUUUCCUAACCAUAGACAUGUGUUGUCAUUUGAUGAAUGAGUUCACAUCAUUAGGAGAAUGAUGUGAUGGACAUGACCCAUCUGUUAGCUUAGCAUUAUGAUCGUAUCAGUUUCAUUGCUACUGCUUUCUUCAUGACUUAUACAUGUACCUCAGACUAUGAGAUUAUGCAACUCCCGAAUACCGAAGGAACACAGUGUGUUCUAUCAAACAUGACAACGUAAAUGGGUGAUUAUAAAGAUGCUCUACACGUGUCUCUGAAGGUGUUUGUUGGGUUGGCAUAGAUCGAGAUUAGGAUUUGUCACUCCGUGUUUCAGAGAGGUAGGGCCCUCUCGGUAAUGCUUAUCACUAUAAGCCUUGCAAGCAAUGUGAUUAAUGAGUUAGUUGCAGGAUGAAGCAUUACGGAACGGGUAAAGAGACUUGCCAGUAAUGAGAUUGAGCUAGGUAUGAUGAUACUGACGAUCUAAUCUCGGGAAAGUAACAUACCGAUGACAAAGGGAACAAAGUAUGUUGUUAUGCGGUUUGACUGAUAAAGAUCUUCGAAGAAUAUGUGGGAACCAAUAUGAGCAUCCAGGUUCCGCUAUUGGUUAUUUAACGGAGAUGUGUCUCGGUCAUGUCUACAUAGUUCUCGAACCCGUAGGGUCCGCAGGCUUAAUGUUCGAUGACGAUUUGUAUUAUGAGUUAUGUGAUUUGAUGAACUGAAGUUUGUUUGGAGUCCCGGAUGAGAUCAUGGAUAUGACAAGGAGUCUCAAAAUGGUCGAGACAUAAAGAUUGAUAUAUUGGAAGGCUAUAUUCGGAGAUCGGAAUGGUUCCGGAGAAGUUCGGGUAUUUUCCGGAGUACCAGGAGGUUACCGGAACCACCCCGGGAGAAGUUAUGGACCUUAUGGGCCAUAAGAGGUAAGCACACUAGCCCACAAGGGGCUGGUGCACCCCCCCCCUUGGGCAGGAGGCCGAUUAGGACUAGGAGAAGGGGACGACCCCCCUUCCUUCUCCUUCUCCCUUCCCCCUUUCCUACUCCAUGUGGGAGGUGGAAUCCUACUAGGACUAGGGAGUCCUAGUAGGACUCCACACCUUGGCGCGCCCCCCUAGGGUCGGCUGCCUCUCCCUCUCCCUCCUUUAUAUAUGGGGACAGGGGGCACCCUAGAACACACAAGUUGAUCUUUUAGCCGUGUGCGGUGCCCCCGUCCACAGUUACACACCUCGGUCAUAUCGUCGUAGUGCUUAGGCGAAGCCCUGCGCUGGUAACUUUAUCAUCACUGUCGCCACGCCGGCGUGCUAAAGAAACUCUCCCUUGGCCUCAACUGGAUCAAGAGUACGAGGGACGUCAUCGAUCUGAACGUGUGCUGAACACGGAGGUGCCGUAUGUUCGGUACUUGGACCGGUUGGAUCACGAAGAAGUUCGACUACAUCAACCGCAUUAACUAACGCUUUUGCUUUCGGUCUACGAGGGUACGUGGACACACUCUCCCCUCACAUAGAUAGAUCUUGCGUGAUCGUAGGAAAAAUUGAAAUUACCACGUUCCCCAACAGUGGCAUCCGAGCCAGGUCUAUGUGUAGAUGUUAUAUGCAUGAGUAGAACACAAAGAGUUGUGGGCGAUAAUAGUCAUACUGCUUACCACCAACACCUUACUUUGAUUCAGCGGUAUUGUUGGAUGAAGCGGCCCGAACCGACAUUACAUGACCAGGUUCAUGAGACUGGUUCUACCAACAUGCUUUUGCACAUAGGUGGUUGGCGGGUGUCUGUUUCUCCAACUUUAGUUGAAUCGAGUUUGAAUAGGGCCGGUCCUUGUUGAAGGUUAAAAAAGCACACUUGACGAAAAAUCAUUGUGGUUUUGAUGUGUAGGUAAGAAUGAUUUUUGCUAGAAGCCCGUAGCAGCCAAGUAAAAUUUGCAACAACAAAGUAGAGGACGUCUAACUGGUUUUUGCAGGGCUUGCUGUGAUGUGAUAUGGUCAAGACAUGAUGUGAUAUAAUUUGUUGUAUGAGAUGAUCAUGUUUUGUAACAGAAUUAUCGGCAACUGGCAGGAGCCAUAUGGUUGUCGCUUUAUUGUAUGCAAUGCAAUCGCCAUGUAAUUGUUUUACUUUAUCACUAAGCGUUAGCGAUAGUCGUAGUAACAAUAGUUGGCGAGACGACAAUGAUGCUACGAUGGAGAUCAAGGUGUCACGCUGGUGACAUGGAGAUCAUGACGAUGCUUCGGUGAUGGAGAUCAUGAGCACAAGAUGAUGAUGGCCAUAUCACAUAUUAUGAUUGCAUGUGAUGUUUAUCUUUUAUGCAUCUUAUUUUGCUUAGUACGGCGGUAGCAUUGUAAGCUGACCCCGUACUAAAUUUCAAGGUAUAAGUGUUCUCCCUGAGUAUGCAACAUUGCUACAGUUCGUCGUGUCGAGACACCACGUGAUGAUCGGGUGUGAUAAGCUCUACAUUCACAUACAACAGGUGCAAGCCAGUUUUCCACACGUAGAAUACUCGGGUUAAACUUGACGAGCCUAGCAUAUGCAGAUAUGGCCUCGGAACACUGAGACCGAAAGGUCGAGCGUGAAUCAUAUAGUAGAUAUGAUGAACAUAGUGAUGUUCACCAUUGGAAACUACUUCAUCUCACGUGAUGAUCGGACAUGGUUUAGUUGAUUUGGAUCACGUGAUCAUUUAGAUGACUAGAGGGAUGUCUAUCUAAGUGGGAGUUCUUAAGUAAUAUGAUUAAUUGAACUUUAAUUUAUCAUGAACUUGGUCAUGAUAGUAUUUCGCAAAUUAUGUUGUAGAUCAAUAGCUUGCGUUGUUGCUUCCCUAUGUUUUUAUAUGUGUUCCUAGAUAAAACUAAGUUGAAAGAUGAUAGUAGUAAUGAUGUGGUCUGGGUCCGUGAUCUGAGGUUUAUUCUCAUUGCUGCACAGAAGAAUUAUGUCCUUGAUGCACCUCUAGGUGACAGACCUAUUAAGGGAGUCCUGGAUUAGGGGGUAUCCGGACAGCCGGACUGUAUACAUCGUCCGGACUAUUGAAGCGUGAAGAUACAAGACUCAAGACUUCGGCCCGUGUCCGGAUGGGACUCUCCUUUGCGUGGAAGGCAAGCUUGGCGAUCCGGAUAUUGUGUUUCCUUCCUUGUAACCGACUCCGUGUAAACCCUAGCCCUCUUCGGUGUCUAUAUAAACCGGAGAGGUUGGUCCUUAGAAGGCCGAUCACGAUUACAAUCAUACCAUCAUAGGCUAGCUCUUAGGGUUUCGCCUCUACGAUCUCGUGGUAGAUCUACUCUUGUACUACUCAUAUCUUCGAUAUUAAUCAAGAAGGAAGUAGGGUUUUACCUCCAUCGAGAGGGCUCGAACCUGGGUAAACAUUGUGUCCCUCGCUUCCUGUUACUAUCAGCCUAAGACGCACAGAUCGGGACCCCCUACCCGAGAUCCGCCGGUUUUGACACCGACAUUGGUGCUUUCAUUGAGAGUUCCUCUGUGUCGUCGCUGCAGGGUCUGAUGGCGCCUUCAAUUGUCAACAACACGUUCCAGGGGGAGACUUUUUCCCGGAUAGAUCUUCGUGUUUGGCGGCUUUGCACUGCGGGCCAAUUCGCUUGGCCAUCUGGAGCAGAUCGAUAGCUACGCCCCUGGCCACCAGGUCAGGUUCGGAAACUUGAACUACACAGUGGAUAUUCACGGAGACUUGAUCUUCGACGGAUUUGGGCCUGCGCCAGGAGCACCGAAUAGUCACGAUGAGCACGGCUUAGACCUGCUGUCGGACGAAGCUCGGGAUAUCACCCCCGCAGUAGCCUCGGAUCUAAAUCUGGAGCAGGUUGCAUUGCCUAAGGACGGAGGGGUGGACCCCACCCCGCAGGACGCACACUCAUCGGCGGAGGAGCCGAACACAGGUCCCACCUCUGUGGAGGCCUGUAACCCUGGGCCCCCGAACUCGUAUCCGGUUGUUGGUUCCGGUCCGCACAUCCUCGAACCAGUCGAGCCAGGUUGGGCUCUGGUAAUGGAGUUUACCGCUGUGGACAUCUUCCAUCACUCGCCCUUUGGCGACAUGCUGAACUCAUUAAAGUCUCUCUCUUUGUCAGGAGGCUCUGGGCCGAACUAUGUCCAGCUUGAGUGGGAAGCAAGCGACGAAGGAAUUCGCUGCCCACCCAUCACCCACUUCAUUGCCACGAUCAAUGAUUUAACUGACGUGCUUGACUUCGACUCCGAAGACAUCGACGGUAUGGACGACGAUGCAGGAGAAGUACAGGAGCCACCGCUCGUUGGGCGGUGGACGGCCACCUCGUCACACGAUAUAUACAUGGUGGAUACGCCCAAGGAGGACGACGGCGGCAAUUCGGAAGAUAAAACCCCCGGGCAAAAGCCAAAACGGCAGCACAGACGCCGCUCAAAGUCCAGCAACAGUAAAAAUAGCGACAAGAGCGCAAGAAGGAUCGACAUACCAGCAAACUCCGAAGGCAAUAAUGACCACAUGGACCCAGCGAUGGAGCAGGAUAAGCCAUGUCACGCCGAACUGAGUUUGGAGCAGACGCCCGACCACAGUGAUCCAGAGGGACGAGUCCAUCAAACCGCCGCAGGACAAGAACACAGUUCGGACGAUGAUGCAUUCAUCAUUCUGGAAGAACACGUGGAACGAGAUAACCUCCACAGAAAGCUUAUGGCCAUAGCGAGAAGUCUAAAGAAGCAGAAGCAACGGCUCAAAGCCGCACAGGAAACGCUCAAUCGCAGAUGGAAUAAAGUGCUAGACACCGAAGAAAGAUAUGGCGAUGAUCGCCAUACAAAGAGCUAUCCCAAACGCAAGCUACUGCCAGAAUUCGACGACGAGGCCGUUCCACCAAAGAAUAAUACGACCAGGAGACCAGACGUACCACUUCACAACCGCAACAGAACGGCUACUGACGUCGCACACGAUCUACAUGAGCAUCUGGAUAAGCAAGCCGGUGCGGCCAGGUCCAUCUACGGAUCUAAAGGACAAAAGGCGGCGUCGGACUAUGGUCACCAGAAUGAUCAUACAAACCAAAUACCAAUUCGAAAUAAGCUCCGAGCACAUCAACAGCCAGCUGCAUGCCACAGCGCGUCCAGAUACAGAGGGGCUGCUCACCCCCUGUGCUUCACCGAAGAAGUACUGGACCAUGAAUUCCCACAAGGUUUCAAACCUGUGAACAUAGAGGCAUACGACGGAACGACAGACCCAGGGGUCUGGAUCGAGGAUUUUAUCCUGCAUAUUCACAUGGCUCGUGCGGAUGACCUCCACGCCAUCAAAUACCUUCCCCUCAAGUUGAAGGGACCAGCUCGACACUGGUUGAAAAGCCUCCCCGAAAAUCCAAUUGGGAGUUGGGAGGAACUCGAGGACGCUUUCAGGGCCAAUUUUCAAGGGACUUAUGUCUGGCCUCCGGAUGCGGACAAUCUAAGUCACAUAAUCCAACAGCCUGGAGAGUCCGCCCGCAAGCUUUGGAACAGAUUCCUCACUAAGAAGAAUCAAAUUGUCGAUUGUCCGGAUGCCGAAGCCUUAGCGGCAUUCAAACACAGCAUCCGCGACGAAUGGCUCGCCAGACGCCUCAGCCAAGAAAAGCCAAGGACAAUGGCAACCUUAACAAGCCUUAUGACCCGCUUUUGCGCGGGUGAAGAUAGCUGGCUAGCCCGUAAAGGCACCAGCGACCCCAGCACAUCCGAAAUAAGGGAUGGCAAUGGGAAGCCACGGCGUAAUAAACACAGACGCCAAAACAAGGAAGAGAGCAUGGACAAUACAACGGUCAAUGCCAGAUUUAGGGGCUCUCGACCUGAUCAGCAAAAUAAGUCAUUUAAAGGCAGUAGAGAGGGACCGUUCGGUCUGAACAGAGUCCUGGACAGACUGUGCCAAAUUCAUGGCACCCCGGAGAAACCUGCGAACCACACGCAUAGAGAAUUUUGGGUCUUCAAGCAGGCCGGCAAAUUAAAAGCCAAACACAAGGGGAGGGAAACUCCAAGUGAAGACGAGGAUGAACCUCGCCAGCCGAACACUGGGGGACGGAAAAAAUUCCCGCCAGAGGUUAAAACAGUAAACAUGAUCCACGCGACUCACAAAUCCACGAUAGGGCACGAACGCGCGCUCGGAGACGCGCACGAUAUAGAGCUCAUUGUACCCACAUCUAACUACUGGACGUCUUAUCCGAUCACCUUCGAUCACACGGACGGUUGAACUAGUAUUCGGCGCGGAGGAUCAGAGGCCUUGGUGCUUGACCCAAUAAUCGAUGGAUACCGUCUCACCUGUGUCCUCAUGGACGGCGGAAGUAGUCUCAAUCUAAUAUACGAGGACACUGUCUGCAGGAUGAGGAUAAACCCAUCCAGGAUUAGCCAAAGCAACACCACCUUUGAAGGGGUGAUACCAGGCAUUGAAGCCUACGGCAGGGGCUCCGUCGUACUGGAGGUAACAUUUGGCUCCUCAGGCAACUCCAGAAGCAAAGAACUACUCUUCACCAUUGCACCCUUCCAAAGCGGCUAUCAUGCACUGCUUGGAAGAACGACCUUCGCCCGCUUCAACGCAUUGCCGCACUAUGGCUACCUUACACUCAAGAUGCCUGGUCCACGUGGCGUCAUCACCAUUAGCGGAAUCAUAGAGUGCUCUUCACGCGCAGAGGAACACAAGACGGCCCUGGCGGCCGGACUAUAAGCGGCCUCCAAUAUCAGAAAACAUGACUGGUCAUUAAGACCACAGACACGGUUAGACGACUCCGAUAGCCCGGAUAAAAUUAAACCAGGGCACCGUAUAUGUAAUCCCAUAGCGGACACCAGGGGCUAUAAAUAUUUAAUACAGCCCCAUACUUGGCUCAACCUUAUUGGCAGGCCAACAUCUUACACUUUUACUAUCCAUCGCAUAUUUACGUUGUACUCUCCUACGAGUUUUCCUUUUUCCACAGACAACGUUCGCGCGAUACCCUUCUAGGAUACGGCACAACAGAGACAAAGGCGCAGACGUGCAGCAGGGCCCCGUUCAACAGGUUUCUUUUUAGAUUAAGCCCCUGUGUAAACCUUUUCUAUUGCCUCUUGUUGUUUAACCAUCCCAUGGGUUCCAUACCCACAGAGGAUACUACCAUUAUUGGCAUUUCGCCACGACAGAUUACCGCACGUACCUGGAACACAGGGUUCAUAAUGAAUGGGCAUUCUUGAGCCCAUCUUCUGUUAUAAAGCCCGAAUACCUUCGGGAGUGUUCGGCGUCACGAGUUUGGCCUUAUAUGCAUCAGCUCCGAAUCAUAUCUUUGGUCAAAUAUUGGGUUUGCCCGACUCCUGGGUUUGCCGCCUUACGUUCCGUUAUUAUCAGCUAAGGCGGCCAAAGGAGAACUACUGCGAUUGUGCCCUGGUUAUUCUGGAUGAGCACCUCAGUAGAGAAAACCGAAAACUGACUGUCAUGAUGCAGCGAGAGACUGUUUAACCACUCGAAGACUCACCGGAAUCUUUAGGAUUCCUCCGCAUUAACGAAGGGCCGUUUCCGGGCCAUGUACAUACGUGCCCGUAUUCGGAUGCACGCGAAGGUACGAGGGGCUACAUAGUAGCCCCACCUUUAGACUUCCACGGCUAAGCGAAAGUGUUACAGCUAUAUAGUCCGGUUGCCUAGUUCGACGUGCGAUCACCUCCUUAAUGGACCAAGACGUUGGAUCAAGUGUGAUUAAGCAUAUUUUUCACGAACACCCCCGCAUUGUAUGCGUGGGGGCUGAAGCCAACGACUGCUAACUUUCGGAUUACUUAUAUACAUAUAUAAAAACGGACGCACAGGGGACACAAUCAUCUUUUCAGGAAAAAAGUAUAAAUAUAGCCUCAUAGUCAAAAUAAACAUUGUUUUACAAUGAUUCGAUUUAUCACUCGAACAAGACAUUCUUCGAGCACUGCGCCUCUAUUAGCCGGGCACCUUCCGUGACCUGCGCCAAGUAGUGCUCGGCCGGAUAUUGGCCUCCCGCCGGAUCCUGGGUCGCUACAAUGGUGGCCUUCAUAUCCGUCCAAUAGGCUUUAACACGGGCAAGAGCCAUUCGUGCACCCUCUAUGCACGCCGACCUCCUCAUGGCAUUGAUCCGAGGCACGACCCCAAGGAAUUGUUGCACCAAACCAAAGUAGUUGUCCGGCUUAGGCCCCUUCGACCAAAGAUGGUCUAUUACAGACCGCAUUGCAAGCCCGGACAGCCUGUGAAGCUCCGCCACAGCAGCCAUCUUCUCAUUUAACGGUAGAGGGCGAGUGGGAGCAUUGAAUUGCGAACAUAAAAGCUUCUCCACUUCCUUAUCACCUUGAUCCUUGAAGAACUUGGCAGCGUCAGCCGUGCUAUUCGCCAAGUCCGCAUAUGCGUCGGCCGGACUCCAGCGUCCAUCCAGGGGAGCAUCCUUCGGAUCCAAAAACUUCGUUCGUAGUAAGUAGGAGCCCCCAGCCACGAUUUUGUUGGCCUGUUGGAGCUCCUCCCGCAUACCCCGGAUCUCAGUCCGCAUCUCCUUGGUGGCAUUAAGUGCCUUGUCCAGCUCGGCCGAGCUAGCCUUAUUCUCCUUUUCAAGGAGUACAUACCGGUCGGCGGCAUUUUUUUAACUCCACAGCCAUUUCGGCUAUCUUUUCCUCGCUUCGGCGAUGAGCAGCCUGUUCGGCUCUCAAUUCUUCGGCCGCCUUUAGGGCAGCCGCAUUGCUAGCCCGAGCUUGUUCCUUGGCCUGAGCAAGUUCCUCCCCCAGGGCCUCCACAGCAGCAGCAGCAUCUGCAGUACAAACACAUUGCAUUAAUAUUAUGCCCCUCUCACAUUUUCCUAUACAACAUAAUAAGGGAAGCAGAGCGCAUACCCUGUGACUCGUCCAGCCGUUUGUUCACCAGCAUGAUAUCGGCAUCGAUAGAUCUGAUCUGCCUUCUUAGUUCGGCAACUUCAACAGACUGGUCGGCUGCCGGAUCAUUAGAUACCUGCGCACAUGUACAACACAGCCAUUACUAUAUGAUCCCCCGUUUGCCGCCUAUGGUGGGCAACCAGAGUCUCAGGGGCUACUAUCCAUAUGGAGCACACCUAGCGCAUGCCACACAGCCAAAAAAUAGUGCAUUUUUACUAAAUACCUCAAAGCCUCUGAGCAGGCUCGUAAAUGCCUCAUUCAAACCGCUUGUAGAGGAUGAAAUCUUCUUAAGCACCGCACUCAUUAAUGAGCGGUGCUCCGCCGAGAGCGCAGCUCGCUCCAGAAGACCUGUCAGUACGUCCGGCCGGGCAUCGAACUGUGUCGGACCCUUCUCAUCGCCCCCCGUGGGAGCCAAACGCUCCGGGCUCAGGGCGACUGACGUAAUGGCCUCCGGCUUCGGUAGAUCCGAACUCCUCCGUGACGACACCUCAGUGUCGCCCGCUUCAUGAGGCGGAGAGGUGGGUGGGGUCUCGCUCUCCAUCAUCUCCGGAGGAAGAUCCCCCGAAGACGAAUUCUGUUGAGGAGAGCUGCUAGCCGGACUGCAAAAGACGAAUCCUGGUUAUUGAUCUUGGAGAAACGCAGUACCCUCGGAAUAGUGAUUAACUUACAGCUUGGUCGAGGGCUGGCCCGUUGGCGGGCGUGACAUGGUGAGAACGCCCAUCGAGAUAGAGCCCCCCGGGGACACUUUCUUCCCCUGUUUGGGCAUCUCCGUCUCCAAGUCUUCGGAGGCGGCCCUUUUCUUCCCGCGCGGGGAGGUGGCCUCAGAUUCCCCUCCCCGACUAUCCUCCUUUGGGGAGAAAUCAAUUCCCUCGGUCUGAAUGCGUAGUGUGUGAAGUCCGGCUUCGCUGCCCUUUCCUUUGCCUUUCCCUGAGGGAAUUUUGCUAAGCACCCGGCCAAGCAUCUUGGCAACGGUUGGACUCGGCGAGCCUUCAGGAAGUGGCGCCGGACACCUGAUUCUCUUCGCCUUGUUGAGCCAUUCCUGGCCACGGAGGGUUUUUCAGAACAAUGGUUAUGGCAAAUAUAAACAGAGUGUUCGGCUUUAAGGUUACUUACUUGGGUAUCUAGGCGAUUGCAGCUUAGGCCUGCAUCCUCGGUGGUGUCCAGACACUUUACUUGUGGUCCAAAGAAUAAUUUACACAUCCCUUUGAGCUUCAGGCCGAAGAAGUGCUUAAUAGUCUGUGGACCCUCCAGAUUGAACUCCCACAUCCGGAGAGGCCGACGUUUGCACGGCAACAUCCGUCGGAUUAGAAUUACUUGAAUUAUGCUGACAAGAUUUAUGCCCCUCUCGAUAAGCUCCCGGAUAUGGCUCUGCAGUAUUGGAACAUCACUGGCGGGCCCCCAAUUCCGUCCUACGUCGGUCCAUGACGCCAACUGUGACGGAGGGCCCGAACGGAACUCGUGGGCGGCUACCCACUUUGUGCCUCUGGGAGCUAUAACAUACAACCACCUCCGUUGCCACACAUCAGAUACUUCCGGGAAAGAACCCUCCGGCCAUGGGGCAUCGGCGUUCCUGCUUAUUAUGGCCCCUCCGCACUCUGCAUGUCGCCCCUCGAUCAUCUUCGGCUUCACAUUGAAGGUCUUGAGCCAUAAGCCAAAGUGUGGGGUGACGUGGAGAAAAGCCUCGCACACAAUAAUGAACUACGAGAUAUGGAGGAUAGCGUCCGGAGCCAGAUCAUGAAAAUCCAACCCAUAGUAGAACACGAGCCCCCUCACAAAGGGGUCGAGGGUGAGGCCCAGGCCGCGGAGGAAGUGAGGGACAAACACAACGCUCUCUUUGGGCUCCGGUGUAGGGAUAACCUGCCCUGGAACAGGAAGCCUGUGCUGGAUAUCGACGGUCAGGUAUCCGACCUCCCUAAGCCUCGUAAUGUCCUCCUCUUGGAUCGAGGAGGCCACCCAUUGGCCUUUAGGGUUGGAUCCAGACAUAUUGGAGGAUCUGGGGUGUUGGAGCUUAGGUCUUGGGUGUUGAGCUUGAGGUGCGAGAAGGUGCAGGGGAGGUGGAAAAGAGGCAUAGGCCUUGAUCCCUUUAUAAAGGGGGUGAAUAUCAAGAGUCCUCAGCGUGACCACUUGAGACUUAUCCAAAAAUACACAGAGUCAUACCAACGGUCGUCGUGGGGUCACGCACGCCCAUAUUGAUGGAAAAUCCCGUAAUAAGAGGAACACAAUCUCUGCUUUGGCAGGACGUGCCAAUAAAACCGCCUCGCUGCGCGAGUCGAGGUGGGGAGAGAAAUGCCGGUUCGUGUUGGACCAGGCCAUGAUGCAAGGGCACGGUGUACGAAGAUCGCCAGUAGAUCAGAUUUACGCUAUGUUCCCUACAAUGAAAUGUGAAAAUCAUCUUGUGGAUCCGGACACGGUCUACGUGUUCGAUAAUUACUUUGGAGUAUUCGGAGAAGGAACCCGCCUUGCAAUGCUGAAGACAAGACUGCGUGCCGGACUCAUCGUCAUUGAAGCCUGGUUCAGGGGCUACUGAGGGAGUCCUGGAUUAGGGGGUAUCCAGACAGCCGGACUAUAUACAUCGUCCGGACUAUUUAAGCGUGAAGAUACAAGACUCAAGACCUCGUCCCGUGUCCGGAUGGGACUCUCCUUUGCGUGGAAGGCAAGCUUGGCGAUCCGGAUAUUGUGUUUCCUUCCUUGUAACCGACUCCGCGUAAACCCUAGCCCUCUCCCGUGUCUAUAUAAACCGGAGAGGUUGGUCCUUAGAAGGCCGAUCACGAUUACAAUCAUACCAUCAUAGGCUAGCUCUUAGGGUUUAGCCUCUACGAUCUCGUGGUAGAUCUACUCUUGUACUACUCAUAUCUUCGAUAUUAAUCAAGCAGGAAGUAGGGUUUUACCUCCAUCGAGAGGGCCCGAACCUGGGUAAACAUUGUGUCCCUUGCUUCCUGUUACCAUCAGCCUAAGAUGCACAGAUCGGGACCCCCUACCCGAGAUCCGCCGGUUUUGAUACCAACACCUAUUGCAGGAGCAGAUGCAGACGUUAUGAACGUUUGGCUAGCUCAAUAUGAUGACUACUUGAUAGUUUAGUGCACCAUGCUUUACGGCUUAGAACCAGGACUUCAAAAAUGUUUUGAACGCUGCGGAGCAUAUGAGAUGUUCCAAAAGCUGAAAUUGGUAUUUCAGACUCAUGCCCGUGUCAAGAGGUAUGAGACCUCUGACAAAUACUUCGCCUAAAAGAUGGAGGAGAAUUGCUCAGCUAGUGAGCAUGUGCUCAUAAUGUCUGGGUACUACAAUUGCUUGAAUCAAGUGGGAGUUAAUCUUCCAGAGAAGAUAGUGAUUGACAAAGUUCUCUAGUCACCAUCACCAAGUUACUGGAACUUCAUGAUGAACUAUAGUAUGCAAGGGAUGACGAAAACAAUUCCCGAGCUCUUCAUGAUGCGGAAAUCGACGAAGGUAGAACUCAAGAAAGAGCAUCAAGUGUUGAUGAUUGACAAGACCACUAGUUUCAAGAAAAGGGCAAAGGGAAGAAGGAGAACUUCAAAAAGAAUGGCAAUCAAGUUGUCACUCCCGUGAAGAAGCCCAAAGCUGGACCUAAACCUGAAACUAAGUGCUUCUACUGCAAAGUAAAUGGUCACUGGAAGCGGAAGUACCCCAAAUAUUUGGCGAAUAAGAGGGAUGGCAAAGUGAACAAAGGUAUAUUUGAUAUACAGUUUAUUGAUGUGUACCUUACUAGUGUUCAUAGUAGCCCCUGGGUAUUUGAUAUUUGUUCGGUUGCUAAGAUUAGUAACUCAAAACAAGAGUUACGGAAUAAAUAGAGACUAGUUGAGGGUGAAGUGACGAUGUGUGUUGGAAGUGGUUCCAAGAUUGAUAUGAUCAUCAUCGCACACUCCCUAUACUUUCGAGAUUACUGUUGAACCUAAAUAAAUGUUAUUUGGUGUUUGCAUUGAGCAUAAAUAUGAUUAGAUCAUGUUUAUUGCGAUACGAUUAUUCAUCUAAGACAGAGAAUAAUUGUUAUUCUGUUUACAUGAAUAAACCUUCUAUGGUCAUACACCCAAUGUUGAUGGUUUAUUGAAUCUUGAUCGUAGUGAUACACAUAUUCAUAAUAUUGAUGCCAAAAGAUGCAAAGUUGAUAAUGAUAGUGCAACAUAUUUGUGGCACUACUGUUUAGGUCAUAUUGGUGUAAAGCGCAUGAAGAAACUCCAUGAUGAUGGGCUUUUGGAAUCACUUAAUUAUGAAUCAUUUGAUACUUGCAAACCGUGCUUUAUGGGCAAGAUGACUAAAACUCUGUUCUACGGAACAAAGGAACAAGCUAAUAACUUAUUGGAAAUAAUACAUACCGAUGUAUAUGGUCCAAUGAGUGUUGAGGCUCGUGGCAGGUAUCGUUAUUUUCUGACCUUCACAGUUGAUUUGAGCAGAUAUGGGUAUAUCUACUUAAUGAAACACAAGUCUGAAACAUUUAAAAAGUUCAAAGAAUUUCAGAGUGAAGUGGAGAAUCAUCGUAACAAGAAAAUAAAAGUUUCUACGAUCUAAUCGUGAGGAGAAUAUUUGAGUUACGAGUUAUGCCUUCAUUUAAAACAAUGUGGAAUAGUUUCACAUCCCACGCCACCUCGAACACCACAGCGUACCGAACAUCGUAACCGCACUUUAUUGGAUAUGGUGCAAUCUAUGAUGUCUCUUACCGAUUUACCACUAUUGUUUUGGGGUUAUGCAUUAGAGAUACCUGCAUUCACUUUAAACAUGGCACCAUCAAAAUCCGUUGAGACGACUCCGAACUAUGGUUUAACAAGAACCUAAGUUGUCAUUUCUUAAAGUUUGGGGCUGCGAUGCUUAUGUGAAAAAGCUUCAACCUGAUAAGUUCGAACCCAAACCACAGAAAUGUAUCUUCAUAGGAUACCCAAAAGAAACUUUUGGGUACACCUUCUAUCACAGAUCUGAAGGCAAGUUAUUCAUUGCUAAGAAUGGAUCCUUUCUAGAGAAGGAGUUUUCUCUCGAAAGAAGUGAGUGGGAGGAAAAUAGAACUUGAUGAGGUAAUUCUACCUUCUUCCAAAUUGGAAAGUAGUUCAUCACAGAAAUCAGUUCCAGUGAUUCCUACACCAAUUAGUGAGGAAGCUAAUGAUGAUGAUCAUUAAACUUCUGAUCAAGUUACUACCAAACCUCGUAGGUCAACCAAAGUACGAUCCGCACCAGAGUGGUACAGUAAUCCUAUUCUGGAAGUCAUGUUACUAGACCAUGAUGAACCUACAAACUAUGAGGAAGCGAUGAUGAUCCUAGAUUCUGCGAAAUGGCUUGAGGCCAUGAAAUCUGAGAUGGGAUCCAUGUAUGAGGACAAAGUGUGGACUUUGGUGGACUUGCCCGAUGAUCGACAAGCCAUUAAGAAUAAAUGGAUCUUCAAGAGGAAGACGGACGGUGGUAGUAGUGUUACUAUCUACAAAGCUCAAUUUGUCGCAAAAGGUUUUCGACAAGUUCAAGGAGUUGAGUAUGAUGAGACUUUCUCAGUCAUAGUGAUGCUUAAGUCUGUCCGAAUCAUGUUAGAAAUUGCUGCAUUUUAUGAUUAUGAAAUUUGGCAAAUGGAUGUCAAAAAUGCAUUCUUGAAUGGAUUUCUGGAAGAAGAGUUGUAUAUGAUGCAACCAGAAGGUUUUGUCGAUCCAAAGGGUGCUAACAAAGUGUGCAAGCUCCGGCGAUCCAUUUAUGGACUCGUGCAAGCCUCUCGGAGUUGGAAUAAAUGCUUUGAUAGUGUGAUCAAAGCAUAUGGUUUUAUACAGAUUUUUCGAGAAGCCUGUAUUUACAAGAAAGUGAGUGGGAGCUCUGUAGCAUUUCUAAUAUUAUAUGUGGAUGACAUAUUGUUGAUUGGAAAUGAUAAAGAAUUUCUGGCUAGCAUAAAGGGAUGCUUUAUAAGAGUUUUUCAAUGAAAGACCUCGGUGAAGUUGCUUACAUAUUGGGCAUCAAGAUCUAUAGAGAUAUAUCAAGACGCUUGAUAAGAUUUUUCAAUGAGUAAAUACCUUGACAAGUUUUUGAAAGAGUUCAAAAUGGAUCAGUCAAAGAAGGAGUUCUUGUCUGUUUUACAAGGUGUAAAGUUGAGUAAGACUCAAAGCCCGACCAUGGCAGAAGAUUGAAAGAGAAUGAAAGUCAUUCCCUAUGCCACAGUCAUAGGUUCUAUAAAGUAUGUUCUGCUGUGUACCAGACCUAUUGUGCACCUUGUCAUGAGUUUGGCAAGGGGGUACAAUAGUGAUCUAAGAGUAGAUCACUGGACAGCGGUCAAAAUUAUCCUUAGUGAGGACUAAGGAAAUGUUUCUUGGUGAUGGGGGUGAUAAAGAGUUCGUCAUAAAGAGUUACGUCGAUGCAAGCUUUUUCAGCGAUCCAGAUGACUCUGAGUCUCAAUCUGGAUACAUAUUGAAAGUGGGAGCAAUUAGCUAGAGUAUCUCCAUGCAGAGCAUUGUAGACAUAGAAUAUUUGCAAAAUACAUACGGCUCGGAAUGUGUCAGAGCUAUUGACUAAACUUCUCUCACGAGCAAAACAUGAUCACACCUUAGUACUCUUUGGGUGUUAAUCACAUAGCGAUGUGAACUAUAUUAUUGACACUAGUAAACCCUUUGGGUGUUGGUCACAUGGCGAUGUGAACUAUGAGUGUUAAUCACAUACAGAUAUGAACUAUUUAUGUCAAAUCACAUGGCGAUGUGAACUAGAUUAUUGACUCUAGUGCAAGUGGGAGACUGAAGGAAAUAUGCCCUAAAGGCAAUAAUAAAGUUAUUAUUUAUUUCCUUAUUUCAUGAUAAAUGUUUAUUAUUCAUGCUAGAAUUGUAAACCAGAAACUUAGUACAUGUAUGAAUACAUAGACAAAACAUAGUGUCCCUAGUAUGCCUCUACUUGACUAGCUCAUUAAUCAAAGAUGGUUAUGUUUCCUAACCAUAGACAUGUGUUGUCAUUUGAUGAACAAGAUCACAUCAUUAGGAGAAUUAUGUGAUGGACAUGACCCAUCCGUUAGCUUAGCAUUAUAAUUGUAUCAGUUUCAUUGCUACUGCUUUCUUCAUGACUUAUACAUGUUCCUCAGACUAUGAAAUUAUGCAACUCCUGAAUACCGGAGAAACACUUUGUGUGCUAUAAAACAUCACAACGUAAAUGGGUGAUUAUAAAGAUGCUCUACAGGUGUCUCCAAAGGUGUUUAUUGGGUUGGCAUAGAUCGAAAUUAGGAUUUUUCACUCCGUGUUUCGGAGAGGUAUCUCUGGGCCCUCUCGGUAAUGCUUAUCACUAUAGGUCUUGCAAGCAAUAUGACUAAUGAGUUAGUUGCGGGAUGAAGUUUUACGGAACGAGUAAAGAGACUUGCUGUUAACGAGAUUGAACUAGGUAUGAUGAUACCGACGAUCUAAUCUCGGGCAAGUAACAUACCAGUGACAUAGGGAACAACGUAUGAUGUUAUGCGGUUUGCCGAUAAAGAUCUUCAAAGAAUAUGUGGGAACCAAUAUGAGCAUCCUGGUUCCGCUAUUGGUUAUUGACCGGAGAUGUGUCUCGGUCAUGUCUACAUAGUUCUCGAACCCGUAGGGUUCGCACGCUUAAUGUUCGAUGACGAUUUGUAUUAUGAGUUAUGUGAUUUGAUGAACCAAAGUUUGUUCGGAGUACCGGAUGAGAUCGCGGACAUGACGAGGAGUCUUGAAAUGGUCGAGACAUAAAAAUUGAUAUAUUGGAAGGCUAUAUUCGGACAUCGGAAUGGUUCCGGAGAAGUUCGGGUAUUUUCGGGAANNNNNNNNNNNNNNNNNNNNNNNNNNNNNNNNNNNNNNNNNNNNNNNNNNNNNNNNNNNNNNNNNNNNNNNNNNNNNNNNNNNNNNNNNNNNNNNNNNNNNNNNNNNNNNNNNNNNNNNNNNNNNNNNNNNNNNNNNNNNNNNNNNNNNNNNNNNNNNNNNNNNNNNNNNNNNNNNNNNNNNNNNNNNNNNNNNNNNNNNNNNNNNNNNNNNNNNNNNNNNNNNNNNNNNNNNNNNNNNNNNNNNNNNNNNNNNNNNNNNNNNNNNNNNNNNNNNNNNNNNNNNNNNNNNNNNNNNNNNNNNCACAAGGUGCUGAUGCGCCCCCCUUGGGCAGGAGGCUGAUUAGGACUAGGAGAAGGCCCACCCCUUUCCUUCUCCUUCUCCCUUCCCCCUUUCCUACUCCGUGUGGGAGGUGGAAUCCUACUAGGACUAGGGAGUCCUAGUAGGACUCCACACCUUGGCACGCCCUCCCUAGGUCCAGCUUACUCUCCCUCUCCCUCCUUUAUAUACGGGGGCAGGGGGCACCCUAGAACACACAAAUUGAUCUUUUAGCCGUGUGCGGUGCCCCCCUCCACAGUUACACACCUCAGUCAUAUCGUCGUAGUGCUUAGGCGAAGCCCUGCACUGGUAACUUCAUCAUCACCAUCGCCACGCCGUCGUGCUGACAAAACUCUCCCUCGGCCUCAACUGGAUCAAGAGUGUGAGGGACGUCGUCGAGAUGAACGUGUGCUGAACACGGAGGUGUCGUACGUCCGGUACUUGGAUCGGUUUGAUCGCGAAGACGUUCGACUACAUCAACCGUGUUAACUAGCGCUUCCGCUUUCGGUCUACGAGGGUACAUGGACACACUCUCCCCUCUCGUUGCUAUGCAUCAUAUAGAUAGAUCUUGCGUGAUCGUAGGAAAUUUUUGAAAUUACCGCGUUCCCCAACAGAAAGUCAAUAGUUCUGCAAUGAAAUUACAUCCUACUUAUGGUGCAUUAUUCGUUGUUACUUAUGCUUAAUGCUUGGGUAUGAGAUUUUUUGUUUCUUGGUUGGGCGCCUCUCAAUCUUUUUGCUAGCCUUCAUUUUGCACUAAGUAUGAUCACUACUUGUGCAUCCAAAACCAUUUAAACAAGUUUUGCCAUAUGAGUCCACUAUAUCUACCUAUAUGUGGUAUUUCCGUGCCGUUCUAAGCAAAUUUGCAUGUGCCAUCUCAAAUUUUCAAAAUAAAUUUCUCUUUUGUGUGCUCGUACCGCUCGCGAGGCGGUGAGGGGUGGCCGAUAUUUUCAAAUGUGUUAUUCUCACGAUGAGUGUUUAUUCACUUGCCAUUGCACGAGAGUACGACAAAGGUAUUAGGGAUGCCCAGUCCCGAAAUGAAAAAAAUGAAUUUACUUUAUGUUGUCAAAUAAUAAAUUCCUUGAAAAGUGUUGGUAUGGAGGGCACCCGUGGAUACUGACAAGCCUUGGAAAGUGAAAGUAUGGUGGAAAAAGUAAUAAACUUUAUUUUCUGUUUGGGAACCACCUAUGAUGUAUCUAGCAUGGAAAGUGUUGGGAGCUCUAAGUCGUUUUGUGGCACCAUUACCUGAAAGGGAUGACAACCCCUUUAACACGUCGGGUUGCGAGUAUUUGUUAUUUGUGUGCAGGGGUUGUUUGCGUUGUGUUUCUUGGUUCUCCUACUGGUUCGAUAACCUUGGUCUCAUCACUGAGGGAAAUACCUACCGUCGUUGUGCUGCAUCAUCCCUUCCUCUUUGGGUAAAUACCGACGUAGUUCAAGUAGACAUCAGUUGGUAUGCAUUUUCAUAUUCCUUUCUCCGAUAGAAAUCUUGGGAUACUUUUGAAGUUCUUUGUGUUGGAUUGAAUAUUAUGAAUCUGAAGUUGUUUGAUGCAUAUCGUAUAAUUGACACACGAAUACUAUUGGUUAUAUUGGAGUAUCUAGGUGACAUUAGGGUUGAUUGAUGUGUGUCAUAUGGUGUUAUUUUAGUACGAACUCUAGGGUUGUUUGUGACACUUAUAGGAAUAGCCCAAUAGAUCGAUCAGAAAGAAUAACUUUGAGGUGGUUUCGUACCCUACAAGCAAUUUCAUCUUAUGUUCUGCGCGAUAGGAACUUUGGAGUGAUUCUUCGUUGCACGUUGAGGAAUUGACAUAUGAUCUAAUUAUGUUAUCAUUGUUGAGAGAACUUGCACUAGUCAAAGUAUGAACCCUAGUCCUUGUUUCCAAGAAUUGCAAUACCAUUUUUGCUCACUUUUAUUACUAGUUACCUUGCUGUUUUUAUAUUUUCAGAUUACAAAAACCUAUAUCUACCAUCCAUAUUGCACUUGUAUCACCAUCUCUUCGUCGAACUAGUGGACCUAUGCAAUUUACCAUUAUAUUGGGUGUGUUGGGGACACGAGAGACUCUUUGUUAUUUGGUUGGAGGGUUGUUUGAGAGAGACCAUCUUCAUCCUACGCCUCCCACAGAUUGAUAAACCUUAGGUCAUCCACUUGAGAGAAAUUUUCUACUGUCCUACAGAACUCUGCACUUGGAGGCCCAACACGAGUCUACAAGAAGAAGGUUGCGUAGUAGACAUCAGCCACCGGCCCCUCCUCCUUCGCCCCUUCCCUCGCCGCCGCCGGUAGUCCCUACUGGACGAAGCCCUGACGUGUGUUGGCAGCGACGAGGACGCCCCACUCCUCCUUCCCCUUCCUCGCUCCCCGUGCCGCUCCUCCCGAACCCCAGCGCCUCAGAUGCACCGUCAUCGGUUAUCCUUGCUCUCCGUCAUCCAGCUUGGGUGGCCGGCCUGGAGUUCGCUGUCAGCGGCGAGGUAGGCCCACAUCUAGCCAUGCCCGUGGUGCGGGGCUACCAUCCCUCGAGCUCGUCUCUACCCAUAUCCAACUGGAGGUCGGUUCGUUGAUCCAAAGAGGCUACGACUAGGGGGUUGGCCGGUACUGCCCGUCCAGGGGGGAUGGGCCUGGUUUUCGGGGGGAUCUCAUGUCUCCUAAGAUAAAUCGGCCACGUGGUGGCCCUCGUGCUCUUCGCGUGAAGUCCCUGUUCUACAUGUGAUCAAUGCUCUUUGAUCUGGCCAUCAGUGAGUUCCGAACAUCUCCUUCGAAGGAAAACAAGGACUAGUAUAUAUGACGCUUUUUUGGACACCUUGAUUGCAUAAGGGCACAUCGUGACAUGUUUUUUUCUCUCUUAUUAUUUUAUUUUUUGGCCGUGCGCAUCCUGGAUGUUCUUACGAGUCUUGUUGGUGCAUAGGCUGAGCGUAAUUGGUAUCUACUUGAUAUUAAUAUAUUCCCCAUUAAAAAAAUCUUUAUCCAUUAGGCUUAAUAAGCUAUAAUAACAUAUACAAGCAAAAUUAGUAACAACUAGGCACUAGUUGGGAGAUUAGCACAUCUGGAAUUGUACAACUAGGAAGAAAUAGGCAAAGUGCCACAAUAUGGAAGUAAUGCAAAUGUUACUUUAAUUCGUGCUUAUGUUUAAGAAAACAUACAUGUCCUUUCGGUGCAUGUUACAGGGCAAAAAUAGGAACAAAAAUACGAUUUCUUGCACCUGCCAUCUAAACACUUACAUCCAAUACAAGAUCCUCAACUUUAAUUAAUUGGUCUCCUUGAUAAUAGUAUGUGUAGAGCCUUAGCUUCUUCACAAGGAUUAGUGUUAUUACUCGUUUGUUUAUCUCCUGAAAUAAAUGCACCAGUCUCUGUUUGACCCGCACACUUUGUAUUUUGAACAACAAAAACUAGUUGUUCAUCAUUGUAGCUUGGCCGCACGUACUCUAAUAUAUAUGCAGCAUAUUUUCGGACAACACCAACUUUAGGCGAAACAUCGACGAUCCCGGUAUUUAUAUUACAUGGGGUCAUAUCACAAUGAGAAGGCCAUGCCACUCUAGAAAAGUAUAAAUGACUCCUUUAACUUGAUGACUGCCAUCCUCAUGUGAAGUCAAUUAAAAAGAUUCCUUCCAUUUUUUCAGCCCAUAUGUAUUUUAUGUAAAUAAUAAUUCCAUGUAGAAUCAAACUUAUUUAAUUCUGGAUGGGCAAACUAUUUUCAAUAGCACUGCCAAUGAAUUAACAUAUCUGAAUAGUCUGAUCUAUCUUAGUUAACUGCUCAAAAUUCCGUGCAUACCCUGACCAAACUGCAUGCAAGGGUGAACUGAUUGUUAUCUUUAGCGGAGCAUCCAGCAUCUUCACAAAUGCAAUGGAGAAACAAAAACAACAUAAGAGAUAAUUACUCCCUCCGUUCCUAAAUAAUUGUCUUUCUAGUGAUUUCAACAAGUGACUACAUACAAAGCAAAAUAAAUAAAUCUACACUCUAAGACAUGUCUACAUACAUCCGUAUGUUGUAGUCCAUUUGAGAUGGCUAGAAAGACAAUUAUUCGGGAACGGAGGGAGUAAUUAACAAUCCGACAACUAACUAGCAAUACUUUUGUUGAAUAGCCGUUGCGCGUGAGUAAACAUGGCACAAGAGAUAGAAACACCUCGUUAUUUGUGGUUUGUACCAAUCAAAUAUUGAAGAAACUGUCGUGUCAGGAAAGACUUGCAAGCCGAGCGCAACUAAUCAAUUCGUUGAGAGAGCAAGGUAGUGGCAAAUUAUAUAUUUAAAGUUCAGGAUAUUUAAUGAGUGAUUACAAAAGAUCCACAUUUGCCACAACCAGAAUCACCAUCAGGAUUCAAGAGGACGCGGCAUCAGGAAUUGACCAAGACUUAAUCAAACCUUCGCAAUUGCUCACCUACUUUGAUCGUUGCCUCAUCUUUUGGCACUUCCUCUUGAGCCUCGUCAUUCUCUUGUUCUUCCACUGCACAUUAUUUCAAACGCAAUGUACAAUAUAAUUUGCAUGUAAAUAGUGCAAGGCAGGACACCAAAUGCAAUGUACUUUAUUUGUUGGAAACAAGAGUAUUGGGUGUUCGGAUUUAAUUCUCAUUGUGUGUGGUCAGUUUUGUUAAAUGAACAAACAAAAAGCAAUAAUAAAGAAAAAUAAUAAGGACAUGUCCUGCAAUCUAGUAUUUGGCAAAUGACAAGAUUGUAACAAUGUGAUGAAUCUUUGCAACAAAAGGGAGUACUUAUAUAUGCAUUUGACAUUCAAGAACAUGAGUUAUUAAACCAAAAAUGGAAUAGUAAAGUUAAAAGACUAAGGGCUAGUUCUUUUGGAGCUUAUGGCUGGCUGUGGAAAUAAGUUGCCCCUCCUUACUUAUAGCAGGCUUAUAAAAUGAAAUUUUAGGUUGAGCUUCUAGGGGCAGCUUAUUUCCACACCCAGCCAUAGGCCAAAAAAAAAACUAGACCUAAGCAUGUUCCCUGAGAAAUGCUUCAAUCGUCCACAUGGUGUAAUAGAAUGGAUUAAAUCAGACUCAUCGUCUGUGAAAUAGCAGUAAAUACAGAGAAGCUGAAAGUGACAAUAAGUGGUAGAACGAAUACAUUGUUGCCAUCAGUUCUUGGAGCCAUGAUGUUCAUCAGUUGGUAUUUUAUUCAAACUGACCACCAUUGUUAAUCUCAACCAAUUCAUUCCCAUGUCUAAGAUCAAAUUACCGCAUGGUGCUUAAGCAAUAAAUCAAGUUCAGUUGUUCAACUGAGGCUCCAAUUCACUGGCAGCUACCAAUGCUGGAAGUGUCACUGGUUCAACUUUUGUUUCCCUUGUGAGGUAAAAAGAAAAUUAAUGAACCUGCAAAUAUCUGCAAUGUUCCUGGUAUUUGUUCAUCUCGGAGCAAAGAAAAGGACCUGUCACACCGCAAAAAGAUAAAAUAACUGACACAACAAAUGCAGGGCCAAAAGGCACAUUUCAGAGUACCUCAAGGAUAAUAGGUGCAUAAAAUUCAGUCACAAACACAUAUAAUCCUCACAUUACAUAAAACUCAGUACUGGAACAUAGCCAGACUAGUAUUAAACAACUAAAUUUGACCAAACACAGGUAAAAGCAACUUCCACAGCCAAAACAACAGAACAAAUCAAGAAUCACUAGACAAUGCCAUCACCCCUCAGAGUUCCGCUGCCUGGAUGCAAGAUGAUGCUUACGGCCUACUUGGAUCGCUGCCUCAUCUUUCGGCGCUUCCUCUUGAGCCUCCUCAUCCUCUUCUUCUUCCACUGCAAAUUACAGCAACAAUGCCUAGCAUCAGCAUAAAUUGCAUGGGUGCUAUAGAAGAUGCUUAGGAACAUAACAAGUUUUCCAGAUGAAAAGGAACAGAAAGUACAACUUGUUUUGGAAUCAGAAGAUUGAGUGUUUCAUUGGAUAUCAUCACGUGAUUUUCAGAAACACGGACCAAUUGUUCUUCAUCAUUUCCCAGACUAAAGUCGAUUUCAAAGGCAAAUAGGAAUCAAUUAUGCUAAGAUAUCCAAAGAACUAGCUAAGCAAAGUAUAGAUCUGCAGUCGGUUUGACAUUCAGAAUGAGUAGGAGGAUUUUAUCAUCAAAUAGAUCGGACAACAAUUGUCUUCCUCAUCAUGCCAACGACGCAAUUAUACCCAAAAAAACAGUGGAAAAAUGAGCUAAACAAUCAGAGUUCUCUCAGACAAAUGCCUCGAUUGUCCACAUGGUGUAAUAGAAUGGAUUACAUCAGACUCGUAAUCUGUUUUAAUCAUCACAGAGACUAUGGACAAACUAAAACAGCCAAAAAAACACAUAAAUCUGGCUAACAUAACUAGAGGCAGUAAUUAGAUCUAAUAGAGGGAGCAAAUCUGGUCGAAAUAGCAGCGGUUCCCUCAGACAAAUGCCUCAUUUUUGUCCCCACGGUUGGAUGGCAUGGAUUGGAUCUGACAUCUAAUCAGUGUUGAUCAUCACAGAAAACCACUAAUCACGCAAGCAACAGCGAGAACGAACACUCUAUAAACACUAGCACAUGUCCAGAUCUAACGCGGUCGCGAAGCAGCUAACAGGAGAGAAAGGUAGACGAAGGGCAGUAAGAACCUUGGCCCUCAUCGCGGCGGCGGUGUCGGCCUCGCUCUCCGGUUCGCGGCGGUGGUGGCGGCGGGAGUGUGUGGACGAACCCGAUCUCCGUAGAUUGUUGGCGGCGGGGCUCUCGCCUCGUACUUAUACGGGCUGGGUGCUGAAGAGGGGAAAACCCUAGCGGGAUCGGACGCGUGGACGGCUCGGAUCAGCCAGUGAACGGCGUUCUGAUCCGAUUAGUUCCUCUGGUUUCUGGGCCUGUUGGGCCUCCAAACAACGCAUAGGCCCACGCUAACAUUUGACUGGACUUGAUUUCCUGAAUGGGGAAAAAAGAAACUUGACCAGUCUUUACUUUUAUUCUCUUUUUUUUUACUUAAAAAAAAGAGUAGCGUUCCUUUUUCUGCCAGACGGAGUGAUUCGUCCAACAUUUUUUUAUAACCAUUCCUUGGGAACCGCCUUAAUCAUCUCAUCUUUUUGGUUCAAAAAUAUCGUCUCAUCUUUUAUUGACUUAUCAAAUAAAUUAUAUUUUCUUUCAUAAGUCAAAAUAAGUGAUUACAAAAUAAAAUCAUGAGCAAGAUUUGUUAAGUAUUUAUUUACACAAUCACGUAACAUAAAGUUGUAAAUUAUGGGAUAAUGAUGGCGCUGGUGCGCAACUGUUGGUGCAGCACAUUCACCAUUAAUUAUACUAUUUUUAACACAGUAUAAACGUAAGCGCUCGUAUAUAUAUGCGCAUAUAUUCAUCCAUAUGAACACACACACGCACACCCUAUCCCUAUGAGCAUCUCUGAAAGACUGAGUCAGCAUAUUAUCUAAAUUUUACAAAGUCAUCAUAGGCGUUUAUCCAGAAUAAAUGCAAGCACCAGGACUUGAAUACUAAUAGGCUGAGAAUACUAUUGUCCUUCUAACCAUUCAACCACAUAUUGUUUCGCCAGGACUAAUCAUACUGAUGUAGCCAAGUCUUGUUUAAAAACUAGGGACCAAACUUCGUCCCAUAUAGUUGAACAACCCGUUGCUGCGGUCUGAUGUAGUUGCUACUCGUUUGCUUCUAAAGUAACUUGUAAUCAACUACUUCUGAUGAGAACAAAUCGAUAAAGUACCUUGUAACAAACUACUGAGAUAAUUUGUACCUUCUCUCCGUACCCAUGUAUUAUCAAGUAGCCUCUUAAUGUACUUUCCCUUUUUUCUUCUUUGAAGCAAGUUUAUGAAAAAAAUGAUGUAUUCCGAUCUCCAUGAAGCAACCAAUUAGCUCGUCCUCUCUAUAACCAAAUCAAUUCUUGUUGAUACAGAAGAUUCUCAAUAUCUAGCCUAACAAAAAGAAGAUUCUCAAUAUUUGAAGAUCUUUUUUAUCCCUAAUCUCCCCGUCAGAUCACUUUGUCUCCAUUUCUGAAGGUAUUUACUUAGCUUCGAUAUCCUCUUAUUUGGGCCUUUCAGAACCUCCAGAUCCCUCUUGUGUAGAUCUUUAUGAUCAGGCAAGGGUGGCCUAGCUUGCUCGCUCCCAAGCCAAUUGGACUACCGCAUUAACGGUUUCUUCACACAACCAACGGGCUUCAAACUUUUUUCGGGCCUUCGGUUGUUGAGACAAAACAUAUUUUUUUAAAAUAUGAAGGAGAAUAGAUCAAUGGUCUGAAUGGACAUGGUGCUCAUGAACCAACCCAACGCAUAUGGCAAUUUAUCCGCACACGCCUCAUUACUUAGUGAUGCCUUGGCUCUAGGUAAACUGAUCACCAAUAACCGUGGUCUAUUGAAGUCCACACAACCUGUGAAAUUAUGCAUCAACUGUUGAGGUCGAACAUCACCACCCUCCUUCUCACUUUCCACCAAUCUCUCAUUAAAAUCACAAAAACUAACCAUGGACCAGCCGCAUUACGUUGCACGAGUAUGUCCAGGACAGGUGCUUCCUAUCCCAAGUAGGUUGUCCGUAAUAUCCCGUCAAGCACCAUGAAGCAUUAUUUUCACCAUAACAAUUCCACCAAUAAAGUUUGGAGAAGAAUAAUUCAACACCACUUCAUUAGACUGGUUAUAAAAAAGGACAAGGCUCCCCGAGCGACCAUCACUCUCAACAAUAUGACUAAAUCAACCCUAGCUUAACUCUCAACUCAAUUGCACUCGCUUUGUUCAUAUAAGAAAAUCACAUCUCCUCUCACACUCCCUUGGAGGUCCAAGGGCUCACUGUCGUGGAUGAAAGCAUCCCACGUCAGUUCCAAUCUAAGAUUUCCAUUGUGCCCGGCUGUCCUUCUCGUCUGAGGCCACCAAUCCAUCAUUAGCAUUGCAGUCAAUUUCCGUCCAUCACUUCCCUUUAGUUUAAUUUGCUUUGCAUUUUUCCGAGGCCCACAAACCUUUUGUCUAGUAUGUUUGAACCAAAAAGGAGUUAAUAUACAUGGUUUGGUCCACACUACGAGAAAGUGGCCCAACCAAAAUAAGCUACCUAAUUUUGAAAUUUCUCCAAGUGCUUUAGGGUGACUUUUGUGUCCUUACAACACCAUCCUUCGUGCCGUCUUGUCCAUGUAUCUUGCUUCCAUGAUGUACAUAUCCUCUUCUCCAAUCUCCACAACCUUCAGUUCUGUGGAUUUAAUUGUUGAUUGAUCCUUGUGGGAUUACGGUUGUAUGUGUAGCAGGGGCUGUAAUGGUAGAAGAGGUGCCCCCAUCACUUGAUUUUGGGGCAGGUGCUGGUGCUUUUUUUAACACAGUACACAUGCAUGCGCUCAUAUAUAUGUGCAUACAUUCAUCCCUAUAAUAAACACAUACACGCAUACUCACUAGUAGAAAACCGGGUUUCAGUCCAGCCACAUAAGCCCAUUAAUCCCGGGUCAGUCACGAACCGGGACCCAUGGGGGCAUAGGUCUCGGUUCGUGAGGCCAGGAGGCCGGCCGAGCCUCGUGGGGCAUUGGUCCCGGUUCGUCUCGCCCCUUUGGUACCGGUUCCAAACACGAACCAGGAUCAAAGGGCCUCGUUCCUGGCCCACAACCUUUAGUCCCGGUUUGUGGCUGGAAUCGGGAUUAAAGGACCACCUUUUGUCCUGGUUCCAGCCACGAACCGAGACCAAUAAGAUGCCUAUAUAUACCUCCUUGCCCGCGAGCAGAGCAAUGGAGUGCUCUGGUUUUUUUGGCCGGUCGUGGGAGAGAGCUUUGUGGUGCUCUAGCUCACCUCCUAUGCACACGAGGUGUUCGAUAAAAUGUUGAGCCGCACUUAAGCUUUCUCCUCUCGAAGUACUUGUCCAAAGUCCAUUUUCCUCUAGAUUUGUUUAGGUUUAGCGGUAUGUCAUGUCACGUCCCCAUCCUCCCAGCCGUCGAUUGCCCGCGCCGAUCUCGUCGCCGGCACCAUCAUGGUGAGCCUCUUGAUCUUAUCUUCUUUCUCAAAGAAAAAAGUUCUUACUUGUAUGAUUUAGAUAGAUACUUGUGUAAUUUUCUUACUUUUAUUAUUGUUUGUUAUUAUAUAGUGCGAUGGUUUUGGUAUCCGUCUCCAUCGGCCCUCGUCCUGUUUAUGAUUCGGAUGUGGUAUAUAUUAUCUUUUAUAACUAUUUGGUCCAUUUAGUGUUUAUGACAAUUAUGCCGACCAACGUGACAUAGAUUUUUUUAUCUAGGAGGUAUGUGAACCGGAAAUCCCAACCGACCCUAUUGUCGAGAGGUUAAAUUUAGUUGAAGAAGAAAACAAUUACUUGAAGGAAAAAAUGGAAAAAAUUGAGGAGGAGAAGAUGAUAUUGGAGUUGCAUGUUGCAGAUGUCGUCGAUGAUCACAAGAUCAAGAUGGAUGCAAUGCGCUUGAAGAUUAGAAAGAUUAGAAAAUAUGUCAUUCAUACUGAGGCUUAAUAUCAUUAUGCCGUUGGAUCAAUUGUUAUCUUAGUUGCGAUUAUGAUCGCAUUUGUUGUUGCAUUGAAAUGUUUUACAUAGUUUCAAUGUAUGUUUAAUUAGAUGCUGUGGAGAGCUAUAUGUUGUUCAAUGAGAACUAUUUAUGUACUUUGGCUUUAAUGUGAUGAUGAACUUCUAUUAAUUUGGUCACUUAUUUAUUCAUGAUGCAUGCAGAUGAACCGGCAAUGGAUGUACGGUAACAGACGCACCUCCGAGUACAUUAAGGGCGUGAAUAAUUUUCUCGUAGUGGCUGAGGCAAACAAGCAGAAUAGUUUUAUGUGUUGUCCAUGCCCUAUAUGUGGGAAUAUGAGGUCUUACUCUGACUCGAAAACCCUUCACACCCACCUGCUUUAUAAGGGUUUCAUGCCACACUAUAAUGUUUGGACCAAGCACGAGAAAGAGGGGUUAUGAUGGAAGACAACGAAGAAGAAGAGGAUGAUGACAACUAUGUGCCCCCUGAAUACGGUGAUGCUGCAACGGGGAAGCUGAAGAUCAAGAGGAACCAGACGAUGUGCCCGAUGAUAAUCUUCGUCGGGUCAUUGUUGAUGCAAAGAGACAGUGCAAAAGUGUAAAGGAGAAGCUGAAGUUCGACCGCAUGUUAGAGGAUCACAAAAAAGGAUCAUGCCCAAUUGCGAAGAUGGGAACACAAAGCUCGGUACCACACUGGAAUUGCUGCAGUGGAAGGCAGAGAAUGGUGUACCUGACAAAUAAUUUGAGAAGCUACUGAAAAUAUUGAAGAAGAAGCUUCCAAAGGAUAACGAAUUGUCCGACAGUACGUAUGCAGCAAAUAAGGUUGUAUGCCCUCUAGGAUUGGAGGUGCAGAAGAUACAUGCAUGCCCUAAUGACUGCAUCCUCUACUGCGGUGCGUAUGAGGAUUUGAACGCACGCCCGGUAUGCGGUGCAUUGCAGUAUAAGAUCAGACGAGAUGCCCCUGGUGAUGUUGACGGCGUGCACCCCAGGAAGAGGGUUCCUGCCAAGGUGUGUGGUAUGCUCCUAUAAUACCACAGUUGAAAUGUCUAUUCAGAAACAAAGAGCACGCCAAGUUGAUGCGAUGGCACAGAGAGGACUAUAAGAAAGACGGGAAGUUGAGAGCACCCGCUGAUGGGUCGCAGUGGAGAAAAAUCGAGAGAAAGUACUGGGAGGGCUUUGCAGGUGACGCAAGGAACGUAUGGUUUGAUUUAAGCGCAGAUGGAAUUAAUCCUUUUGGGGAGCAGAGCAGCAAUCACAACGCCUGGCCUGUGUAUCUAUGUAUCUAUAACCUUCCUCCUUAGUUGUGCAUGAAGCGGAAGUUCAUUAUGAUGCCAGUUCUCAUACAAGGCCCUAAGCAACCCGGCAACGACAUUGAUGUGUACCUAAGGCCAUUAGUUGAAGAACUUUUACAGCUGUGGAAUGGAAAUGAUGUACGUGUGUGGGAUGAGCACAAACAACAGGAAUUUGACCUACAUGCGUUGCUGUUUGUAACCAUCAAUAAUUGGCCUGCUCUCAGUAACCUUUCAGGACAGACAAACAAGGGAUACCACGCACACACGCAUUGUUUAGAUGACACCAAAAGUAUAUACCUAGACAAAUGCAGGAAGAAUGUGUACCUAGGGCAUCGUCGAUUUCUUCCAACCAACCAUCAAUGUCAAAAGAAAGGCAAGGCAGAUCACCAGAAGAAGCCCGUCGUCCGUACUGUGAUCACAUACUUGCUAUGGUCAAUGCUUUACAAGUAAUCUUUGGAAAGGGUCCCGGUGGACUAUCUGUUCCGAAUGACGCUGAGGGACAUGCACCCAUGUGGAAGAAAAAAACUAUAUUUUGGGACCUACCCUACUAGAAAGACCUAGAGGUUAGCUCUUCAAUCAACGCGAUGCACGUGAUGAAGAAUCUUUGUGUGAACCUACUAGGCUUCUUGGGCGUGUAUGGGAAAACAAAAGAUACACUGAAGGCACGGGAGGACCAGCAACGUGUGCACGAAAAAGACGGCAUGCCUCCAAAGCAGUAUGAAGGUCCUGCCAGCUACGCUCUUACCAAAGAAGAGAAGGAAAUCUUCUUUGAAUGCGUGCUCAGUAUGAAGGUCCCAUCUGGCUUCUCGUCGAAUAUAAAGGGAAUAAUAAAUAUGUCAGAGAAAAAGUUCCAGAACCUAAAGUCUCAUGACUGCCUUGUGAUUAUGAUGCAACUGCUUCCGGUUGCAUUGAGGGGGCUUCUAGCGGAAAAUGUUCGAUUAGCCAUUGUGAAGCUAUGUUCAUUCCUCAAUGCAAUCUCCCGGAAGGUGAUUGUCGGGGAAGCUGAUCCACGAACACCUAUGGGACCGGCGGACCGAGCCCCUUUCGGUUCGGCGGGGGGCGGAGAUCGCACGAAGAGCGGAUCGAGGCGAAGCACACGAGCAGUUUACCAAGCUUCGGAGCUCUCCGGAGAGAUAACACUCCUACUGUUGCAUGUCUGAGUGUAUUGAGUUCUUGCUCGGGAGCGCUGAGUGCUACAGUACACCCUAGCUACUAACGAGACCGAGCGUGAGUGUUUUUCUGCCUUCCCACCCCCCUCUACGUUGCGCAUGGGCCUCCUUUUAUAUGCUAAAGGGGUCUCCGACAGGUGGCAACGUAGACAAGGGUAAAAAUGGAAAAGGAAUCGCGGUUGGUACAACAACCUGUACAGUGUAUCAUACCUAACCCUGACAGCAGGGGACAAAGGCAUUAAAUGCCCGUCUACGUCGCCCAAAUAGUGCAAAAAGGGACCGUCAGGGAUGCCACCGCUCGCCACGAUGGCAAUCUUGUCAGCGCCGCUUGCCAUCGCGCACCGCUGGCUGCACAGCCUCUUGCCACGCGCGCCUGGAAAGGCCCCAGGGCGACACGUUGGUGGAUGUGCUGGAGCGCGGGUACAGAUUGGUAGCUUGCCGCGGCAAGCGCUUUGCCGCGGUCGUUGUCUUGUCGCGUCCGGAAGCUUGUCGCUCACUGGGCCUCGCCGGGACGCGUGGCACGUCGCGGCAAGUUCCUUGAGAUGCCUUGGUUGGCCUUCCCGGCAAGCUCCUCUUGUCGGGGCCUUGUCUCCUUGGCUUGAAUACUUUGUUCUUGAAUGGCUCCAAAGGAACCAUGGAGGAUCUUGGCGGUCACCCGGCAAGCCUUGCCGCGGGGUGCUGCGACUGCCCGUGCACAAGUUCGGGAUACUAGGGUACCCCUACUCUAGUACACCGACAGGAGCCCCCAGGCCUGGGCCACACACGGUGCCGAGCGCUGUUGGGCCAGACCCAAAACAGGGCACGGGCACGCGCGGCCUGGGUUACGCCGUAUCUCACUCUGUAUCCACCGCGCCCUCCUCGAACGGCACGCGUCGAAUGCGGCGUCGUGGGAGAGAUCGUGGGUGGUUUCUUUAUUCGGAAAGACGGAACGUCUGCCCCCUCCCUCCUUGUUGUACUUGUAGUUCUUCAAUUCUUGCUGUUUUGUCUUGUAUCUGAUUUGCUUUACUCUGAACCCAUUCCUUUUCAGGACUCUGGCCCAGAGAGCGGCGAAGAGAGCCAAGGCCCCGGUGAUUGUCAUCGAGGACGAACCCACCGCGACAGCAGGGUGUGUGUCCGAGACCACCUUGCCGGACCCGACAACUAUUCCCCAAAGCAACCCCCAGCGCAGCCCCCAGCGUAAGUAUAUGGUUUACUUCCUGCUGUUAGGCGCGCAUGGGUGCUCUUUCUUUGCUGACAUCUGAUUCUUGGUUUGCGUAGGAGCAGAGCAGUCUCACCAGGAGUGCCCGGAAGCCGCUCCCGACAUGCCCUCUGCUUCGACUACACCGCCAAGGGAGGAUUCCCCGGCAAGAGAGCGUUCUCCGGCAAGGGACAAUUUUCUGGUAAGGGAGAAGUCUCUGGCAAGGGGCAGUUCUCUGGCAAGGGACAGCACCAGCGACCCCUCGGUGGCGGAGACCACGGCUGUAGAUCCUAGUACAGGUAAUCCUCUUGCUUGAAAACUUCCCCUGGGUUCUUCUUCUUCUGAUUUUCUUUUUGAAUAUUUGCUUGACUUUUCUCCCUUUUCCGGUCGUCGGGUCCAUCUGCCACGGAGCCGAUGGAAACCGAGGUCGCCGGCGAUGAGAACGUGCGCGGCAAUGCCAACGACACUGCUGCCACCGAAGAAGAGGCCGGCACCGAUGAUCCCGCCGGCGGAGAGGCCGUCAAAGCUGCCGCCGCAGGAGCUGGCGAGGGGUCCGGCGAUUGCACUGACGGGCCCGAGGCCGCAGGAGCGUCAGGCGCUACGCCGACCGCCGAUCCCUCCGCCGCUGCUGCAGCGUCAGGCUCCGGAGAGCCCCAGCCCGGCGCCUAUUUGAAGGCCGGCGAUGGCAUCUUCAUCAAGCUCCCCUGGGCUUGUUGCUGCUGGUCAUGUUAUGAGAACAAUCUGUUAGAGCUGCGACAAGCUAUCUUAUAAUACGACUCUAUUUUGGGUAGCGAUUGCUAUGUUAUUUCCUUUACUUGAUUCCUUCCUUUGUAUGUUUUGGCCCUACGCUUUUAGGGAACUUGUCGGCGCAGGCACCUUAGCCGCGAGCGCUGAGUGCGGGACGUCAGCAGCCUGCUGGCGGUGCCGCUACCGACAAGAAACCUUGUCGCAACUAGUCGCAGCUCACUUAAGUUGUUGAGCGGACUCGAAACAAAGUAAGGGCACAACUAGCUACGAGUUGGUUCCUCCGCGCACAGGUUUUCCAUACAAAGCACGGUCGUUCGAGGAAGAUAACUUAAAAAUUUUAAAACUGAUUGCUCAAACUUUAGCAACUUAGCUUUUCUAUCGUUUGCUUCUCGGUAAGGCGAAACUUCCUCGAACGACGCUUGGUCCACACCAUUAUCUUCUCCUUUCCUCCCGGCAAACUUGUGGGCGAGGGAACCUUCCUUUCUUUGAGAAAGAGAAAGAAGAGAAAAUAAAGAUAUGGGGCCUUACGGCUCGUUAUUGCUUACCGGGGGUAGGCGCUGCACAAAGUGUCAGAUAAUGCGUGCAAAGAAAAGUAGAAAGCAUGAAAUUGACAAGAUGUACAGAGCACAUGAGCUUUACUUACGCACGGGGUCUGCGCCCGGCUUCGUAUAGAGGAUUACAUGCAACAUCGGCAAGACUUGUACGAAAGGUGGUUGCCGGAACAGGUUCCGGCAACCGCGCCUUAUGGGUAAAACUUACGAAGAUGCUCAAUGUUCCAGGAGUUGCUCACCGGAAUGCCAUCUUCGGUCUCAAGGCGGACAGCGCCAGGCCUAGUGACUCGUUUCACCCGGUAAGGGCCUUCCCACUUCGGCGUCAACUUGUUGGAAUUCUUGGCGGACUGAACGCGCCGAAGAACAAGGUCGCCUUCCUCGAGACUUAUGGCAUUAACUUUGCGGCUAUGGUAGCGGCGCAAAGCUUGCUGGUAUCGAGCAGCUCGUACAGCGGCCUGAAGACGGUCCUCCUCAAGGAGCAGCGCGUCGUCUUGUCGCGACUGCUCUUGCUCAAGCUCAUCAUAAGCGAGCACUCGAGGUGACCCGUAUACGAGUUCCAUGGGGAGAACUGCCUCUGCUCCAUAGACUAGAGCGAAAGGUGUUUGUCCAGUGGCUCGAUUUGGCGUCGUCCUGACCGACCAAAGAACCACCGGCAGCUCCUCAAUCCAGUUCUUUCCGCACUUGCGCAGCCUACCAAAAGUCCUAGUCUUGAGCCCGCGUAGCACUUCAGCAUUCGCCCUCUCCGCUUGACCGUUACUUCUCGGAUGAGCAACAGAAGCGAAGCAGACCUUGGCGCCAAGAUCUUGGACGUACUGCAUGAAGGUGCGGCUCGUGAAUUGCGUGCCGUUGUCGGUGAUGAUCCUGUUAGGGAUCCCGAAGCGGCAAACAAUCGACCUGAAGAACUUGACUGCUGACUGUGCUGUCACCUUCCUCACUACUUCCACUUCUGGCCACUUUGUGAACUUGUCGAUUGCAACAUACAAGUACUCAAAGCCCCCGACAGCUCGGGGAAAGGGGCCGAGGAUGUCGAGCCCCCAGACCGAAAAUGGCCAGGAUAAAGGGAUCGUCUGGAGAGCUUGAGCUGGCUGGUGUAUCUGUUUGGAAUGGAACUGGCACGCUUCACACUUGGUUACUUGUGCAGUUGCAUCCUGGAGGGCUGUCGGCCAAAAGAAACCUUGCCGGAACGCUUUGCCGGCAAGUGCUCUUGCGCCAAUGUGGUGACCACAUAUGCCUCCAUGUAUCUCUGCCAACAGCUUUUGUCCGUCUUCCCGGUGAAUACACUUCAAUUUCACGUCGUUGAGUCUUCUUCUGUACAGUGUGUUGUCGACAAACUGGUACAUACUUGACUGCCGGGCUACUCUUUCCGCUUCUUCUUGCUCUUCGGGAAGUUCUCCUGUCUGAAGGAAACAGACAAUCUGCUGUGCCCAUGCUGGAGCUUGCGGCUCGACAACAAGGACUAAAGGCACAUCUACUGCUGCGGGAACAUCCGCUUCUACAGCGAGAACCUGCGGCUCAGCCAGAGCUUGACGUUCCCCGGCAAGCUUGCCAGAGCAAAACUUGUUGGGAGCGUCUGCUUCAACGGAACAAACCCUAGGGCUUGCCGGAGCAGACUGCUCCUCAGCACACUGGCUUGAAAUUCUUCGUGCUGGGCCACUGGACUUGCCGUAGCUCACGAGUGAACGGAGGGCAACCUACCGCGUACGGAAAGUCGCAUGGUUCCCCUGGUGCAUGCAUGUCGAUAGAGGGCCCAGCGCGCUGGUCCGAUCGACGCCGCGUUUCUCUUCGGCGCUCGAUGCAAGUUCGAGCGUCUUCUUGCUGUCGUUCAUGAAGAACUUGGCACUGAUCGCGACGAGCUCGUGGAUCCGAUGAUGCGGUGGAGUCGCUGUCGAGGUGGAUCCGGCGAGUCGGCGAUCUUGGCCUUCGGGGUGGAGAGUGCAUGGUGGUUGCACCCCCACCGGUUUCGUCGCCAUCGGCUCGUGCCCGGCAGUCAUGCCGCGGCAGCGAUGUACUCGGCUGUCGCGGAGUGUCGCCGUUGGCGAAGCCGAUGAGACUCUGAAUGGUUGGCCUCCAUUCAUCGAUCUUGUCUGCCGUUGGAGGGUAAUCCAGGAGCAGUUGAGCUCGCGCCAAAGCUUCUGUUGGAGUGGUGGGCGGCAGUGGCGAACGGUGCGAGGAGAGGGAUAUGCUCGGACUUCUAACUAUGUUAGAAGGAGCAGUAUCCCGUCCAGGCGACCGUGUCUCGCUCAUGCCAGCAUGUUGGCGUGCAUGCUGGUCUUGAGCACCCCGAGAUCCACCAGCUCGAUCUUGGUCCAACGAACGUAUGGCCCUGCGAAUACCAUGACGCUGUCGGUCCUGCGCCUCCUGAGAUGGGCGCGGUGCAUGUACGGGCGCCGAGGUCUGCACAGCCUUGUCCUUGGACCUGGCAGCACCGUGAGCUCCCUCGUCGAUGCCCGUUCUUCCGCCGGCGUCUACCCCACCACCCGUUUGCUCCGGUGGUGGUGGGAUCGACGUGGACGAAACAGCUGCCGCCGAAGCCUUCUUCUUCGGUGGCAUGUCGAUGAAGAAGAUGAAGAUCUAGCUCGUGUGAACACCGGAUCAGGUUCACACAACCUCAACGCCCCCUACCUGGCGCGCCAAAGAUGUCGGGGAAGCUGAUCCACGAACACCUAUGGGACCGGCGGACCAAGCCCCUUUCGGUUCGGCGGGGGGCAGAGGUCGCACGAAGAGCGGAUCGAGGCGAAGCACACGAGCAGUUUACCCAGCUUCGGAGCUCUCCGGAGAGAUAACACUCCUACUACUGCAUGUCUGAGUGUAUUGAGUUCUUGCUCGGGAGCGCUGAGUGCUACAGUACACCCUAGCUGCUAACGAGACCGAGCGUGAGUGUUUUUCUGCCUUCGCACCCCCCUCUACGUUGCGCAUGGGCCUCCUUUUAUAUGCUAAAGGGGUCUCCGACAGGUGGCAACGUAGACAAGGGUAAAAAUGGAAAAGGAAUUGCGGUUGGUACAACAACCUGUACAGUGUAUCAUACCUAACCCUGACGGCAGGGGACAAAGGCAUUAAAUGCCUGUCUACGUCGCCCAAAUAGUGCAAAAAGGGACCGUCAGGGACGCCACUGCUCGCCACGAUGGCAAUCUUGUCAGCGCCGCUUGCCACCGCGCAUCGCUGGCUGCACAGCCUCUUGCCACGCGCGCCUGGAAAGGCCCCAGGGCGACACGUUGGUGGAUGUGCUGGAGCACGGGUACAGAGUGGUAGCUUGCCGCGGCAAGCGCUUUGCCGCGGUCGUUGUCUUGUCGCGUCCGGAAGCUUGUCGCUCACCGGGCCUCGCCGGGACGCGUGGCGCGUCGCAGCAAGUUCCUUGAGAUGCCUUGGUUGGCCUUCCCGGCAAGCUCCUCUUGCCGGGUCCUUGUCUCCUUGACUUGAAUACUUUGUUCUUGAAUGGCUCCAAAGGAACCAUGGAGGAUCUUGGCGGUCACCCGGCAAGCCUUGCCGCGGGGUGCUGCGACUGCCCGUGCACAAGUUCGGGAUACUAGGGUACCCCUACUCUAGUACACCGACAGUGAUCGAUCCAGAAAUCCUACCAAGGUUAAGGAGUGAUGUGGCACGAUGUCUUGUUAGUUUCGAGAUGGUGUUCCCAUCAUCCUUCUUCAAUAUCAUGACGCACAUCCUAGUUCAUCUAGUCGAUGAGAUUGUCAUUCUGGGCCCUGUAUUUCUACACAAUAUGUUCCCCUUUGAAAGGUUCAUGGGAGUCCUAAAGAAAUAUGUCUGUAAUCGCGCUAGGCCAGAAGGAAGCAUCUCCAUGGGCCAUCAAACAGAGGAUGUCAUUGGGCUUUGUGUUGACUUCAUUCCUGACCUUGAGAAGAUUGGUCUCCCUCAAUCGCGAUAUGAGGGGAGACUGUGUUGAAAAGGCACGCUAGGAGGGGACUCAAUAAUAUGUAGGGACGGGCAUUCUUGGUCUCAAGCACACUACACAGUUCUAUAGAAUUCUACCUUGGUGACCUCGUAUGUCGAUGAACACAAGAACAUUCUGCGCUCCAAACACCCGAAGCAGUGUGACGACUGGAUUACAUGUGAACACAUCAGGACUUUCGUCAGUUGGUUGCAAACACGUCUCAGGGGUGACAACACUAUUUUUGAUGAGCUAUACUCGUUGGCCAAGGGACCAUCUUCGGCUGUAUUAACUUACAAAGGGUACGAGAUAAAUGGGAAUACAUUUUACAUGGUCUCCCAAGAUCAAAAGAGCACCAACCAAAACAACGGUGUCCGCUUUGAUGCAGCAACCAAGAGGGUAAAGGACACAUAUUAUGGUUACAUAGUGGACAUAUGGGAACUUGACUAUGGACAUGAUUUUAAGGUCCCUUUGUUUCAGUGCAAAUGGGUCAAUCUGUCAGGAGGUGGGGUACAGGUAGACCCAUAGUACGGAAUGACAACAAUGGAUCUGAACAAUCUUGGGUACACAGACGAACCAUUUGUCCUAGCCAAUGAUGUGGCGCAAGUUUUCUAUGUGAAGGACAUGUCUACCAAACCGAGAAAAAAAUAAGAUAAGGAAGCGAAUACAUCAUACGAUGAACCAAAGCGCCACAUAGUUCUUUCAGAAAAAGAGACAUCAUGGGAUUGGAGGGCAAGACAGACAUGUCUGAAUAUUAUGAAAAGUUUCAUGAAAUUCCUCCCUUUAAAGUCAAGGCUAACCCAAGCACCCUAUUAAAUGAUGAAGAUUAUCCAUGGUUACGGCGCAAUAAGCAAAGGACACAAGCGAAGAAAAAGUGAAGACUUUAUCUCCACAACUAUUAUGAUGAUGCCUUUGAUCUAGGAUAUCACUGCAGUUACAUGUGAAGAAAUGAAAUACCUUUUGUAAUAGAUGAGUUUCCGUCCGAAACCCUGAUACUUCGAAAGAGAUUGUCUGUUUUGUACAUGAAGUGCAUCUAGUUUUUACCGUAACCCUCUCAAGUUUUUAGCACAUGCUAUGUGGGUGAAAUUAGGAUACCAUGCCAACUUUCAACCUUUUCAAAGUUCAUGUGUACUUCUUUUCAAUUUCAGGGUUAUUUAGCUCAAAAAAAUCAGUAAAUGCAUGAAAGAUAGCAAAUGAAGUCAGAAAGGGUUGAAAAUUGUUGAUGUGGCUUUGAAUGGUGCAUUUUCAACACACAAAAAGUCUGGAGUUCAAAUAAAUUCAAAAAAAAAUGAAAUCCCUUUGUAAUAGAUGAGUUUUCGUCCGAAACCCUGAUACUUCGAAAGAGAUUGUUGUUAGGGCAUAUUUUUCCCUGGUUUGUUUGGUGAUUGAUGACAAUACUUUUGCGGACUAAUCGUGUGCAUUAAUAUUUUCAGGUUAUCUAAUAUAAGGGCACUAUGCGAUUGUUACUCCUUGAGGACUUCACUUUAUACGGAUUAUUUUCCUUCGUUUCUUUUCGGUGGAGUCGUAGGGAUAACCGUACUAUCAAGAGGGGAUCCGUUUCGGAAGAGCAUGGGUGGAAUCAUCACGUUCACUCUCUCCUUGCACCCUCGCCUUCUUCCUGCUUCUUUGGAGUAUCUUUGUUGUGCAAAACAAGGGGUGUUGGGUGCUAAGCGGUAGUACCGCUUGUUAGCGCCGCCGAUACUACUGCCCCUGCCGUGGUCUCGAUUUUUCGUGUCGGGUUUCCUAAAGGACCACGCAGGGGAGCGGUAUUAGGGACGGCAGUAGGGCGCGAUAGUACCGCUUUUUAGCAGUAGUAUCACUCCUACGUCCGCUCCAACUGCCGCUCAGCUCACUGCCCUACUCUAUUUUCCAGCGGCUAUAGGGAGCGGCGGUACGGCUUAUCGGCGGUAGUACCGCCCUCAGGGCGGUAGUACCGCCCUAGUGCGUGUACUUCUUCUCCCUCAGCCCUGGUUACCCUAUGCCUGCUUGCCACAUCGGUAGUACUGAUGUGGCAGCGGUACUACCGCUCCGGCAACGGUAGUACCGCCCAGAUGCGGCCUGUAGGCUGCAUAACGGUUGGAUGUGUCCCCCCACUAUAUAAAGGGUUCUUAUUCUCCAAGAAGACUUACCUCUUCCUUCCCCAAGCUCCAUUGUUGCUCCAAGCUCCAUUUUCGCCCGAUCUCUCUCCCUAGCCAAUCAAACUUGUUGGUUUUCUAGGGAUUGGUUGAGAAGGCCCCGAUCUACACUUCCACCAAGAGAAAUUUGAUUCCCCCCACUAAUCCCUUGCGGAUCUUGUUACCCUUGGGUGUUUGAGCACCCUAGAUGGUUGAGGUCAUUGCGGAGCCAUAUUCCAUUGUGGUGAAGCUUCGUGGUGUUGUUGGGAGCCUCCAAUUAAGUUGUGGAGAUUGCCACAGCCUUGUUUGUAAAGGUUCGGUCGCCGCCUCCAAGGGCACCAAUAGUGGAAUCACGACAUCUCGCAUUAUGUGAGGGCGUGAGGAGAAUACGGUGGCCCUAGUGGAUUCUUGGGGAGCAUUGCGCCUCCACACCGCUCCAACGGAGACGUACUUCCCCUCAAAGGGAAGGAACUUCGGUAACACAUCCUCAUCUUCACUGGCUCCACUCUUGGUUAUCUCGUACCUUUACUUGUGCAAGCUUAUUGUGUUACAUAUCUUGCUUGCUUGUGUGCUUGUUGUUGUUGCAUCAUAUGGGUUGCUCACCUAGUUGCAUAUCUAGACAACCUACUUUGAUGCAAAGCUUAAAUUGGUAAGGAAAAGCUAAAAAAAAUUAGUUGCCUAUUCACCCCCCUCUAGUCAACUAUAUCGAUCCUUUCAAUUGGUAUCAGAGCCUCAUCUCUUUAUUAAGGACUUUCCGUUCGAAGAGUAUGGUUGACACCGUAGAUGGUGAGGAGGAGCACCCCCAUGUGUUUCCGUCCUCGUCUACGGCCAAGGAGGGAACCUCGGUCUCACGUGAGGAAUUCAAUGUGGCUUUGGACACAUUGAAAACCUCCAUGACGUUCGAGGUCAAAGGCAUGCUUAAAAACUUUCUUGAUGGUCUCAAAUUAUCCAACACACCAUUGGAAGUGGUCGAUCCCACUAACAAGGUGGCGGAUGCCAACUCCGACAAGGGGGAAGCUUCUAGUGAUAAAGUUCCUUUAUCUAGUGGUAGAAAUGGAAAUGGCAUGUAUGCUCAUGUUGAACCACUUCGUACUUACGAAGGACCGGUUCCCUCCACUCAUUUAAAUCAUGUCGGCUCUCCCCCUAAGAUUGUGAAAAAUGAAGAUUUUGAUGCUUGGGUCUAUCGCUUUAAGCAUCGUUUAAAACAUGUUAACACUAAUCUCUAGAGAAUCAUUGAAGAAGGUUUCUACCCGCAUGACCCAAGCAACUUCACCCCUAGAGAAGCCGCGGAUAAUCAAUUCAAUGAGAAUGCUCUCUUCAUCCUCCAAGAUGCUAUUCCACUCGAAGACAUUGCACAUCUCCGACCAUUUACCGUGGCAAAGGAAGCAUGGCACCAUGUUGUUUCCCUCUACAAGGGAAGCGCUAGCAUUUAACGCUCCAACUAUCAAGUGGUGCAAGAUGAAGCCGAUGAAUUUGCAAUGAUUGAAGAUGAAGAACCUCGGGUGCUUUACCGGAGAUUAACCACUCUCACAGUCUCGCUCCAAGAUCAUGGAAGCAAGGAUAUGGAUGACAAUUGGAUCAAGCGCAAGUUCCUCAAGGCCAUGAUGCCCUACCAUAAGGCCGUGUCCUCCGUCAUCCGUCAAAGGCCGGACUUCCACACCUUGUCCUCAAAUGAAGUGUUGGAUGAGUUUGUGGCAAUGAGGAUCUUGGACAAGACCGCCGACAAUGCGGUGUUGCAUUCUCAAAGAGCAAAGAAGCCCAACCUUGCCUUGAAGGCCAAGUUUAGUAUGGAAGAAUAAGAGGAAGAGGAAGAUGAGGAGAGCAACCCCGAAGAUAUGAAAUAUGAUUAUCAUGAGCACAUGGCUCUUGCUUCAAGGCAAUUUUGGAGCAAGAAGAACACAAGGCCCAACUUCAACAAGAACAACUCAAGUGGCUUCAAGGGAAAGAAACGUGUGAGAACAUGUUACAAUUGUGGCAAUGUGAGCCACUUUGUUGCGGAUUGCCCUUACGAGAAGCGGGAAGACAAUGGUGGCAAGCUCGUCCAAAAAGACAAAGCCAAGUCCUUCCCCAAGAAGAACAACUUCACCAAGAAGACUCCAACCAAAGGGUUGGUGGCACAAGAAGAAUACAAUGAGGAUGAUGAUGAUGAAGAUAGUGAAGUCGUGGCCAUGGCCUCCGUUGCCAUUGCCACCACUCCACGGGUGUCUCUCUUCGAUUCACCCAAGGAGAACAUCACCGCCAAGUGCCUCAUGGCCAAAGCCACCAACAAGGUAACCCCCAACAUCAAAACUACCAUCAUUACUAAUCCCUCCUUGACGGAUUGCAUUGAUGAAAAUGAGGGGUCUAAUGAAGAGAUAAAUGAAUUUGAGUCUUUCAUGAGUAAGCUCAAGGGCAAAUCCAAGAAGCACUUUGUUGCUCUCUUGGAACAAUUUGGUUAAGCUAAUGACAUGAUCGAGGCUCAUGAAUAAACCAUAUCUAAGAUGGAAGGUCAUAGUCGUGACUAUGCCGAUGAGAUAUCGGACCUCUCUAAUGCACUUGAGGAAGAGCAUGUUCAUCGUUUGGCUCUUGAGGAGUCACACAAUGAUGGUCAUGCUAAAUUAAAGAAAGAUCUUGAUCAUGCUCUUGUUAUUUCUCGUGUGCUAAACUCCGAGAAGGCUAAACUUGGGGUUGAUCUUGCUAGACUAAAAGAGGAGUUUGAUUUACUUGACAAGGCUCACAAGGCCUUGAAGGGUGCUCAUGCAAGCCUCAAGGAGUCUCGUGAUCAACUCCAAGUGAAGCUAACCAAGGAGAAAGCCACCUUUCCUCAUAUGGUCUUAAUUGAUAACGCAAAUGCUACUAACCCGUGUUGUGAGCAUGUGCAUCUUGUGGAGGAGAAUGCCAAGUUGAAGGAGCAACUUAAGAAAGGCCUUGUGUCGUGUAUACAAGGUGAGAAGAAUCUCAAUGACCUUUUGAGCAAUCAGAAGGAAGUUGUAGCCAAGGAGGGAGUUGGGUUCGCACCCAAGUCCAAUAACAAGAAGAAGAAUGGCAAGACCAAAUGACCUCCCCCUAUCAAGCAAACCUUUGUGAAGGAGGGAGAGAGUGCUUCAAGGGAGAAGAAGAACAACGUAAAGGGUGGCAACGUCAAAAAGGGCAAUGCCACCUCUUCCAACAAAGCCGGUGACUUUAACCCUUCUUAUGUGUUGUGUCGUGCUAGUGAUGGGCAUCUUUAUGCUAAAUUUGUUGGUUCUCCUUAUGACUACAUUGAAUGGUCUAGUUCAUUCCUAAGACCCUUGUUACUAACAUCAAAGGACUCAUUACAAAAUGGGUACCUAAAACCAAGCAUUUAUCUCUUGUAGGUGUUUGCUUCGGAUGGGGGAUCAUGGUUGCUCGAUAGUGGAGCCACAAAUCAUAUGACCGGAAGCAAGGACUUGGUGGUGGACGUGCAAAAGAUUCCAUCUAUGCCCACCAAUGUCGAGUGGGGUGAUGCCUUGUCCUCCAAGGUAUUGGGUCUUGGCAAGGUUGUCAUUUCUCAUGAUCUCACGAUCGAGAAAGUCAUGCUUGUUGAGUCCCUUGCAUACAAUUUACUUUCCGUUCGUCAACUUGCACUCAUGGGUUUUGCCACAUUCUUUGAUAUUGAUAUCGUGGCCCUCUUGUGGAGCAAGACUCUUAAAGUAGCCUUUGUUGGGCAUGUCAAAAAUGGUUUUUAUGUGAUUAACUUUUCGGAGCGACCCACUAAGACUGCGACAUGCCUAAUGGCUAAAGUUGAUGUGGGAUGGCUUUGGCAUUGCUAUUUAGCCCAUGUAAAUAUGAGAUCUUUGCAAAGUCUUCUCAAGGGGGACCAUGUCCGUGGACUAACCGAUGUUUGUUUUACCAAAGAUCGUGCUUGCAGUGCUUGUAUCGAAGGAAAGUUACAUGAAAAGGCUCACCCUCCCACGACUAUCAUCUACUUGAAGAGACCCUUGGAGCUCCUUCACAUGGAUCUCUUUGGGACUCCAUCCUUUGAUAGUCUUGGGGGUAGAAAGUAUUGUUUGGUGAUAGUCGAUGAUUACUCAAGGUACACUUGGGUAUAUUUCUUCAAGAGGAAGAGUGAAACUCAACAAACUGUCAUCAACUUUGCAAAUGAAGCUCAACGUCAACAUGAUGCAAAGAUCUUGACAAUAAGAAGUGACAACGGCACCGAGUUCAAGAACUACACCUUGGAUGAGUUCCUUAGUGAUGAGGGGAUCAAGCAUCAAUAUUCAGCACCAUACACCUCUCAACAAAAUGGUGAAGCGGAGAGGAAGAACCGGACGUUAAUGGAUGCGGCAAGGACCAUGAUGACGGAGUUCAAGUCUCCUUAUAACUUUUGGGUCAAAGCCAUCAACACCACGUGUCAUGCAUCCAAUCGGCUCUAUCUCCGCAAAGGCUUGAACAAGACUCCAUAUGAAAUACUCACCGGUAACAAGCCCAACCUCAAGUACUUCCAGGUAUUUGGUUGUAAGUGUUUCAUUCUCAAGAAAGGUGUUCGUUUGUCUAAAUUUGAGGCUAGAGCUCAUGAGGGCAUAUUUGUUGGUUAUGCUACAAACUCUCAUGCUUACCGUAUCCUCAACAAGUCCACGUGACUCAUUGAGGAGACGUGUAACAUGGAGUUUGACGAGAAUAAUGGCUCCCAAGUGGAGCAAAGUGGUACUUGUGAUGUAGGUGACGAAAUUCCUCCCCAAGCCAUAAGAAGAAUGGGUGUUGGUCAUAUCCUACCCGUUGAGGAACCCCUUAUGACCGAAGGAGAAGGACAAUGCUCCACUCAAGUGGAGCCAUCACCGACCCAAGACCCACAUGCUUCCGAAGAACAUAGUGAAGGCCCUCAAACUCAUGAACAAGAUCAAAGGCAAGAUCAACAUCAAGAUGGUGGUGAGCCACCAAGUGAUGCUCAAGGUCAAGUUCUCCCUUCCGAGCAAGUUCAUGAUCAAGAGCAAGCUCAAGAUCAAGAUCAAGCUCAAGACGACGCUCAAGAUGAUCAAGUUUCCGCUCCUCUUUCAACUCCUGAGGAGGAAUUAGAGCGUCAUGCCGCUAAGAUUGCUUCCAAGCUCAUAACCAAAGGUCAUAUCAUGGAGAAUGUGGUUGGAAGCCUAAGAAAGGGGUUAAGCACUCAUAUACAAUUAGCAAACUAUUGUGAACAUCAUGUGUUUGUUUCUUAUGUCGAACCCCAAAAGGUCUAUGAGGCGCUCGAGGAUCCGGAUUGGCUCAACACCAUGCAUGAAGAACUCAACAACUUCGAGCACAACCAAGUGUGGAAAUUAGUGCCAAGGCCAACCGGGAAUCAUAAUGUCAUUGGAACCAAGUGGAUAUUCAAGAACAAGCAAGAUGCUCAUGGAAUCAUUGUUCGCAACAAGGCUCGUUUGGUGGCACAAGGCUACUCCCAAGUCGAGGGUAUCGACUACGGUGAAACCUUUGCUCCCGUUGCUUGCCUUGAAUAUAUUCGUUUGUUGAUUGCUUAUGCUUCUCAUCAUAAUUUCAAGUUGCAACAAAUGGAUGUGAAAAGUGCUUUUCUUAAUGGUCCCAUUAAUGAGUUGGUGUAUGUCAAACAACCCCCAGGGUUCAAGGAUCCCUAUUUCCCCGAUCAUGUGUACCAACUCAACAAGGCACUCUAUGGCCUUAAACAAGCCCCACGUGUGUGGUAUGAGCACCUUAUUGAGUUGUUGCAAGAUGGUGGGUUUGAAAUUGGGAAAAUCGACCCCACUCUUUUUACUAAGAAGGUCAAAGGGGAGUUGUUUGUAUGCUAACUAUAUGUUGAUGAUAUUAUUUUUGGUUCCCCUAACAAAGCUUUCAAUGAGGAAUUUGCCGCUCUCAUGACCUCAAAGUUCAAGAUGUCUAUGAUGGGAGAGUUGAAGUUCUUUCUCGGGUUCGAAAUCAAGCAAAGAAGAGAAGGAACCUUCAUCAACCAAGUCAAAUACACUUAAGACAUGCUCAAUAGAUUCAAGCUAAGUGAUGUCAAGGCGGUUUCCACUCCAAUGCCAACCAAAUGCCAACUUGACAUUGAUCCCAAUGGUAAAGCGGUGGAUUAAAAGGUAUAUCACUCCAUGAUUGGAUCCUUGCUUUACCUUUGUGCAUCUAGACCAGAUAUCAUGUUGAGUGUGGGAAUUUGUGCAUGGUUUCAAGCCACACCUAAGGAAAGCCACUUUGUGGUGGUCAAGCGAAUAUUUCGAUAUUUGGCUCAUACCCCAAACUUUGGCUUAUGGUACCCAAGAGGAGCCAACUUUGUUCUUGAGAGCUAUUCAGACUCAGAUUGGGCGGGAGACAAAGUGGAUAGGAAGUCCACCUCCAGAGGAUGCCAAUUUCUUGGUUGCUCUUUGGUGAGUUGGUCUUCGAAGAAGCAGAGUUGUGUGUCUCUCUCGUCCACUAAGGUGGAGCAUGUGGCUGUCGGUAGUUGUUGUGCUCAACUUCUUUGGAUGAGGCAAACUUUGAAGGAUUAUGGUGUCACUUGUGACGAUGCGCCUCUUUGGUGUGACAAUGAAAGUGCCAUCAAGAUCUCUCUCAACCCGAUGCAACACUUCAAGACGAAGCAUAUUGAGAUUCGAUAUCACUUCAUCUGGGAUCACAUUAGGCGAGGGGAGAUCAAGCUCAAGUAUGUCAACACUCAUGAUAACCUUGCAGAUAUUUUCAUGAAGCCCUUGGAUGAAGCAAGAUUUCGCGAGUUAAGGCAUGAGCUAAAUAUCAUUGAUUCGAGCAAUGUGGCUUGAAGUCUUGCACACCCCACCACACUCUUCAUGAUGUCUUGUUUAGGUGUAGGCAUGGACAUAGGGGAGUGUUGUUCUCUCAAUGAACUCUCCCUCCCCCCAUUAUGCAUAAAUUGAUUGAGUCUUUCGCAUUAGCCAUUUUUUGAUGGUACUUGUGCUUCAAAGACGAGUUUUGGUCAUGGGCCCAAGGAUAAUUCUUCGCGGUGCCAUACCAUUUGCUCAAACAUAGGUGGUCUCGACAACCGCCCUCUCUUCUCAAGAGUUUGGCUGUGUGUUGUUUCCUGUUGCUUGUGCUUCUCUCUUUUGAGUGGUCGUUUUCGGGUUUGUCUUGGCUUGUCUUGUGUGUUCUUUCUUUUCUUUCGCUAGUCGUGCGUAAGCCAUCUAUAGGAUCGAAAGUAUGUAUAGAGGGGGGGGGGUGAUUAGACUACUUGACCAAAUAAAAAUCUAGCCUUUUCCCAAUUUUAGUUCUUGGUAGAUUUUAACAACUUAGCACAAGUCAAGCAAUCUUAACACAAUUCAAGCAAGCAUGCAAUGAGUAUAUAAGCAGCAGAAAGUAAAGCAUGCAAUUUGCAAGAAUGUAAAGGGCGGGGUUUGGAGAGUGCAAACGCAAUAGGAGACACGAAUGUUUUUGUCGUGGUUCCAAUAGGUGGUGCUAUCGUACAUCCACGUUGAUGGAGACUUCAACCCACGAAGGGUAAUGGCUGUGCUAGUCCAUGGAGGGCUCCACCCACGAAGGGUCCACGAAGAAGCAACCUUGUCUAUCCCACCAUGGCCGUCGCCCACGAAGGACUUGCCUCACUAGGGUAGAUCUUCACGAAGUAGGCGAUCUCCUUGCCCUUACAAACUCCUUGGUUCAACUCCACAAUCUUGACGGAGGCUCCCAAGUGACAUCUAACCAAUCUAGGAGACACCACUCUCCAAAAGGUAAUAGAUGGUGUGUUGAUAAUGAACUCCUUGCUCUUGUGCUUCAAAUGAUAGUCUCCCCAACACUCAACUCUCUCUCACGGGAUAUGGAUUUGGUUGAAAGAAGAUUUGAGUGGAAAGAAACUUGGGGAAGGCUAGAGAUCAAGAUUUAUGUGGUAGGAAUGGAAUAUCUUGACCUCAACACAAUUGUAGGUGGUUCUCUCUCAGAAAAUGUAUGUUGGAAGUGUAGGCAUGUUCUGAUGGCUCUCUCCACGAAUGGAGAGUGGGUGGAGGGGUAUAUAUAGCCUCCACACAAAAUCUAACCGUUACACAUAACUUACCAAACUCGGUGGGACCGAAUCGUGAAACUCGGUCAGACCGAUUUAGUUCAUAAUGUGACCGUUAGGUAUUUUGGUGGGACCGACAUGUCAACUCGGUGGGACCGAUAUUGUUAGGGUUAGGGCAUAACGUAAUCUCGGUGAGACCGAUUACACAAACUCGGUGAGACCAGUUUUGGUAAUAAGCUAACCAGAGAGUUGGUGAGGCAAACUCGGUGGGACCGAUUCGCUCAUCUCGGUUGGACCGAAACAUUACAAAAGGGAAACAGAGAGUUUGCAUUGCAAUCUUGGUGGGACCGAUCGCUCAUCUCGGUUUGACCAAAACAUUACGAAGGAAAAUAGAGAGAUUACAAUCCCAUCUUGGUGAGACCGAGAUCCCUAUCAGUGAGACCAAAAAGACUAGGGUUUCUGGGAGUGGCUAUGUCAAUUGAACUCGGUGGCGCCGGAUAGAAAGUUUCGGUGGGGCCAAGUUUGACUUUUGGUUUGGGACAUAUGUGGAUGUGAGAAAGUAGUUGAGGGUUUUUUGGAGCAUAUCACUAAGCACUUUGAGCAAGAAACUCAUUAAGCAACACCUCACCCCCUCUUAAUAGUAUUGGCUUUCCUAUGGACUCAAUGUGAUCUUGGAUCACUAAAAGCAAAAUGUAGAGUCUUGUGAUUUGAGCUUGAGCCAAUCCUUUUGUCCUUAGCAUUUUGAGGGGUCCACAUUUCUCAUCCAUGCCAUGCCAAACAUUGAGCUUUCCUAAAAUAUUUAUCUUGAAAUAGCAUUAGCUCAACGAGAUAUAUGUUGUAAGGAAUUACCAAAACCACCCAUGAAUAGUUGCACUUUCACCAUCUUUUCCCCCUUGUUCCUGCUUUGGGGCGCCUGAGCGGUACUACCGCAGCAGCAGAGCGGUACUACCGCUUAUAAGCGGUACUACCGCCCUGCCGACACGGUACUACCGUGGAGAGGUACAACUGGGUGCGUUAUGCUUCAGAUCUACACCAAAGCGGUACUACCGUGCCUUGCGCGGUACUAUCGCUUAGGGCUGGGUGUGUGGGAUAUGUAUCAGGCAGGGGGAGUUUCCACUCCCCCAUACCCGUUCAGUUUGCCCCAUCUCCUUGUCCUCUCCUCUCUCAGGUGACUCCCCAAGCACCGGAGGUCCGCCGCCGGGCCGCCGGAUCUAGGCCGUCUCCCUCAGUUCCAUCCGGUGGGAUCAUUCUUGAAUCUAGGUUUUGGGCUAUAUUCGUUGCAUUCCUCGAUUUUUUUUGUUGAAUCGAGGCUUAGGAAGGACUUGGGAGACUGCUAGACUAGGUAGUUUGAUGAUUAGGUAUAGAAAUAUGGACUUUUGCAUCUCCAGUAGUAUCAGAUCUUGCCGCGGUAGGUGUCAGCCCGCUGACAACCGCUCCGGUGGUACUACUGCUACACCCUAGUGAUACUACCGCUUAUAAGCGGUACUACCGCCCUGAGAUGCCAAUGCCAAUUUGUCCCUACCUAAUUUUCAUCUUUGGUGUUUGUCUUUCCUUGGUUUAUGCUCUCUUGCUCUUGUGGUUCUUGUGUGUGUGUGUUUUCAGGUGGUAGUAGCUCUGGGCAUGAGGCUCGCCGCAAGAAUCCAGACCGUGCAAUAGGUUCCAAGUGUUAUCGCUCUUCGGAUGCACCAGAGUCUGCUGCUACUGUUGCUGCGGGUGGCUCGGCUGAGACGCCAAAAGGCAAGGCCAAGGUCCCAAUGUCGAAGACCUCCGCUGGGUGCAAGCGUGCUAAUCAGAUGUCUGCAAUGGAGUUCUGUACCAAGAGGAAGCACAAUCCCUACCAUGUGGACCAGGAGCCUGCUCUUUAGAGGUGUCCAUUCUGGAACAUGUUUCAGCAGUCCAUCUAUCACGAUGUCUUGAAGCAAAAGAAUAACUUGCUUGUGAAGGUCAAGUCUGUCGAUCUAUCGCACAUGGAGAAGGACUUGCCAUACUUUGGGAAUGCUCUGCAGAGGUGUGAGGAGUUGGACAUCAAGAGUAUCAUUUCCUUCAACAAGGACUUUGAUGCCGAGCUCAUGGCCCAGUUCUUUGCCACCAUUCACUUUGGGCAUGAUCCGGCCCGUACUCUGUCUUGGAUGACCAAUGGUCGUCUUCUGUCUGCACCAUGGAAGGACUUCAUGGUCAGCUUAUCAUACAAUGAUGAGGGUGCCCAGACCCCACUUGGGUUUCGCCCUCAUAAGGAGAUUACCGCUACUCAUAAGGAAAAGCUUUGGCCCUAUUCUACCAGGAAGGUGUCUGAGACCGGGAAGGUUUCUUAUGAGAUCUGGCCCUUCCUAGACAUCAUGCAUCGGAUAUUCCGGAACACCCUGUUUCCUCGGGUUGGCAACUUGGAUCAGGUGCACUCUUACCUUGUUGACUUGCUUCUAUUCUGUCAAGAAGAGUAGUGCUCUCAGCAGGUCCUGGAUGUGUCACAUGUGAUGUGGUCUGAACUUCACUCUGCUGUCAUGGAGCGCAAGUGCAUCAUUUAUGGAUCCUAUCUUAUGCACCUUAUCGAGGACACUUGGAUAGCCAAGUUUCCAGAUGAGGAGCUUGUCACAGACAACAUGGUUUCUCAUGAUACUAUCGAGCUGCGUUAGAAGGAGAAGUGGAGUACGUCUACUCCGGCACCUCCAGUGCAGGAGACUAUCUUAUCUGAUGUAGAUGAUGAGGAUGAUGAUGGGAAGGAGUAUGUGCCCCCAUCUGAGGAGCCUUCUUGGGCGAAGAAACUCAAGGAGAAGAUGAAGCGUCUGUUCUGCUUUCAGGCCAAGGGCCAGUACAAGGCUCACAAGGAGGCCAAGAUGUCUCAUCGUUGUGACAAGGCCAUUAUGAGACAGGUUGGCAUUGAGGUUGCAGAUGGCUCUAAGGAGCGGAUCAUUGAUGAGGAGUCUUGCAUCAGACUGCACUGCCCGUGGUCUGACACUGAGGAGGACAACAGAGUUCACGCUUCUCCCCGUGUUGCAGAGGACUCUGAGGAGGAGGAGGAGCAUGACUGGUGAUGCCAUGGAGAUCUACUACCAUCGUGUCUCGUGUUGUCCCUUUCCCUUUGGUGUCUUGCUGCCAAAGGGGGAGAGUUAGGGAUUUGCUUCGGUUUUGUGUUUGCGUGUUUGUGUUCGUUUGUGUUCGUUCGCUUUCUUUCGGCUGUGAGUGAGACCAUAUGGUGUAAGACAUAUGUGAACUACCCUAUCUUAUCUUCUUUAGUCUCAAGUACUCUGUUAUCAUGUGAGAUGCAUCAUUACCAACACUUAUAUUAUUGCUCUCAUGCUUGUCCUUGCUUAGCUGUACUUGUUAUUAUUCUUAUAUACAAGGAUGUUGCCUGUCUACAAAAUAUAGGGGGAGUUUGAUCCUAAAGAUGUGCACAUAGCCUUUCAUGCUAAUUUCCUUGGUGCACACCUCUAGGGGGAGCCCGUCUAUUUUUUUUUUGGGAGCUGGUUUGCUUAAUUCCCAGUUACUAUAUUUUGUGCAAAUCCCGUGUUGUCAUCAGUCCACCAAAAAGGGGGAGAUUGUUAGGGCAUCCUUUUCCCUGGUUUGUUUUGGUGAUUGAUGACAAUACUUUUGCGGACUAAUCGUGUGCAUUAAGCUUUUUAGGUUAUCUAAUAUAAGGGCACUAUGCGAUUGUUACCCCUCAAGGACUUCACUUUAGAUGGAUUAUUUUCCUCCGUUUCUUUUCGGUGGAAUUGAGUCGUAGGGAUAACCGUACUAUCAAGAGGGGAUCCGUUUCGGAAGAGUAUGGGCGGAAUCAUAACGUUCACACUCUCCUUGCACCCUCGCCUUCUUCCUACUUCUUUGGAGUAUCCGUGCUGUGCAAAACAAGGGAUGCUGGGUGCUAAGUGGUAGUACCGCGGCCAGGGUGGUAGUACCGCCUAUGACGGUAGUACCGCUUGUUAGUGCCGCUAAUACUACCGCCCCUGCUGUGGUCUCGAUUUUUCGUGUCGGGUUUCCAUAAAGGACCACGUAGGGGAGCGGUAGUAGGGACGACAUUAGGGCGCGGUAGUACCACUUUUUAGCGGUAGUACCGCUCCUACGUCCGCUCCAACUGCCGCUCAACUCGCUGCCCUCCUCUGUUUUCCAGCUGCUCUAGGGAGCGGCAGUACUGCUUAUCGGCAGUAGUACCACCCUAGUGCGUGUACUUCUUCUCCCUCAGUCCUAGUUGCCCUAUGCCUGCUUGCCACAGCGGUAGUACCGUUGUGGCAGCAGUACUACUGCUCCGGCAAUGGUAGUAUCGCCCAGAUGCGGCCUACAGGCUGCAUAACGGUUGGAUGUGUCCCCCCACUAUAUAAAGGGGUCUUAUUCUCCAAGAAGACUUACCUCUUCCUUCCCCAAGCUCCAUUGUUGCUCCAAGCUUCAUUUUCGCCCGAUCUCUCUCCCUAGCAAAUCAAACUUGUUGAUUUUCUAGGGAUUGGUUGAGAAGGCCCCGAUCUACACUUCCACCAAGAGAAAUUUGAUUCCCCCCACUAAUCCCUUGCGGAUCUUGUUACUCUUGGGUGUUUGAGCACCCUAGACGGUUGAGGUCACUGUGGAGCCAUAUUCCAUUGUGGUGAAGCUUCGUGGUGUUGUUGGGAGCCUCCAAUUAAGUUGUGGAGAUUGCCCCAACCUUGUUUCUAAAGGUUCGGUCGCCGCCUCCAAGGGCACCAAUAGUGGAAUCACGACAUCUUGCAUUGUGUGAGGGCGUGAGGAGAAUACGGUGGCCCUAGUGGCUUCUUGGGGAGCAUUGUGCCUCCACACUGCUCCAACGGAGACAUACUUCCCCUCAAAGGGAAGGAACUUCGGUAACACAUCCUCGUCUUCACCGGCUCCACUCUUGGUUAUCUCGUACCUUUACUUGUGCAAGCUUAUUGUGUUGCAUCUCUUGCUUGCUUGUGUGCUUGUUGUUGUUGCAUCAUAUAGGUUGCUCACCUAGUUGCAUAUCUAGACAACCUACUUUGAUGCAAAGCUUAAAUUGGUAAGGAAAAGCUAAAAAUUGUUAGUUGCCUAUUCACCCCCAUCUAGUCAACUAUAUUGAUCAUUUCAAUUGUCCAUUUUGUAUACGAAGUGCAUCCAGUUUUUGCCGUAACCCUCUUAACGUUUUAGCACAUGCUAUGUGGGUGAAAUGAUGAUACCAUUCCAAUUUCAACCUUUUUAGAGUUCAUUUGUAGUGCUUUUUAAUUUCAGGGUCAUUUAGCUCAAAAAAAUCAGGAAAUGCAUGAAAAAUACCAAAUGAAGUCAGGGAGGGUUGAAAGUUGAUGAUGUGGCUUUAAAUGGUGCAUUUGGAACACACAAAAAGUCUAGAGUUCAAAUAAGUUCAAAAAAAUGAAAUCCAUUUGUAACAGAUGAAUUUUUGUCUGAAACCCUGAUACUUCGAAAGAGAUUGUCCAUUUUGUACAUGAAGUGCAUCCAGUCUUUGGUAUAACCCUCUCAACCUUUUUGGCACAUGCUAUAUGGGUUAAAUGAUCAUACCACGCCAACUUUCAACCUUUUCAGAGUUCACUUGUAGUGCUUUUCAAUUUCAGGGUCAUUUAGCUCAAAUAAUGAACUAAUUGCAAAAAGAAUGAACUAAUAGAAAAAAUGAAUGAACUAAAAAUAAUCAAUUAAAAUAUUCUAUUAUGAUCAACUAAACAAAACUAUAAUAUUCUUCAAUAGCAAAAAGAAUCAAUUAAAAAGCUUUUAUAAAACUCUAAUAGCAAAAGGAAUCAACUAAACAGCUCUUACAAACCUCUAGUAUUUUUGAAAUUAAAAUUAUAUAAAAUUUAUGUAACUAAAAUUAUCAAAUUAUUUUCUGUUCAAAACAUUAAUAGCAUAGCAAACUAAAAUACAAAAUCUAUUUUUGAUUAAAACAAACAUUUAAAACAACCUAACCAAAUUGAAUAUAAUGAUAAAACACAAUAAUAUUAAAUAGCAUGAAAAAGAAUCACUCAAAAAUCUAUUUUUAUAUUAAAGUUAUUCACAAACUAGUGAUUCAAAUCUCAAAGAAUUCAAAUUUAAACUAUUCAAAUUUGAAAACUAAUGGCACUAACAAAAAGUAUAUAAUUUUUGUGACCUAACAACAAAAAGAAUUAAAAAAAUAAAGAAAAAAAAAGAAAAUAAAUAAUGCAAAAAGCUGCAAAAAUAAAAAAAAAUCGCCUACUGGGCCACCACGGCCUGAAUAUGACUAGAAACCCAACCCAGCCAGGUGGGCCAGGAUUCAGGCCCGCAGAAGGCCCAGUAGGCCCACAGUCAUAUCAGUGUGCGAUUAGGCCCGUAGGCUUGCAUUUCAGAGGAGUUCGAGAGAGAGAGGGCGGGCCAGAGCUUAUAAACAGCACAUGGCGCAUCUCAACUAGCGAGGUGGGACUAAACAUUCCACCGCACCGCGCCAGUUACAGCACAAGGCCAUUGGUCCCGGUUGAUGCCACGAACUGGGACCAAUGCAACCCUUUGGUCCCGGUUUGUGGCACCAACCGCGACCAAUGCCACCCUUUGGUCCAGGUUCGUGCCACCAACCGGAACCAAAGGGUUUUGCUUCCCGCCCUUCCGCCUGGCCAAAACAGACCUUUGGUACCGGUUGGUGGCAUGAACCGGGACCAAAGGGGGGCAUUGGUCCCGGUUGGUGCCACGAACCGGGAUCAAAGGGGUGGCUAUAUAAGAAAACACUUAGGAAAAUUUCCCCAAGUGCUCCCAUUCUCCCCCGAUGCCACCAGGCUGCUCCACGUCACCGUCGCCAUCGCCAUCGCCGAGCCCUGCCCCGUCACCGCCCGCUCCUUGUCGCCUUUCACCGUCGCCGACGCCGAGCUCAACGCCAGGCUGCCCCGUCGUCAUCGUCGCCCGUGCCCCAUCGUCCCCAUCACCNNNNNNNNNNNNNNNNNNNNNNNNNNNNNNNNNNNNNNNNNNNNNNNNNNNNNNNNNNNNNNNNNNNNNNNNNNNNNNNNNNNNNNNNNNNNNNNNNNNNNNNNNNNNNNNNNNNNNNNNNNNNNNNNNNNNNNNNNNNNNNNNNNNNNNNNNNNNNNNNNNNNNNNNNNNNNNNNNNNNNNNNNNNNNNNNNNNNNNNNNNNNNNNNNNNNNNNNNNNNNNNNNNNNNNNNNNNNNNNNNNNNNNNNNNNNNNNNNNNNNNNNNNNNNNNNNNNNNNNNNNNNNNNNNNNNNNCGCGCCCCUGCCCCUGCUGCCCCGCCCCCAAGCAUGCUCGACCACGCGUGCCCCUGCCCCGCGGACCGCCCCCACCAUCGCCAUCGCCGUGUGCCAUCGUCGCCCCCACCGUCGCCGUCGUUGUGUCAUCGCCGCCCCACCGUCACUGUCGUCGUGCCAUCGCCGCCUCCGCCUUGAGCUGCCGCCGCCCCAGCUAUGUGCAUUUUUAUAUAUGUUGAUUUUUUUAUAUGACGAAUUUUAUUGUUCAUAUAUAAUGUAUAUAUGUAUGCGGCUAUAUGUAUAACUUGAAUGGUCAUAUAUGUAUUAUUUUUUUGUUCAUAUAUGUAUUUUGUUGUUCAUAUGUAUGGAUGUUCAUAGCAAUUUAGGUUAGUAGAUUUUAGGUUAUAGUGGAGAGGAAAAAGGAAAAUAAGGAAAAAGAAGACAAGAUGAAGAAGGAAGAAGGAAGAAGAAUAAAAAGAAGGAGAGGAAAAAGGAAAAUAAGAAUAGGAAGGAUAAGAAGAGGAGAGGAAGAAGAGGAGAAAAAAAACUAAGAAGAGGAAAAAGAAGAAGAAAAAAGCGUAGAAGAAGAAUGAAUAGAGGAGAAGAAGAAAAAAAGAAAAUACUCUUUUUUUCUUCUCUUCUUCCUCUUCUUAUUAUUUAUCGGGAACGAGGGUGUCGAGGAUCACCGAGCGGUCGAGGGUCGGGAACUAGGGUAGAGGGUCGAGGGUCGAUGGUCGUUGAGGGUCGAGGGUCAUCGAGGGGUCGAGGAUNNNNNNNNNNNNNNNNNNNNNNNNNNNNNNNNNNNNNNNNNNNNNNNNNNNNNNNNNNNNNNNNNNNNNNNNNNNNNNNNNNNNNNNNNNNNNNNNNNNNNNNNNNNNNNNNNNNNNNNNNNNNNNNNNNNNNNNNNNNNNNNNNNNNNNNNNNNNNNNNNNNNNNNNNNNNNNNNNNNNNNNNNNNNNNNNNNNNNNNNNNNNNNNNNNNNNNNNNNNNNNNNNNNNNUCGAGGGUCGUUGAGGGUUCGAGGUUUGAGGAUCGCCGACGGGUUGAGGGUCGAGGAUCACCGAGGGGUCGAGGGUCGAGGGUCGUCGAGGGGUCAAGGGUCGAGAUUUAUCAAGAAUGCCCCCAUUCUGGAUGUGCACAAGUUGAUCCAUUUUUUUUUCUGAUCUCAUCUACGCAACGUUCUAUAUGUCAUGUUGUCUCGUGUCAAAGUAUUGAAGAAAUCCAUGGCUUCAUCAUUAGCCGGAAUUAAUAGGCGCAUGAUGGUACGAAGCUCUCCAAAGUUAUUUUGGAAUGGAGUCCCAGAUAGGAUAAUUUGCUUUGUGGUACGAAGUUCAGCAAAGGCCUUCCAAAUAGCAAUAUUCGGAAGGCUCUUGCUGAACUUUGUACCAAAAAGCAAAUUAUCCUAUCUAGGACUCCGUUCCAAAACAAUUUUGGAGAGCUUCGUAUCAUCAUGCGCCUGUUACUUCCGGCUAAUGAUAAAGCUAGUGUUUUCUUGAAUCCUUUGACACUAGACAACAUGACUUAUAGAAGGGUAGAUGAGAUCAGGAAAAAUAUGGACCAUUUUCUACACAUCCAGAAUGGCGCCAUUUUGUUAAAUCCCUUGUUUGACAUUCAUGAGAGAGGCGAUCUGGACGUCGGACAUUCAGGAGAGAACUCCAGUAACUCUUCAACAUGAGGGGGACGUCGAUCAACCCCCUCUCGCCCGACCAAACCCUAGAAGCGUCGAGGCCACCCCAAACCCUAGAAGCGUUCCCGAGGCCACCCCAAACCCUAGAAUUGUCGAUGCGACCCAAAUUUACCGAGUUAAAAGAGUGUUGUCAUCGAGGCAACCCCAAACCCUAGAAGCAUUAUCGAGGCCACCCCAAACCGUAGAAGCAUCCAGGCCACUAAUUAAUAUUCCUUGUUGUGAUUAGCUAGCUAGGUCUAUGUUUGCCACUAAUAUAUCCAUCUCUCGUGUUUGUACAUUAAUUGCCAUGUUGUAAUUGUUGGGGAAUGUUGCAUAAAAUAAAAAAUUUCCUACGUUCACCAAGAUCAAUCUAUGAGUUCAUCUAGCAACGAGAGAGAGGAGUGCAUCUACAUACCCUUGUAGAUCACGAGAGGAAGCGUUCAAGAGAACGGGGUUGAGGGAGUCGUACUCGUCGUGAUCCAAAUCACCGGAGAUCCUAGUGCCGAACGGAAGGAACCUCCGCGUUCAACACACGUACGGUCAGCGUGACGUCUCCUCCUUCUUGAUCCACCAAGGGGGGAGGAGAGGUUGAUGAAGAUCCAGCAGCACAACAACGUGGUGGUGGAUGCAGCAGGGUUCCGGCAGGGCUUCGCCAAGCGCUUGCGGGAGGGAGAGGUGUAGCAAGGGGGGAAGGGAGGCGCCAGGUGUCAGGGUGCGGCUGCCCUCCCACCCCCCUCUUUAUAUAGGGACCCCAGGGGGGCACCGACCCUAGGAGAUGGGAUCUCCUAGGGGGGUGGCGGCCAAGGGGGGAGACUUGCCCCCCAAGGCAAGUGGAGGCCCCCCCUCCCCUAGGGUUCCCAACCCUAGGCGCAGAGAGAGCCCCAGGGGGGGCGCACCUGCCCACCAGGGGCUGGUUCCCCUCCCACUUCAGCCCAUGGGGCCCUCCGGGAUGGGUGGCCCCACUCAGUGGACCCCCGGGAUCCUUCCGGUGGUCCCGGUACAAUACUGGUGAACCCCAAAACUUUCCCGAUGGCCGAAACUUGACUUCCCAUAUAUAAUUCUUUACCUCCGGACCAUUCCGGAACUCCUCGUGACGUUCGGGAUCUCAUCCGGGACUCCGAACAACUUUUGGUUUGCUGCAUACUAAUAUCUUUACAACCCUAGCGUCACCGAACCUUAAGUGUGUAGACCCUACGGGUUCGGGAGACACGCAGACAUGACCGAGACUGCUCUCCGGUCAAUAACCAACAGCGGGAUAUGGAUACCCAUGUUGGAUCCCACAAGCUCCUCGAUGAUCUCAUUGGAUGAACCAUGAUGUCGAGGAUUCAAGCAACCCCGUAUACAAUUCCUUUUGUCAAUCGGUAUGUUACUUGCCCGAGAUUCGAUCGUCAGUAUCCCAAUACCUCGUUUAAUCUCGUUACCGGCAAGUCACUUUACUUGUACCGUAAUGCAUGAUCCCGUGACCAGACACUUGGUCACUUUGAGCUCAUUAUGAUGAUGCAUUACCAAGUGGGCCCAGAGAUACCUCUCCGUCAUGCGGAGUGACAAAUCCCAGUCUUGAUCCGUGUCAACCCAACAGACACUUUCGGAUAUACCUGUAGUGCACCUUUAUAGUCACCCAGUUACGUUGCGACGUUUGGUACACCCAAAGAACUCCUACGGUAUCCGGGAGUUACACGAUCUCAUGGUCUAAGGAAAAGAUACUUGACAUUGAAAAAGCUCUAGCAAAACGAACUACACGAUCUUGUGCUAUGCUUAGUAUUGGGUCUUGUCCAUCACAUCAUUCUCCUAAUGAUGUGAUCCCGUUAUCAAUGACAUCCAAUGUCCAUAGUCAGGAAACCAUGACUAUCUGUUGAUCAACGAGCUAGUCAACUAGAGGCUCACUAGGGACAUGUUGUGGUCUAUGUAUUCACACGUGUAUUACGAUUUUCGGAUAAUACAAUUAUAGCAUGAAUAAAAGACAAUUAUCAUGAACAAGGAAAUAUAAUAAUAAUCCUCUUAUUAUUGCCUCUAGGGCAUAUUUCCAACAGUCUCCCACUUGCACUAGAGUCAACAAUCUAGUUACAUUGUGAUGAAUCGAACACCCAUAGAGUUCUGGUGUUGAUCAUGUUUUGCUCGCGGAAGAGGUUUAGUCAACGGAUCUGUGACAUUCAGAUCCGUAUGUACUUUACAAAUAUCUAUGUCUCCAUCUUGAACAUUUUCACGGAUGGAGUUGAAACGACGCUUGAUGUGCGUGGUCUUCUUGUGAAACCUGGGCUCCUUGGCAAGGGCAAUAGCUCCAGUGUUGUCAUAGAAGAGAGUGAUCGGCCCUGACGGAUUGGGUAUGACUCCUAGGUCGGUGAUGAACUCCUUCAUCCAUAUUGCUUCUUGUGCUGCCUCCGAGGCUGCCAUGUAUUCUGCUUCACAUGUAGAUCCCGCCACGACGCUCUGCUUGCAACUGCACCAGCUUACUGCUCCACGAUUCAACAUAUGCACAUAUCCGGUUUGUGACUUAGAGUCAUCCAGAUCUGUGUCGAAGCUAGCGUCGACGUAACCCUUUACGACGAGCUCUUCAUCACCUCCAUAAACGAGAAACAUGUCCUUUGUCCUUUUCAGGUACUUAAGGAUAUUCUUGACCGCUGUCCAGUGUUCCUUGCCGGGAUUACAGCAUGGCAUACAUAAUAGAUCCUAUGGCUGAGGCAUAGGGGAUGACACUCAUCUCUUCUUUAUCUUCUGCCGUGGUCGGGCAUUGAGCUGAGCUCAAUCUCACACCUUGUAACACAGGCAAGAACCCUUUCUUGGACUGAUCCAUAUUGAACUUCUUCAAUAUCUUAUCAAGGUAUGUGCUUUGUGAAAGACCUAUGAGGCGUCUCGAUCUAUCCCUAUAGAUCUUGAUGCCUAGUAUGUAAGCAGCUUCUCCAAGGUCCUUCAUUGAAAAACACUUAUUCAAGUAGGCCUUAAUGCUGUCCAAAAGUUUUAUAUCAUUUCCCAUCAAAAGUAUGUCAUCUACAUAUAAUAUGAGAAAUGCUACAGAGCUCCCACUCACUUUCUUGUAAACGCAGGCUUCUCCAUAAGUCUGCAUAAACCCAAACGCUUUGAUCAUCUCAUCAAAGCGAAUGUUCCAACUCCGAGAUGCUUGCACCAGCCCAUAAAUGGAUCGCUGGAGCUUGCAUACCUUGUUAGCAUUCUUAGGAUCGACAAAACCCUCCGGCUGCAUCAUAUACAGUUCUUCCUUAAGAUAGCCGUUAAGGAAUGCCGUUUUGACGUCCAUCUGCCAUAUCUCAUAAUCAUAGUAUGCGGCAAUUGCUAACAUGAUUCGGACGGACUUUAGCUUCGCUACGGGAGAGAAAGUCUCAUCAUAGUCAACCCCUUGAACUUGCCGAUAACCCUUAGCGACAAGUCGAGCUUCAUAGAUGGUAACAUUACCAUCCGCGUCCGUCUUCUUCUUAAAGAUCCAUUUGUUUUCUAUCGCUCACCGAUCAUCGGGCAAGUCUGUCAAAGUACAUACUUUGUUUUCAUACAUGGAUUCUAUCUCAGAUUGCAUGGCUUCAAGCCAUUUGUUGGAACCUGGGCCGGCCAUCGCUUCUUCAUAGUUCAAAGGUUCACCAUUGUCUAACAACAUGAUUUCCAGGAUAGGGUUGCCAUACCACUCUGGUGUGGAACGUGUCCUUGUGGACCUACGAAGUUCAGUAGCAACUUGAUCCAAAGUACCUUGAUCAUCAUCAUUAAUUUCCUCUCCAGUCGGUGUAGGCACCACAGGAACACUUUCCUGAGCUGCAUUACUUUCCGGUUCAAGAGGUAGUACUUCAUCGAGUUCUACUUUCCUCCCACUUACUCCUUUCGAGAGAAACUCUUUUUCCAGAAAGGAUCCGUUCUUGGCAACAAAGAUCUUGCCUUCGGAUCUAAGGUAGAAGGUAUACCUAAUGGUUUCCUUAGGGUAUCCUAUGAAGACACAUUUUUCCGACUUGGGUUCGAGCAUUUCAGGUUGAAGUUUCUUGACACAAGCAUCGCAUCCCCAAACUUUUAGAAACGACAGCUUAGGUUUCUUUCCAAACCAUAAUUCAUACGGUGUCGUCUCAACGGAUUUAGACGGAGCCCUAUUUAAAGUGAAUGUAGCUGUCUCUAGAGCGUAUCCCCAAAAUGAUAGCGGUAAAUCGGUAAGAGACAUCAUAGAUCGCACCAUAUCCAAUAGAGUGCGAUUACGACGUUCAGACACACCAUUACGCUGAGGUGUUCCAGGCGGCGUGAGUUGUGAAACGAUUCCACAUUUCCUUAAGUGCGUACCAAAUUCGUGACUUAAAUAUUCUCCUCCACGAUCUGAUCGUAAGAACUUUAUUUUUUGGUCACGUUGAUUCUCUACUUCAUUCUGAAUUCCUUGAACUUUUCAAAGGUCUCAGACUUGUGUUUCAUCAAGUAGACAUACCCAUAUCUACUUAAGUCAUCAGUGAGAGUGAGAACAUAACGAUAUCCUCCGCGAGCCUCAACGCUCAUUGGACCACACACAUCAGUAUGUAUGAUUUCCAAUAAGUUGGUUGCUCGCUCCAUUGUUCCGGAUAACGGAGUCUUGGUCAUUUUGCCCAUGAGGCAUGGUUCGCAUGUGUCAAAUGAUUCAUAAUUGAGAGACUCUAAAAGUCCAUCAGCAUGGAGCUUCUUCAUGCGCUUGACACCAAUGUGACCAAGGCGGCAGUGCCACAAGUAUGUGGGACUAUCGUUAUCAACUUUACAUCUUUUGGUAUUCACACUAUGAAUAUGUGUAACAUUACGUUCGAGAUUCAUUAAGAAUAAACCAUUGACCAUCGGGGCAUGACCAUAAAACAUAUCUCUCAUAUAAAUAGAACAACCAUUAUUCUCGGAUUUAAAUGAGUAGCCAUCUCGCAUUAAACGAGAUCCAGAUACAAUGUUCAUGCUCAAACUUGGCACUAAAUAACAAUUAUUGAGGUUUAAAACUAAUCCCAUGGGUAAAUGUAGAGGUAGCGUGCGACGACGAUCACAUCGACCUUGGAACCAUUCCCGGCGCGCAUCGUCACCUCGUCCUUCGCCAGUCUCCGCUUAUUCUGCAGCUCCUGCUGUGAGUUACAAAUAUGAGCAAUGGCACCAGUAUCAAAUACCCAGGAGUUACUACGAGUACUGGUAAGGUACACAUCAAUUACAUGUAUAUCAAAUAUACCUUUAGUGUUGCCGGCCUUCUUGUCCGCUAAGUAUUUGGGGCAGUUCCGCUUCCAGUGACCCUUCCCUUUGCAAUAAAAGCACUCAGUCUCAGGCUUGGGUCCAUUCUUUGACUUCUUCCCGGCAACUGGCUUACCGGGCGCGGCAACAUCCUUGCCGUCCUUCUUGAAGUUCUUCUUACCCUUGCCCUUCUUGAACUUGGUGGUUUUAUUGACCAUCAACACUUGAUGUUCUUUCUUGAUUUCUACCUCUGCCGACUUCAGCAUUGAAAAUACUUCAGGAAUAGUUUUCACCAUCCCUUGCAUAUUGUAGUUCAUCACAAAGCUUUUGUAGCUCGGUGGGAGCGACUGAAGGAUUCUGUUAAUGACUGCCUCAUCUGGGAGGUUAAUGUCCAGCUGGGACAGGCGGUUGUGCAACCCAGACAUUUUGAGUAUGUGCUCACUGACAGAACUAUUUUCCUCCAUCUUACAACUAUAGAACUUGUCGGAGACCUCAUAUCUCUCGACCCGGGCAUGAGCUUGGAAAACCAUUUUCAGCUCCACGAACAUCUCAUAUGCUCCGUGUUGCUCAAAACGCUUUUGGAGCCCCGAUUCUAAGCUGUAAAGCAUGCCGCACUGAACGAGGGAGUAAUCAUCAGCACGUGACUGCCAAGCAUUCAUAACAUCUUGGUUCUCUGGGAUGGGUGCUUCACCUAGCGGUCCUUCUAGGACAUAUGCUUUCUUGGCAGCUAUGAGGAUGAUCCUCAGGUUCCGGACCCAGUCCGUAUAGUUGCUGCCAUCAUCUUUCAGCUUGGUUUUCUCUAGGAACGCAUUGAAGUUCAUGUUGACAUGAGCGUUGGCCAUUUGAUCUACAAGACAUAUUUUGCAAAGAUUUUAGACUAAGUUCAUGAUAAUUAAGUUCAUCUAAUCAAAUUAUUUAAUGAACUCCCACUCAGAUUUGACAUCCCUCUAGUCAUCUAAGUGUUACAUGAUCCGAGUCGACUAGGCCGUGUCCGAUCAUCACGUGAGACGGACUAGUCAUCAUUGGUGAAGAUCUCCAUGUUGAUCGUAUCUUCCAUACGACUCAUGUUCGACCUUUCGGUCUCUGUGUUCCGAGGCCAUGUCUGUACAUGCUAGGCUCGUCAAGUUAACCUAAGUGUUUUUGCAUGUGUAAAAUUGUCUUACACCCGUUGUAUGUGAACGUAGGAAUCUAUCACACCCGAUCAUCACAUGGUGCUUCGAAACGACGAAUUUUAGCAACGACGCACAGUUAGGGGGAACACUUUCUUGAAAUUAUUAUGAGGGAUCAUCUUAUUUACUACCGUCGUUCUAAGUAAACAAGAUGCAUAAAUAUAAUAAACAUCACAUGCAAUUAAAUAGUAGUGACAUGAUAUGGCCAAUAUCAUAUAGCUCCUUUGAUCUCCAUCUUUGGGGCUCCAUGAUCAUCUUCGUCACCGACAUGACACCAUGAUCUCCAUCAUCGUGUCUCCAUGAAGUUGCUCGCCAACUAUUACUUCUACUACUAUGGCUAACGGUUUAGCAAUAAAGUAAAGUAAUUACAUGGCAUUAAAUCAUUGACACGCAUGUCAUACAAUAAUUAAGACAACUCCUAUGGCUCCUGCCGGUUGUCAUACUCAUCGACAUGCAAGUCGUGAUUCCUAUUACAAGAACAUGAUCUCAUACAUUACAAUAUAUCAUUCAUCAUUCAUCACAACUUUUGGCCAUAUCACAUCACAAAGCAAUUGCUGCAAAAACAAGUUAGACGUCCUCUAAUUGUUGUUGCAUCUUUUACGUGGCUGCAAUAGGGUUCUAGCAAGAACGUUUUCUUACCUACGAAUAACCACAACGUGAUUUUUCAACUUCUAUUUACCCUUCAUAAGGACCCUUUUCAUUGAAUCCGCUCCAACUAAAGUGGGAGAGACAGACACCCGCUAGCCACCUUAUGCAACUAGUGCAUGUCAGUCGGUGGAACCUGUCUCACGUAAGCGUACGUGUAAGGUCGGUCCGGGCUGCUUCAUCGCCGAAGCAAAAUAAUACUAGUAGUGGCAAGAAAGUUGACAACAUCUAGGCCCACAACAGAUUUGUGUUCUACUCGUGCAAUAGAGAACUACGCAUAGACCUAGCUCAUGAUGCCACUGUUGGGGAACGUUGCAUAAAAUAAAAAAUUUCCUACGUUCACCAAGAUCUAUCUAUGAGUUCAUCUAGCAAUGACAGAGAGGAGUGCAUCUACAUACCCUUGUAGAUCACGAGCGGAAGCGUUCAAGAGAACGGGGUUGAGGGAGUCGUACUCGUCGUGAUCCAAAUCACCAGAGAUCCUAGUGCCGAACGGACGGCACCUCCGCGUUCAACACACGUACGGUCAGCGUGACGUAUCCUCCUUCUUGAUCCAGCAAGGGGGGAGGAGAGGUUGAUGAAGAUCCAGCAGCACGACGGCGUGGUGGUGGAUGCAGCAGAGUUCCGGCAGGGCUUCGCCAAGCGCUUGCGGGAGGGAGAGGUGUAGCAAGGGGGGAAGGGAGGCGUCAGGUGUCAGGGUGCGGCUGCCCUCCCACCCCCCUCUUUAUAUAGNNNNNNNNNNNNNNNNNNNNNNNNNNNNNNNNNNNNNNNNNNNNNNNNNNNNNNNNNNNNNNNNNNNNNNNNNNNNNNNNNNNNNNNNNNNNNNNNNNNNNNNNNNNNNNNNNNNNNNNNNNNNNNNNNNNNNNNNNNNNNNNNNNNNNNNNNNNNNNNNNNNNNNNNNNNNNNNNNNNNNNNNNNNNNNNNNNNNNNNNNNNNNNNNNNNNNNNNNNNNNNNNNNNNNNNNNNNNNNNNNNNNNNNNNNNNNNNNNNNNNNNNNNNNNNNNNNNNNNNNNNNNNNNNNNNNNNNNNNNNNNNNNNNNNNNNNNNNNNNNNNNNNNNNNNNNNNNNNGAUGGGAUCUCCUAGGGGGGGCGGCGGCCAAGGGGGGAGACUUGCCCCCGAAGGCAAGUGGAGGCCCCCCCUCCCCUAGGGUUCCCAACCCUAGGCGCAGAGGGGGGCCAGGGGUGGAGCACCAGCCCACCAGGGGCUGGUUACCCUCCCACUUCAGCCCAUGGGGCCCUCCAGGAUGGGUGGCCCCACCCGGUGGACCCCCGGGACCCUUCCGGUGGUCCCGGUACAAUACCGGUGAACCCCGAAACUUUCCCAAUGGCCGAAACUCGACUUGCCAUAUAUAAUUCUUUACCUCCGGACCAUUCCGGAACUCCUCAUGACGUCCGGGAUCUCAUCUGGGACUCCUAACAACUUUCAGUUUGCUGCAUACUAAUAUCUUUACAACCCUAGCGUUACCGAACCUUAAGUGUGUAGACCCUACGGGUUCGGGAGACACGCAGACAUGACUGAGACUGCUGUCCGGUCAAUAACCAACAGCGGGAUCUGGAUACCCAUGUUGGCUCCCACAUGCUCCUCGAUGAUCUCAUCGGAUGAACCACGAUGUCGAGGAUUCAAGCAACCCCGUAUACAAUUCCCUUUGUCAAUCGGUAUGUUACUUGCCCAAGAUUCGAUCAUCGGUAUCCCAAUACCUCGUUCAAUCUCGUUACCGUCAAGUCACUUUACUCGUACUGUAAUGCAUGAUCCCAUGACCAGACACUUGGUCACUUUGAGCUCAUUAUGAUGAUGCAUUACCGAGUGGGCCUAGAGAUACCUCUCCGUCAUGCGGAGUGACAAAUCCCAGUCUUGAUCCGUGUCAACCCAACAGACACUUUCGGAGAUACCUGUAGUGCACCUUUAUAGUCACCCAGUUACGUUGCGACGUUUGGUACACCCAAAGCACUCCUACGGUAUCCGGGAGUUACACGAUCUCAUGGUCUAAGGAAAAGAUACUUGACAUUGAAAAAGCUCUAGCAAAAUGAACUAUAUGAUCUUGUGCUAUGCUUAGGAUUGGGUCUUGUCCAUCUUAUCAUUCUCCUAAUGAUGUGAUCCCGUUAUCAAUGACAUCCAAUGUCCAUAGUCAGGAAACCAUGACUAUUUGUUGAUCAACGAGCUAGUCAACUAGAGGUCACUAGGGACAUGUUGUGGUCUAUGUAUUCACACGUGUAUUACGAUUUCCGGAUAAUACAAUUAUAGCAUGAAUAAAAGACAAUUAUCAUGAACAAGGAAAUAUAAUAAUAAUCCUUUUAUUAUUGCCUCUAGGGCAUAUUUCCAACAGUAAUAUUUGCAGAAACUAUGGAUCAACAAAGAGACUUGGAAAAAGAACAGUUGUUGGGGGAUAUAAUCUUCGGCGGAGGUGAUGUCUUGUCAUUUCUCAAUGACACCGAUGGUCUGGAAGGAGAGGAUGAAGCAGGCUCCGGUGAUCGAACAAUGGAGGCGGAAAGUCAUGAUCAUGAUGGCUUCGGCAACCGAAUAUUGGUGGAAGGAGACCGUGAUGACGGCUUCGAUGACCGAACGGAGUCGGGAUCAGUUGUUGCAAAGUACGAAAUCAUGAUCAUGAUGGCUCCGGCGACCGAAUACCUGUGGAAGGAGACCGUGAUGAUGGCUCCGAUGACCGAACAGAGUCGGGAUCAGCUGUUGCAAAGUCCGGCGAGGUAUAUAUAUUAAUUAAGCCUGUUCUGACUAGCUAAUUGAUGCAUUAAUUAUUUUGGUAUGUACAUAUAUUAACUCUUCUUUCUUAUUUUAUAGCCCUCCGGAUCGAGCCAAACUUCGGUAACGAGACAAGGCCCGAAGAAAAGGUUGCGCCCAGAUGAAUGGUUCACGAUCACAACAAUCGCGGACGAUGGCCAACCGAUUGAACCCAGGGGGACCAAGGAUGCAUUUCUUGCUCAGUGUGGAUAUUGUUAGGGACAAUAUCUCGAUCAACAUCCAGCUAUGGAAUAAGCCUAAGAAAGAAGACCCUCAAAUUUCUUAUGUCACCGAUAGAGAGAAAGAUGAUAUUUGGACCUCGCUGAAGGCAAUUUCACCCUACCACCAGAGGAGGAUCCGAAUAAGCCAGUUAUAGAGCCACUGGUCAAGGCAUGGGCUCUUAAGAAGAUGGCAGAUCUAUUCCGGAGGUGGAAGAAAGAGUUGAAAUCAAUGUCUGUCGACAAAGUGAAGACUCCAGAAUUCACCGGCCGAUUUGAGAAGAUAAGAGAUCACUAGCCCACAUUUGUGGCCUACAAGACAUCGGACAAGAGUAAGAAAAUGUCAGACAUAAACAAGAUAAAUGCCGGAAAGAAGUUGUAUCACCAUCGCACGGGGUCAGGCAACUACCUCAAAGCCCGGCUGUUGUGGGACAAAGAUGAGACUGACCUGAUUGCUAAAGGGGUCGAACGAGAGACAUUGAACUGGCCAGAGCGCUCAAGAACUUGGUUUUUCGGGGUUGGGAAAACUUUGGACCCUGAAACAGGGAAGUGUCGUUGGAUGGACGAGAAACUUGCAAUGCCCAUCACGAAGCUUCAGGAAUCAAUCAAGGCAGCAUAGGAAGGGAUGUUCAUUCCCGACAGAGAGAAUCAUGAGUUGACUAAGGCCCUCGGUAAUCCUGAGCACCCUGGACGAACACGAGGCAUGCCAGGCUCUGCUGCGUGGAAGAUUGGGUUUCCCGGCGCAGGCGGUUACAAAACCCGAGAGAGGAAGAGGAAAUGGGAGCUGAGCGAUAUACAGAAGCUCAACGCAAGAGUACGAAAGCUAGAGGAACAAGUUGAGAGUCAGCGAGCUGCCGACCAACCAUCUCAGCGGCACGAAGCUACCCCACCAUCUCAGCGGAGAAGCAACAUGGCUUCCAUGGAGCUCGUUCAGCAUCCUGACUUCACGGCUCCUAGCUACCCCAUGGAUGCUAUCUCGAAGGCUCAACAUUGCCAGCUUAUGACGAAAUGGCAAAACAUCACCUUGAAGGCGGCUGUCGGCACUAGUCCACCUCCUCAACCCGACGGAAAUUUUCACUGCCAUCCGAUUCCACAGGGCUAUGCUGUUGUGAUGGCGGAUGAGGUAAUGGAGGGAUUUGAGGAGCUCGAGCUUGACCACCCUACGGGUGAAGUGUAGAUUCAGCUGGGUCUUGCUCUAAAGACUCCAUGUCUAUGGCAGAACGAGUACAUCAAGCUUCCAAACUGGACGCCUCCGCCUCCUCCUCCUCCUCCGGCGAGUCAGGGCACUCCGCCUCCUCCUCCGGCCAGUGAUCAGGGCACUCUGCCUCCUCCGGCACGUGAUGGCACUCUAGAUUGUUCUUUGCCUCCUCCGGCAAGCUCUCCGCCUCCUCCGGUGCGUGAGGGCACUAUGGCUGCUCCUCUGCCUCCUCUGUCACGUCGGAGCACUCCGCCUCCUCUAGCGCGUGGAAGCACUCCGCCUCCUCCGGCGUGUCAGUGGACCACACCGCGUCAGCAACGUCGGAAGAGAGAGUCCGUCGCUUCGGUGGCUAGUAGUACAAGCAGAGGAGGGAAGCAGUUCAAGUACGGUCCAUCUCUCAAGGCUCCGGAAAAUUUACCAUAUGAGAGGACCGACAAGGAAAACAAGGACAUCAGUCGUGCCCAAGUGAGGGAAUUUUUUGCAUGGAAACCUCCACCUCCAAAGGAAAAGAUAGAUCCGGUGAAAGUGAAGCACACUAUCGAUGCCCUGAAGCGACCACCACCGCCUCCAACGGAUUCCAACUAUGUGUGCACUAUUAAAAAGGCAUAUAAGGAAGCGAAGCGGUCGGGAAGUACUUGCAGUGAUGCAAGGUUAGCAGAACGAAGAAGUUGGAAAAAAUUCCCCAGCUCAGCGAAUAGGUGAAGCAAACGUGCCCCCCUCUUAAGGUGUCUAGCGAUACCAUCGUUAAUCAUCCGGGGAUGGUGCCCGGUACCAAUCCUGCUGAUUACCUGAUCGAUGAUAUAGAGUUUGAAACAAUGGAGGUGGACGAAUUCAGAUUCCAGUAUGGGCAGACUCUCGUUAAACCUGAUCCUCCUCCUCCUCUGACAACGAUGAUGCGAAGACUCCAUGAAUGGUACAUUGAAAGAUGCCGCUAGUCUAGGAAGCAUACUUUGACGAUGAUAAUUAAAGAGGAGCACAACCUUGUUGGAAUGGAUAUUUUGAAUAUUGAAUUUGACAAGUUAUUCUAGUUAUACAAUCAAAAGCCCCUUGACAAAACACUCGUGAGUUGCUACUGUCUGUAAGUACUACUUCUAUAAUAAUUAAGUCUCUAUAUAUAGCUCAGCUCUUUCAUUUGCAUGUAUAUAUAAUUAUCCUCACUAUAUUAUGCAGGUUGAAGAUCAUCGAAUGCAGAAAAGCAGAUAUCUAUGAUAUUGGGUUCAUUAACCCAAAUGUCAUACAUGAAUGGACGGCUAAACACAAUGUCUCUGGAACCGAGAACAACUUGCUACAAUCGUUGCUUAAAAAUCAGAACAAAGAUAAAAUACUCUUUCCUUAAAACUUCAAGUGAGUGUUACUGUCUUGUGCACAUUCGGUUUCCCUUACUCAAGGUUAAUUAUAGUAAUGUAAUUGAUGAGUUAUGCAUGCGUGCGCAUAUUCCACUUUAUUCUGCUAGAGCUUGAAGCUAGAAUAGUAACUGUCUUAGACUCGAGAAGAAAAGAUCCCCAGGAGUAUGCGGACAUGACUGAUAUGCUCUAGAAGUAAGUUCAAUCGAUCAUUAUUGCACCAUAUUGGCAACUUUGUUCAUUUCCUGGAUAUCAAGUAAUUAUUCUGUUUGUCUGGCAGGGUUUGGAAAGAGUUCACCGUAAUUACGCUGGGACUGCCGACGGAGCUGCAAUUUAAACACCCGAAAGUAAGUACUACUAGCUAGUUCCGCACAUCUCCCAUUGAUUGUAGCUAGUUUCAUCAAUACCAUUUAGCAUGCUUGAUUAUCAUUUUGAUUGAACUCUAUUUCUCGUAAAGUGCUUGCGGCAGGAAGCCGGGAAUGAUUUUUGUGGAUACUAUGUUUGCGAGUUCAUCUACAACUUGACAGCCUCUAAGCGGGGCUACUCUGAAAAACAAUAUGAGGUACAUAAACAAAAUAAUUCACAAUUUUAUUUUUUUACCACUUCUUUAAAUUAGAUGUGGCAGAUGCGGGAUGAACUCCUACGACAUGAUCGCAGACGGGCUAUUCAAGAGGAAUUAGCGGGAUUCUUUCUUGACCACGUCAUACAUAAAGCCGGAGAAUACCAUGUGGAAGUUGAAAUAGACCUUAGAUGUUAGGGUUUGUAAGAGGUCUUAUAUUGUAUAUAUGUAGCUAGUAGCGUCGGAUAGAUAUACCGAAACUUGUUGUUCAACCAAUCUCUGGGAGAAAGAGAGGUCACUUCUCUCUGUAUAUGUUCAUGACGAUCUUGUGUACUUAACGGUUCCUUCAUUUGCUUACUAGCUAGCGUGUCGAGUUCUAUCUAUACGUAUAGUAGCUAGCUGAUGACCCACAAGUAUAUGGGGUCAAUUGUAGCCUUUUCGAUAAGUAAGAGUGUCGAACCCAAUGAGGAGCAGAAGGAAAUGAUAAGUCGUUUUCAGCAAGGUAAUGUCUGCAAGUGCUAAAAUUGUAAGUAGCGAAGUAGUUUGAUAGCAAGAUAAUUUGUAACGAGCAAGUAACGAUAGUAGUAACAAAAGUGCAGCAAGGUAGCCCAAUCCUUUUGAGGCAAAGGACAGACCAAAACGGUCUCUUAUGAUAAGCAAAGUGUUCUUGAGGGUACACGGUAAUUUCAUCUAGUCACUUUCAUCAUGUUGGCUUAAUUCGUGUUCGCUACUUUGAUAAUUUGAUAUGUGGGUGGACCGGUGCUUAGGUGCUAUUCUUACUUGAACAAACCUCCUACUUAUGAUUAACCCUCUCGCAAGCAUCCGCAACUACGAGAAAAGUAUUAAGAAUAAAUUCUUUUUUUAGAAUAGCAUUAAACUUUUGGAUCCAAUCGGUCCCUUACGGAAUAGCGCAUAAACCGGGGUUUAAGCUUCUGUCACUCUCGCAACCCCUCAUGUAAUAACUACUCCACAAUACAUUCCCUUAGGCCCAAAUAUGGUGAAGUGUCAUGUAGUCAACGUUCACAUGACACCACUAAGGGAAUCACAACAUAUAUACAUAUCAUCAAAAUAUCGAACACAUAUCAAGUUCACAUAAUUACUUGCAACAUGAUAUCUCCCGUGACCUCAAGAACAAAAGUAACUACUCACAAAUGAUAAUCAUGCUCAAGAUCAGAGGGAUAUUAAAUAUCAUAAUGGAUCUGAACAUAUAAUAUUCCACCAAAUAAACCAUAUAGUAAUCAACUACAAGAUGUAAUCAACACUACUAGUCACCCACAAGCACCAAUCUAUAGUUCCGGUACAAAGAUUGAACACAAGAGAUGAACUAGGGUUUGAGAGGAGUUGGUGUUCUUGAAGAUGUUGAUGAAGAUAGCCCUCCCCAAGAUGGGAGAGUUGUUGGUGAUGAUGAUGACAAUGAUUUCCCCCUUUGGGAGGGAAGUUCCCUCGGCGGAAUCGCUCCGCCGUAGGGAAAAAGUGCUCCUGCCCAAGUUCCACCUCGAGACGGUGGCGCUUCAUCCCGAAAGUCCUCUCCUUAAUUAUUUUAGGUCAAAAUGACUUAUAUACUAGAAGGGCACCGGAGGUGGGCCGAGGGGGGCAGCACCCACCAGGGCGUGCCUGGGCCUCCUGGCGCGCCCAAGUGGGUUGUGCCCACCUGGUGGCCCCCCUUUGGUAGUUAUUUGCUCCAAUAUUUAUUAAAUAUUGUUGGGGAACGCGGUAAUUUCAAAAAAUUUCCAACGAUCACGCAAGAUCUAUCUAGGUGAUGCAUAGCAAUGAGAGGGGAGAGUGUGUCCACGUACCCUCGUAGACCGAAAGCGGAAGCGUUUAGCAAUGUGGUAGAUGUAGUUGAACUUCUUCGCGAUCCAACCGAGCAAGUACCGAACGUAGGACACCUCCGCGUUUAGCACAUGUUCAGCUCAAUGACGUCCCUCGUUCUCAUGAUUCAGUUGAGGCUGAGGAUGAGUUCCGUCAGCACGACGGCGUGGCGACGGUGAUGAUGAUGCUACCGGCGCAGGGCUUCGCCUAAGCACUACGAUGGUAUGAUCGAGGUGUGUAACUGUGGAGGGGGGCACCGCACACGGCUAAAAGAUCAACUUGUGUGUCUAUGGGGUGCCCCUUGGCCAUGUAUAUAAAGGAGGGGGAGGAGGAGGCCGGCCAAGAGGGGAGGCGCACCAUGGGGGGAGUCCUACUAGGACCCCAAACCUAGUAGGAUUCGGCCCCCCUUUCCUAUUACAACUUGGAGAAGGGGGGAAGGAGGAGGAGAGAAGGAAGGAGGGGGGCACUGCCCCUACCCUUAUACAAUUCGGAUUGGGGCAAGGGGGGCGCACGCCAUCUCCUCACCGGCCCUAUCUCUUCUCCACUCAGGCCCAUGAGGCCCAAUAACUUCCCGGAGGGGGUUUCGGUAGCCCCCGGUACUCCGAAACUAAUCCGAAAUGACCCGAACCCUUCCGGUGUCCGAAUGUAGCCUUCCAAUAUAUCAAUCUUUAUGUCUCAACCAUUUCGAGACUCCUCGUUAUGUCCGUGAUCUCAUUCGGGACUCCGAACAAACUUCGGUCAUCAAAACACAUAACUCAUAAUACAAAUCGUCAUCGAACAUUAAGCGUGCGGACCCUACGGGUUCGAGAACUAUGUAGACAUGACAGAGACACAUCUCCGGUCAGUAACCAAUAGCGGAACCUGGAUGCUCAUAUUGGCUCCUACAUAUUCUAUGAAGAUCUUUAUCGGUCAAACCGCAUAACAAUAUACGUUGUUCCCUUUGUCAUUGGUAUGUUACUUGCCCGAGAUUCGAUCGUCGGUAUCAUCAUACCUAGUUCAAUCUCAUUACGAGCAAGUCUAUUUACUCGUUCCGUAAUACUUCAUCCUACAACUAACUCAUUAGAUACAAUGCUUGCAAGGCUUAUAGUCACGAGCAUUACCGAGAGGGCCCAGAGACACCUCUCCGAAACACGGAGUGACAAAUCCAAAUCUUGAUCUAUGCCUACCCAACAAACACCUUGGGAGACAUGUUGGGGAAUGUAGCAAUAAUUCAAAAUUUUCUACGCAACACCAAGAUCAAUCUAUGGAGAUUCUAGCAACAAGAUAGGGAGAGGAUGAGCAUCUUCAUACCUUUGAAGAUCGCUAAGCGGAAGCGUCACUAGAACGCGGAUGAGGGAGUCGUACUCGCGGCGAUUCAAAUCGCGGAAGAUCCGAUCUAACGCCGAACUGACGGCGCCUCCGUGUUCAACACACGUACAGCUCGGGGACGUAUCCUCCUUCUUGAUCCAGCAAGGGAAGAGGAGAAGUUGAGGGAGCACUCCGGCAGCACGACGGCGUGGUGGAGGAGCUUGUAGUUCUCCGGCAGGGCUUCGCCAAGCACUACGGAGGAGGAGGUGGAGUUGGAGAGGGGGAGGGCUGCGCCAGGGGAAGGCUGAAGCUCCCAUGCACCUCCCCACUAUAUAUAGGGGUGGAGGGGGAUUGUUUAUCGCCCCCCAAGUCCAUUGGGGCAUUGGCACAGGUGGGAGGAAAGAAAUCCCAUCAUUUCCCUUCCCCACCAAUCGUUAUCCCUCCUUUUUAGGGAUCUUGAUCUUAUCCCUUCGGGAUAUGAUCUUAUUCCUUCUAAGGGGGGAUCUUGGUGCGCCUUGACCAGGGGUGUGGGGACUUUCCCCCACUACCCACGUUCAUGUGCCCCCCCAUGCAGGUGGGCCCCACUCUGGAACCUUCUAUAACCUUCCCGAUACAAUACCGAAAAAUCCUGAACAUUUUCCGGUGGCCAAAAUAGGACUUCCCAUAUAUAAAUAUUUACCUCCGGACCAUUCCGGAACUCUUUGUGAUGUCUGGGAUCUCAUACGGGACUCCGAACAACAUUCGGUAACUGGACACUAAUUCCCAUAACAACUCUAGCGUCACCGAACCUUAAGUGUGUAGACCCUACGGGUUCGGGAAUCAUGCAUACAUGACCGAGACAGCUCUCUGGCCAAUAACUAACAGCGGGAUCUGGAUACCCAUGUUGUCUCCCACAUGUUCCAUGAUGAUCUCAUCGGAUGAACCACGAUAUCGGGGAUUCAAUCAAUCCCGUAUACAAUUCCCUUUGUCAAAUGGUAUGUUACUUGCCAGAGAUUUGAUCGUCGGUAUCCCAAUACCUCGUUCAAUCUCGUUACCGGCAAGUCAUUUUACUCAUUCCAUAACGCAUGAUCCCUCGACUAACUACUUGGUCACAUUGAUCUCAUUAUGAUGAUGCAUUACCGAGUGGCCCCAGAGAUACCUCUUCGUCAUAUGGAGUGACAAAUCCCAGUCUCGAUUCGUGCCAACCCAACAAACACUUUCGAAGAUACCUGUAGUGUACCUUUAUAGCCACCCAAUUACGUUGGGACAUUUGGUACACCCAAAGCAUUCCUACGGUAUCCGGGAGUUGCACAAUCUCAUGGUCUAAGGAAAUGAUACUUGACAUUAGAAAAGCUUUUAGCAAACGAACUACACGAUCUUGUGCUAUGCUUAGGAUUGGGUCUUGUCCAUCACAUCAUUCUCCUAAUGAUGUGAUCCUGUUAUCAAUGACAUCCAAUGUCCAUGGUCAGGAAACCAUAACCAUCUAUUGAUCAACGAGCUAGUCAACUAGGGACAUGUUGUGGUCUAUGUAUUCACACAUGUAUUACGGUUUCCAGUUAAUACAAUUAUAGCAUGAACAAUAGACAAUUAUCAUGAACAAGGAAAUAUAAUAAUAACCAUUUUAUUAUUGCCUCUAGGGCAUAUUUCCGACAGUCUCCCACUUGCACUAGAGUCAAUAAUCUAGUUCACAUCACUAUGUGAUUGUAAUGAAUCCAACACCCAUGGGGUUUGAUCAUAUCUUGCUUGUGAGAGAGGUUAUUAGUCAACGGGUCUGAACCCUUCAGAUCCGUGUGUGCUUUGCAAAUCUCUACGUCGUCUUGUGGAUGCAGCUACCACGCGCUAUUUGGAACUAUUCCAAAUAACAGUUCUACUAUAUGAAUCUGGUUUACUCCUUAGGUCAUCCAGAUUAGUGUCAAAGUUUGCAUCGACGUAACCCUUACGACGAACUCUUUUACCACUGCCAUGAUCGAGAAAAAUUCCUUAGUCCACUAAGGAUAACUUUGACUGUUGUCUAGUGAUCCAUUCCUGGAUCACUCUUGUACCCCUUGACUGACUCAUGGCAAGGCACACUUCAGGUGCGGUACACAUCAUAGCAUACUGUAGAGCACAGGGGACGACCUUCGUCCUUUCUCUCUCCUCUGCCAUGGUCAGGUCUUGAGUCUUACUCAAUACUCACACCUUAUAACACAGCCAAGAACUCCUUCUUUGUUGAUCUAUUUUGAAAUCCUUCAAAAUCUUGUCACGAUAUAUAUUCAUUUGAAAGUACUAUUAAGCGUUUUUGAUCUAUCCUUAUAGAUCUUGAUGCUCAAUGUUCAAGUAGCUCAAUCUAGGUUUUUUUAUUGAAAAACACCUUUCAAACAACCCUAUAUGCUUUCCAGAAAUUCUACAUCAUUUCCGAUCAACAAUAUGUCAACAACAUAUGCUCAUCAGAAAUUCUAUAGUGCUCCCACUCACUUCUUUGGAAAUACAAGUUUCUCAUAAACUUUGUAUAAACCCAAAAUGUUUGAUCAUCUCAUCACAACGUAUAUUCCAACUCCGAGAUGCUUACUCCAGUCCUUAGAAUGAUUGCUGGAGCUUUGCAUACUUGUUAGCAUCUUUUAGGAUUGACAAAACCUUCUAGUUGUAUCACAUACAACCUUUCCUCAAGAAAAACAUCGAGGAAACAAUGUUUUGACAUCCUAUCUGCAAGAUUUCAUAAAUAAUGCAGUAACUGCUAAUAUAAUUUCAACAAACUCUUAGCAUCACUAUGAGCGACAAAAUCUCAUCAUAGUCAACUCCUUGAACUUGUCAGAAAACAUCUUAGUGACAAGUCAAGCUUUCUUAAUGGUGACACUUACCAUCAUUGUCCGUUUUACUUUUAGAAUCCAUCUGUACCCAACAGCCUUACAACCAUUAAGUAGUUCUUCCAAAGUCUACACUUUGUUUUCAUACAUGGAUCCUCUCUCGGAUUUUAUGGCCUUGAGUCAUUGGUCGGAAUCCGGGCCCACCAUCGCUUCUACAUAGCUCGUAGGUUCAUUAUUGUCUAGCAACAUGACCUCCAAGAUAGGAUUACGUACCACUCUAAAGUAGUACACAUCCUUGUUGACCUACGAGGUUUGGUAGUGACUUGAUCCGAAGUUUCAUGAUCACUAUCAUCAGCUUCCACUUCAAUUGGUGUAGGCGCUACAGGAACAACUUCCUGUGCCCUGCUACACACUGGUUGAAGUGACAGUUCAAUAACCUCAUCAAGUCUCCACCAUCCUCCCACUCAAUUCUUUCGAGAGAAACUUUUCCUCGAGAAAGGACCCGUUUCCAAAAACAAUCACUUUUGCUUCCGGAUCUGAAAUAGGAGGUAUACCCAACUGUUUUGGGUGUCCUAUGAAGAUGCACUUAUCCGCUUUGGGUUCGAUCUUAUCAGGCUAAAACUUUUCACAUAACGGUCGCAGCCCCAAACUUUUAAGAAACGACAGCUUAGGUUUCUCUAAACCAUAGUUCAUACGCUGUCAUCUCAACGGAAUUACGUGGUGCCCUAUUUGAAGUGAAUGCGGUUGUCUCUAAUGCCUAACCCAUAAACGAUAAUGCACUACAAAAAAAGACACAUCCGUGACAUUUUGGGCCGAACGAUUUUUUUAUGUCAUACAUAUGACACUUCUAUGAUGAUAAUUGUGACAAAACGCGGUAUCAUCAUAGAUAUGGUGGGCUCCUACUUCUAUGAUAAAAAAUCAUGACAGAAAAUGGGCUUUUCGUCCUGGGCGAGCCGGAGACGCAGCUGCAUGACAUUCUUUGGGCCGUCCAUGACGGAAAAAACCGUGGUAGAAGAGAGGGCGAGGAAAAUUUCGGUGAGUUCCCGGUUACGGUGGGUGGUCGGGGGCCGAGCGAUGCGCGUUUCUCUUGUACACAUACGCGUGUGUGUGUGAGGCGUUGGCUCUAACUGAACCCGAACGAGGCAUUGGGCUCUAACUGAACUUGAGCGAUUGCACCGCAGGCUACGCAUUACUGAACCUGAGCGAUCGAUCGAUGGCUGUUAACUGAACCCGAGCGAUCGAUUCCUUCNNNNNNNNNNNNNNNNNNNNNNNNNNNNNNNNNNNNNNNNNNNNNNNNNNNNNNNNNNNNNNNNNNNNNNNNNNNNNNNNNNNNNNNNNNNNNNNNNNNNNNNNNNNNNNNNNNNNNNNNNNNNNNNNNNNNNNNNNNNNNNNNNNNNNNNNNNNNNNNNNNNNNNNNNNNNNNNNNNNNNNNNNNNNNNNNNNNNNNNNNNNNNNNNNNNNNNNNNNNNNNNNNNNNNNNNNNNNNNNNNNNNNNNNNNNNNNNNNNNNNNNNNNNNNNNNNNNNNNNNNNNNNNNNNNNNNNNNNNNNNNNNNNNNNNNNNNNNNNNNNNNNNNNNNNNNNNNNNNNNNNNNNNNNNNNNNNNNNNNNNNNNNNNNNNNNNNNNNNNNNNNNNNNNNNNNNNNNNNNNUAGAUGGUGGGGGGGGGUGGAUGAACAAUAGCCCGUGGAGGGGUGGUUGAACAGGGAGCCCAUGGAGAGGGGUGGUUGAACAGUAGCCGCUGGAGUAGCGCGGUGUGGAGGCUAGAUGAACAGGAGCCCGUGGAUGAACAGUCGCAGGUGGAGGCUGGAGGAGGUCCACGGUGGAUGAACAGUAGCCCGUGGAGGCUGGAGGAGGUCGACGGUGGAGAUGAACAGUAUCCCGUGGAGUCCUGUUUUGCGGUACGCCACACCCCUCCCGAUGAACAGGACCCCCGUUUCGACCGUAGCGCUCCAACACAAGUCCGUUUCGUCCAUUUUGCGGUACGCCACACCCCUCCCGAUCAACAGGACCCCCGUUUCGACCGUAGGAGGUCCGUUUCCUCCAUUUUGUGGUACACCAGACCCCUCCUGAUGAACAGGAUCCCAUUUCGAAUGUGGCCGGUCGAACACAAGGUCGUUUCCUCUGUUCCGCGGUACGCCAAGCCUCGUUUCCAUCGCCUGUUCCGUCCAAGCCCUCCCGAUGAACACGAUCACGCAUUCCAUUCUGACCCAGCCGGUUGGCUCCCACGCGUUCCGUUGCCUCCCGAUGAACAUGACGCAUUCGGUUGCCUCCCCAUGAACACGACGCAUUCCGUUGCCUCCCCAUGAACACGACGACGAUGCUGUUUCUCCGUUCCGACCCAACCAUGUACACGAGUCGUGGUCGUCCGUAUAUAUGCGCGAGUAGGCGUUCGAGACCCCGCCCAUAUGUACACAUACGUGGCCUUAUUUUCUUUCUUACGCACUGGCCGCUGUACGUACGUGUACAUGCUACAUGCACGCCUCUACUACGACAAGAGCGCGCCUCUACUACGACACGAGCGCGCCUCUACUACGACACGUGCGCGCCUCUACAUCCACCAGCAUGUAUGUACACGUUCGCGACCAGAAUGACAACGCUACAUACGCUUCGACCAGGUGGGUCCCGACUGUCAGGCACUUCUUUGCGUGUGAAGAUGUAGCUGGUGGGUCCCAGCAGUCAGGGGGGCGAAUCGUUUUUUUGCCCGGACGCACUUCCUUGCGUCUGAAGGUGUAGCUGGUGGGUCCCAGUAGUCAGGGGGGAAAUGUUUUUUUUCGCGAAAUACUGUGGCCCAUCCGGUGGGUCCCCGCUAUCAGGUGGAGGAAUAAUUAUUUUGCGCGUAAUAAGGAGGCACUUCCUUGUGGCUAUCGUGGACGGAGCUGUCAGCCUCUCCACGUACAGUCCACGUCCGAUGGAAGCCGUUCCUUGACCAUGUUGACCAUGUCGCGCCGAGAGCACCAGGGCGGUGGACGACGGCAAGGCCUAGGAAUGGGACGACGCGGAGCGGGGGAAGACGCGGCAAUGGAUGCCCACACGUAGAGGAGUACGAGGGUUCACUGGUUCUCUGCAGUGUGAGGUUGCCGUCGCCGUAGAAUAACAGUUAACAGGGGGUGUGGGUGAGUAGAGGGAUGGCCUGGCCAGCGGUGGGAGUAGUAGGGGGCGGUGAGGCCUCUACCGCAUCGCAGCCAGCCACGGGAGGCAGGAGCAUGAGGCAUGACCGAUGCUGGUUUGGGCGGCUGGAGCAAGAAGACCAGAGGUUGAAGAAGCACUACGGCCGUUGGAUGGACAUUGUACGGUCACUGGAGCUAGAAUCGUGCAUAUUGACUAAGUUGACAAAGCCCUCCGUCCCCGUCAACUUAGUAGGCCCACAAGUCAGCCUGCCACUAUACUGGGUCCCAGCUAACAGGGGAGUAUUCAUUUUUGUGUGUGUAAUAAGGAGGCACUUCCUUGCGUGCGAAGAUAUAGCUGGUGGGUCCGAGCUGUCAGCGGCGGUAACGUUUUUUUCGCGAAAUACAGAGGCCCUUUCGGUGGGUCCCUGAUGUCAGGUGGAGGAAUCAUUAUUUUGCGCGUAAUAAGGAGGCAUGUCCUUGCGUGCGGCCGUGGACCCAGCUGUCGGCCUCUCCACGUACAGUCAACUUCAGAUGCAUGUCGGUCGUUGACCAUGUUGACCAGGUCGCGCCGAGAGCACCAGGGCGGUGGACGACGGCGAGGCCUAGGAAGGGAACGACACGGAGGCAGGGAAGACUCGGCAGUUGUUUCCCAUGCGGAGGGGAGUAUGACUGUACGAGGCUUUACUGGUUCGUCUGCCGUCGCCGGAGAAUAACGGCAGGUGUGGGUGAGUAGAGGGAUGGCUAGGCCAGUGAUGAUAGUACGGUGGGGGUGGUGAGGCCUGCGCGGCAGCACAGCUGGCCGCAGGAAGGAGGGAGCAGGCAGUCCCGCCGGUGCUUGUUUGAGCGCCUGGAGCAGGAAGAGCAGAGAUUGAAGAAGCACGACGGCCGUUGGAUGGACAUCCAACAGUCACUGCUUGUGCGUCAACCUUCUUUUUAGGAAAGCCUCAAAUUUGUGGAAAACAACAUACAACCCAUCUGCCAUUAUUUCUGAUAAUUUAUAGCCCAUUUGCUAAUUCUUAAGUUUUUUUUGGAGCCCUUAUUCUUUUUGUUAGCAUUACAACCCAUAUUGUGGCCACGGUUAAAAAAUUAUACGAAAUUUUGCAUAUUUCGGUGCGGUCCGAACCGUUUUUAAUCCCGAAAUUUCGACUCACAUUCAAACUGAUUUAAAAAAUAAAUGUAUAUCAAUAUAAAAUCCAACAAAUUCUCCAUGCAUAAAAAUUAAUGUAAUUUAAAAUCUCGAAAUAAAAAAAGAUAUUUGAAACUAAUUGCCGGUUUGAUGUGUUUUAAAAAUGUACAUUCCAUUUCUCAUUACUGAUGGGCCAUUUUCUCGGCCAGCCAAAUGAAAGCUCUCCUCGUCUUGAAAGAUUUGCAGCCCAACAGGCCUGACAAAGCGACUUACUUGGCAAAUCACAAAAAAACUGGGAUAUGGCCGUGGACCCAGCUAUCAGCCUCUCCACGUACAGUACUCUUCCGAUGGAAUGUCGUUGACCACAUUGACCACGUCGUGCCGAGAGCACCAAGGCGGUGGACGGCGACGAGGCCUAGGAAGGGGACGACGCGGAGCCGGGGAAGACGCGGCGGUGGAUGCCCACGCGGAGAGGAGUACGAGGGUUCACUGGUUCGGCUGCGGUGUGAGGCUGCCGUCGCUGCAGGGCCUGGCUAGCGGUGGGAGUAGUAGGGGGCGAUGAGGACUCAACGGCAGCACAACUGGCCACUGGAGGCAGGAGCAGGCGGUCUCCCCGGCGCUAGUUUGGGCGGCUGGUGCAAGAAGAGCAGCGAUUGAAGAAGCAGCAGGAUCGUUCGAUUCAAAUCCAACGGUUACUGCUGCUAGAAUCGUUUGUUGACUAAGUUGACAAGCCCUGCGUACGCGUCAACUUAGUAGGCCCACAGGUCAGCCUCCCAACCGGUGCGCCCCAGAUGUGAGUGGGAGGAAUCAUUUUUUUCGCGUAAUAAGGAGGCAGUUGAUUGCAUGCGGCCAGGCCAGCGGAGGGAGUAGGGUGGGCCGGGGAAGCCUGCGCGGCAUCACAGUGGGCCACAAGAGGAGGGAGCAGGCAGUCCCGCCGGCGCUAGUUUAGGCGGCUGGAGCAGGAAGAUCAGAGAUUGAAGAAGCACGUCGGCCGUUGGAUGGACAUCCAACAGUCAUUGCUGCUAGAAUCGUGUGUUCACUGACAAAGCCUUGCGUAAACAAGUCAGCCUCGAAAUUUGUGGCGUGUACAACCCAUUUGCUAUUACUUUUAUAAUUUUUACUCAUUUUCUAAUUCAUAUGGAAUUUAUUGCAGCCCGUUUUCCAUUUUUAGAAUUGCUGACCAUUUUCUGGUCAGUACCAGGGUCAAAAAAUUAACUAAAUAUGUGGGAAAUUUUGAAAAUUCACAAAUUUUUGCUGGGGAACGAAAUAUUCUUAAUCCAAAAAUUAAUAGCCAUACUAAAACUAAUUUAAAAAUAAAUUAGUACUAUGUUAUGUUAAAUCCAAUGAAAUACCUAUAAGAUAUCAGUGAAGAACAAAAACAAAAAAAGAAACUAAUAUCCCAUUUGCUAUAAUUUUUUUGGAAUUUUCAACCCCUUCUGAUAUUACUUUUAACAGACAUUGACCAUACUCUUCAGCCAGGCCGGAAUGCAUCCCUCCUCGUCUUGAAAGAUUUGCAGCCCAGUAAUUCGGAGAAAACAAAUAGGCCUAGCUUGGGUAUUCUUCAAAAAUAAAUACCGGGCUACCUAUUUUCCCAAAGAACUGGUGCAUGAGCAUUUAGCUUUAUUUAUUUAUUUACUUAUUUAUGUUUAGGGGACCAUGAGCAUGUACCUGGGCCGGAUUCAUGUGAGAGCCUCCCUACCAGUUAAUUAUGGGCUUCUCUAUUGGGCCUUCAUUAGUGAGCUGCAUGUUAUCAACAAGUGGAAAAUGUGUUCCAUACAAAAAAUAGUAUGAGCUACGUACGGUACGGGGCACUAAAGGAUCGAACUAUGCAACGACUUCCAAAACAUUGUGAUUGUCAUUCUAACAACACAUUUAUUCAACCAACAGACGAAAUAUACUACUGAUUGUACAUUGAAAACAGCAGCAGCAGCAACCAGGGCUGGGGGUGCAACAGAAGCAGUAAGCAGGCCAGAAGAGUGAAGACGCAUCUGUCUCUUCCAAACCAAACAUCAACCAUCAUUACAAAAGGGCUACCAAAAAAGAACAAGUGUAUGCAUCAAACUAAAUAAAGAUCCUACUACACCAAGUGUACGCAUCUAACUAACUGGCUCAGUUAGACGUUACUAUUUAUUAAGCUGUGGAGAUUGGCUGACGGCUUGAACCAGAUGGGUGCCUGAUGGGGGAAACUCCAGCCAGCAGGUCAAAGUCUGAUACUUGCGACCCUCUCUCCUACUUUGGGCUGUAGAGCGUGGCAUCACAUAUCAGGGUAUGGUGCAUGCAGAGACGCAUGGUACGCUGUGUACACACAGUUUUUCCUGAGGAACGAACUGCGCUGCCAUCAUGAUCCUUGCCGUCGGUUAUCUCCUGGUUAAUCGGAUAAUUUAGUCUGACAAACAGAGAGCGUGUACCAAGGCUACUUACCAGCCUCCAGUCAAAAAUUCCUGAAGGCCCAGAGAAGCUGGGAUCCUGCUCAAAGACCUUGCAGUGAAUGUGAUUGUAUUCCGCGAGACAACACGUCUGGUACGUGCGAACGAUCAUCAAUCUUUCGUCGUUGUCUGAUCGAGCCAGGAACCACCUGCAACUGCCAUGCCGCUUUUCUUUGAAAGGUUCUGGGAUUAGGAAGGGUAGGGACACCAGGCAGCCUACAACAUCAUAUCAAGUUGGAGUCAAAUAAAAAAGGGCUCUUGAUUUAGUCAAUCUUAAGAACAACAUGUUAUGAGCAUGAAUAUUUUUUCAGUAAAUGUUGACAGUAAUAUAAGCAAGCCAUCAUGAUAUCAAAGUAACAUACUGCUGUAAGAGCCAUUUGUAGCGAUGACUGGAGUAGGCCAGCAAUACGUCCAGCCAUAGAAGGAGUCGACAGCGUAAAUGAAGCCCUUGUGUUCAGUGGCAUCAGAGAACCAUGGGGGAUGUAUGAUCCUGCGAUGGACGUGCAGAUUUAUCCACUUACCGCAGUGACCUGUCAGAUAGGCGAGACCGCGGUUGAAGAAUGCAAUUAGCCUGAAGUCUUUAUAAUUCGCAGAUCUUGUGGGCACUUGGCAGAUUACAACCUUGAGCAAAUCAAACUUGGUAUCAUGUUGGCUACUGUAAGAUUCCGAGUACUCUGGGCCGCGGUGCCAAAGCAGUGCAGUGUUAAUCGAAGGAAGGGGGAUCAAUCACUGGGUGUAGACCUCCGCGAGCAUCCAGCUGUCGCGACCGUCGACAAGCACCAUCCAAGACGUGUUCAUGCCGACCCAGUACAUACCGUUAAUGUAGCUGAGGCUGACAAGGAUCAGAUCGUAGUCAAGGGGGUUGAUGCUCGCCACCCUAUGAUCGUUAUGCUGUGUGACAUGCCGUUUCUGAAGAUCAGGCGGCAUCGGCAAGCAAGGAGCUGGCUUAAAAAGCUCCGGCCUGAGGGCUUUGAGUAAACAGCCCCGACGAGCACGCGGCGAGCGGCAUGGUACUGAGAUUGUCCACAUUUGAAACAAUGAGCUUGAUUACCUCUGUGGGGAGCGAAUUCCGGCCACUCUUUCGGCGGACGCUGCUCGGUUCUGCCAUUGUUAGUGCUUGGGUUUCGGACGAGGGGGGAGGCACCUUAGCGGGGAUGGAAGAUUGGACGAGAUUAUGUGCGGACAAAGAUGGAGAAGCAAAUAUGUGCUGCGGGAAGUGGACAGGUGAUGAUGACUACAGCACGCCGCUUGACUUACGAGACACAUACCAGCAGCGUAGGGUCAUAUCGAUGACAGACAACUUGCUUGAGUAGAGUAGUAGAGUAGGACUCUGCUCUACUACUAGCACCGGAGUAGUAUAUUCUAAUCUAAAAUAGUUACAAACUUUAAUGCCCGAGCAUGGAACGACUACGAACCAUGCUCAAAGACUGUGUCUACAUGGUGUCAUAGUUGGCUUUCUAUCCGUCAGAUAUAGAUCGGAUGGUCUAUAUUACAAGAUGGCACGCAUACCAUCAUCACCAACUCUGCUUUUUAUAAGAGUAAAUAUGGUGUGCUUGCCAUCCUGCAAUAUAAGCCGUCCGAUUUAUAUCUGACGGAUAGGAAGGAAAAAUGGAAAUUUUGCAAAAAGAUACCCACGGCCACUCAACAUUUGCAAAUAAGGCCUUCCCUCGUUCAUCCUUUUCUCCCACAAGAUAAACUACUCAUACAGAUGCAUCUUGAUGUUCCGUGCAACGCACGGGAAUCUUGCUAGUAGAUAGAUAGAGACUAGGGAGUACUAGUAAGGACAGCAUCUACUGCUUCGUGUGCUACUCCUGCGCACCAUUCGGCGGCUGCAACGUCCCCUACAGCCACUCCCUCCCGCGCUCCAUUCAGAGGGCGCUGUUGACAUUUGGGGAGCGCACUCUCGCGACUGCUGGCAGCCACGACUUCACUGAUGACGACUUCUUCCCCGACCUCGGCAACCUCUUCCUCAACGACAUGGGUGACAACCUCAACGCCAACGGUGCUACUCCCCUUGCACCAUAUGUGUUUCUCCUUCCCGUUCGAAAUCGUGGUAGAAUUCAUGUUUCUACUCUGUAUCCUACUACUAUGCUAGUCCACAUGAUUAGUUUCAUCUUUGUUAUAGCCAUCAUGAUUUAUUUUGUGCUUAUUCGGAUUAAAUCUCGUAGUAACUUGCUCAUAUAUUCAACUGGCGCAACGUCCCCUACAGCCACUCCCUUUUCAUGGACGGCCUGGUCAAUGCCUCCAAGGAGCCCUUCGUCUACUGCUAUGAGUGCCCGAUGCUGUUUUGGGGCUCGCCGGCGGACAUGGUGCAUCACCUCACGGAUGCGUGCAGCGGUCACUACUGGCCCUUGGCGGAGAACAUCAAGUACGAGACGUGCUACCCGUUCACCAUGCCGGAGUUGCUGGAGGAUCACCGCCGCCUGCUAGUCUCGGAGGAGGACGACAGCGUCUUCCUCUUGAUCGUCGGCACCAGCGAGGCCCGUGCAGGCCGCCGCCCAGUCUCUGUACACUACUAGGGAAAAGCCUAUACACAGAAUCUUAUCAGCAGCGCGCUGUAAAAUAAGGCGCUGCUGCUAAUUAGCAGUAGCGUGCUUGGGGGUAACUCGCUGCUGAAAACAAUAUAGCAGUAGCGCGCCCGCUCAAAGAAGCGCUACUGCUAUAAUUCCCACGAGGCCGCCACGUGGCUAGUUAUAGCAGCAACGCGUUAUAACGACGGGCGCUACUGCUACGUAGCAUAGUAGCAGCGCAUUGCUGCAAUAAGCGCUACUGCUAAAUUUACUACAAAAGUUUUGCCCCAUCUCCUCUAUCCGAUCCACACUCACACAGUCACACACUAGCUCACUGGAUCCCCUCUCAAUCCCCCGCGCCGGUCCACCCCUGUCGCCCCUCCUCCGUCUGCGCCGCUGUCAUCUUCUCCUCCUUGCUGGACUCGGUACCGGCCUCCUCCUCCAUCCUCCCUCUCCACUUGCCGCUGGCCGGCCCCUCCUCACUCCGCCUUCCUCCUCCGUCCUCCCUCCACUGGUCACGCCGGUCGACCCCUCCUCGCUCCGCCUUCCUCCUCCAUCCUACUCUCUUCUCCCUCCUCGAGUCGCCCCUCCUUCUCCCUCCUGCCCACUACAUUUUGAUUUAGUAGCUAGGCUAGUUCAUAUGCAACAUUUUGAUUUAGUUGAUAUGAUUUAGUUGAUUUAAUUAGUAGGCUAGUUGAUUUAGUUGACUUAGAACAGUUUGAUUUAGCUGAUUUAAUAGGCUAGUUCAUUUAGUUGAUUUAGUUGACUUAGAACAUUUUGAUUUAGUUGAUUUAAUAGGCUAGUUCAUUUAGUUGAUUUAGUUGACUUAGAAAAUUUUGAUUUAGUUGAUUUAGUAGGGUAGCUCAUUUAAUUAGUUGAUUUAGAACAUUUUGAUUUAGUUGAUUUAGUAGCUAGGCUAGUUGAUUUAGUUGAUUUAGAACAUUUUGAUUUAGUUGAUUUAGUAGGCCAGUUGAUUUAGUUGACUUAGAACAUUUUGAUUUAGUUCAUCAUUAAUCCUUUGCUCAUAUUGCUUUAGGAAAAAUGGUGCCACCACCACCACCACUAUGUCGACUGUGCAAGUCAAGAUGCGCCAGCAGCCUUGCAACUGGCAAGCUGUUCGGCAUCUACUUCCAGCCAAGUUUUCGUCAUGCGGCAGUAAGAAAUUAGAUGAAAUGUAAUAACUAUUUUGUUUUUAGUGUUGGCAUUACUGCAUUGUGUCAUUUUGCUUAUUUUACACAGAUCGUCCCAUGCAAUGUGAGGUUGAAAUUCAACAAGCUGGCAGGAGACACCAUGACAUUUGAGGCUCCUGGGGGGCCAUACACUAUGGAGGUCGAGAAAGGACGCAAUAUGUCGUAGAUUGGAGGAGAUGGAUGGGCCCGUUUCGUCGCUCGCAUGCGUCUUACUGGUGGUGAGUUGAUCAGCUUCUCCUUCCGAGCAGAAAGACCCAAGCUAGUUGUCAUUUAUCUCAACCUGGUGGAAGAUGAUGAAGAUGACGAAGAUGAUGAAGAUGAUGAAGAUAAUGAGGACCCACUCGAUGAAGAUGAUGAGGACCCACUUCAUGAAUCCAUCGUAGCUCAAAGAACAAGGCUGAGUGAGGAGGAGGUGUCCAACCUGUGGGACAUAAUUCCGCCACAUGCUGACUUUGUCGGGGUGCCAUUCGUGACUCGCUUGACAAAUACCAUGGUUGAUCGACAUGAUAUGGUAUGUUAUACUUACAAAUGCAAAUUAUCCGAUGAAUUACUUAGUGUACAGUCCAAUGAUAUGGUAUGUUGUGUGGAAUCUAGUCAAUUAUAUGUUUUAGUGUAGAGUUUGAUCACAUGCUUAUUAGUGUAGAAUCUAACGAAACUAUUAAUAGUGUAGAUAAUCCAUAUGUACUUAUUUGCGAGGCUAUUUAUUAAUUGAUAUGUUUUUCUUAUUAAAAAAUUGGCAAAGAGCAUAUCUGUGAGUUAUGGUAUCGAGCCUGAUGAAGAAGGCUCGGCUGGACUACGCCUUACUGCAAGGGGCUCUGUCACAACCUGUACUUACCGCGUGGACACGGACGGCCGCACACACUUAAACUCGGUUGGGUGGAAGAAAUUCCUCGAUGGCAAGAAUCUUCGUGUUGGACAGGCCAUCCUAAUUACUAUCAGGAACACCAACCGCCCAGGCUUAAGGAUGAUGAUUGUCUUCGAUAUCAUCUAGAACUACAUAUGUGUGUGUGGCUAUAUCAUCUAGAACUACAUAUGUGUGUGUGGCUAUAUCAUCUAGAACUACAUAUGAUGAUCGUCGUCAAUAUCAUCUAGAACUACAUAUGAUGAUGGUUGUUGAUAUGACCUUGUACUGCUUGAGGAUGCAUGUUGACUAUGCAUGAAAUUGUUAUCUAGUACUCCCUUUGUUCCAAAUUACUCGUCGUGGUUUGAACUAAAACCACGACGAGUAAUUUGGAACGAAGGGAGUACUACCUAGUAAUGGAUUAUGAAUUUGAUAUCUACUAGCAGUACCUAGUAUCUAGUAUCUGAAAGGGAAACUGAAAGGAAAAGGGGUAGUGGGAAAAUGAUGAAAGAUAUAGCAGUAGCGAGGGAUGGCGAAAUCGCUACAGCUAGGUAAUAGUAGCGCGUUCUAAAAAAGCGCUGCUGAUAUCGUAAACAGUAGUAGCGCUGGUAAGGGCCGCGCUACUACUAUGAGUUAGCUGUAGUGCCUUAUUAGUAGCGUGUCCACCCGCGCUGCUGCUAGCCUCAAAACCCACGCUACUACUAGGGUUUUCCCUAGUAGUGGUAGUGUGUGUCAGGGGCGACACCGCUGACACUGACACUGACACAAGGCCGAUGUACGGGUGCGUGGUCAGUGUUACUACCCCUCCGGGUCACGUGGGCGGCGACACCGGCCUCAUCAAAUGGACUUGGACUCUGGGGAGCUGGGACUAUCCCGCCAAUGUGGACUUGGAAAACCCAUGGCAUCCUUUACCCGCCGAUGCGGUGCACGGGGACUCCAAGGAGGUUCACCUGGACAUAUGCAUUAUCAAGUUAAAUGUUGAUCAUUAGUCUUUGCUCAAUGUAAUCCGCUGUCUAAGCAUGUGGAGACUUCCAUGCAGGAUCUUGCUCUAUUGGAGUAUCGCGCAUGAAUAAAAGUGUAUCCGUUUAUGGUUUAGUCUAGAAUCUUCCAUGUAUGAAUUUUUACUACAAUACUGGUGAAAAACUUACGAUGAACCAUUUCUUACAUCUCCUUUGCCCCCUUGCAAGUCAUCCUGAUUUAAUCCCUCCGUCUAGGUGUAUAAGGGCAUGGUUAAUAUUACUUAAUAGUAUAGCCAACUGUUGACUAUAAGAAAGUGCCAUGUCAUCUGUAGCCAACAUGUAUAACAAUCGAUACUCAAAAACUAAUUCUCAAAGAUCAUUUCUUGCAAAGCACAAUAAGUGUUAUUUCUUCACAAGUUUUGGAUGUAGGUUGAAUAGUUGAACGAUUUUGUUUGCAAAAGAUACCUUUUUAUCUAUUUCACCCGGAUGUUUGUGAGCUCUAGAGAUGAAAUAAUAUCUGAAGAAACCUAUCGAUACCCGUUACACAUGAGAUGACCCCUACAUCCUUUGUCAAAAUAAACAAAUCCCCAAUCAAUGCAUUUCACUCUUCGGUGCAACGCACGGGCACCUUACUACUAUAGAUUAGUACGACCAAAAAUUGAACUAACAUUAUAUAUAGUACGAUAAAUGCUGAUGCAUGUCACCUAAAAUUAUAUCAUUCAAAACUAUGUUCAAAUACGAAUCCAACGAUAUAGUUUUUGUUAACAUGCACUAACAUUUUGUCAGUUAAAUCUUCAGUCAAAUUUAAUGGGGGACUAAUAAACCAUGACCGAUGUAGUACAAGUGUAGAGGGCGGCGCUGCACGGGAGUCUCACCUCUCACCCCGCUCGUGGCGCAGCAGUAAAGCCGUCAUAUCACAAAACCCAACCACUCCCAGUAAUAAGUGGCCUGGCAAAAUAAACGGACAAGCAACCAUCACAUCCCUCCGUCUUUUUUGCAUUUCAUCUCUCUGCAUUUACUUUCUCCGGUUCAUCUCGCACACACGAUCCCUAGCUACUACUCCUAGGGCCAGUUCUUUUGGCGGCUUCCCCAGCUUUUCCCAUAAGACUACUCACAGUGGAGAGUAACAAUAAGGCGCCUCGCUCAUUUAUUUGGGCUUCUAAACUACUACUCCGUCCUGGUUUAUUCCUCAGCAUUGUAAUUUGUGCUAAAUUUUGACCAAAGAUUUAACUGAUAAAAUGUUACUCCCUCCGUCUAGGUGUGUAAGUCAUCCUACGAAAACCAAAUAAUCCCAAAACACUUAGGCGCGGUGCAUUAACUUCUACCUCGUUUCUUGUUUCUUGACAUAUCAACCAAUAAGAGAUAAAGAGUGUGCAUACUUUUAAUGACUUGAGAUAUCAAACACGACAUGCAGUGGUUAGUUCAUUGCAUGCAAUACUAUUAAUUAGCAAAUAAACAUAGUAGUGCAUGUGACAUGCACUAACAUUUCAUUAGUUAAAUUUAUGAUCAAAAUUUGACACAGAUUACAAUGGGGACCAAUAAACCAGGAUGGAGGUAGUAGUUAUGGGAUUACUAAUCUAGAAGCCUAAAAGAACUGGCCCCUGGUACUCCUACUAGUAGUAGUACUCAAGUUGGAAUUCCAAUUGCACGACACAACUUGUUAGGCAAAAAAAUUGAUACAGGGUGUAGGAAGUGGUUUGGGAAUUUGCAUGCCUUUCCAACCAGUGAGAUACUCCGUACAAAGUACGCAGAGAAAUAACCAUAGAGAAGGAAGCUAAAAGUAAACAAUCAAAUGAGCAUUUUUGCAUUUGUUUUGCAAUGAAUUGUUUCACAAGCUUGACUAGUGCUGUUUUUCUACUUUUACAAAAAAAAUGCACCGUAAUGUUAAAAUGUGCAUUUGCACGUACAUAAGUAAUAGUAGUACUCCCUCCGUCUAGGUGUAUAAGUCUUCCCUCCUUCUUGGUCACAGUGCACAACCAAAGAUGACUUAUUGACCUGGACGGAGGGAGUAGCACAGUUUGCAAGCAUAUCUCGAGAGAGACGUGUAGAGCAACAAUAUAUAGUAAAGUUUGUGCUAUAUGCACGUACUUGCAAAAUGCGUACGAAUACACAAGGUUUCCAAACUUUCCCUUUUACAUACUUAAUUAAGGACGCUAAAAAUUCCUGAACGUUCGGGAUUUAUCAUUUGCGUCCCAAAACUAAUGAGAUCGCCUUACGAAACAAAAAUUAUACUCCUCCUAAAAGCCACGGCGCUCGCAGGAGCGCUUGCGGCACGCCACGAGUGCCCUGGUGCGCGGCCGUUUCCCAGCGCGCCGACACAACGCCUCUUCCUCAGCCUCGCAACUCGCGAGGUGCUGAUUGGCGGCUUGCAGGCGGGCGAGCGCGAUCUCACCGGUGUGGUGAUCCGGCACCAACAGGUACUCCUCCUCGCUGGAAGCGUGCACCCAGUCCACGUACCGCCAAGCGUAGAUGAGGCGCUUGGGCACGACUGCAUUCAGGGCGUCGGCACGGGCGUCCUCCGCCACCCUCACGGCCCUCGCACGAGCCUUCUGCCAAAGAGCCAAUUGCCUAACUCUCUCGGACGCGACAUAUGCCUCCCAAGCAGCUUGUUCCAUGGUGCGCUUCUCUUCCUCGGCCUUCUUCUCCGCCUCUAUUUUGGCGCGCUCUGCUGGAGGCAAAGCCUCCCACAAGGCGACAUCAAUUUCUUUCCAAAUCCCCUCAAGGCUGGGGGGCUCGGCGGGCGGCGCGGCAUUCUCCACGUAGCGGGGAGCCAACGCAUCCUCCGACGCGCGUGCUGGCAAGAUUGGGAACACCGAUGCGUCCACCUCGACGCGUCGCGGCGAGGAGCGGAACACCGACGCAUCCUCCUCGACUAGUGGCGGUGAGGAACGGAAGGGCGACGCGUCGCGUCACAGCGAGGGGCGGAACGCCGACGCGUCCUCCUCGACUAGUGGCGGCGAGGAACGGAAGGGCGACGCGUCGCGUAGCAGCGAGGAGCGGAACGCCGACGCGUCCUCCUCGACUAGUGGCGGCGAGGAACAGAACGACGACGGGUGACCGUCUGCGCGGUGUAGCGAGGGGCUCCUAGGGCUUGGGAGGGGCGAUGCCAUGGUGGUCGACGUGAGAGGGAGGGGGAGGAGAUAGCGAUGAACGUGAACAUGAGGGGGAGGAUAUAGCGAUGUCGUGGGAGGCAUAGUAUUUAUAGCGAGCAAUGGCACACCUACGUAAGAUAUGGACUGAGCUGCACUGACUUAACUGUAGGUCCAGUUGCAUCACUGACAUGUGGGCCGGAUCCCUGUUGGGCCCAUAUGUUAGUGACCCAAUGCACCUGUAGUUAAGUAACAUCUACGUGGGCAUAUUUGUUGGAGUAAAUUAUGGGGGAGGGAAGGGGUGGAAAUAUUGCUGGUCACAACGGAUUGGACGAGCGUGGGGGGAGGAGAGUCAUGCAUGCAGAUUUUUUCACAUGGGGUGGAGUGGUGGGACCGCUGGAGGGAGAAGGAGAGUUUGGCAGGCAUAUUGUUUCCACACAUGGAGAGGAAAAUAUUUGGAGACGAACGGGCUUCCUACAGGUAUGGGGAACGGUGCAUAAUAAGUCAUCUUGCAUGCCGGGCUAGGUAUAGUCUCAAGUCAUUAAAAACAUACACGCCCCACACAAGUUCAUAUUUCAAGGUGCACUAAAUUAUUGCAUGCGAUGAUUAAGGCUGGCCAUAAUGGUGGUAUCUUAGCUGGUAUCAUGCACACGGGAAUAGAAAACAUGCUGAUGUGGCAAAUAAUUAAAGAAGAGAGGGGGGUUAGAGUAACUAGUGUUCAUGCAUGCACUGGUAAACACAUUUUUGUGAAUAACGACAACAUUAGUUGAGUACUUUUGCAGACUUCAAAAACUAUUCCGCCGCCUCUACUAUCUUGCUAAGAGUAGGUGAAAAUUUUGAAUCGAGCCCUUUAAACUAGAAGGGAGCUAGUGGUACUCUAAUAGCUAACCUUGUUGUGAUGACAAGAUAGGACAUGGCACGCACCUGGACGGAGGAACUAGUUUGCAUUGUGCAUUUAAGUUUUGUCUGAAGUCAAUGUACCUCAAAUUUCACCAGACUUAUAGAAAAAUGUACUAUCAACAUUCAUAAUGUCAAAUCAAUAUUUUUACACUCAUUAUAAAACGCAGUUCUUAUACUCAUUAUAAUAAGUAUUGUAGAUAUUGAUAUUUUUAGUAUAAAUUUGGUCGUCGGAUUUCAUUGAUGCAUGUCAAAGCAUGGAGGAAGCAGAGCUUAGGUCUUGCAUUGCCGGUCUCUACAUAGGUAUUUUCUCUUCAUAGUCCUGUAAUUUUAGAGACUGAUUAUGCUUUUGUGGUAGUGUCUCUUGCAUCGGGGGACUAUGACAGGUCUGCUAUGCGUGACCUGAAGAUGAAAGCGUUGAGCAUCUCGAAGUUGAUCAACAAUCUUCAAUUGUCAAAGAUUAGCCGUUCGGCCAAUAAGGUGGCACACUUAAUUGCUAAGUAUAGCUUUGACAAUAGAUUAGAUGGUAUUCUUGUAAAUAACGUACCGCCCUGUGUGGUGAAUCAUGCAUGCGGAGUAGGCAAAAAAAUUGCUCAUUUAUAGCCGGUCGAAGUCUCAAAGGGCGCGACCACGCAAGGGAGGCGAAGGUCGUGGGAGGCGCGACAGUUGACGGAAUUAAGUGAAGUUACAUCCUUGCGCAGACAUGGCGUGCAAACAGGCAGAAGCUAUACCGUCAGGCCUACGAUAUGGGUCUAGUAGACAUGACAUCUAGUGGGUCCUGCAUAGUUCUCGAGAACUCUUUGGGGGCUUGCAGCCGUUUAUCCAUCGGGCAAGCCAGCAACCCCACGCCGUUCGCACGCCCUACUCGUCCCCGUCUUCUACCUUACACUAGUUCGCUCCCAGUCGUCCCGUCCUUUCACAUUAGUUCGCUCCCAGUUUUUUUGCGGGGUACAACAGUUCAACUUCUCUUAACCCUCCUCCAAAAUCCUUGGCCUCCCAAAUCUCCAUGGUUGCCGCUGAGUACCAGGUUAGAGCCAUCACCAGCGAUGAGUUCAUCAUCAUCUACACACGUGGAUCUGUGACGAUGAAAGCAUGCCUUGCUCGUUUCCUACGCAUGUUCAACAGUUCAACGGAUGAGUGGGUCGCUGGGCUAGAUGUUGAGUACACCAUAGUCCUGGGAUGAGAGAAGGAUCUAAAGGACGAAGAGAGGAAGAAGCCCGCCAUGAUCCAGGUUUGCAUACAUAACGUUUGCUUGGUCUACCACAUAUGCCAUGCCGACAUUGAGUGCCAAGAUUUUAAGAACUUCCUCAAGGACAACAGAGUGAAAUUCGUUACUGUAGGCUUUAAGAACGACAGGGAUGUCCUGCGUCGCAUAGGUAUCGUUGUAGGCCAGCCCUUCGAUCUCUAGAAGGCAAGCCUGGUGUCCUCCUCUCAACCUUCAAUGCUGACCCUGGCAGCAGCCAUGAUUGAUCCUUCAUAUGCUAAACUGAAGAAACCUCAUCACGAGUUUCAUCAUGCAUGGGAGUCGAAGACAUUAGAUGAAGAUCAUAUCAUGUACGCAUCAAUGGAUGCCUACCUUUGUUUAAAUAUCUACAAGGGUUGGAUGAAGAAGCAGAGCCCAGUGUCCGGUUCAAGCAAAGAAGCAUCAGCGAAGAGGAAGAGGAAGUGGGACGAGGACGAAGUCGAGGACGUGGACUCGGACUCCGAGUAGGUGGCAGUGCCGUCGCUCAUACUGGUUCUACUGCAGUGUCAAGAAGACUAGUAGCUUAGUUUAUUUUCUAGUGUGUGAAGACAUUAGAUGAAGAUCACAUCAUGUACGCAUCAAUGGAUGCCUACCUUUGUUUAAAUAUCUACAAGGGUUGGAUGAAGAAGCAGAGCCUAGUGUCCGGUUCAAGCAAAGAAGCGUCAGCGAAGAGGAAGAGGAAGAGGGACGAGGACGAAGUCGAGGACGUGGACUCGGACUCCAAGUAGGUGGCAGUGCCGUCGCUCAUGCUGGUUCUACUGCAGUGUCAAGAAGACUAGUUGCUUAGUUUAUUUUCUAGGGUGUGUUGUGCUGAGGCCCCAGUAGAACUAUGUUUAUGUUCUUUCUCGUUAUUUGAACUCUUUAGUACAUACAGUAGUACUAGUACUAUGUCUUACUACUGUUCUUCUUGCAGUUGGUACUACUGCUCGUAUCUUCAUUUUCCUACUGUACUUAAUACAUUCGUACUAGUAGUAUAAUUUGGGUCAGUCGAUUUGUGAAAGAAGUUCGACGGAGCGAAGGAAGAAGAUGGCAGAAGAGGUGGAAGAAGCCCUUCUAGCCAUCCAUGUUGCAUCAAAUGGCUCACAAGAGUCGACUGGCCCAAAUUGCUCCUUCAGAUUGCAGGAUCCACGUGGCAUUCAAGGUCUCGAAGGUAGAUUCCGUGUCCGCACCCGGUUUGCGGUCUCGACGCGCGCGUGACCGGCUUCCGCUGCGACAGCCACCAUGCGCGCCUCCUCCGCGCGGGCGGAGACGACAAUGACAUGCUAGUUCCUCCUCGUUGGCGUGCUGGAGCACACGCUCAUCCUCCUCUUUGUAUGCUGCGUGCAUAGACGCGACUCCACUAGUUGCUCGCGUACUUGGCAGCGUGGCGGCAUUGCAAGGAGGGACUGCAGACGACGUGAGCGGGCGAGCCUUCGGCUUCAUGGCACAUGGAUGGCAGCGACACGGUGGUGUUGGGCGAGAAAUUGUUGGCCGGAGCAGGCGGGUGCCGGCAUGCGCAACGGCCGCGGCGGCAUAUUGAUGAGUGCGCGUGUGGGAGCUUACUUUAGUUUUAUAUAAGGUUGGUCAAACUUAAAAGAAAACCAUACUAGUACACGUAAACAUUAGACUUAGGCACCGCUCCUUUUAUUAGUUAGUACCACAACCACGAUAUGGGAUCCUGUGCAGGCGCGUGAACCGCGGUCGAUCGAACGGUGCUUCACCGUGUCGUGCUCGAAGGACAUCCACCGAACCUUUUUUGUGUGUGAAAACAAUCCUCAAAUAUUACUCAACUUUUUUUUCCUGGGAAAGUUCUUGACGCUGCAACAUUUCCAUAUAUUUGAAUUUAGCUUCAGUUCGUGUUUAUUUGGAUUUGGACGUUUUAGGUGCGCCCUAGUUUUUUAUAAUACUGAUUUUGUGUGUGUGUGACUGAGAUAGAACGUGUGUAUGUGUCCAUAUGUGUGUUGUGGCGGAAGGGCAAUGUGGAGACAGUGUGUGUGUGAUACAGACAUAGAGAGGUGUGAAUGUGCAAAUGAUCAUGCAUGAGUGAGACAUAGACAGAUGCCGAUACAUUGUGUAUACAUGAGAGAAUGGUCUUCUAGUUUACUUGUGUGUGUGUGUGUGUGUGUGAGAGAGAGAGAGAGAGAGGAGCAUCCGUAACACAACAACCAUCUCUCUCGAUUCGUCCAUUCCUCGCACGAUCGCAUGCAACACAUGCAUCAACGCGCACAUUUUGACAGCCUCUCCCGGCCCCUGCCCACCUCAAGGCCCACACAAUCUCUUUGUGAAUAUCCAUUUCUCUCCUUAGGUUUGUUUUCUCUCAAUAUCUGACACACACACACACACACAGACAAACACACGCAACACAACACACACACACACCCUCCCACGAGCACACAAUUCAUCCCCAUCCAAGGUUAUACGGCGACCACUCUCGCUUGUGCUUCUUUGCACCCCAACAUGCACAACACCUCAAUCUUCAAAGAGGGCAUCGAGCAGAUCGAAGAUGGCGACCACACCGCGCUAGAGAAUGCAGGGUCAUUUGGAAGCAGGGUGAUGUGACGACGGCUGACUGACUCCUCCCCCCACCCUCUCUCUCUCUUGCACAAAAUUACCAAUCCCUCGCUCCCCCGCACAAAAUUGUCAAUCCCUCAACCCACGAGAUCCUUCCCCUCUCGUCCAUGUUUUUCCAGCUCUCUCAUAAAACAUGUUGUCUCUUCUCCUUCCACGUAUACAGAUUCCGGAUGCACACGCAUCUCACGUAUAUUACAUGUCUCCAUCUUUCUCACAGACCUAACUUCUUACUCUCUCUUUCUCUCUCUCUCUCUCUCUCUCUGUCUCGUUAGGUUUGUCUCCUACUCUCUCAUCCACAUACAUACAAUAUUUCCCGCCAUAUAUGCUCCAUCUUCAAAAGCUCUCUCUGCACGUUUCAUUCACACAUUGGGAUAUGUCAAAAUGUUGCUUCUAUAAUGGCGGAUGUAGAGUUAUGGUUGUUUUUGUUGCAUCCUACAAAGUAAUAACUAUGAAAUGCAUUUAGAUUCUCAUUUGACUAGGAUUAUGUGAGUUUGAGCAUGUUGUGAAGUACUAUAGACCUUGUAUACAUCUUGGGAUUCAACAAUGAUUGUAACUAUUGAAUUGUAUAGACCAUUACAUUCAUAGUCAAUAGCCUAAUAUAUUUAUUUCACAAUUUCAACAAAUGAUUAUUUCACUACAACUAAGAAAACAAAUGUGUAAUCCCUCCGUUUUUAUUUAAGUCCGCGUAUUAGCAUUGGUCAAAGUCAAGUUUUGUAAACUCUCAGAAAGCUUAUAACAAAAAAUAUUAACAUAUACAAUAACAAAUAAAUACCAUUAGAUUCAUUAUUGAAUGUACUUUCACAUCAUACAUAUUUGUUAUGGUAAAUGUUUAGAUUUUUCUAUAAACUUGGUCAAACUUUAGGAAGUUCGACUUCGGUCAAACCUAAUAUGCAGAGUUUACUACUACUACUCGCUAGUUGCUUAGCCGAAUCACUCAACGCGCCACACGGGGAGUCCAGUGUCACAAAAUUUUGAGGUCGGCGGGAAAAUCUCCUGCGACCCUGAAUAGAGCAGUGGGAAGUUACCAUCAUAGCCUUCGGAACAGGCCUACGGAUGACGCUUGGUAGGGGGCUGUUUUCGUAACUUCAGGUUCACCCUACCCAGCCAACCCCACCCUGGCACCCAGAGUAGUACACCUGAAUACUCCCCAUUUUCUAUCCCCACCGCAAAAUAGACUUCUCCAUGGCACCGCAGCCUUCGUGCUCCUCCCCCCUUACAUCGGCGCACUCGUCCACCGCAGCGCAUCUGCCUCUUCGACGAACUCGUACGCCGCACUGGAGCCGGUCCACCGUCGUCGUCGUACACGGAGCCUCUUCCCCGGCAUCGUCUUCCACGGUCUCGGAUCUGCUUCCCGGAAGCCGACGCCAAGCGCAGAAGUACCACCAUCGUGGACAAUGAACUGACUCCCGUUGCCGACCAUGACUCACAGAGGCCAUCGCGACCAUCAUUCUCCUCCUCGAUUGGUAAUGUGUCUAUUGAAUCACUUAGUAGUACAUGUGCAGUUCCAAUUUUGUUCAUACCUACCCUUCAAAUUUCCUGGGUGCUAUUGUUCCUAUAAAAGUAAUUGGUUAUAGCCUCCAUUGUCCAACAGAAUAUCAACUUGUAAUUGUGCGUCGCUCCUGUAUCACGCUGUGCUUGGGUAGGUUUUUCAUCUGCAACCAGUAGUGUGGCAAAUGAUGGAAAUGUUUUUAGAACUAGCAAGAUGCCCAUGCGUUGCAUGCAUCAAGAUGCAUUUGUAUGAGUAGUUUAUAUUGUGGGAGAAAAGGAUGAACGAGGGAAGGCCUUAUUUGCAAAUCUGGAGAGGGGUAUGGGUAUCUUUUUGCAAAAUUCCAAUUUGUUUCCUUCCUAUCUGUCAGAUAUAAAUCGGACGACCUAUAUUGCAAGAAAAAAAGUAUAGAGAAAAAAAGUAGACAGUAGAGAAGUAGAGAUAAAUAUUAAAUAUUAAGUAUAAAAUAAAUAUAACGGUAGAGAAGAGAGUAGAGAUAACAGAGAAGUCAGGAAAGGAUCACGCACGCGGGGGAAAAGCGGCCGGGCAUGCUAGUUUUGGCGCGCGGCAUCCGGCGCGCUUUAUAAAAUCCAACGCCCUCCCACCGCUCUGUGCCUUGUCACCGCUCUCUCCCCGCUCUGUGCCUCGCCACCGCUCUCUCCCCGCUCUUUUUCGCCUCGCCGCCGCCGCGCCACCAUGCCGCCGCAUCACCGGGAAACUUGGGGAUACCGCGACGUCCGCGUGCACCCCUCCGGUGGCUUCUCCGCCAAGAUCCGGUUCCGCGGGAUGCGCCUCGGCCUCGGCAAUUUCAACACCGCUAACGAGGCCGCCCGCGUGUAUGACGCGGCGGUGUGGCGCCUCCGGUAGCCUCAUAGAACAUUGAACUUCCCCAACGUGCCGACGCGGGAGUGGGCGCAGGAGCUCGCGCCUCUGCCGCGGCUUAUCACCGACGAGGAUCGUCGCGACAACCGGAGGCGGGAGCACCGUCUCGGCAUUGCCGAGAUGGACGAGGAAGCCAUGGUGCUGUGGCGCCAACACUUCCCGCAGGACAUCAUCAACGAGCGCGAGUUCUACGCGCAAAGGAGGGCGGAGAGGGAUAAGAGGAGGGUGGUGCGAGCCGCCUAUCGCGAGGACAAUCGUAGGCGAAAAGCGGACACUCAAUUCAACAUGAGGUUAGGAGCAGCGUCGUCCUGGGAAUCCGACGACGAUCGGUAUCUUCACGCAUACAGUCAGACGUUGGAGGAGGACAUCACCGAGGAGGAGUCGGACGACGAGGCGUAGUUGAGUUAUCAUUUUUUAUCUAUCUAUGCUGAGAACUAUCCUCUUCUCUCUAGUCUCUACUUCUCGAUCUCAGCACUGUAAAUGCUUUUUUAAAGUACCACGCAUAGCGAUACUGUUGGAGAUGCUCUAACAUGGCAGACGAGUGCUUUAAUGUUGCCCACAAGAUGUGCGAGUAUUACUAGUAGUAUAUUUUUCUUGCCAUGUUGAGAUUUUAAAACCACGAGUGCGAACAUGCAGAGGAGCAAUGAAGACCAAACACGGGAUAUUCGGGACAUCUUCAAGGAGCAUGGCAAGUUAAAGAGGAGCUGCACCGAAUCUAUAAAACAAGCUUUGGUAAGUAACACCCUUUCAAUUACUUUCGUUUAGCCUUGUGUUCUUCAAUGUGUAUAUGUUGUAGUUUCUGUUUCUCUUAAGCGUGGUGUUCUUCGAUGUGUAAUAAGAAGAGUCUUAAUCGUCCUAAUACUUUCGUUUUUAGCUUGAUUUAGGAAGUGGGUGUUCUCACCUUGUAGUCUGUUUUUAUAUUUUUUUUACUUUUGAAUUCACUUCUCCGAGUUAUGUUUAUCUGGAUUCUACUAAAUGGAUCUAGGUUGCUCUGAGUAUUGAUCUAAAAAAGAAGUAACUUCAUGUCAGGAUGCAGUUCCUACGAGGAGGGAAGUAUGGUCAACCUCGAGAUCAUGUUUCCAGAAUGAGGCUGGAUUACACACAAGGUGCCACUUCCCUAAUGAUGCUGGAUUAGACACAAGGUGCAAAUUCCCAGAUGAUGCUGGAUUACACACAAGCCAGGUGGAGUCGUCGGCUGUUCAUGUCCUCGUGGCAUUAGUAAAGGCUGAAAGAAAGCAUGCAACAGCCCUUGAGAAUGUAGAUGAGUUCUUGAAGAAGCAAAAAGAGCAAUCAGAUGCUCUCUUCACCCAAGCCAAAGAAGAGAUGGAAGAAGCCAGAAAUAAGCUAGCAGAGCAGAGCAGGCUAGGUGUCUCCUGCUAUCUAAAACUUUUGUCAAUACAAAAUUCCCUUCAUCAUAGCUAGGUUCAAAUGUUUAUCCAGUCAGCAUGCCUAUUGUGAUGUCCGUGCAUCUACUGAUGUGGCACAAAAUGUUUUUUUCCGGGUCAUGUAAUAACAACAAUUACUUUCCAAACAAUAACAGACGAAGCAUUGGACAUGGUAUAGUUCACGCGCAAGCCCGACAUUCCAAGUUCAACUUCCACAUCAAACUCAAGUUCACAGAUAUCUGCACAUUCAUACAUAAUGUCCACAACCAUGAUUCACUUCAAAGCAAAAAAAUGUGAGGAGAAUUAUAAAUAAAGAAAAACCUCUACUAGUUCCUGCAACCAGUGCGAGCACAACAAGUCAAGACCAUGCGUAAAUUAAUUAUAUUUUAGUCAUUUUUGUGUUCUAAAAUGCCUACCGGCUCGCGGAAGGACGUGUUGUCGGCACACGCGCGGAUUCAAUGAAGGCAGGCGGGGCAGUCUUAAGCUGGUUGCACGCGGCGAGGAGGUGUGCUCAGCCGGGACUGCAGCGAGUGCGGCCCUCUUGGCCGGCGCGCCGGUUCAAUGCCUGCGCUAUGAGAGGUCACGUUCGUGUCAGAGCAAUCACUCCCUCCAGUUCUUUUUGUUUGGGUAUAACAAAAUCUCGUUUUCCAUUCACAUUUUACAAGUAAAAUUCGUGGAUAAACUUUGACCCAAAGUAUGAUGGGGACUAGUAAACCAGAAUGGAGGUAGUAGUUUUUCUAAUCAAAGAAGAGUUUCUCCUUCCGAUUUUCAUUACUGAAAACCAACAUCUAAAUCUAAACCAUAGUAUUUUCCCUAGAACUACCAGGUUCAACAUCUCGCAACAUAAACCCAUACAACCAUACGCCAAGGAGGUACAUAGUACUAUGAAUUCCAUUUUCGCUCCAUACCAAUCGUUCUAAAAACUAGUUACUACUUAUAACGCACCAUUGAAAAUCAGAACUCUUAACCCCACUAAAAAAGAUAUUUUAAAUGUGGCUACUCGAUCUGUGGCAAUUGGCGAGCCACCGCGCUCCAAGUCGUUCACCUGUGGUCCCGACCAUCAACUCCUACGGAUCAAAUUAUCACGCGAGCUGACUAUUCCUACAAAGGUGCCCCACCACGUACCCGGUACCCUCGAAUGCAGCAAUCGUGCACCUAGGGUUUUAGGGUUUAUUUGUUAACAUCGCCUUUACGUAACACUCAUGUGUGCGAGACAGCGAGAGGUCGACUGCGUGCGUGCACCUCUUCUCUUCGUAUAUGUACUCCACCGUUUGUCUAGUGUCUACAGGAGAGAGAGAGAGAGUAAUUUUAGUGGUAUGGGUCAUAUCUAGAGACAUAUAGGGUGUGUGAGAGAAUCCCAUAGAGAGAAAGACAAAGUGAAAGACGAGUGGAGACUGUGUGUGUGGCGGUGAAAAAGAAAGCUUAGGUACCGAGUGAUACCAGAGAAUAGUAGAGACGUGAGAGAUAAUGAAAACCGUGUAAUGUAUAAUGAUAGGGAGGAGUGUGACACUUCUCAAGGGAGACGUCGAGAGACCAUGUUUGCGAGGAUAGGAGAAACAUGAAGUGAGUGUGCGGGUGAGCUGGAGAAAAGAGAGUGAUAGCUACCUGAAGGAGCAUGCAUGCGAGAGAGUUGGGCAUGAAAGGAGUGAACAUAAAAGGGAUUCAAAUAUUUGAAUUUGAGAUGAUGAUACAUGUAACCCAUACUCGAACCAAAAUUGAUCUAUCAAACAUUCAUACUCAUAUGAAUUCACGCACAUCUAUGUUAUUUAAUAUCUAGAUAUUACUGAUCCAUACAUUUUAGUAGAACAUAAUUUGGUUAAUUUUUUCGAAUUCAACCUUAAGAUUUUGAGAUAGUUGUAUUUGUAAAUCAUAUUAUACAUAUAAAGGAGCAGAAUUCUUUGUUGUGCUUUUGAAAGUAUAUAUAAAAAAUGAUGUAUAUAGAAUGCAAUUCCAAUUGAAAAUGGAUCCGGCCCAAAAAAAUAGAAUACAAACGGGAUUCGAAUUGAGUUGGCACGAGCGUAAACGUGCACUCUGCAAAAUUUGAACGAAGUGGGGAAAGUCGCAGUAACCGCCCAAAACCAAAAUCUGCGAGAUGGAAAUUACUACUGCCUAUCCCUGCCACGCAAAGCCUAUCUGCUGGAUUUCUAUAGGUUUCGAUAGGGGUAGGUUUGUAAUUUCACCCAAAUGUGACGUAACCGCCUCUCACCCGGAUUCAUACACGGUGGGCGCCAAAACACAGUGUGUCCUCGGCCGAAAUUGACUCCCUCCCCGAUUCAUAUUCAUAUACACGGUGGGCGCCAAAAACAAACUCUCUUCGGCAAAUAUUUGGUGUAUGCGAGAUUACCGUCCUAUCCCCAACUGACUAAUGUUGCUGUGAUGUAGUAGAAAUUUGAAACGGGGGCUAAGUUUGUAAAUUUCCUCGCAUUUGAGACAAGCGCACCCUGAAUACAUGGUUCCCCCCUUCCUCUCUACCUCCCUUUUCCCCAUUCAUACUCCGUGGGUGCCAAAACACCCUCUCCACCCCACCCUCCUCCGUCCGCCGCCGCCCGCCACCCCAUCCACCGCCGUCCUCCUCCACCAUGCCGGAGCUGAUACGCCGACGCCGCCGUCCAUUACAAGAGAUCAACCUCUCUCAUCCAUGGCUUCGGACCGGGAUCCUUGCAUCCCGUCCUCUCACUUCAUCCCCGCCGUCGUCCACCUUGCCGGCGCCGCUCCUACGACCGUCUCGUCCACCGCGCCCCGCCGCCACCGUCUACCCUCCUAGAUCUGGUUCCACGCUGCCGACAGCCAUUGCUACCGCAACACCAUCAAAUUCUUAGCAGAUACGUACACGGCGCCGCACUAGAGGCGGUACUCUUUCGUAUCUGCUCAACUUAUUUAUCGCAGCAAGAAAAUAGAUCGCCACUGCUUUACUCUGAUUUCUUGUCUUGGUUGCGAAGUUGCCUUUGUCCGGUUUGCACCUUCAGAUCCACCAUGGCACGCUCAACACUAUACUCCCAAUGCUUAUGGUUUUCCCCUUUUAUAUUCCACACUAGUUAAAUCAUAGACUAAAUUUUUCAGAGCUCGCCGGAGUUUGCCGGUGCGAAUGAAGGGGCUCGGGUGGUUGUGGGGCCUCGCCAAACAAAGAAAACUCGACGCGGGUGGGGAUUGGGGCGGGGGUGGGAGUGGGGGUGGGGGUGGCGGAGGAACACGGGUGGUGGGGGCCGGUGGUCCGGCCGACGGCCCGUGCAGUGUUCUGUAUGGGAAGAAUCAGAGACGAGGAAGAAUAUGGGUUAGGAGACGUAGGAUCUUCAUCCAACCGCCUGAAAUGGUCGAGAGACAGCUGGGAGUUGCAUUCUUAAUGCGCUCUGGUUCAUCAUGUGUGGGCACUGCGCAACCAACAUUUUAUUAUCCAAAAUCUGCUUGCUCUUCUUUACCAUGUUCCUCUUCCGUUCUUUAAUAUGUACUCUCUCCGUUCCUAAAUACAAGUCUUUGUAUAGAUUCCACCAUGGACUACAUAUGGAGCAAAAUGAGUGAAUCUACACUCUAAAAUGUAUCUGGAUACAUCUAUAUGUGAUCCAUAGUGGAAAUCUCUACCAAGACUUAUAUUUUGGAACAGAGGGGGUUUGAUUGUAGUACAGUAUGUUCCUUGUACUGAAGAUGAGCAGGGACAUUUGUAGUGUAGAGGUCUAUACGGUCGGUUGUGAUGGACACUUUGAGCCUCUUUGAUUCGUAGGAUCUUGUAAACAUAGGAAUAGGAUUUGUAGUGGCCUACCCACUUGAAUCCUAUAAGAAUAGCAAGGAAAUGUGGAGAGCUUUGUCGCCUUUGAGAGUUACACUGAUAUUAACAAUACCGCACCUUCACUUGAAGAGAGGUGGUAUCCGAAGCCUUUCUAGCCGUACCGGCAAACUAGCACAUAUAUUCCAGCAAGUUCCACUUUGCUGAUUUUACUCUGAUGCUUAAGGUUUUCCCGUUAUAUCUACACUAUGAUCUGUGUAGCUGCUUUGUGUCGCACUAGCAGCAGUCCACUCUUGAAGCUAAACACUGCAAUGACUCACAAAAUUGGCACCAAGGCAUUGUGUGCCAUUCUAGAUGCAAUGAAACUCAUACACUCCCCACCUUUUGACUCUUGUUCAGAAUAUGAUCCUAAUGACUCUUUUUCAAAAUUGCCAUAUAUAGAGAGAUAGCAUGGAAUUGCAUUUCUUUGGGCGCUAUGAUUCAUCAUGAGUGGGCAACCAACAUUGUACGCAAUGAAGUGGAACAUCAAGAAUAUGCUUCCUCUUCUGUUCUUUAACAUGUUCCUCUUUGUUUAUUCUGUAUUUAGUACGUACAGUAUGUUCCUUGUCAGGAAGGGGCGCAGGGACAUCUGCAGUCAACAGCUGAUAGAGCUGGCCUGUACGUGAUCGAUAGGCUUUCAAUUACUAGCGGCAAUACAACACCGUAUUUUCAAGUCAGUUCCACAUUCCCGAUUUAUAUAUCGUGGUUAUGGUGUACCCCUGUUAUGUACACUAUGCUCUGCCUAGUUGCUGUGUGCUCUUGUUAUCAUGGUUUGACAAUAAACUCUCUAUACAGUAUAUUAUGAACCUGUCAUCUGCCAGCUAUCCUUACUUCUGGAGCCUAUUUUUUGUGUACUUGUGCCAUAUUAUAUAAAUGCACGCACUAUAUUACAGCACACAUGAGCUAUCUCAUCAGAAUCCAGUGAUAUCACACAAGUGUUUAUAGGGGCGCCCCUAUAUUAGAAUAUCAUCUGCAUUACAAAGAUAAUCUCACAACUAUUUGUGUUUUCAUGGUUCUCAGAUAUUAUACGGAAUUACAGUGAAUAUCAGAAUCCGCGCAUCAGAAGAAUAUUGUGGAACACUGCAAUGACUUACAAAAUUGGCACCAAGGCAUUGAGUGCCAUUCUGGAAGCAAUGAAACUCAUACGCUCCCCACCUGUUGAUUCUUGUUCGGAAUAUCAUCCUAAUAACUAUUCUAACCUCGAGGAGUCAAAGGCAGAUGGCCUGUCCUGUUCACCCAUCAAGGUGCCUGUUCUAAUUUGGCAAGGUUUAUUGAUUGCGCGUAUCUUGCAUAUGUUGUCUUGCAUUUCUUCUACUUUGUUGCACCGCCAUCCACUUAGUUUACUCAUCAUAUACGUCGAGAUGCCAUGCCCAUCCAUUAUCAAUAAAUAUUCCAUCUGUCAUCAUACCAUGUUUUUUCACUCAAAUGUUGUUCUUGUGCAUCAGAUAUCAAAAAGGAAGAGGGUGAUUGCCGAACCCGAAGGAGCACCAGCAUGGUCCUUGAAGACCGUGGUGGUGCCGGAGAAAUCAGACAAUGCCCCACUUAUAUUGGCUGUACAACCAGUGACACAAAACGUAGGACCGACUCCAGCAGACUGUACCCAUACUUCACUGGCCACACCACUAGCCCCACCACACAGGACCUGCACUCCAGCAAAAGGCAUAUCGAUUUCAUUUGCCAUAGCACCAGCCGUACCACAGAAAAAUCCCACUCCAGCAAAAAGUACAGCAAGUCCACCGGCUGAAGACCUAUCCCAACUGCAGAGACGGCCAAUUCCUACAGAUUGGAACCCCAUUCCAUUUGUUCCCAGUUUAAAAUACAAUGCUUUCAAUGUUGUUAGGGACUAUGUGCAUAUAUUCCCAUCAUGGGAAGAUUAUAGUGAAGACAAACACCAUUUUCACAUAUUCUUGUCCAACUUACGUGUAAGUGCUAUUAUUCAUGGUUAUUAUUUUCCUGUUUUCUGCUGAUUGAACACAUCAAUGAUUUACAUUACGUUGUUGUAACUAGGCGAGGGUCAAUCUGGAUAGUCAUGACGAGCAAGGCUUGCUUGUGCUUUUGAAGGAAGCAUUGCAGCAGUAUCGGUGUUACCUGAGGAAAUCACACUUUGAUGGCAAGUCUAUAAACGAAUUUCCGGUGAAGUCUCUUGUGCUAAAUUUAGAAGACAUUGAAUGGAAAAACCUUGUUAUGCACCGGUCUCGUUCCCAGGAUGAGGUACUGUCUAUGAAAUCACAUGUCAAUUUGAACUUCUACUUUUCCGCAUGUGCCUUACGGAUCUUUUUUGCAGGAAAUCUGCUCGAAGAAGAAUUCUGGUUUGAAAAGAACGAAAGGAUAUCGCAAAUAUGCUGCCCGUUGCUUUGCUCUUGUUAGUACCUAUUGUCCUGUAUCACUGUACUUGCAUAUGUACCUGGUUCAUUAUGUGACAGCAGUAUGCAUGAUAGCUUUCUUAUCAAUUGUUCGCUCCAAAUUAUCUGAUCUAUAUGAAUGGUUACAUUAGUGUAGAAUAUAUCCAAUGCCAAUGAAUUUUUUUAGCUCUACAUUGUUCUUGUAAGUACAUGUUGUCCUUUAUCAGUGUACUUAUAUUGACAGGUAGUUGUUCAUGUACCUUCACUCUGCAGCUUAUUUUCCUUUGCCCUCCAUUUUCUACACAUCAGAUCUAUAUUUACUCUUACCAUAAGGUUGGUACUGAAGAAGUUUAGCUGUGCAUUGCUCUUGGUUGUGCCUUUUUCCUGUAUCGCUGCACAUACAUUUAUAGCUACUUGGUUAUGUAGCAUCACUCUUAAUCUUAUCUUAAAUAUUCUCCAUUUUUCGUAUAUUAUCACAUCUAUAUAUACUCUUAACAAAAUGUAGAAUAAAGGCAAUGCUUAUGAAGAAGAUUUUGUGGUAAACUUCUUGAAUUGCCCCCCAUCAGCAUGGACAAGGGCUUUAUAGAGCCUGUCUUCACCAGUAAUGUAAGUUUGUCCUUCUCAAGCCUUCAAACUUUGUUGUGUAUAUUUGGUUAGGCAUGAGUGCAACAGCUGUUUAUUUUUGGUGUUUGCAUCAAAUUGCAUGUUUAAAGUUUAUUAUGUAGUUCAUAAACAAAAGUUUGUCCUUCUCAAUUUAAGUUUUUAGUUGUACAACCAAGUUCCUUCUUCAUGCCAUGUAAAUUAAACUAUACAGAGCAAGUGAUCUUCUUUUGCACUGCAUGUAUGCUUCUGUUCUUCAUCCGUAAUCUAGUGGUGUGGUGAAUCUACCCACUACAGCACAAUGUCAUAUUCCAAUGUCUUAACUAUGAACAAUGUCAUAUCAUUCUACUAUUAUUUAAACCGUCUCUUUAUUUGCCAAUCUGAAAUGGGAUAAAUUGACAGCACACUAACCAUUGAUACUUAUGAGUUCUUGAUAUGUAAUACAGUGGUGUCGUGAAGCUGCCAUCUCCUUCACAAUGUCAUUUCCUGCCAUGUCUUGACCUGAACAAUACCAUAUUGUGUUAAUGCAUUUUUUAACUGUGUCACUUUAUUCGUCAGUAAGAAAUGUGAUGAAUUGUCAGCACUGAUACUUUUAUGUGCAAAACCUGUCAUCUGUCUGCUUGUUUAUCUUUUAGAGUGAGGAAGAUAUAAGUGUUGAACAAGCGUAGUCUCAUCAUCUUGCUCAGGUGCUUGCGCUGCAGCUCGCCAGCAGGGCUAACCUUUCUUGAACUCUAUUGAAGUGCUGUCGGUUUUGUAUAUUAUUUUGUUGGCGUGUUUAUUUGCACUGGUGGCGAUAUUUGAUGCCCAGUGUAUGUAAUCUGCUGUCUGCUUGUGCUUUAUUACCAUAGUGGCGAAUUUUGAUGCCCAGUGGAUGUAAUAUGCCGUAAUUUCUUUAUUGUAUAGUCUAGGUUUUUUCUUAUUCACGAUGCUAUAGUUAUUUUCCUGUAUAUAUAUCCUGUCUUCGCAGUAAAGCGGCCAAACCGUAAAAUUACGGUACAUAAUCGGGCCGUCAUGCAAUCACGAUGUAUGAUCCGCAUCAUGGGCCCCGUCAAACUGGCCCACUAGUAGAUUCGGGCCUUUAAUAGGCCGAGUAACCCCCGGUCCUCUUUUCGCAAGAGAACUCAAUGGGCUUUUAGGAGGCUGAGAAGUAGGUUGGGCCUGAAACAUGCCGAACAGCUCACGGCCCAGAAGCAGCCCGAAUUGGACCCCGACUCAUGAUUGUGCGAAUCAAAUCACGGGCUUUUAACAGGCCAAAAUUGUCUCGGUCCUUGUUUGUCCCAAUAAGAUAUCGGCUGCGAGCAGGCCGGACGCAAACCGGGUCGUAGUUAGGCCCAACUAUAUGACGGGCUUUUAACAUGACGAAAUUAAUAUAGGGCAAAAAUGUUAAACGGGCCCUUAACCGGCCGAAACUAAUAUCAGGCCGAAUUACUAAAUGGGCCUUUAGCAAGUGGGCCCAAAAGCAUAGCGUCAAGUUAACGGGCCGAAUCUGAUAUGGGCCAUAAUUGAGGCCGAAGCCUCUUAAAGGGCUGGACCUGAUCUGGGUUGUGAUUUGUCCCAGAACGUGGGAGGCUUUUAACGGGCCGGAUCUCAUAUGGGCCAUUAUUAGGCCCAGAACGUGGCAGGCCAUUAAUGGACUGGAUCAAAUAUGGGCCGGCAUUUGGCCCAAAACAUGACAGCCAGUUAAUGGGUCGGCCUACUAGGGUCCUCAAAAUCUUGUGGGCCUACAGUUGGGCCGGCCCAUUAGUGUCGGCGAAAUCUCGUGGGCCUUUAGCUGGGCCGGCCCAUUAUGAUCCGCAAGAAUUUUGUGGGCCUUUACCUGGGCCGGCCCAUUAUGGCACACAAAAAUCUUGUGGGCCUUUACCUGGGCCGGCCCAUUAUGGGCCACGAAAUCUUGUGGGCCUUUAGCUGGGCCGACCCAUUAUGGUCCGCAAAAUCUCGUGGGCAUUUAGCUCGGCCGGCCCAUUAUGGUCCACAAAAUCUUAUGGGCGUUUAGUUGGGCCGGCCCAUUUAAACUUGAUGGGCCGUCCCAGGUGUCGACGUAUCAUAGGCACCUUCUGUCCAAUGAGUGGAUGACAUCUGUCCCAACAAUGAGCCGACACGUGUUUCCUCCAGCCAAUGAUGAUUUUACACGUGGAAAAUCCCCAUUGGUCGGGGCUGUUAACGGGUUAUCGGAUCCAAAACCCGACCCGAUAGCUUAACGGCGUUCCGUUACGGUGGAUGCCACACGUCGGUCACCCUUGACGAAAGCACUUCUGUGACACACGAUUUAUCGUCAUGGAGGUGGACACUUCCGUGAUGAUAAUUUUGGUAAUGUCAUGGAACACUUCUACGACAGCACAUGUAUGACUAUCUUGAUUCUGUCAUAAAUUUGUCAUGGAUGUACAUGCAUGACAGAAAACGCGACCUACUAUCACAAACAAGUAUAAUCACAGAAGUGUAUUUUUUUGUAGUGUUGGUAAUUUGAUAAGAGACAUCAUGGUAUGCACCACAUCCAAUAGGGUGCAGCUAUGAUGUUCGGACACACCAUCACACUAUGGUGUUCCAGGCGGUAUUAGUUGUGAAACAAUUACCACAAUGUCUUAAUUGUGUACCAAACACGUAACUUAGAUAUUCAUCUCUAUGAUCAUAUCAUAGACAUUUUAUCCUCUUGUCACGGUGAUCUUCAACUUCACUCUGAAAUUACUUGAACCUUUCAAUAAUUCAGACUUGUGUUUCAUCAAGUAAAUAUACUUAGCAUCUACUCAAAUCAUCUGUGAAGUAGGAACAUAACGAUAUCCACUACGUGCCUCAGCACUCAUUGGACUGCACACAUCAAAAUGUAUUACUUGCAACAAGUUGCUUUCUAGUUCCAUCUUACUAAAAACGAGGCUUUUCAGUCAUCUUGCCCAUGUGGUAUGAUUUGCAUGUCUCAAGUGAUUCAAAAUCAAGUGAGUCCAAACGAUCCAUCUGCAUGGAGUUUCUUCAUGUGUAUACACCAAUAGACAUGGUUCGCGUGUCUCAAUCUUUUCAAAAACGAGUCAGUCCAAAGAUCCAUCAACAUGGAGCUUCUUCAUGCGUUUUAUACCAAUAUGACUCAAAUGGCAGUGCCACAAGUAUGUGGUACUAUCAUCACUAUCUUAUAUCUUUUGGCAUGAACAUGUGUAUCACUACGAUCGAGAUUCAAUAAACCAUUCAUUUUAGGUGCAAGACCAUUGAAGGUAUUAUUCAAAUAAACAGAGUAACCAUUAUUCUCCUUAAAUGAACAAUCGUAUUGCGAUAAACAUAAUCCAAUCAUGUCUAUGCUCAAUGCAAACACCAAAUAACAAUUAUUUAGGUUUAACACCAAUCCCGAUGGUAGAGGGAGCAUGCGAUGUUUGAUCACAUCAACCUUGGAAACACUUCCAACACAUAUCGUCAUCUCACCUUUAGCUAGUCUCCGUUUAUUCCGUAGCUUUUAUUUCGAGUUACUAACACUUAGCAACUGAACCGGUAUCUAAUACCCUGGUGCUGCUAGGAGUACUAGUAAAGUACACAUUAAUAUAAUGUAUAACCAAUAUACUUCUGUAGACCUUGCCAUCCUUCUCAUCUACCAAGUAUCUAGGGUAGUUCUGCUUCAGUGACCGUUCCCCUCAUUACAGAAGCACUUAGUCUCGGGUUUGGGUUCAACCUUGGGUUUCUUCACUAGAGCAGCAACUGAUUUGCUGUUUCAUGAAGUAUCCCUUCUUUCCCUUGCCCUUCUUGAAACUAGUGGUUACUAACCAUCAACAAUUGAUGCUCCUAUUUGAUUUCUACUUUCGCGUGUCCCGAAUAGCUCAAGGAUCAUCAUAUCUAUCCCUGAUAUGUUAUAGUUCAUCACGAAGCUCUAGUAGCUUGGUGGCAGUGACUUUGGAGAACCAUCACUAUCUCAUCUGGAAGAUUAACUCCCACUUGAUUCAAGCGAUUGUAGUACUCAGACAAUCUGAGCACAUGCUCAACGAUUGAGCUUUUCUCCCUUAGUUUGCAGGCUUAAGAAACUUGUCAGAGGUCUCAUACCUCUUGAUGUAGGCACUAGCCUGAAAUCCCAAUUUCAGUCCUUGGAACAUCUCAUAUGUUCUAUGACGUUUCAAAACGUCUUUGGCGCCUCAAUUCUAAACCGUUUAUCAUUACGCACUGAACUAUCAUGUAGUCAUAAAAACAUGUAUGUCAGAUGUUCGCAACGUCCACAAACGACGCUCGAGGUUCAGCACACUGAGCGGUGAAUUAAGGACAUAAUCCUUCUGCAUAGCAAUGAGGAUAAUCCUCAGUUUACGGACCUAGUCCGCAAAAUUGCUACUGUCAACUCUCAACUAAAUUUUCUCUAGGAACAUACCUAAAACAGUAGAACUAAAGCGUGAGCUACGACAUAAUUUGCAAAGACCUUUUGACUAUGUUCAUGAUAAUUAAGUUCAUCUAAUCAAAUUAUUUAAUGAAUUCCCACUCAGAUAGACAUCCCUCUAGUCAUCUAAGUGAUACAUGAUCCGAGUCAACUAGGUCAUGUCCGAUCAUCACGUGUGUCACGCCCAAUAUGUGACCCUAUCCAAAAGGAACUCGAAGGUCCCACCAAGGAUAGACUCGCAUAUUGAAACGCUUUUGCAAGGUGGAUAUCAUUACAUCAACAUUACAUAAUAGAUGGGGAUACAUACAUAAGGCAUACAAUGCCACACGAAUAUAACAUCACAAUACAUAAGAGCAUCAUCCGACUAUGGAUGAAACACAAACAGAAACUCAAACGACAUCCACCCUGCUAGCCCAGGCUGCCGACCUGGAACCUAUCCCCUGAUCGAGGAAGCAGAAGAAGAACUCAACGCAAGCAAGCAUCGCUCUCGCGUCAUGAUCAUCGCAUAAACCUGUACCUGCAACUGUUGUUGUAGUAAUCUGUGAGCCAGGAGGACUCAGCAAUCCCAUUACCAUGGGUAUCAAGACUAGCAAAGCUUAAAGGGAAAGGAAGGGGUAAAGUGGUGAGGCUGCAGCAGCGACUAAGCAUAUAUGGUGGCUAACAUACGCAAAGAAGAGCGAGAAGAGAGCAAAAGGAACGGUCGUCAACUAGUAAUGAUCAAGAAGUGAUCCUGAACUCCUACUUACGUCAAACAUAACCCAGAAACCGUGUUCACUUCCCGAACUCCGCCGAGAAGAGACCAUCACGGCUACACACAUGGUUGAUGCGUUUUAAUUCGGAUCUGGUGUCAAGUUAUCUACAACCGGACAUUAACAAAUUCCCAUCUGCCUAUAACCGCAGGCACGGCUUUCGAAAGAUUAUACCCUGUAGGGGUGUCCCAACUUAGCCCAUGAUAAGCUCUCGCGAUCAAUGAAGGAUAUACCUUCUCCCAGGAAGACCCGAUCGGACUCGGAAUCCCGGUUUACAAGACAUUUCGACAAUGGUAAAACAAGACCAGCAAAGCCGCCCGAUGCGCCGACAAUCCCGAUAGGAGCUGCACAUAUCUCGUUCUUAGGGCAACACUGGAUAAGCGAAGCAUACAGGAACCGAUGUAACCCAAGUUGCCAAGGGAUGGCCCCGCACGGUGCUCUAGUUUGGACCAACACUUAGACAAGCACUGGCCCGGGGGGGCUAUAAUAAAGAUGACCCUCGGGAUGUGCGACUCCCAAGGGAAAAAGGGGUAGGUGAGGCAAAUGGUAAAACCAAGGUUGGGCCUUGCUGGAGGAGUUUUAUUCAAAGCGAACUGUCAAGGGGGUCACAUAAAUCACCCGACCGCGUAAGGAACGCAAAAUCCGGGAACAUAACACCGGUAUGACGGAAACUAGGGCGGCAAGAGUGGAACAAAACACCAGGCAUAAGGCCGAUCCUUCCACCCUUUACCAAAUAUAUAGAUGCAUUAAUAAUAAUAUAAGAGAUAUUGUGAUAUCCCAACCAAAAUCCUGUCCACCAUGGAGAAAUCUUCAACUUCACCUGCAGCUAGCAAUGCUAUAAGAGGGGCUGAGCAAAGCGGUAACAUAGCCAAGCAACGGUUUGCAAUAAGAAAGGUGUCAAAGGUGAGAGGUUCAUGGCAAUAUGGGAGGCUGGACGAGCAAAAGAUAGGUAGCGCAGCAAAGCGAUAGAACGAAGCAACUAGCAUAGCAAUGAUAGUAGUGAGAUCCAAGGUAGCGGUCAUCUUGCCUGAAAUCCCGCAAGGAAGAAGAACGAGUCCAUGAAGAAGAUGAACGGAAGAAGCCGAACCAAGCGUAGACGAACGAAUCCUCGCGAUCGCAAUGAAACAGGAACUAUCAAAAAGAAGCACACACCAUAGUAAACACACCACACAUGAACAUGACAUGAUGCACAAACAAGCAUGAUGCAUGACCAAGCUACAUGAAGCUACUCAUGGCAAGAGAGGAUGCAAACAAAAGCAACACAUCAAGACAAGUUUAAAUGAGGCCGGGAACUACAUAUAACAAUUCCGGUAAGUCCUCAUGUGCAAAUUUCAAAGUUGGUCCAGAUCUGAAUAAACCUUAUGUUCAAGUUGUUAAACAGCAAGUUAAGAUGCACCAAGAUGAUCUACACGAGAUUCUAGUCAAGUUACAUAUAAAGUUCAUUUAGUUCGGAGCUACGGCCUAGGAGAUAUGAGCAAAACAAGUUAAACAAGGCAUUGAUGCAAAAUGCAUUCAAGCAUCAAGAAAACACCUCAAAACAAGGAUGCAACAUGAUAAUAUGAAACUACAUGCAAUUCUAAGCAAGUUUCAUAUAGAGAACACUCAAAAUGGAGCAACGGUUCAACACACACACACUAUACAAGUUAUAGCAACAAUCUGUCUAAAACAGCAACUAGGCAUAUUGCAAGCAUCAAAACAACAUGCUACAACACCACAAUAUGAAAACAAAAGGCAUGGACAUGAUGUACAGGUAAAGCAUAACAAAACAUGAACACUGAGCUAUCUCCAGAAAUCACUAGAACAUACUCAAACACACAUGGCAAGAUUGCAAAUAAUAACAGUUCAGACUUUGCAGAAAAUAACAUCAGCUUGCAAUGUUUAGAGCUAUCAAACAACAUGUUACAUGAACUUAUAAUAGCAAAACAAAACAUGGCAUGGUUCUACUCAAAGCAUAGAUCAAAAGUCCCUUACUGACCAUAAGCCAAAAUGAUCAGAAAAUAUGAUGGCACCCAUGUAAACAUGGCAAGUUAUAUUACAGAUUCAAACAUGGCAGAAACAGAAUUAUGAAGGCAUGUAGAUGAGCUUGUACCACUCACCACUGAGCAAAACAUGGCAUGGAAAGGGAACCAACAGUAAGAAGGCAUGUUUGAGAAGCUAGGCAUGGCAAGAGCAAGGUCAUAGGGUACAUGGAACACUAGCAAAACACAUGGCAACAACUGAACUUAAUGUUAACAGGCUGACAGCAACAUUAUCAAGCAACUUUGGAGCAAGAUAUGAACAAGCUACAGCAAGCUAUAAAUGCAACCAAGGCCAUGGAUGGAUAAAGCAUAACAUGUAGAACAAAACACAUUUAGUGAUCAUCUCCAGAUUAUGCAUAGAAUGAUUUGUAGCAGCAUGUUUAUAUACCAUAACGAAAUAACAGAUUCAGCCUAGCAAAACAGCAACAGCGAGUACACUACUUAACAAGCUUGAUUCACUCACCACAAGUCAUUGCAUGACAAGAUAAGCAUAGAAUCAUCAAGAAGACAUGUUUAUGUAACAAACCAUGGCAAGAAUAAGUUCAUAGCAUUCAAGGAUCAACUACAACAACCUUGGCAAAAUUGAAUAACAUGUAAACAAUCUGCCAGGAAACAUUUUGAAGCAAAAGUAGAGCAUGAAACUGACAUGCUAGACUACUCCAUAAAUGCAAACAGAGGCAUGAAUGGAUAGACAAUAACCAUAUGUUCAAAACAUCCUUACUGAAGUAUAUCAAAAUAUGUAUGGAUCUCUCUGUAGCAUCAAGUUUACAUGGCAUGAAAAUAACAGCAGAACAGGGACUAAAAUCAGCAACAUCACGAUGCCUAGUUUGCAUGCUUGUGCUAGUCACCACAUUGAUCACAAAAAUAUAUGGCAUACACCUAUGUAAAGAAGACAUGGCAUAGUUCAAAACACAUGUAGACAUCAACCUCGUAGGAUGCACACAUCAAUCAUGGCAAAAAUGACAAAAGAGCUCGUUCUGUUAACAGACAGCAGAAAACAUCAUGAAGCACUCUUGUAACGAUUAUUUAGGCAUCAAGAUGAACUCAAAUGAACAUGAUGCAAUAGAAUGAAAUAAAGUACUCGUUGAGACGAACAAUUCUACAUAUUACACGUACAAAACGGAGCUACGGAUGCAGAGAUACGAUGCGAUGAACAUGGCAUGAAAAUGUUUGAAAACAGGGACUUAGACGAAAAUAUAACCUCCAAAAAGUCAACUCGGGAUGGAGAUAUCCGGGACGCGGGGAUCCCGUUUGCUUCAUCUCCUGGUGGAUCUGAUCCAUCUUCUCUCCGGCGAGGCGGGGCGGUUCCUGCGAGGAUCUCCGGCGAGGAGGAGGUUGGAGGAGGCACGGGAGAUGGCCGGGGAGGCCGGCCGGAGGUCGGGCGUGGCACGGCGACGCGGUGGCCGGCGGCGAGGAGGCCAGCUGGAGGCAAGGCGGCGCUCGGCGAGGACCGGACCGGUAGCGGCCGGCAGGGCUGAGGCGGCGGCGGGGCGGGACGCCNNNNNNNNNNNNNNNNNNNNNNNNNNNNNNNNNNNNNNNNNNNNNNNNNNNNNNNNNNNNNNNNNNNNNNNNNNNNNNNNNNNNNNNNNNNNNNNNNNNNNNNNNNNNNNNNNNNNNNNNNNNNNNNNNNNNNNNNNNNNNNNNNNNNNNNNNNNNNNNNNNNNNNNNNNNNNNNNNNNNNNNNNNNNNNNNNNNNNNNNNNNNNNNNNNNNNNNNNNNNNNNNNNNNNNNNNNNNNNNNNNNNNNNNNNNNNNNNNNNNNNNNNNNNNNNNNNNNNNNNNNNNNNNNNNNNNNNNNNNNNNNNNNNNNNNNNNNNNNNNNNNNNNNNNNNNNNNNNNNNNNNNNNNNNNNNNNNNNNNNNNNNNNNNNNNNNNNNNNNNNNNNNNNNNNNNNNNNNNNNNNNNNNNNNNNNNNNNNNNNNNNNNNNNNNNNNNNNNNNNNNNNNNNNNNNNNNNNNNNNNNNNNNNNNGAGAGAGAGAGGGCCGGCGGGGACAGGUGGCGCUGGCUGGUUGGCUGAGGCGGCGGAGGAGGUGACGUGGCGCAUGGGGAUUGGUCGGGGUGAGGUGGAGGCUGGACGUGUCCGGCGCGGCGCGGAGGGGAAAACUAGGGUUUCGGGGGGAAAUUGAUCCGCGAAUUUCGGGGGAGGGGGCUAUUUAUAGAUUCUGGGAGCUAGGAGACUCCAAAUGAGGAGUGGUUUUCGGCCACGCGAUCGUGAUCGAACGACCGAGAGCAUGGAGGGGAGUUAGAUGGGUUUUGGGCCACUUUGGAAGGGUGUUGGGCUGCAAAGAGAAAGGGGGGUUUCGGGCUACGCGGUUAACCGUUGGAGUACCAAACGACCUCCAAAUGGCACGAAACUUGACAGGCGGUCUACCGGUGGUGUACCAAGGACACUUGGCAAGCCUCGGGCCAUUCCGAGAAAGUUUAACACCCACUCACGAAAAGAGAGAAGAGGGAGACGCCGGAGGGCAUAGGAGUGCCGGAUCGCAAAACGGACAACGGGGAAAAGGCUCGGAUGCAUGAGACGAACACGUAUGCAAUGCAAUACACAUGAUGACAUGAUAAAAUACAACACGCAAGCAAAAGACAUGGCAACAAUGGCGAAUAACUGAAAGACACUUGGCGCAUCGAAUCAGGGGCGUUACAACGUGAGACGGACUAGUCAUCAUCGGUGAACAUAUUCAUGUUGAUCGUAUCUACUAUACGACUCAUGUUCGAACUUUCGGUCUCUUGUGUUCCGAGGCUAUGUCUGUACAUGCUAGGCUCGUCUAGUCAACCUAAGUGUUUUGCAUGUGUAAAUCUGGCUUACACCCAUUGUAUGUGAACAUUAGAAUCUAUCACAUCCGAUCAUGACGUGGUGCUUGAAAGCAACGAACUUUCGCAACGGUGCACAGUUAGGGGGAAACACUUUCUUGAAAUUUUAAUGAGGGAUCAUAUUAUUUAUGCUACCUCCGUUCUAAGCAAAUAAGAUGUAAACAUGACAAACAUCACAUGCAAAUCAUAAAGUGACAUGAUAUGGCCAAUAUCAUCUUGCGCCUUUGAUCUCCAUCUUUGAGGCACGGCAUGAUCACCUUCGUCACCGGCAUGACACCAUGGUCUCCAUCAUCAUGAUCUCCAUCAUCGUGUCUUCAUGAAGUUGUCUCGCCAACUAUUACUUCUACUACUAUGGCUAACGGUUAGCAAUAAAGUAAAGUAAUUACAUGGCGUUCUCAUUGACACAAAGGUCAUAGAAUAAAUUAAGACAACUCCUAUGGCUCCUGCCGGUUGUCAUACUCAUCGACAUGCAAGUCGUGAUUCCUAUUACAAGACAAUGAUCAAUAUCAUACAUCACAUAUAUCAUUCAUCACAUCCUUUUGGCCAUAUCACAUCACAUAGCAUACCCUGCAAAAACAAGUUAGACGUCCUCUAAUUGUUGUUGCAUGUUUUACGUGGCUGCUAUGGGUUUCUAGCAAGAACAUUUCUUACCUACGCAAAAGCCACAACGGUGAUAUGCCAAUUGCUAUUUACCCUUCAUAAGGACCCUUUUCAUCGAAUCCGAUCCGACUAAAGUGGGAGAGACAGAAACCCGCUAGCCACCUUAUGCAACAAGUGCAUGUCAGUCGGUGGAACCUGUCUCACGUAAGCAUACGUGUAAGGUCGGUCCGGGCCGCUUCAUCCCACAAUGCCGCCAAAUCAAGAUAAGACUAGUAACGAUAAGCAUAUUGAACAAACCAACACCCACAACUACUUGUGUUCUACUCGUGCAUAGAAUCUACACAUAGACCUAGGUCAUGAUGCCACUUUUGGGGAACAUAGCAAUAAUUCAAAAUUUUCUACGCAACACCAAGAUCAAUCUAUGGAGAUUCUAGCAACAAGAGAGGGAGAGGAUGAGCAUCUUCAUACCUUUGAAGAUCACUAAGCGGAAGCGUCACUAGAAGGCGGAUGAGGGAGUCGUACUCGCGGCGAUUCAAAUCGUGGAAGAUCCGAUCUAACGCCGAACGGACGGCGCCUCCGCGUUCAACACACGUACAGACCGGGGACGUCUCCUCCUUCUUGAUCCAGCAAGGGAAGAGGAGAAGUUGAGGGAGCACUCUGGCAGCACGACGGUGUGUGCUACGUCUUGAGCUUGCGUUGGUUUUCCUUGAAGAGGAAAGGGUGAUGCAGCACAGUAGCAUAAGUAUUUCUCUCAGUUUUUGAGAACCAAGGUAUCAAUCUAGUAGGAGGCUCCUCACAAGUCCCACGAACCUACACAAACAAACAAAGAACUCGCAACCAAUGCGAUAAAGGGGUUGUCAAUCCCUUCACGGCCACUUGCGAAAGUGAGAUCUGAUAGAGAUAAUAUGAUAAGAUAAAUAUAUUUUUGGUAUUUUAUAAUAUAUAUGCAGAAAAUAAAGAUGCAAAUAAAAGUAGAUUGGAAACUUAUAUGAUAAAAAAUAGACCCGGGGGCCAUAGGUUUCACUAGAGGCUUCUCUCAAGAUAGCAUAAGUAUUACGGUGGGUGAACAAAUUACUGUCGAGCAAUUGAUAGAAAAGAGAAUAAUUAUGAGAUUAUCUAGGCAUGAUCAUGUAUAUAGGCAUCACGUCCGUGACAAGUAGGCCGACUCCUGCCUGCAUCUACUACUAUUACUCCACACAUCGACCGCUAUCCAGCAUGCAUCUAGAGUAUUAAGUUCAUAAGAACAGAGUAACGCAUUAAUAAAGAUGACAUGAUGUAGAGGGAUAAACUCAAGCAAUAUGAUAUAAACCCCAUCUUUUUAUCCUUGAUGGCAACAAUACAAUACGUUUCUUGCAACCCUUUCUGUCACUGGGUAAGAACACCGCAAGAUUGAACCGAAAGCUAAGCACUUCUCCCAUGGCAAGAAAGAUCAAUCUAUUAGGCCAAACCAAAUCGAUAGUUCGAAGAGACUUGCAAAGAUAACUCAAUCAUACAUAAAAGAAUUCAGAGAAGAUUCAAAUAUUAUUCAUAGAUAAACUUGAUCUUAAACCCACAAUUCAUCGGAUCUCAACAAACACACCGCAAAGAGAGAUUACAUUAAAUAGAUCUCCACAAGAGAGGGGGAGAACAUUGUAUUGAGAUCCAAAAAGAGAGAAGAAGCCAUCUAGCUAAUAACUAUGGACCCAAAGGUCUGUGGUAAACUACUCACAACUCAUCGGAAGGGCUAUGGUGUUGAUGUAGAGGCCCUCCAUGGUGGAAUCCCCCUCCGGCAGUACGCCGAUGACGGCACCAAGAUGGGAUCUCGCGGAUACAGAAGGUUACGGUGGUGGAAAUAUUUCUUCGGUGGCUCCCUGGAUGUUUUUGGGGUAUGUAGGCUUAUCUAGGAGGAAGAAGUACGUCAGUGGCCGCCCGAGGGGCCCACAAGACAGGGGGCACGCCCAGGAGCGGUGGGCGUGCCCUCCUAUCUCGUGGAGGCCUCGGCUGCUUCUUUGCUUGCACUCCAAGUUCUCCGGAUCAUGUUCGUUCCAAAAAUCACGCUCCCAAAGGUUUCAUUCCGUUUGGACUCCGUUUGAUAUUCCUUUUCUUCGAAAUACUGAAAUAGGCAAAAAAACAGCAAUACGGUUUGGGCCUCCAGUUAGUAGGUUAGUCCCAAAAAUGAUAUAAAUAUGUAAAAUAAUGCCCAUGGACAUCCAAAACAGGUUAUAUAAUAGCAUAGAACAAUCAAAAAUUAUAGAUACGUUGGAGACGUAUCAGCAUGGUGGAGGAGAUUGCAGUUCUCCGGCAGGGCUUCGCCAAGCACUAUGGAGGAGGAAGUGGAGUUGGAGAGGGGGAGGGCUGUGCCAGGGGAAGAAGCUCACAUGCGCCUCCCCACUAUAUAUAGGGGUGGAGGGGGCUGGUUUAUUGCCCCCCAAGUCCAUUGGGGCGUUGGCAAAGGUGGGAGGAAAGAAAUCUCAUCAUUUCCAUUCCCCACCGAUUGUUAUCCCCCCUUUUUAGGGAUCUUGAUCUUAUCCCUUCGGGAUAUGAUCUUAUUCCUUAUAAGGGGGGAUCUUAGUGCGCCUUGACCAGGGGUGUGUGGCCUUGCCCCCACUACCCACGUUCAUGUGGGCCCCCCAUGCAGGUGGGCCCCACUCCGGAACCUUCUAGAACCUUCCUGGCACAUACCGAAAAAUCCCAAACAUUUUUCGGUGGCCAAAAUAGGACUUCCCAUAUAUAAAUCUUUACCUCCGGACCAUUUCGGAACUCCUCGUGAUGUCCAGGAUCUCAUCCGGGACUCCGAACUGUUGGGGAACGUAGUAAUUUCAAAAAAAUUCCUACGCACACGCAAGAUCAUGGUGAUGGCAUAGCAACGAGAGGGGAGAGUGUUGUCCACGUACCCUCGUAGACCGUAAGCCGAAGCGUUAGCACAAUGCGGUUGAUGUAGUCGUACGUCUUCACGAUCCGACCGAUCCAAGUACCGAACGUACGGCACCUCCGAGUUCAGCACACGUUCAGCUCGAUGACGAUCCCCGGGCUCCGAUCCAGCAAAGCUUCGGGGAUGAGUUCCGUCAGCACGACGGCGUGGUGACGAUGAUGAUGUUCUACCGGCGCAGGGCCUCGCCUAAACUCCGUGAUGAUAUGACCGAGGUGGAAUAUGGUGAAGGGGGGCACCGCACACGGCUAAGGAACGAUCCAUAGAUCAACUUGUGUCAAGGGGUGCCCCCCUGCCCCCGUAUAUAAAGGAGCAAGGGGGGGGGGUGGCCAGCCCUAGGAGGGGGCGCGCCAAGUGUGGAGUCCUAAUAGGACUCCCUAGUCCUAGUAGGAUUCCACCUCCCUUGUUGGAGUAGGAGAAGGGGGAAAGGAGGAAGGAAAGGGGGGCCGCACCCCUUGUCCAAUUCGGACCAGAGGGGGGAUGCGCGCCUCCUUCCUUUCGGCCUCUCUCCUCUAUUCUUGUAUGGCCCAAUAAGGCCCAUAUACUCCCCGGCGAAUUCCCGUAACUCUCCGGUACUCCGAAAAAUACCCGAAUCACUCGGAACCUUUCCGAACUCCGAAUAUAGUCGUCCAAUAUAUCGAUCUUUACGUCUCGACCAUUUCGAGACUCCUCGUCAUGUCCCCGAUCUCAUACGGGACUCCGAACUCCUUCGGUACAUCAAAACUCAUAAACUCAUAAUAUAACUGUCAUCGAAACCUUAAGCGUGCGGACCCUACGGGUUCGAGAACUAUGUAGACAUGACCUAGAACUAUUCUUGGUCAAUAACUAAUAGCGGAACCUGGAUGCCCAUAUUGGCUCCUACAUAUUCUACGAAGAUCUUUAUCGGUCAAACCGCAUAACAACAUACUUUGUUCCCUUUGUCAUCGGUAUGUUACUUGCCCGAGAUUCGAUCGUCGGUAUCCAAUACCUAGUUCAAUCUCGUUACCGGCAAGUCUCUUUACUCGUUACAUAAUGCAUCAUCUCGCAACUAACUCAUUAGUCACAUUGCUUGCAAGGCUUAUAGUGAUGUGCAUUACCGAGAGGGCCCAGAGAUACCUCUCCGACAAUCGGAGUGACAAAACCUAAUCUCGAAAUACGCCAACCCAACAUGUACCUUUGGAGACACCUGUAGUACUCCUUUAUAAUCACCCAGUUACGUUGUGACGUUUGGUAGCACCCAAAGUGUUCCUCCGGUAAAUGGGAGUUGCAUAAUCUCAUAGUUGUAGGAACAUGUAUAAGUCAUGAAGAAAGCAACAGCAACAUACUAAACGAUCAAGUGCUAGGCUAACAGAAUGGGUCAUGUCAAUCACAUCAUUCUCCUAAUGAUGCAAUCCCAUUAAUCAAAUGACAACACAUGUCUAUGGUUAGGAAACAUAACCAUCUUUGAUUAAUGAGCUAGUCAAGUAGAGGCAUACUAGUGACUAUAUGUUUGUCUAUGUAUUCACACAUGUAUCAUGUUUCCGGUUAAUACAAUUCUAGCAUGAAUAAUAAACAUUUAUCAUGAUAUAAGGAAAUAAAUAAUAACUUUAUUAUUGCCUCUAGGGCAUAUUUCCUUCAGUCUCCCACUUGCACUAGAGUCAAUAAUCUAGUUCACAUCGCCAUGUGAUUUAACACCAAUAUUCAUAUCUGUAUAUGAUUAACACCCAUAGUUCACAUCGCCAUGUGACCAACACCCAAAAGGGUUUACUAGAGUCAAUAAUCUAGUUCACAUCGCUAUGUGAUAAACACCCAAAGCGUACUAAGGUGUGAUCAUGUUUUGCUCGUGAGAGAAGCUUAGUCGACGGGUCUGUCAUAUUCAGAGACGUAUGUAUUUUGCAAAUAUUCUAUGUCUACAAUGCUCUGCACGGAGCUACUCUAGCUAAUUGCUCCCACUUUCAAUAUGCAUCCAGAUUGAGACUUAGAGUCAUCUGGAUCGGUGUAAAAGCUUGCACCGAUGUAACUCUUUACGACGUGCUCUUUUAUCACUUCCAUAAUCGAGAAAUAUUUCCUUAGUCCUCACUAAGGAUAUUCUUGACCAAUGUCCAGUGAUCUACUCCUAGAUCACUAUUGUACUCCCUUGCCAAAUUUAGAGCAAGGUAUACAAUAGGUCUGGUACAUUGCAUAGCAUACUUUAUAGAACCUAUUACUGAGGCAUAGGGAAUGACUUUUCAUUCUCUUUCUAUUUUCUGCCAUGGUCGGGUCUUGAGUCUUACUCAAAUUCACACCUUGCAUCAUAGGCAAGAACUCCUUCUUUGACUGUUCCAUUUUGAACUAUUUCAAAAAAUUUAUCAAGGUAUGUACUCAUUGAAAAAUCUCAUCAAGCGUCUUGAUCUAUCUAUAUAGAUAUUGAUGCUCAAUGUGUAAGCAGUUUCACCGAGGUCUUGCUUUGAAAAACUCUUAUUCAAUUAUCCUUUCAUGCUAUCCAGAAUUUCUAUAUCAUUUCCAAUCAAUAAUAUGUCAUCCACAUAUAAUAUUAGAAAUGCUACAGAGCUUCCACUCACUUUCUUGUAAAUACAGGCUUCUCAAAAAGUCUGUAUAAAACCAUAUGCUUUGAUCAACUCAUCAAAGCGUAUAUUCCAACUCUGAGAUGCUUGCACCAGUCCAUUGAUGGAUCGUUGGAGCUUGCACAUUUUUGUUAACACCUUUAGGAUUGACAAAACCUUCUGGCUGCAUCAUAUACAACUCUUUUUUAAUAAAUCCAUUAAGGAUUGCAGUUUUGUUAUCCAUUUGCCAAAUUUCAUAAAAUGUGGCAAUUGCUAACAUGAUUCGGACAGACUUUAAGCAUCGAUACGAGUGAGAAAAUCUCAUCGUAGUCAACACCUUGAACUUUGUCAAAAACCUUUUUCGACAAGUCUAGCUUUGUAGAUAGUAAAACUACUAUCAGCGUCUGUCUUCCUCUUGAAGAUCCAUUUAUUCUCAAUUGCUUGCCGAUCAUCGGGCAAGUCAACCAAAGUCCAUACUUUGUUCUCAUACAUGGAUCAUAUCUCAGAUUUUAUGGCCUCAAGCCAUUUCGUGGAAUCUGGGCUCAUCAUCGCUUCCUCAUAGUUCGUAGGUUCAUCAUGGUCUAGUAACAUGACUUCCAGAACAUGAUUACCGUACCACUCUGGUGCGGAUCUUAAUCUGGAAGACCUACGAGGUUUGGUAGAAACUUGAUCUGAAGUUUCAUGAUCAUCAUCAUUAACUUCCUCACUAAUUGGUGUAGGAAUCACUGGAACUGAUUUCUGUGAUGAACUACUUUCCAAUAAGGGAGCAGGUACAGUUACCUCAUCAAGUUCUACUUUCCUCCCACUCACUUCUUCCGAGAGAAACUCCUUCUCUAGAAAGGAUCCAUCUUAGCAACGAAUCUUGCUUUCGGAUCUGUGAUAGAAGGUGUGCCCAAUAGUUACCUCUGGGUAUUCUAUGAAGACGCACUUCUCUGAUUUGGGUUUGAGCUUAUCAGGUUGAAACUUUUUCACAUAAGCAUCACAGCCCCAAACUUUAAAAAACGACAACUUUGGUUUCUUGCCAAACCACAGUUCAUAAGGCGUUGUCUCAACGGAUUUCGAUGGUGCCCUAUUUAAAGUGAAUGCAACUGUCUCUAAUGCAUAAUCCCAAAACGAUAGUGGUAAACCGAUCAUAGAUUGCACUAUAUCCAAUAAAGUACGGUCAUGAUGUUCGGACACACCGUUACGCUGUGGUGUUCCAGGUGGCAUGAGUUUGUGAAACUAUUCCACAUUGUUUUAAUUGAAGACCAAACUCGUAACUCAAAUAUUUGUCUCCGCGAUCAAAUUGCAGAAACUUUAUUUUCUUGUUACGAUCAUUCUCCACUUCACUCUGAAAUUCUUUGAACUUUUCAAAUGUUUCAAACUUGUGCUUCAUUAAGUAGAUAUACCCAUAUCUGCUCAAAUCAUCUUGUGAAGGUCAGAAAAUAACGAUACUUGCCACGAGCAUCAACACUCAUUGGAUCGCAUACAUCGGUAUGUAUUAUUUCCAAUAAGUCAGUAGCUCGUUCCAUUGUUCCGGAGAACGGAGUUUUAGUCAUCUUGCCCAAAAGGCACGGUUCGCAAGCACCAAAUGAUUCAUAACCAAGUGAUUCCGAAAAUCCAUCUUUAUGGAGUUUCUUCAUGCGCUUUACACCGAUAUGACCCAAACGGCAGUGCCACAAAUAAGUUGCACUAUCAUUAUUAACUUUGCAUCUUUUGGCAUCAAUAUUAUGAUUAUGUGUAUCAAUACUAUCGAGAUCCAAUAAACUAUUUUCAUUGGAUGUAUGACCAUCGAAGGUUUUAUUCAUGUAAAUAGAAUAACAAUUAUUCUCGGCUUUAAAUGAAUAACCGUAUCACAAUGAAUAUGAUCAAAUCAUAUUCAUGCUCAACGCAAACGCCAAAUAACAUUUAUUUAGGUUCAACACUAAUCUCGAAAGUGUAGGGAGAGUGUGAUGAUGAUCAUAUCAAUCUUGGAAUCACUUCCAAUACACAUCGUCACUUCACCCUCAACUAGUCUCUGUUUAUUCUGUAACUCCUGCUUCGAGUUACUAAUCUUAGCAACCGAACAAGUAUCAAAUACUCAGAAGCUACUAUAAACACUAGUAAGGUACACAUCAAUAACCUGUAUAUCAAAUAUACCCUUCUUCACUUGGCCAUCCUUCUUAUCCACCAAAUAUUCAGGGCAUUUCCGCUUCCAGUGACCAUCUCUUUUGCAGUAGAAGCACUUAGUGCUAGGCUAACGGAAUGGGUCAUGUCAAUCACAUCAUUCUCCUAAUGAUGUGAUCCCAUUAAUCAAAUGACAACACAUGUCUAUGGUUAGGAAACAUAACCAUCUUUGAUUAAUGAGCUAGUCAAGUAGAGGCAUACUAGUGACUAUAUGUUUGUCUAUGUAUUCACACAUGUAUCAUGUUUCCGGUUAAUACAAUUCUAGCAUGAAUAAUAAACAUUUAUCAUGAUAUAAGGAAAUAAAUAAUAACUUUAUUAUUGCCUCUAGGGCAUAUUUCCUUCACGAACAACAUUCGGUAACUGCACACUAAUUCUCAUAACAACUCUAGCGUCACCGAACCUUAAGUGUGUAGACCCUACGGGUUCGGGAAUCAUGCAGACAUGACCGAGAUAGCUCUCUGACCAAUAACCAACAGCAGGAUCUGGAUACCCAUGUUGGCUCCCACAUGUUCCAGGAUGAUCUCAUCGGAUGAACCACGAUGUCCGGGAUUCAAUCAAUCCCGUAUACAAUUCCCUUUGUCAAACGGUACGUUACUUGCCUGAGAUUCGAUCAUCGGUAUCCCAAUAUCUCGUUAAAUCUCGUUACCGGCAAGUCACUUUACUAGUUUCGUAAUGCAUGAUCCCGCGACUAACUACUUAGUCACAUUGAGCUCAUUAUGAUGAUGCAUUACCGAGUGGGCCCAGAGAUACCUAUCUGUCAUACGGAGUGACAAAUCCCAGUCUCGAUUCAUGCAAACCCAAUAGACACUUUCGGAGAUACUUGUAGUGUACCUUUAUAGCCACCCAGUUAUGUUGCGACGUUUGGUACACCCAAAGCAUUCCUACGGUAUCCAGGAGUUGCACAAUCUCAUGGUCUAAGGAAAUGACACUUGACAUUAGAAAAGCUUUUAGCAAACGAACUACACAAUCUUGUGCUAUGCUUAGGAUUGGGUCUUGUCCAUUAGAUCGUUCUCCUAAUGAUGUGAUCCCGUUAUCAAUGACAUCCAAUGUCCAUGGUCAGGAAACCAUGACCAUCUGUUGAUCAACGAGCUAGUCAACUAGAGGCUCACUAGGGAAAUGUUGUGGUCUAUGUAUUCACACAUGUAUUACGGUUUCCGGUCAAUACAAUUAUAGCAUGAACAAUAGACAAUUAUCAUGAACAAGGAAAUAUAAUAAUAACCACUUUAUUAUUGCCUCUAGGGCAUAUUUCCAACAAGACACAUGUAGAGCACCUUUAUAAUCACCCAUUUAUGUUGUGACGUUUGGUAGCACACAAAGUGUUCCUCCAGUAUUCGGGAGUUGCAUAAUCUCAUAGUCUGAGGAACAUGUAUAAGUCAUGAAGAAAGUAGUAGCAAUGAAACUAUCACGAUCAUAAUGCUAAGUUAACAGAUGGGUCAUGUCCAUCACAUCAGUCUCCUAAUGAUGUGAUCCCGUUCAUCAAAUGACAACACAUGUCUAUGGUUAGAAACAUAGCCAUCUUUGAUUAACGAGCUAGUCAAGUAGAGGCAUACUAGGGACAAUAUGUUUUGUCUAUGUAUUCACACAUGUACUAAGUUUCCGGUUAAUACAAUUCUAGCAUGAAUAAUAAACUUUUAUCAUGAAAUAAGGAAAUAAAUAAUAACUUUAUUAUUGCCUCUAGGGCAUAUUUCCUUCAGUCUCUCAUUUGCACUAGAGUCAAUAAUCUAGAUUACAUAGUAAUGAUUCUAACACCCAUGGAGCUUUGGUGCUGAUCAUGUUUUGCUCGUGGAAGAGGUUUAGUCAACGGGUCUGCAACAUUCAGAUCCGUAUGUAUCUUGAAAAUCUCUAUGUCCCCCUCCGACACUUGAUGAUGGAUGGAAUUGAAGUGUCUCUUGAUGUGCUUGGUUCUCUUGUGAAAUCUGGAUUCCUUUGCCAAGGCAAUUGCACCAAUAUUGUCACAAAAGAUUUUCAUUGGACCCGAUGCACUAGGUAUGACACCUAGAUCGGAUAUGAACUCCUUCAUCCAAAAUCCUUCAUUUUCUGCUUCCGAAGCAGCAACGUACUCCGCUUCACACGUAGAUCCCACCACGACGCUCUGCUUGGAACUGCACCAACUGACAGCUCCUCCAUUCAAUAAAAAUACGUAUUCGGUUUGCGACUUUGAGUCAUCCAGAUCAGUGUCAAAGCUUGCAUCGACGUAACCAUUUAUGACGAGCUCUUUUUUCACCUCCGUAAACGAGAAACAUAUCCUUAGUCCUUUUCAGGUAUUUCAGGAUGUUUUUCACCGCUGUCCAGUGCUCCACUCCAGGAUUACUUUGGUACCUCCCUGCUAUCCUUAUAGCAAGGCACACAUCAGGUCUGGUACACAUCAUUGCAUACAUGAUAGAACCUAUGGCUGAAGCAUAGGGAAUGAAUAUCAUUUUCUCUCAAUCUUCUGCAGUGGUCGGGCUUUGAGUCUGACUCAACUUCACACCUUGUAACACAGGCAAGAACCCUUUCUUUGACUGAUUGAUACGUCUCCAAAGUAUCUACUUUUCCAAACAAUUUUGCCCUUGUUUUGGACUCUAACUUGCAUGAUUUGAAUGGAACUAACCCAGACUAACACUGUUUUCAGCGGAAUUGCCAUGGUGUUAUUUUUGUGCAGAACUAAAAGUUCUCGGAAUGACUUGAAAAUCCACGGAGACAUGUUUUGUAAUUAAUAAAAAUAUUGGUGAAAGAAUCAACGUCAGGGGGCCCACACCCUAUCCAUGAGAGUGCAGGGCGCGCCCCUGCCUCGUGGGCCCCCUGGGACUCCACCGACCUCAACCCCAACUCCAUAUAUUCACUUUCAGGGAGAAAAAAUCAGAGAGAAGGAUUCAUCGCGUUUCACGAUAGCCGUCGCCAAGCCCUAAUCUUCUUCGGGAGGGCUGAUCUGGAGUUCGUUCGGGGCUCCGGAGAGGGGAAUCCGUCGCCAUCGUCAUCAUCAACCAUCCUCCAUCACCAAUUCCAUGAUGCUCACCACCGUGCGUGAGUAAUUCCAUCAUAGGCUUGCUGGACGGUGAUGGGUUGGAUGAGAUUUACCAUGUAAUCGAGUUAGUUUUGUUAGGGUUUGACCCCUAGUAUCCAUUAUGUUCUAAGAUUGAUGUUGCUAUGACUUUGCCAUGCUUAAUGCUUAUCACUAGGGCCCGAGUGCCAUGUUUUCAGAUCUGAAGCUAUUAUGUUUUCAUGAAUAUAUGUGAGUUCUUGAUCCUAUCUUGCGAGUUAAUAGUCACUUACUAUGUGUUAUGAUCCAGCAACCCCGAAGUGACAAUAAUCGGGACCACUCCCGGUGAUGACCGUAGUUUGAGGAGUUCAUGUAUUCACUCAGUGUUAAUGCUUUGAUUCGGUACUCUAUUAAAAGGAAGCCUUAAUAUCCCUUAGUUUCCAAUAGGACCCCGUUGCCACGGGAGGGUAGGACAAAAGAUGUCAUGCAAGUUCUUUUCCAUAAGCACGUAUGACUAUAUUCGGAAUACAUGGCUACAUUACAUUGAUGAACUUGAGCUAGUUCUGUGUCACCCUAUGUUAUAACUGUUGCAUGAGGAAUCGCAUCCGACAUAAUUAUCCAUCAUUGAUCCAUUGCCUACGAGCUUUUCACAUAUUGAUCUUUGCUUAGUUACUUCUCCGUUACCACUGUUACAAUUACUAUAAAACUACUAUUGUUACUUUUGCCACCGUUACCGUUACUUCCGUACUACUUUGCUACUAAAUAUUUUGCUGCAGAUAUUAAGUAUUUCAGGUGUGGUUGAAUUGACAACUCAGCUGCUAAUACUUGAUAAUAUUCUUUCGAUCCCCUUGUGUCGAAUCAAUAAAUUUGGGUUGAAUACUCUACCCUCGAAAACUAUUAUGGUACCCUAUACUUGUGUGUUAUCAAGACUAUUUUCUGGCGCCGUUGUCGGGGAGCAUAGCUCUAUUCUUUGAGUCACUUGGGAUUUAUAUCUGUUGAUCACUAUGAAGAAUUUGAAAGAUCAAAGAACCAAGAUUUUUCCCUCAACUACGAGGGGAGGUAAGGAACUGCCAUCUAGCGCUGCACUUGAUUCACCUUCUAUUAUGAGUAAAUUUGCGACACCUACACCUGCUAUUGAUCUUGAUAUGUCGCAUGUUAUUAAUGACGCCACUUCUGCUAUGCAUGAUGCUUAUGAUGAUACUACUUGUCUGCUUAAUAAUACUAUGCCAUUAGGUGAAUUUCUGGAUGAACAACUUGCUAGGGAUUAGAGAGAAUGAAAUUAUUGAAACUGAUGAUAUUGAUGAAAGUGAUGAUGAAGAUUCUCCACCUGAAUAUGAAUUGCCUGUUGUACCUGAGGGUUAUGUUAUGGAUGAAGAAACUGCUAGAGAUUUUCUUGCUUGCAAUGAUAGAUAUGAUCUUAAGAAACUGUUAGCUAAGCUGAAAGAAAAGUCUUUGAAUGCUAGAAUGAAAUAUGACCCUGCUUUUGCUACUUCACCUAUCUGUGUUACUGAUAAGGAUUAUGAUUUCUCUGUCGAUCCUGAGUUAAUUACUUUGGUUGAAUCUGAUCCUUUUUAUGGCUAUGAAUCUGAAACUAUUGUGGCACAUCUUAUUAAAUUAAAUGAUAUAGCAACCCUAUUUAUGCAUGAGGAAAUUUUUUGUUAUUACUAUAUCCUUAAGUUAUUUCCGUUCUGAUUAAAGGGUGAUGCUAAAACAUGGUUUAAUUCUCUUACUCCUAGUUGUGUGCGUAGUCCCCAGGAUAUGAUUUAUUACUUCCCUGCUAAAUAUUUCCCCGCUCAUAGGAAACAAGUUGCCUUAAGGGAAAUAUAUAAUUUUGUGCAAAUUGAAGAAGAGAGUAUCCCACAAGCUUGGGGGAGGCUUCUCCGAUUACUUAAUGCUUUGCCUGGUCACCUCUCAAGAAAAUGAAAUACUUGAUAUCUUUUAUAAUGGACUAACUGAUGCUUCCAGAGACCACCUGGAUAGUUGUGUUGUUUGUCUUUUCAGGGAAAGAACUAUUAAGCAAGCGGAGUUGCUAUUAAAUAAUAUAUUGAGCAAUUAUAAUGAUAGAACACUUCCUAAACCAACUCCGAAGCCAACUCCGAAGAAAAGGGGUAUUCUAUUUCUCAGUCCCGAAGAUAUGCAAGAGGCAAAGAAAUAUAUGAAAGAAAAAGGUAUUAAAGCUGAAGAUGUUAAGAAUUUACCACCUAUUGAAGAAAUACAUGGUCUCGAUAAUCCGAUACAGGUAGUAAAGGUAAAUUCUCUCUAUAGAUUUGAUGAAGGUGAUAUCCCUCGCUAUAAGUCUGCUAGCCAAUGCUUGGAUGAGUUCGAUAAUUUUAGGGACAUUUACAUUUGUGCCCUAACUCGAACCCACUACUCAGAUUUGCCCUGAUUUUGAAGCAUGCUCAAAUUUGCCCCUCCGCGGUUAAGUCACUACUCAGAAAUGCCCUUCCGUACAGUACUGUAGCACUUUCUGUCCAAUACUGUAGCACUUUCCGUCUGCUAUAGUACACAUGGGCCUUUGACGGUCAAAGGCCUUUGACUGGACGGAAGGGCAUUUCUGAGUAGUGACUUAACAACAGAGGGGGAAAUUUGAGCAUGCUUUGAAAUUAGGGGCAAAUCUGAGUAGGUUGUUCGAGUUAGGGGCAGAGAUGCAAAUGGCCCAUAAUUUUAUUGUUAAACAAGAAAACUUCAAUGCUUAUGUUGGUAGACAAUUGAGAUGUAGUGCUUAUAUGAUUGAACACUUGAGUGAUUAUAUGUCUAGAGUUAAAGGUGACCUUAAGCUUAUUAGCAAACAUGCUUCCAUGGUUACCACUCAGGUAGAACAAGUGCUUAAGGCACAAGAUGAUUUGCUCACUGAGUUAAAUAAUAAGAAUAAUGGUAAUGUUGUUAGAGUUAUGACUAGAGGUGGUAGAAUGACUCAGGAACCAUUGUACCUGAGGGCCAUCCUAAGAGAGCUGAGCAAGAUUCUCAGAGAACUAAUAUUGAUGCACCUAGUCCUUCUAAGAAAAACAAAAAGAAAAAUGAUAGGGCUUUGCAUGCCUCUAGUGAACCUGUUAUAGACACACCUGAGAAUCCCAGUGAUAUUUCUAUUUCUGAUGCUGAAUCACAAUCUGGUAAUGAACAUGAACCUAGUGAUAGUGUUAAUGAUGAUGUUCAAGUUGAUGCUCAACCUAGUAAUAAUGAAGAUUUAGAGAUUGAACCUGAUGUUGAUCUUGAUAACCCACAAUCAAAGAAUCAAUGUUAUGAUAACAGAGACUUCGUUGGUAGAAAGCACGGUAAAGAAAGAGAACCAUGGGUUCAGAAACCCAUGCCUUUUCCUCCUAAGCCAUCCAAGAAAAAGGAUGAUGAGGAUUUUGAGCGCUUUGCUGAAAUGAUUAAACCUAUCAUUUUGCGUAUGCGUUUGACCGAUAUGCUUAAAAUGAAUCCUUAUGCUAAGUAUAUGAAAGAUAUUGUUACAAAUAAAAGAAAGAUACCAGAAGCUGAAAUUUCCACCAUGCUUGCUAAUUAUACUUUUAAGGGUGGAAUACCAAAGAAACUAGGAGACUCAGGAGUACCAACUAUACCAUUCUCCAUUAAAAGAAACUAUGUUAAAACUGAUUUAUGUGAUCUUGGAGCCGGUGUUAGUGUUAUGCCUCUAUCUUUAUAUCAUAGACUUGAUUUGAAUAACUUGACACCUACCAAAAUCUCUUUACAAAUGGCCGAUAAAUCAACUGCUACGCCUGUCGGUAUUUGUGAGUAUGUGCCUGUUGUGGUUGCAAACGUUACUAUUUUAACGUACUUUGUUAUUCUUGAUAUUCCCGAGGACAAUAGUAUGUCGAUUAUCCUUGGUAGACCCUUUUUGAAUACUGCAGGGGCUGUUAUUGAUUGCAACAAAGGCAAUGUCACUUUUCAUGUUAAUGGUAAUGAGCAUACGGUACACUUUCCGAGGAAACAACCUCAAGUUCAUAGUAUCAAUUCUAUUGGAAAAAUUUCGACAAUUAUUAUUGGAGGUUUUGAAUUCCCUCUUCCUACUGUCAAAAAGAAAUAUGAUAUUCUUAUUGUUGGCGACAUGCAUAUCCCCGUUGAGGUAACCUAGUGUUAUUCGAAAAUUCUCUGGUUUCAUGUUAUUCGGAAGAAGUUUGUUAACAAGACUUGAUAAACCUUGUUAGUGGAUUCCUUUUGAUGAGCAUGAGAUGGAUGAAGUUAGAAAGCACAACUCUCUGUACCCACUUUUUACUUUCUGUUAUUUAGAUAAAUAAAGCAAAAAUAGUAUUUUUCUGUUUAUUUCCUAAGUUAUCCUUGCAAUAAAAAUACCCUGAAAAUAAAAGUUCUCCAAAUGCCAUGAAAAUGAAGUAUGAUUUUUUGUAGAAUAUUUAAGAAUUUCAGGUACUGAGAACAUACCAGAGGGGGCCACCAUUUGGCCACGAGGGCACAGGGCGCACCCCCCUGCCUCGUGGGCCCCACGUGGACCCCCUCCACUUAUUCCAGCACCCACUCAGUUUGUCUUCCUCAACAAAAAAAUCCUCCCAUAGCUCAAACCCGUGUUCUAUCUCAUCUUGCUGCCAUUUUCAAUCUCCUUGCUCAAAGCUCCAUUCACAAAACUAUUUUGGUGGAUUGUUCUUUGGUAUGUGACUCCUCCAAUGGUCCAAUUAGUUUUUGUUCUAGUGCUUUAUUGAUUGCAAAUUUUUGCUACUGAGGUGACCCUGUUCUUGAGCUUACAUGUCAAAUUUAUAUGGUCCAAAGUAGUUUUAAUGCAUGAUAUAGCCUCUAGGCACUCGUGGGAGUAGUUGCUAUCAAUCUUGUUGAGUUUGGUUCACUUUUAUUUUGAGUCACUAAAAAUUUCAGAAAUUUUCAGGAAAAGAAAAAUGUUUAGGAAAAUGUACCAAGGUGGUUUUUCAAGGAAGCAGGAAUCAAGGCUCGCGAUACGUGAGACGGACGAUGAACUACCGAGGGAAGCUCAAGUACGGCCUUGUGAAUGGCCGUUAGAAGAGUUUAUGGUCCAAGUAGGCUUCAAGGAUAAAUUUGACGCGUAUGUGCGUAAUGCUGAUCUUGAGGACUUUGUGUCAGAUAAGUGCCUACAAUACUACUACAUCACUAGCUUAUUCCUUUGUGAGGAGGUUUAAAUUUUCAUCGACACAUAAUUCUCACACUGUUUUAUUUGAUCUUUAUGAUAAAUCAUACACCAUGGACCUAGAAGAUUUUAAUACUGCUUGUAAACUCCCCCAGUGGGGCAAUGUUAGUGAACCACGCAAAUCUGAAUACAAAGACUUUCUUGCUAGUAUCACUGUGGGAGAAACUAGAGAUAUCGCACAAGCAACCAUAGGGAGCAUUCAUUUCCCUGCCAUAUAGUAUUUUGCUCUCUUUAUAGGUAGAUGAGGUUUGUCACAUGUGCGUUCCAGAUCUUAGUGUCCUCAAGAGUGCGGUAUUAGGUGAUAAACAAUAUAACUUCGGGGCCAUUGUUGCACGGAGGUUACAUCUCAAUGGUAAAAAUGGAGAUUUGUUUGGUGGAAUUUAUGCAACUCGUGUAGCUAAUUAUCUUGGUGUACCCAUACAUGGAAAUGAUAUGGAGUUGCCUCCUGCCAAUCUAGAUUAUAGCGCUAUGGUUCGCCAUCAGUUUCUUGAGAAGAAUGAACAGUCCCUCCAGUACCGACUAAUCUUUGACAGGCGGUGUACUGUCCAUGUUACUCUCCCUGCUACUACUUUCUUUAACUUCCAGGCAAAAAGGAGAUAUUUUAUAACCAGUGAGGAGGCAAAUGAAUAUGAGAGGAGGACGGAGGUAGCUCACCUCCAAGUUGCAGCUCUCCAGGCAGUAGCUGCUGCAUCUCAGUACAACCCCGACUACAACUUUGGAUAUCCGCCAGGCCAGCAAUGGCCAUAGACCAACUUAGGCCAAAAGCUUAAGCUUGGGGGAGUACGUAUUUCCCACCGACAUUACAUUCAUGUUCACACACUCAUGCUAGUUUUCGGUGCUCAUACCUUUUCAUUGUACUAUCCAUGCUAGUUUUCUUUUCUUGCUUUCUUCUUGUGUGUUUCGAAAACCUUAAGAAAAACCAAAAAAAUUAGUUGUAGCCUUUAGCUAGUUUACUUUCCAUGCUGAUAGUAGUAACAUUAAAAGAAAACCCAAAAAGAUUUCUUGUUCUUCUUUUGCUUGUUGGGAGCUUUCCCGUGUAAAUAGUUUUAUUUCUUUUCUUUUUUGGGGGGGUUGAGAGGAGAAGACCACGAUGAAAAUGUUGAGUGGCUCUCAUAUGCAUUAUUGUUGAUCUAACCAAAGAGCCCAUAUUACCUUGUCUUCUCCUUUGUAUUAAAUGCUUGCAGAUUCCAGCUUAGUCCAAUGCACGUGCACUAUUAUUAUUAUCCACACCAUUCAGUUGUGCGAGUGAAAGGCAAUAAUGACGAUAUACGAUGAAAUGAUUGAGAUGAGAGAAGCUGGUAUGAACUCGACCUAUCUUGUUUUUGUAAAUAUGAUUAGUUCAUCAUUCCUGAUUCAGCCUAUUAUGAAUGAAACAUGUUUGCAAUGACAAUUAGAGAUUAUAGUUGCUCAUGCCAUGCUUAAUUAACUAGGGUUUAUAAUGGUUUACCUUGCGUGCCAACAUGCUAUUAAAAUGGUUGUGAUGUGGUAUGAUAGGGUGGUAUCCUCCUUUGAAUGAUUCGAGUGGCUUGACUUGGCACAUGUUCACGCAUGUAGUUGAAACAAAAUCAACAUAGCCUUCACAAUAUUUAUGUUCAUGGUGAUUUAUAUCCUACUCAUGCUUGCACUCAUUGUUGGUUAAUCUUAAUGCAUGUUCAUGACUGUUGUCGCUCUCUAGUUGGUCGCUUCCCAGUCUCUUUCUAGCCUUCACUUGUACUAAGCGGGAAUACUGCUUGUGCAUCCACUUCCAUAAACCACAAAGUUGUUCCAUAUGAGUCCACCAUACCUUCCUAUAUGCGGUAUUUACCUGUCAUUCCAAGUAAAUUUGUAUGUGCCAAACUCUAAACCUUCAAAUGAAAUUCUGUUUUGUAUGCUCGAAUAGCUUAUGUAUCAACUAGGGCUAUCUAUAUCUUCCAUGCUAGGUGGGUUAUUCUGACGAUGAGUGGACUCCGCUCAUCAUUCACGAGAAAAUGGCUGGUAACCGGGAUGCCCAGUCCCAUGCUCAAAUCAAAUCAAAUAAAUGCAAACAAAACUCCCCUAGGAUUGUUGUUAGUUGGACGACACCCAUUGUUUCGGACAAGCCAUGCAUUGAUGUUUUUUGGUGGUGGGGGAGUAUAAACUUUACCAUUAUGCUUGGGAACCGCCUAUAAUGUAUGUAGCAUGGAAGAUAUCGAGAUUUCUCAGUUAUUAUGUUGACAAUGAAAGUAUGCCGCUCAAAAUUUUAUUUAUCUCUCUUUAAAAACUCAAGCUCUGGCACCUCUGCAAAUCCCUGCUUCCCUCUGUGAAGGGCCUAUCUAUUUAGUUUUAUGUUGAGUCAUCAUCCUUUUAUUAAAAACCACCAGUUGGAGAGCACCACUGUCAUUUGCAUGCAUUGCUAUUAAUUUACAUUGAGUAUGAUUGUGACUGAAUCUUUUUUACCAUGAAUUACAAUUUCCAGUCAGUCCUUGAUCUUCAGGGGUGCUCUGCAUUUAUGUUUGUUAUCUCGGAAAGGGCUAGCGAGAUACCAUCUUGUUAUAUCAUAUUAUGAUUGUUUUGAGAAAGUGUUGUCAUCUGAGAUUUAUUAUCAUUGCUCGCUAGUUGGUUAUGCCAUUGAUAUGAGUAAAUGUGAGGCCUAAAUGUUAUUGGAAUAUGGUUAGUUCAUAAUCUUUGCUGAAAACUUGAAUGUUGGCUUUACAUAUUUGCAACAACAAGAUCAAACAGAUUUUGUAAAAGUUUUUCUUUAUCACUUUCAGUUUGCCAACUGAAUUGCUUGAGGACAAGCAAAGGUUUAAGCUUGGGGGAGUUGAUACGUCUCCAACUUAUCUACUUUUCCAAACACUUUUGCCCUUGUUUUGGACCCUACCUUGCAUGAUUUGAAUGGAACUAACCCGGACUGACGUUGUUUUCAGCAGGAUUGCCAUGGUGUUAUUUUUGUGCAGAAAUAAAAGUUCUCGGAAUGACCUGAAAAUCCACGGAGACACAUUUUGGAAUUAAUAAAAAAUAUUGGCAAAAGAAUCAACGUCAGGGGGCCCACACCCUGUACAUGAUGGUGCAGGGCGUGCCCACCACCCUAGGGCGCGCCCCCUUCCUCGUGAGCCCCUUGGGACUCCACCGACCUCAACCCCAACUCCAUAUAUUCACUUUCGAGAGAAAAAACAGAGAGAAGGAUUCAUCACGUUUUACGAUACGUAGGCGCCGCCAAGCCCUAAUCUUCUUCGGGAGGGAUGAUGUGGAGUCCAUUCGGGGCACCGAAGAGGGCAAUCCGUCACCAUCAUCAUCAUCAACCAUCAUCAUCAACCAUCCUCCAUCACUAAUUUCAUGAUGCUCACCGCCGUGCGUGAGUAAUUCCAUCGUAGGCUUGCUGGACGGUGAUGGGUUGGAUGAGAUUUACCAUGUAAUCGAGUUAGUUUUGUUAGAUUUGAUCCCUAGUAUCCAUUAUGUUCUAAGAUUGAUGUUGCUAUGAUUUUGCCAUGCUUAAUGCUUGUCACUAGGGCCUGAGUGCCAUGAUUUCAUAUCUGAACCUAUUAUGUUUUCAUGAAUAUAUGUGAGUUCUUGAUCCUAUCUUGCAAGUCAUUAGUCACCUACUAUGUGUUAUGAUCCGGCAACCCCGAAGUGACAAUAAUCGGGACCACUCUCGGUGAUGAAUGUAGUUUGAGGAGUUCAUGUAUUCACUAAGUGUUAAUGCUUUGGUCCGGUACUCUAUUAAAAGGAAGCCUUAAUAUCCCUUAGUUUCCAAUAGGACGCCGUUGCCACAGGAGGGUAGGACAAAAGAUGUCAUGCAAGUUCUUUUCCAUAAGCACGUAUGACUAUAUUCGGAAUACAUGGCUGCAUUACAUUGAUGAACUUGAGCUAGUUCUGUGUCACCCUAUGUUAUAACUGUUGCAUGAGGAAUCGCAUCCGACAUAAUUAUCCAUCAUUGAUCCAUUGCCUACAAGCUUUUCACAUAUUGAUCUUUGCUUAGUUACUUCCCCGUUACCACUGUUACGAUUACUACAAAACUACUAUUGUUACUUUUGCCAUCGUUACCAUUACUUCCAUACUACUUUGCUACUAAAUAUUUUGCUGCAGAUAUUAAGUCUUUCAGGUGUGGUUGAAUUGACAACUCAGUUGCUAAUACUUGAGAAUAUUCUUUCGCUCCCCUUGUGUCGAAUCAAUAAAUUUGGGUUGAAUACUCUACCCUCGAAAACUGUUGCAAUCCCCUAUACUUGUGGGUUAUCACUGAUCCAUUUUGAACUUCUUCCAAACUUUAUCAAGGUAUGUGCUUUGUGAAAGUCCAAUUAAGCGUCGUGAUCUAUCUCUAUAGAUCUUGAUGCCCAAUAUGUCAGCAGCUUAACCGGGGUCUUUCAUGGAAAAACUCUUAUUCAGGUAUCCCUUUAUGCUAUCCAGAAAUUUUAUAUCAUUUCCAAUCAACAAUAUGUCAUCCACAUAUAAUAUUAGAAAUGCUAUAGAGCUCCCAAUCACUUUCUUGUAAAUACAGGCUUCUCAAAAAGUCUGUAUAAAACCAUAUGCUUUGAUCACACUAUCAAAACGUUUAUUCCAACUCCGAGAGGCGUGCACCAGUCCAUAAAUGGAUCGCUGGAGCUUGCAUACUUUGUUAGCACCCUUUGGAUCGGCAAAACCUUCAGGUUUCAUCAUAUACAACUCUUCUUCUAGAAAUCUGUUCAGGAAUGUAGUUUUGACAUCCAUCUGCCAAAUUUCAUAAUCUUAAAAUGCGGCAAUUGCUAACAUGAUGCGGACAUACUUAAGCAUCGCUACGGGUGAGAAAGUCUCAUUGUAGUCAACUCCUUGAACUUGUCGAAAACCUUUCACAACAAGUCGAGUUUUGUAGGUAGUAACAUUACCGUCAGCGUCGGUCUUCUUCUUGAAGAUCCAUUUAUUUUCUAUGGCUUUCCGAUCAUCGGGCAAGUCCACCAAAGUCCACACUUUGUUCUCAUACAUGGAUCCCAUCUCAGAUUUCAUGGCCUCUAGCCAUUUCACAGAAUCUGGGCUCAUCAUGGCUUCCUCAUAGUUUGUAGGUUCACCAUGGUCUAGUAACAGGACUUCCAGAAUAGGAUUAAUGUACCACUCUGGUGUGGAUCUCACUCUGGAAGACCUACGAGGUUCAGUAGUAACUUGAUCUGAAGUUUCAUGAUCAUCAUCAUUAACUUCCUCACUGAUUGGUGUAGGAACCACUGGAAUUGAUUUCUGUGAUGAACUACUUUCCAAUAAGGGAGAAGGUACAAUUACCUCAUCAAGUUCUAUUUUCCUCCCACUCACUUCUUUCGAGAGAAACUCCUUCUCUAGAAAGGAUCCAUUUUUAGCAACAAAAAUCUUGCCUUCGGAUAUGUGAUAGAAGGUGUACCCAACAGUUUCCUUUGGGUAUCCUAUGAAGACGAACUUCUCUGAUUUGGGUUCGAGCUUAUCAGGUUGAAGCUUUUUCACAUAAGCAUCUUAUCCCCAAACUUUAAGAAACGACAACUUCGGUUUCUUGCCAAACCACAGUUCAUAAGGCGUCGUCUCAAUGGAUUUUGAUGGUGCCUUAUUUAAAGGGAAUGCAUCCGCCUCUAAAGCAUAACCCCAAAACGAUAGCGGUAAAUCAAUAAGAGACAUCAUAGAUCGCACCAUAUCCAAUAAAGUACGAUUACAACGUUCGGACACACCAUUUCGCUGUGGUGUUCCAGGUGGCGUUAACUGUGAAACUAUCCCAUGUUGUUUCAAAUGAAGACCAAACUCGUAACUCAAAUAUUCUCCUGCACGAUCAGAUCAUAGAAACUUUAUUUUCUUGUUAUGAUGAUUUUCCACUUCACUCUAAAAUUCUUUGAACUUUUCAAAUGUUUCAGACUUAUGCUUCAUUAAGUAGAUGUACCCAUAUCUGCUCAAAUCACUUGUGAGGGUAAGAAAAUAAUGAUACCCGCCACAAGCCUCAACACUCAUUGGACCUCAUACAUCGGUAUGUAUUAUUUCCAACAAGUCAGUAGCUCGUUUCAUUGUUCGGGGGAACAGAGUUUUAGUCAUCUUGCCCAUGAGGCACAGUUCGCAAGCACCAAGUGAUUCAUAAUCAAGUGAUUACAAAAGUCCAUUAGCAUGGAGUUUCUUCAUGCACUUUAUACUGAUAUGACCCAAACGGCAGUGCCACAAAUAAGUUGCACUAUAAUUAUCAACAUUGCAUCUUUUGGCUUCAAUAUUAUGAAUAUGGGUAUCAUCACCAUCGAGAUUCAACAAAAAUAGACCACUCAGCAAGGGUGCAUGACUAUAAAAGAUAUUACUCAUAUAAAUAGAACAAUCAUUAUUCUCUGAUUUAAAUGAAUAAUCGUCUCGCAUCAAACAAGAUCCAUAUAUAAUGUUCAUGCUCAACGCUGGCACCAAAUAACAAUUUCUGGUCUAAAACUAAUCCCGGUGGUAUAUGUAGAGGUAGCGUGCCGACGGCGAUCACAUCGACCUUGGAACCAUUUCCCACGCACAUCGUCACCUCCUCCUUAGCCAAUAUUCGUUUAAUCCGUAGCCCCUAUUUCGAGUUGCAAAUAUGAGCAACAGAACCAGUAUCAAAUACCAGGCGCUACUACGAGCAUUAGUAAGGUACACAUCAAUAACAUGUAUAUCAAAUAUAACUUUCACUUUGUCAUCCUUCUUAUCUGCCAAAUACUUGGGGCAGUUCCACUUCCAGUGACCAGUCCCUUUGUAGUAGAAGCACUUAGUUUCAGGCUUAGGUCCAGACUUGGGUUUCUUCUCUUGAGCAGCAACUUUCUUGCCAUUCUUCUUGAAGUUCCCCUUCUUCCCUUUGCCUUUUUUUCUUGAAACUAGUGGUCUUAUUGACCAUCAACACUUGAUGCUCCUUCUUGAUUUCUACCUCCACAGCCUUUAGCGUCGCAAAGAGCUCGAGAAUAGUCUUGUUCAUCCCUUGCAUAUUAUAGUUCAUCACGAAGCCUUUGUAGUUUGGUGGCAGUGAUUGAAGAACUCUGUCAAUGACACUAUAAUCAGGAAGAUUAACUCCUAGCUGAGUCAAGUGGUUAUGGUACCCAGACAUUCUGAGUAUGUGUUCACUGACAGAACUAUUCUCCUCCAUUUUGCAGCUAUAGAACUUGUUGGGGACUUCAUAUCUCUCAACUCGGGCAUUUGCUUUAAAUAUUAACUUCAACUCUUGGAACAUCUCAUAUGCUCCAUGACGUUCAAAACGUCUUUGAAGUCCCGAUUAUAAGCCGUAAAGCAUGGCACACUAAACUAUCGAGUAGUCAUCAGCUUUGCUCUGCCAGACGUUCUUAAUGUCAUCAGUAGCAUCUAUAGCAAGCCUGGCACCCAACGGUGCUUCCAGGACGUAAUUAAUUCUUAUGUGCAGCAAUGAGGAUAAUCCUCAAGUUACGGACCCAAUCUGGGUAGUUGUUGCCAUCAUCUUUCAACUUAGCUUUCUCUAGGAACUCAUUAAAAAUCAAAGGAACGGUAGCACGGGCCAUUGAUCUACAAUAACAUAGACAUGUAAAAUAACUAUCAGGACUAAGUUUAUGAUAAAUUAAAGUUCAAUUAAUCAUAUUACUUAAGAACUCCCACUUAGAUAGACAUCCCUCUAGUCAUCUAAAUGAUCACGUGAUCCAAAUCAACUAAACCAUGUCUGUAAGUGCAUCUAGUGCCCCUUAGUGAUUUUGGUGUAUUGAAGACUUAUAGGUUAAGGGACUGAUGUGUUUGUGAGUGUACACAGCUCUAUAAGUCUAUGAGGAGUUUCAUAUUUACACAGAAACUCGACCCUUAAAAAUGAAGUUCUUCGACUGAAGACUUUGGAUUUCUGAAGACUUUCUGAAGACUUCGAAAGUGAAGAAAUUGAUGUGACCUUGAAGACUUAGCAAUCAUUCGAGGAACAUGAAGCGUGAAGACUUUUGUUUUCGUAGUUUCAUUUUCUCUUUCUUGAGUCAUAGGAAGCAUCGUACUGUUAAAGGGGGUCGAGGAAAUACUAAGGAAAAAUUUCCAUGUGAUGCUCAACUCAAAAUCCUACACCUACCAAUCCCUUUGAGUGAAGCCAUUGGAAAUCUCAUACAGAUCAGUCAAUUUCUUCAGUAACGGAGACGAAGUUCUUCUGGUUGCUAAGGAAUUUGUUCUGAUUGAGGAGUUAGGAAUUCGCCAGUGCGGGUUGCCUACACAAUGAGGAACAUGAUAGCCCUGAGGAAUUUGAGAGUCAAAAUUCUGACUGUUGUUGUGCUACGCGCCAGCUGUCCCAAAAUAUCUACCCACCUAACGGUCAUAUCAUUGAAGGGCAUCUAUGUCUUAUCAUGUCGGGCUGCUCCCUAGGCUAUAAAUAGCCGCCCCCUACAAUCACUAGUUGGUUGGCUGCUCCGAGAGAACCUGACACUUGUCAUUUGAGAGCAUCCCAUCCUCCGAGGACUUUGAGUGAAAAUCAUCAAGUGAGGAAAACCCAAACUGAAACACCUUCAAACCCAAAGUGAUUGAGCAUCACUGAAGAGAUUGAUCCUGCGUGGAUCCGACGCUUGUUUCCUUUGAAGACUGUGCUUCUUCCAGAUGGUUAGGUGUCAAGGUCUAGAGCAUCCAAGAGGAAUUGUGGAUCACCGAGUGACCGAGUUUGUGAAGGUUCGGAAGUCACCUGAAGACUUACCAUGAGUGAUUGGGCGAGGUCUAUGUGACUUUAGCUCAAGGAGAAUACGGUGAGGACUGUGUGGCCGGGACUGUGUGUCCUUUAGUUUAAGUACCUAGCCGCUCCAACCAGAUGUACAACUGAGACAGCAGUUGGAACUGGUCUACCAAAUCAUUGUCUUCACCAAGCUUACUGGUUCUAUUUUCUCAACUCUUUCAAUUCCUCAUUUCACUUGUUGUGUGCUUGUUCAUAUCUGUUUGAAGACUUUCACUGAAGACUUUCUCAUUUUCCUCAGUUCAAUUUCUUCUGUCUAUCCGUCUUCAUCCUCUAUUAUCCUGUGGUAACGCUUUCUGUACUAUGUGCUUGUCUUCAUUUCAUCAUGAUGACUAUGCUUGUGUUCAGUUAUGUUUACUUCUGAGUACUUAUUCCACUACAAGUAGUUCUUCGCUAAGGAAUUUCCUCACCAGCAAAUUCCUUAGUGAAGAAUUCAUAAAACUCGCCUAUUCACCCCCCUAGUCGAUAUAAUGCACUUUCAAUUGGUAUCAGAGCAAGGUACUCCCUUGUUCUGUGUGAUUUUGGUUUAACCACCUAGAGUUUUAGUUAUGUCGACCGCAGGUAUGAUCAAGGUCUCUGCUGGGUGUCCUACCUUCGAUGGGAUGGACUACCCCUACUGGAAGAAUAAGAUGCGAAUGCAUCUUGAGGCAAUUGAUAACGAUCUCUGGUAUGUUCUAGAAAAUGGUGUUCCCUCAGUCACACCUUCUCUGAACGCUACUGAUGUGAACAGAUUCAAGCAACUCGAUUCUCAAGCGAAGAACAUCAUAUGUGGCCAUCUGAGCAAAGGACAGUAUGGAAGGGUGAGUGCUUUGGAAACUGCUAAGCUUAUCUGGGAUAGGCUGUCCAAAGUAAAUGAAGGAGUCUCAACUCAACAUGACUCUCCUGUUGACGUUCUUCGCAAACUCUUCAACCGCUUCAAAAGACUCGACAAUGAAAAUGUUCAACAAACCUUCGAUCGCCUCACUGACAUCUCAAAUGAGCUUCAAGCACUUGGUACCACUGACAUCACUGAUCAUGAGGUGGUGAAGAAAUUGAUGAGAUCGCUUGAUUCCUCAUUUGAUACUCUGGCACUGAUGAUUCAAGAGUGUGCUGAUUACAAGUCACUUCAUCCCGCUGAUAUCCUUGAGAGGCUAAACACUCAUGAGUUCUAGCUUGCUGAGAAGAGAGAUCUCUAUGGUUCAAGCUAUGGCAAACCACAUGCUCUGAAAGCCAAGGCAGUCUCUGAGUCAGAAGAUGAAGACUCUGGCAGUAGCCUUGGCGAUCCUGAUGAACUGAGCCAGGAACUAGCACUUCUCGUGAAGAAAUUCCAGAACUUCUCAAGACGUGGUCGCUUUGGCAAAUCCUCAAGGAGUAAUGAUUCCUCAUCCAGUGACUACAAGAAGAGGCUAUGCCAUAAAUGCAAGAAGCCUGGUCACUACAUUCAAGAUUGUCCUCGGUGGGAUAAGGAAUUAAAGAAGAAGAAGUACAAGGAUUACAGUUCUGAUGAUGCCAAGAAGAAGAAUAAGAAAUCUUCAAAGUCUUCAUCAUCAAAAUCAUCAAAAUCUUCAUCUCACAAGAAGAGCAGCUCCAAGAAGGCUCAGGCAUUCAUUGGCAAGGAAAUGGCCUCUGAGGCUGAAUCUGAGGAACAUGAGGAAGAGGAGGCAUCUGAGGAGUCCGAGUCUGGUGUGGCAAGCCUAGCUCUUGCUAUUGCAUUCGUCAGCAAGUCUAUCUUCAACUCUGAAGAAAAUGGUAUCACCAACAAGGAUGAUGAAGGCAAUGAUGACUAUGCUCCCACCUAUUGCUUCAUGGCAAAGGGUGCCAAGGUAACUAAAUACCCCUCCUCUGAAUCUAGUGAGGAUGAAUCUAAUGAAAACCUCAAGCCUAGCUACUCUAAACUUGCUAAGAUUGCUGUGAAACAACAAAAGGCUAUUGAAAAGGUUCAAAACAUGCUAGACAAGAGUGAUGAUAUGUUAAGUGAAGAAAUGGAUCGCUCUCAAACCUCGACUGAAAAUCUUUAGAGACUUCAGUCUAAGUUUGACAACCUUCAAGGUCAUCAUAGCACUCUCUUGUCUGAUCACGAGAAGCUUUCUUAUGAAUUUCUUCAAAGAAAGCAAGAUCUUGAGAAGCUAAGAGUGAGUUAUGAAGAUCUUUAGAAGGAGCGUGAUUCAUUGCUUGCUCAACAAAUCAGCGCUACUCAGGAAGAAUUUGUUCCUCCAUGUUUGAAGUGCAUUGAACGUGAAACUGCUAAUUCUUCACCUGAAUGUUCAAAUGUUUCUAAUGCUACAAAUUCUUCAUAUGUCUCUGCUAUCACUAAUUGCUCAUCUGAGGACAUUGCUAGUAUCACUGAUGAUGUAGGGCUGAAGGAAUUGUACAUGACAGGCAUGUACAAAAGCCUCAAAGGGCAUCAGAUUCUUUGUGAUGUGCUUAAAAAGCAGAUCCUCAACAGGAACCCUAGGAAAGAGGGUAUUGCCUUUGAGAGGAAACUCAAUGCUGAUGGAACAUAUUGAAAGCCUGAGCAGUACCCCAAAACCUCAUGGGUUGCUGCAAAGGGACCUCCAGUUGAUCCAACCAAUUUAUCUGGCUUUACAUGUGAAUCUCUUCAUUCUUCUGAUGAGUCAUUUGACUCCAACUAUAAACUGUUCAAAAAUCAGAAUGGUGAAGUAUUUGCCAGAUAUGUUGGCACUAACUGCAGGGACGGUUCUCCUAUGACGAAAAUCUGGGUUCCCAAAAGGUGCCUUGAAAGUCUUCAGGUGAAUGUCCUCAUGACACCACCUGUGAAGAAUUGGAACCCCAGAUCAAAUUCUUCAUAUGGACCGAAUUCUUCAUAUGGAUCCAAGUCCUCAAACAGAAAAAAAUUCCUCACGUGGAUCAAAUUCCUCAAAAGGAUCAAAGUCCUCAUAUGAUCAUCGUCGUGCUAACUCCUCUGUUUCGCAGGGAAGAGCUAAGGGCUAUGAAUAUGAGCAUUAUUCUUCUAACCAUUAUGUUCAUAAGUCCUCGAAGAAUUUCUCUGCUUAUUCAUUUGCUUAUCCUAAUGUAACGCCCUCGAUGCGGCUAUAUCUCCCACGUGUCGAAGCACGACUUAGAGGCAUAACCGCAUUGAAAGCAAUGUCGCAAGUGAGGUAAUCUUCACACAACCCAUGCAAUACAUAAGGGAAAGAGAUACAUAGUUGGCUUACAAUCGCCACUUCACACAAUUACAUGAAUAAAGCAUUACAUCAUCCAGAUACAAUCAAGGUCCGACUACGGAACCAAAAUAAAAGAAGAACCCCAAAUGCGACAAAGGUCCCCGAUCGACCCCAACUGGGCUCCACUACUGAUCAACUAGAACGAAACAACACAAAGGGCAAGAUAUUCAUCGAGCUCCUCCUUAAGCUUGGUUGCGUCAUCUGCACGGUAACAUAGGCACCUGCAAACUGGUUUUGGAAGUAUCUGUGAGCCACGGGGACUCAGCAAUCUCACACCCGCGAGAUCAAGACUAUUUAAGCUUAUAGGAAGGAUGGAGUAAUGAGGUGGAGCUGCAGCAAGCGACUAGCAUAUAUGGUGGCUACAAUCGCAAAAGAGAGCGAGAAGAGAGGGCAAAGCACGGUCGAUAAAAGUAUGAUCAAGAAGUGAUCCUAUAGCAACCUACGUCAAGCAUAACUCCAACACCGUGUUCACUUCCCGGACUCCGCCGAGAAGAGACCAUCACGGUUACACACACGGUUGAUGUAUUUUAAAUAAGGUCAACUUCGGGUUUUCUACAACCGGACGUUAACAAAUUCCCAUCUGCCCAUAACCGCGGGCACGGCUUUCGAAAGAUAAUACCCUGCAGGGGUGUCCCAACUUAGCCCAUCACAAGCUCUCACGGUCAACGAAGGAAUAGACCUCCACCCGAGACACUCCAAUCAGACUCGGUAUCCCGGUACAACAAGACAUUUCGACAGGGUAAAACUAAACCAGCAACACCGCCCGAAUGUGCCGACAAAUCCCGAUAGGAGCUGCACAUAUCUCUUUCUCAGGGCACACUCAGAUGAGCAAUCCGUACAACUAAAACCAANNNNNNNNNNUCCCAUUAUAGCCCAACCGUGUAAGGAACGCAAAAUCCGGGAACAUAACACCGAUAUGACGGAAACUAGGGCGGCAAGAGUGGAACAAAACACCAGGCAUAAGGCCGAGCCUUCCACCCUUUACCAAGUAUAUAGAUGCAUUAAUUAAAUAAGAUAUAUUGUGAUAUCCCAACAAGUAAACAUGUUCCAACAAGGAACAACAUCUCCAUGUUCCAACAAGGAACAAACUCCAAUCUUCACCUGCAACUAACAACGCUAUAAGAGGGGCUAAGCAAAGCGGUAACAUAGCCAAUCAACGGUUUGCUAGGACAUGGUGGGUUAGAGGUUUGACAUGGCAAUUUGGGAGGCUGACAAGCAAAUGGUAGGCAUCGUAGCAUUGGCAUAGCAAAAGAGCGAGCAAACUAGCAUAGCAAAGAUAGUGGUGAUUUCGAGGGUAUGAUCAUCUUGCCUGAAAUCCCGCAAGGAAGAAGAACGAGUCCAUGAAGAAGACAAACGGACGUAGACGAACGGAUCCUCACAACUCCGGAACGAAACCGAAGCUAACGAGAGAAGCAACCCGGAAAGAAACAAACAACAUGGUAAACAACCAGCACAUCAACAUGGCAUGAUGCACAAUCAAGUAUGAUGCAUGUCCGGUUUAAUGAGGCAUGGCAUGGAAAAAUGAAGCAAACAACACUACAAUUUAAGUGGAGCUCAAUAUGCACGAGUUGCAUAUUGACGGAACACCACAUCAAUUAUUUAGUUCUCUCUCGGUUAAGCUACCCAACAAUAUUAACUGUUGUUAAACAUGGCAAGAGGUGAAGCAUAAUAUAAACUAUACCAUCUAAACAAUUUAAAUGGGGCCGGAUAUAAAAACGACAAAUCCGGUAAAUCCCCAUAUGCAUUUAGCAAUUUAAUGCAACAACAAGUUUAAACAUUUUAAAUGUUGUUAUCAUGAUGCGGAUGACAUAUACAAGUUUUAUGCAAUUUUAUGAAAAUGUUGACAUGAGCAUGUUAUGAAGCAUUUGGUCACCAUGGCGGAACAAAAAGGGUGCCACGGCGGCGAAACAAAAAUGGUGCCACGGCAACAUUCCGGUCCCGGUAACUCAUGGAGAUACCGGUGCAAAAAGGAAAAGUGACGAGAGCGUGACAUGCGAUAGAAGGUGGGGUGAUCCCGGAUACCGGGUUCCCACGGGAUAGUGGCAUGGAAACGAGUGACAAACGGACACGAUGCAAAAACGGGCAUCUCAUACAACAAGCAUUCGGUCCAUGGACAUCGUCUCGGGGUUAUACCUUCGAAGCGUGCGUUUUCGGAGCGGUUCGAGUUCGGUACGAUGUAGAGGAAGUAGACGUUCUCGGGUCGUCGUGGGAAGUAGUUGUACAUGACGACGGUAGUGGUACAUAUCGUAGUGGAAGUAGUUGUUCAUGUCCCGUGGAUGUUCGGGGCCCACGGGGUCUUCGAGGGUCGACGGUAGUGGUUCACGGACAUCGUGGAAGUAGUCGUACAUGUCGGCGAUAGUGGAACUUGGCGGUCUCGACGGUCAUCGGGGUACUUGUUGGUCCGGUCUUGGCGUCCGCAAUCGUAGUGGUACUUAGCGGUUUCGUGUAGUCGAACUCGGCGCAUCCGAAGGGGUACUUGACGAAAUCCACCUCGGAUGUAGUCGUACACGGUGUUGGUAGAGGAACUUGGCGGUCCAUGUACUCAAACUUGGCGCGUCCAAAGGGGAUGACCGGCUGGGCUGCUACUUCGGUUGGCGUGGCAGCGAGGCAAAGGAGCUCGUGCUCCUUGGCAACGAGAGGCUCGGGGCAUGAGCAGGGUCGAAGAGGGCCGAGGCAGGAGGCGAGCCGCGUGGUUGGCUGAUGGUAGCCGCGGCCAUGGAGGUCAACAAGCAUGGCCAUGCAGUCAUCCUCCUGCUCGAGGCAGAGGAUGCAGGGGCGACGACCACGCCGGACUUGAGGGCGGGGACGGCGAGGGGAGGCGGAGGCAGAGAUGGUCCGGCACGGAGAAGUCGCAGGCGAGGUGCGGGCGAGCUCGUGCUCGAGUGCCUGAAGACGAUGACGCGGCGGCAGAGAAGCGGGCGGUGGCGCUGGAAGAAGGCAGCGGCGGCGGACUGGGCGCAGGAGAUGGCGCGACGGGCGACGAGGAGGUCGGGGCUCCGGCCUGGCUCUCUCCUCCGGCGAGGGCGGAGCGCGGGAGCAAGGGGAGGCAAUGGCGACGAGCUCGAGGAGCUGCUGCCCUUGAGCGCUCGGGCGACGGGGACGGCUGGCGCCGGUGGAGGGAGGAGGCGACGGGGUCGCGCGCGAGGGAGAAAGAAGGGCGAGGUGGAGGCGCACCGGAGGGGAAGGGGAAGAUCGAGGAGAGGGGGCGAGGGGAUCGGGCGCAGGGAGCUCGAUGGGGAACGAGGGAAAGGGGGUCGAGAGGAUGCAGUCUCUCCUGAGCGGCGGCGCGAGGGAACGAGAGGGAGCGAUCGAGAAGAGGGGGUCGGGCUAGGGUUAUGUAGCGGCGUGGCUGGGCCUUGGGCCUAGGGAGACUGGGCCGGCCUGGUGGGGAGGGGAAUGGCCAGAGGCCUGGCUGGGUCUCUCCCUCACUCUAAUGAAAAAUAAAAUAGAACAGAGAAAAGAAAGAAAAGAAAGAGAGGUUUAGGGAAAGGAUUUGCGCAUGGAGACAAUUUUCCCGGACUCACAAAAAUGAGCUUGUUCCAAGAAAAAUAGAAAGGCCAAGAUUGAAAGAUUUAAAUUCAAACUCAUUUGAAUUUAAUUCAAAUGGGUUUGAACGGAAGUGAGGGUUUGGGAAGGUCCAAAAAUGUUCGGAUUUUUGGUGGAGCUCCGAAAAAUGAUGAAAUAAUUAUUGGCAAGGUCGGAGACCAAACUUGAAGCAUAAAAGAAACGAAAUUAUUUUGCAAGUGUGUUUUGGUGAUUUCCGAAAUAAAGAAAUAUUUAAUAUAGCUCCCUAAUAUUGGAGGAUAUGUUAUAAAGAGAAGUCACCAUGUGAGUCCCUCGAUUUAAAUGGAUCAAAAAAAUCCAUACAAUUUAUUUAGUUGAGUUUUAAAAAAAAUGACAUGAUGGCAUGAUGCAAUGCAAACGAUGCAACAAACAAAACAAAUCACACGACGAAACUCGGAAUAGCUGGAAGUCUUCUGGAGCGUCGGUCUCGGGGCAUUACAACACUCCACCACUACAAGAGGAUCUCGUCCCGAGAUCUAGGAUGGCACCGGAGGGAAACGGAAGAGGAAGAUAAGCGGUAAAACUAAGUUGCUUCUUUGACAAACGAGUGAAUCCAAAGAACCUUGAAAGGUUAAUCCAUUUCGAGAAAAGAAUACAAAGGAGAUGAACGAGAUUGCAAACAAUCCGUUAGAAAGAGGAACAAGGAACAUUACGAGAACUUGAAGGUUGCAAAGACAUGAAUCAAGAGUUUAAUGGACAAGAUAGAAUUCGAAACCACUCCGGUUAAAACAAGAUGAGAGGGGAAGAAUUCGGGCAGUACUCCGGUUGAACAUGGAAGGAAUAGAACAUGAACUUGAGAAGAUGGGAUGUUACUUGAUGAAAUCAACAACACACUGCCUCCGGAACUAUUGAAAGAAUGGCACAAUGGGUAAGAAGGAUUUCAGACAGCUCUCUAGUUGAGGAAGGAGGGAAAACUUGAUAAGAUUAGAGAACUCGAAUGAAAACACGACACUCCGGUUAAAUGGAUAAGCAAGAAAAGAACACGAUCCUCACGAAUCGAGAUGGUGAGUGAAAAAGAGCAACGUCACAAUGCCUCCGAAAGAAAUAAUAGAAGAUAUAUCAUUGGAAUAACAGAAUGGAGAAGAAAAUGCCAACUUCUGCCACAAAUGAGUUUGGAAAGCAUCCUUGCAAAGAAGAAUUGAACAGAGUUGUUGGAAAAUCAACAACGAAAAGCACAAGCUUGUAGUGGGCUUAUGGAAAACAUCUCAAAAUUAUGAGGUGACAACCGGCCACUAACGGAAACAAUUGCUUGCUUGAGAUCAACGAAGAGAUGAAAACUUCUUCCACCAAGAUGAUAAAGAGAUAACUUGGAUCAUUGGCAAGCACCACAAAUAGCAACAUUCCCAAUGGAAGGCUUUUAGGUGAAAUAUGACACAAGAUAACUCCAACAACGAGGUUGAUGGAUUUAAAAAUAACCCAUUCUUAACAACAUGUGAAUCAUGGAACAUGAACUCAAAUUAUCAAGAAUGACAUAAUACCACCUCCAAAAUAUGGUAGAAAGAAUUGCACUCCAGAUUACCAUAUGAAGAAAGCUUGAGCUCCUUAGGAAAGAAUCUCGAUGAAAACUUUGAGAAGGGAAUUAAAUCCUUGAUGAACCAUCAUGUAGAACCUCCAUGAAGAACUCCGGUAAACAAAAGGAAUGAGAAGAAAGAGAAAUUGAAAACACAAGGUGAAUCCUUGCAAUGAUUUAGAUGGAUCUCCGUGAUAAUUAGCACUUGGAACUCCGGGAAAAAGAGAAGAUGAAACAAAUGAAACCAAGAAUUUUAAGGGCCUUCGGAAUAACGAAUUAAUCACUUGGAUGAACAAGAAUAAGAAUUAUGUUAUGCUUAUCCUUCACCAAUUAAAUUGACGACAAUCAACGGAUUUGGCAUACUACUUAUUCUCGUAGAAAGGAUUAAAAGAGAUAUAGCGUAAACUUGAGAAGGUCUUCAACGAACCACCGGUACGAUUGGAACAACAAAUGAAUUGAUAUGAUGAACAAGGAAGAGAGAUCUUGAAAGAACCACCGUAAGAAUUGAAAAUGAUCGAAGUAGGGGUGCAUCACCGGUAAGAAUUAGCAAAUGAAUGAAGGUGCUUGAGACAAACUAGAUACAUGAGAACAAAGAGAUCAAGAACUGAUUAGAGGAUAUUCGAUUAAUGCACCGGCAAGAUAGGAGAAUGAUAACUGACGGCUGAGAAUGAAUAAACCUGAAUUGAUGGACUCCGGAUGACAAACUGAGAAGACUCUUGAAUAUCUCCUGAUGGGUGAAAAAGAUUCUCACAAUCGAAAACAAUUAUGAGAGGAUGGCAACAAGCUAGCACCAUGAAUCUUGAAGAGAAUAGAGCAAGAUUAAAGAGAAACUCUUCUUCGGUCUUCAAAUGAUGAGAAUGACAACGAGAAACACCACCAAGAAUUAUUGAGGCACACCGGAAGAAUCAAAAGCGAAGAGGUUGAGCCAACUAUGAAAAGAAUUUGAAAGAUCUUGGAGAAAAAGCACUUGACUAAUGAUAACUCAUUCUUACGUCAAACUUGGAGAAGAAUUUAGGAUAGCUCUGGGAAAAUAGAAGAGUCAGGUAAGAUCCUGGGAAAAGACCUGUGGGUUAGGGCCCACUCAAAAGAAACACCGUUGAACAAUUUGAAGAGAGAUAAUGAACCGGUUGAAAUAAAAGACUUGAAUGAGAGAACAUCCUCGAAAGAUCUUGAACGAAUGCAAAGUGGAAACACGAAUCUUCGAGAUAUCUUGAGCACUCCGGAACAAUUUAAUAGCGAGAGAUGGAUGAUUAAGAGGUGCACCGGCAUAAGAAAAGCAUUGGAAAAAAAAGAAAAGGAGUAUGCUUAAUACCAAAGCUUGAAUUAAAUCCACCGGAGAAGAAAAGAACGAGGAAUGACGAACUUGAAGCUCCAUUAGAAUCUUCAUGAGAAUCACCGGAUAAGAACAUUGACGGAAAAGAAUGGAGAAACUUCCCAUCAAUAAAAUGGAUACUUGAAGAAGAAAUCUUAGUCCUUGAAGAAAAACAAAAGGGAGGGAGGGUGGGAAAAACAAAGGCAACUUGGAGACGNNNNNNNNNNAAAAAGAAAAGGAGUAUGCUUAAUACCAAAGCUUGAAUUAAAUCCACCGGAGAAGAAAAGAACGAGGAAUGACGAACUUGAAGCUCCAUUAGAAUCUUCAUGAGAAUCACCGGAUAAGAACAUUAACGGAAAAGAAUGGAGAAACUUCCCAUCAAUAAAAUGGAUACAUGAAUAAGAUAUAUGAGUCCUUGAACAAAAAGGGUGGGAGGGCGGGAAAAACAAAGGCAACUUGGGGCAGCUGGAAUGAACACCGUUGAGAAAACUUAGAAUUGAUCUUGCGGAUGGGGAGAAUGAUCAGAUCCACUUGAAGAGAGACACACUGGUUGAAAAGGAUUGGCAAGACAAUCUCGAUUGUCGAGAAGGAUUAGUAUUCACAUAGGAAUAUGAGAACACCAUUUGGAAAAGGUGUGGAAUCAACAUUUAACUUCGAAGCAACUCGAAUACCACAACUCAAAACAAAACAAAGGAUUGGCUUGCAAAAUAAGCCAGAACAAACAUAUGAUAGAGAUUUCGUCCGAAGUUUUCGUGGUGGGGCCUACACGGGCUCGAUCGUACAGCACCAUCAUGUACAAGGCAGUGCACAUGACAUACGAAGCGUCCCCGAGUCGGCAUAGCCAAGGACUCUUUAAGACACAACGAGACCACUGUAAAAUCGACCGUGAAUAGGCGGACCACUAGACGUCGAACCCCAAUUUCAUAUCAUACAUCUGUUGGAAAGAUAUCCUAAGAGCUACUUGAAUUCCCACCUAUGAAACUCCCGAAAUUUUCAGGUUAUGCAAUCAGGUGUUGGGGAUACAGGGGAAGCAUAAUAUCUCACCCAAAACUAGCAAAUCCUACAUCCAGCUGUAUCCAUCCUUCAACACAUAACCAAGAAAACUUCGGAAACCGUCUACCUCAACCUUCGAAAAGCAUCCGUUAUACGAGUCAUGGCAAUACUCCCGUACUCACCUCAGUACUGGGUUAUCGGGGUUAUCUCACCAACAACUGCAUAAAAGAGAUUUUCGAUGUCGGCGUACUAAACUCAGGUAUUCCAGAACUGCAACGAUAAAAUUAUGACGACAACACCUCAGAGCUCAACUCCCCGGGACACUUCCACUAAACCCCUGACAGGAGGCACCAAGACAAUGUUCUCAUCAUAAAACCAUCAGAACGAUUCCAAGAUACCCGCGUGAUCCUAAAAAUUUUUAGUGAAAUUUGAGAAGAGAAGAGUCAAAACUCUACGUCAGGAUGCCUUACCAGAGCGAUGAAGAGACUGGGGAGUAAAAAGAAUUCCUAACUCUCCGAUAUAUAAUUCCUAAAUGACUCAAAACAUUUUUCUAGACACAACUCGGCCGCUAAAAACGAUCAAGCAGUGGGGCUCCUAAGGUCGGGGAAGGCUCUGAUUACCAACUUGUAACGCCCUCGAUGCGGCUAUAUCUCCCACGUGUCGAAGCACGACUUAGAGGCAUAACCGCAUUGAAAGCAAUGUCGCAAGUGAGGUAAUCUUCACACAACCCAUGCAAUACAUAAGGGAAAGAGAUACAUAGUUGGCUUACAAUCGCCACUUCACACAAUUACAUGAAUAAAGCAUUACAUCAUCCAGAUACAAUCAAGGUCCGACUACGGAACCAAAAUAAAAGAAGAACCCCAAAUGCGACAAAGGUCCCCGAUCGACCCCAACUGGGCUCCACUACUGAUCAACUAGAACGAAACAACACAAAGGGCAAGAUAUUCAUCGAGCUCCUCCUUAAGCUUGGUUGCGUCAUCUGCACGGUAACAUAGGCACCUGCAAACUGGUUUUGGAAGUAUCUGUGAGCCACGGGGACUCAGCAAUCUCGCACCCGCGAGAUCAAGACUAUUUAAGCUUAUAGGAAGGAUGGAGUAAUGAGGUGGAGCUGCAGCAAGCGACUAGCAUAUAUGGUGGCUACAAUCGCAAAAGAGAGCGAGAAGAGAGGGCAAAGCACGGUCGAUAAAAGUAUGAUCAAGAAGUGAUCCUAUAGCAACCUACGUCAAGCAUAACUCCAACACCGUGUUCACUUCCCGGACUCCGCCGAGAAGAGACCAUCAUGGUUACACACACGGUUGAUGUAUUUUAAAUAAGGUCAACUUCGGGUUUUCUACAACCGGACGUUAACAAAUUCCCAUCUGCCCAUAACCGCGGGCACGGCUUUCGAAAGAUAAUACCCUGCAGGGGUGUCCCAACUUAGCCCAUCACAAGCUCUCACGGUCAACGAAGGAAUAGACCUCCACCCGAGACACUCCGAUCAGACUCGGUAUCCCGGUACAGCAAGACAUUUCGACAGGGUAAAACUAAACCAGCAACACCGCCCGAAUGUGCCGACAAAUCCCGAUAGGAGCUGCACAUAUCUCUUUCUCAGGGCACACUCAGAUGAGCAAUCCGUACAACUAAAACCAAACCUCGAGUUUCCCCGAGGGGGCGCUGCACAGGGCUCUAGUUCGGACCAACACUCAGAGGAGCACUGGCCCGGGGGGGUUAAAAAAANNNNNNNNNNNNNNNNNNNNNNNNNNNNNNNNNNNNNNNNNNNNNNNNNNNNNNNNNNNNNNNNNNNNNNNNNNNNNNNNNNNNNNNNNNNNNNNNNNNNNNNNNNNNNNNNNNNNNNNNNNNNNNNNNNNNNNNNNNNNNNNNNNNNNNNNNNNNNNNNNNNNNNNNNNNNNNNNNNNNNNNNNNNNNNNNNNNNNNNNNNNNNNNNNNNNNNNNNNNNNNNNNNNNNNNNNNNNNNNNNNNNNNNNNNNNNNNNNNNNNNNNNNNNNNNNNNNNNNNNNNNNNNNNNNNNNNNNNNNNNNNNNNNNNNNNNNNNNNNNNNNNNNNNNNNNNNNNNNNNNNNNNNNNNNNNNNNNNNNNNNNNNNNNNNNNNNNNNNNUCCCAUUAUAGCCCAACCGUGUAAGGAACGCAAAAUCCGGGAACAUAACACCGAUAUGACGGAAACUAGGGCGGCAAGAGUGGAACAAAACACCAGGCAUAAGGCCGAGCCUUCCACCCUUUACCAAGUAUAUAGAUGCAUUAAUUAAAUAAGAUAUAUUGUGAUAUCCCAACAAGUAAACAUGUUCCAACAAGGAACAACAUCUCCAUGUUCCAACAAGGAACAAACUCCAAUCUUCACCUGCAACUAACAACGCUAUAAGAGGGGCUAAGCAAAGCGGUAACAUAGCCAAUCAACGGUUUGCUAGGACAUGGUGGGUUAGAGGUUUGACAUGGCAAUUUGGGAGGCUGACAAGCAAAUGGUAGGCAUCGUAGCAUUGGCAUAGCAAAAGAGCGAGCAAACUAGCAUAGCAAAGAUAGUGGUGAUUUCGAGGGUAUGAUCAUCUUGCCUGAAAUCCCGCAAGGAAGAAGAACGAGUCCAUGAAGAAGACAAACGGACGUAGACGAACGGAUCCUCACAACUCCGGAACGAAACCGAAGCUAACGAGAGAAGCAACCCGGAAAGAAACAAACAACAUGGUAAACAACCAGCACAUCAACAUGGCAUGAUGCACAAUCAAGUAUGAUGCAUGUCCGGUUUAAUGAGGCAUGGCAUGGAAAAAUGAAGCAAACAACACUACAAUUUAAGUGGAGCUCAAUAUGCACGAGUUGCAUAUUGACGGAACACCACAUCAAUUAUUUAGUUCUCUCUCGGUUAAGCUACCCAACAAUAUUAACUGUUGUUAAACAUGGCAAGAGGUGAAGCAUAAUAUAAACUAUACCAUCUAAACAAUUUAAAUGGGGCCGGAUAUAAAAACAACAAAUCCGGUAAAUCCCCAUAUGCAUUUAGCAAUUUAAUGCAACAACAAGUUUAAACAUUUUAAAUGUUGUUAUCAUGAUGCGGAUGACAUAUACAAGUUUUAUGCAAUUUUAUGAAAAUGUUGACAUGAGCAUGUUAUGAAGCAUUUGGUCACCAUGGCGGAACAAAAAGGGUGCCACGGCGGCGAAACAAAAAUGGUGCCGCGGCAACAUUCCGGUCCCGGUAACUCAUGGAGAUACCGGUGCAAAAAGGAAAAGUGACGAGAGCGUGACAUGCGAUAGAAGGUGGGGUGAUCCGGGAUACCGGGUUCCCACGGGAUAGUGGCAUGGAAACGAGUGACAAACGGACACGAUGCAAAAACGGGCAUCUCAUACAACAAGCAUUCGGUCCACGGACAUCGUCUCGGGGUUAUACCUUCGAAGCGUGCGUUUUCGGAGCGGUUCGAGUUCGGUAGAUGUAGAGGAAGUAGACGUUCUCGGGUCGUCGUGGGAAGUAGUUGUACAUGACGACGGUAGUGGUACAUAUCGUAGUGGAAGUAGUUGUUCAUGUCCCAUGGAUGUUCGGGGCCCAUGGGGUCUUCGAGGGUCGACGGUAGUGGUUCACGGACAUCGUGGAAGUAGUCGUACAUGUCGGCGAUAGUGGAACUUGGCGGUCUCGACGGUCAUCGGGGUACUUGUUGGUCCGGUCUUGGCGUCCGCAAUCGUAGUGGUACUUAGCGGUUUCGUGUAGUCGAACUCGGCGCAUCCGAAGGGGUACUUGAUGAAAUCCACCUCGGAUGUAAUCGUACACGGCGUCGGUAGAGGAACUUGGCGGUCCAUGUACUCAAACUUGGCGCGUCCAAAGGGGAUGACCGGCUGGGCUGCUACUCCGGUUGGCGUGGCAGCGAGGCAAAGGAGCUCGUGCUCCUUGGCAACGAGAGGCUCGGGGCAUGAGCAGGGUCGAAGAGGGCCGAGGCAGGGGGCGAGCCGCGUGGUUCGCUGAUGGUAGCCGCGUCCAUGGAGGUCAACGAGCGUGGCCAUGCAGUCAUCCUCCUGCUCGAGGCAGAGGAUGCAGGGGCGACGACCACGCCGGACUUGAGGACGGGGACGGCGAGGGGAGGCGGAGGCAGAGAUGGUCCGGCAUGGAGAAGUCGCAGGCGAGGUGCGGGCGAGCUCGUGCUUGAGUGCCUGAAGACGAUGACGCGGCGGCAGAGAAGCGGGCGGUGGCGCUGGAAGAAGGCAGCGGCGGCGGACUGGGCGCAGGAGAUGGCACGACGGGCGACGAGGAGGUCGGGGCUCCGGCCUGGCUCUCUCCUCCGGCGAGGGCGGAGCGCGGGAGCAAGGGGAGGCAGUGGCGACGAGCUCGAGGAGCUGCUGCCCUUGAGCGCUCGGGCGACGGGGACGACUGGCGCCGGUGGAGGGAGGAGGCGACGGGGUCGCGCGCGAGGGAGAAAGAAGGGCGAGGUGGAGGCGCACCGGAGGGGAAGGGGAAGAUCGAGGAGAGGGGGCGAGGGGAUCGGGCGCAGGGAGCUCGAUGGGGAACGAGGGAAAGGGGGUCGAGAGGAUGGAGUCUCUCCUGAGCGGCGGCGCGAGGGAAUGAGAGGGAGCGAUCGAGAAGAGGGGGUCGGGCUAGGGUUAGGUAGCGGCGUGGCUGGGCCUUGGGCCUAGGGAGACUGGGCCGGCCUGGUGGGGAGGGGAAUGGCCAGAGGCCUGGCUGGGUCUCUCCCUCACUCUAAUGAAAAAUAAAAUAGAACAGAGAAAAGAAAGAAAAGAAAGAGAGGUUUAGGGAAAGGAUUUGCGCAUGGAGACAAUUUUCCCGGACUCACAAAAAUGAGCUUGUUCCAAGAAAAAUAGAAAGGCCAAGAUUGAAAGAUUUAAAUUCAAACUCAUUUGAAUUUAAUUCAAAUGGGUUUGAACGGAAGUGAGGGUUUGGGAAGGUCCAAAAAUGUUCGGAUUUUUGGUGGAGCUCCGGAAAAUGAUGAAAUAAUUAUUGGCAAGGUCGGAGACCAAACUUGAAGCAUAAAAGAAACGAAAUUAUUUUGCAAGUGUGUUUUGGUGAUUUCCGAAAUAAAGAAAUAUUUAAUAUAGCUCCCUAAUAUUGGAGGAUAUGUUAUAAAGAGAAGUCACCAUGUGAGUCCCUCGAUUUAAAUGGAUCAAAAAAAUCCAUACAAUUUAUUUAGUUGAGUUUUAAAAAAAAAUGACAUGAUGGCAUGAUGCAAUGCAAACGAUGCAACAAACAAAACAAAUCACACGACGAAACUCGGAAUAGCUGGAAGUCUUCUGGAGCGUCGGUCUCGGGGCGUUACACCUAACUCCUUUUAUGUGAAACGAAAUGGAUUGGCUUCUAUGCCACCUUUCUCAUAUGGAGCUCGCAGAGUGAUUAAUUCUUUGCCACCCCUUCAGAUGUGGAUGGUGAAGAAAAGGAACUAAUCUCGUAUGCAGGGUCAGGUCUCCAGAAGUACAUGAAACGUCUGAAGAAUUUGCUGGAGACCUGAAAGUUGCCUGAAAGGACGCAGGCUAAUCAUGAAGAAAUGAACUUUCAUUUCUCACGUCCUCAUACUAUUUUAUCUAUUCUACUACCUGGUGAUAUUGAUGUCAUAUUCUUCACUGAUGAAGUAUAUGAGUUCGUAAGUUGCACUAAUUCAUCUGCAGGAUAAUCAACCCAAAGCCAAUGAGUGGGUCCUCGAUAGUGGAUGUACGAAUCACAUGACUGGUGACAAGAAUCUAUUGAUGGAUGCUCCCUUGUCACCAUUGCAUCUGAAGCAUAUCAUCUUUGCUAACAAAGGCAAAAGUCAGGUAUUGAGUCUAGGUAAGGUUGCGAUCUCAAAGGAUCGACACAUGGACAAAGUCAUGCUUGUCGAGUCCUUGGGAUACAACCUCAUGUCUGUCUCGAUGCUUUGUGAUCUCGAUAUGGUUGUUGUCUUUGGCAAAUAUCGUUGUGUUGUGAUCAUAGAAGCUGACAAUUCCAAAGUCUUCGAAGGCUUUAGGAGAGGAGACUUGUACAUUGUUGAUUUCUCUACAGGACCACAACCGGCCGUAUGCCUACUUGCAAAAGCUUCAGAAGGCUGGCUAUGGCAUCGACGACUUGGUCAUGCUGGCAUGAGGAAUUUGCACACGCUUGCGAAGAAGAAGCAUGUCAUUGGCAUUGAGAAUGUCAAAUUCCUCAAGGAUCAUUUAUGUGGAGCCCGUGAAGCUGGAAAGAUGACCAAGGCCAAACAUCCAGCAAAGACUAUCAUGACUACCACUCGACCAUUUGAAUUGCUUCACAUGGAUCUCUUUGGUCCUAAUCAUUAUUCUGCAAUUUUAAAUGAUGCAUCUCAAUAUGGCUUUGUUAUUGUUAAUGAUUAUUCUCGUUACACAUGAGUGCACAUUAUCACUUACAAACAUGAGGUGCAGGAAGUCUUCAAACGAUUUUCCUCGAGGGCUUCAACCAACUUUGGUGUGAAGAUCAAGCACAUCAGAAGUGACAAUGGGACUGAGUUCAAGAAUUCUGGUCUUGAUGGCUAUCUUGAUGAACUUGGUAUUACUCAUGAGUUAUCUGCUCCUUAUACUCCUCAGCAGAAUGGCGUUGUGGAGCGCAAGAACAGAACUCUUGCUGAGAUGGCUCGCACUAUGCUUGAUGAAUACAAGACGCCUCAACGUUUUUGGAUUGAUGCAAUUGAUACUGCGUGCCACGUCAUCAACAGAGUAUAUCUUCACAAAUUCUUCAAGAAGACUGCUUAUGAACUCCUCACUGACAAAAAGCCCAAUGUCAGUUAUUUCAAAGUCUUCGGUGCUAAAUGUUGGAUUAGAGAUCCUCAUCACAGUUCUAAAUUUUUCACCGAAAGCACAUGAGGGUUUUAUGCUUGGUUACGGAAAGGACUCGCACACCUACAGAGUCUUCAACAUUGUUCUUCACAAAGUUGUUGAAACUGUAGAUGUGCGGUUCGAUGAAACUAAUGGCUCGCAAAGAGAGCACCUACCUUCUGUGAUAGAUGAACCAGCACCUGAGGAAUCUAUCAAGUUCAAGGCUACUGAGGAUAUCAUUCCUACCAAAGAAUCCGCUGAAGAAUUCAUUCCAGAACGUGACGAACAUCAAGCUGGAGCACCUGAAGAAAAUGGUGUUGAGGAAAAUGGUCCUGAAGAAAAUGCGGAUCAAAUUCCUCGAUGACAACCCACUCAUCCUCGCGUUGCAAACGAAGUGCAAAUUGAGAGAAUCAUCGAUGACAUUGAAGCACCAGGUCCUCUCACACACUCAAAAGCUUCACAUUUUUCUAACUUUUGUGGGCACUUUGCUUUUGUCUCUAUCACAGAGCCCAGUAAGGUAGAUGAAGCAUUUCUGGAGCCUGAGUGGAUUCAAGCUAUGCAAGAAGAUUUACAUCAGUUCGAGCUCAACAACGUCUGGGAACUGGUCAAUCGCCCAGAUCCUCGCAAGCACAACAUCAUUGGCACAAAGUGGAUCUACCGCAACAAGCAAGAUGAAAAUGGCCUUGUGGUGAGGAAUAAGGCACGUCUUGUAGCUCAAGGCUACACACAGGUUGAAGGAAUCGAUUUUGAUGAAACUUUUGCACCUGUUGCUAGACUUGAGGCUAUUCGCAUAUUACUUGCUUAUGCUAACCAUCAUAAUAUCACUUCAUAUCAAAUGGAUGUGAAAAGUGCAUUCCUCAAUGGUAAGCUUGAGGAAGAAGUAUAUGUUGCUCAACCCCCAGGUUUUGAAGAUCCAAAAAAUCUUGACAAAGUCUUCAGACUUAAUAAGGCCCUAUAUGGCCUCAAGCAGGCCCCUCGGGUGUGGUAUGAUACUUUGACGGAAUUCCUCAUGAAGAAAGGCUUCAAACCCGGUUCACUCGACCCAACUCUUUUCACUAAGUCUUAUGAUGAUGAAUUGUUUGUGUGCCAAAUAUAUGUUGAUGAUAUUAUCUUUGGCUGUACUGACCAACAUUAUAGUGAUGAAUUUGCCUAUAUGAUGAGUGAAGAAUAUCAAAUGUCUAUGAUGGUAGAAUUGAAAUUCUUUUUAGGUCUUCAAAUUCGUCAACAGCGCAAUGGCAUAUUCAUAUCUCAGGAGAAAUACCUCAAAGAUGUAUUGAGGAAAUUCGGCAUGCAAGAUUGCAAAGGGUUCAAAAUUCCAAUGCCCACAAGUGGCCAUCUAUGCACUGAUGAAAAUGGUAUCAACUUCGAUCAAAAGGUAUACCGCUCCAUGAUUGGCUCUUUAUUGUACGUAUGUGCAUCUAGGCCAGAUAUUAUGCUUAGUAUUUGCAUGUGUGCCCGAUUUCAAGCAACACCGAAGGAAUCACACCAUAAGGCUGUGAAGCAUAUUCUUCGAUAUCUAGCUCAGACACCAACACUUGGAUUAUGGUACCCCAAGGGCUCGGCUUUUGAUCUCAUUGGAUAUUUAGACUCUGACUAUGCUGGUGAUCGUGUGGACCGCAAGUCAACAUCUGGCACAUGCCAUUUCCUCGGACGAUCUUUGGUCUGUUGGUCCUCGAAGAAACAGAACUGCGUAUCACUAUCUACAGCUGAAGUUGAGUACAUUGUUGCUGGUUCUUGUUGUGCUCAAUUGUUGUGGAUGAAGCAAACUCUCAAGGACUACGGCAUCAACAUGAAGAAUGUGCCUCUCUACUGUGACAAUGAGAGUGCAAUCAAGAUUGCUCGCAACCCAGUUCAGCACUCGAAGACAAACCACAUCCAGAUUCGUCAUCAUUUUCUUCGUGAUCACGUGUGGAAGGGCGACAUCUCUAUUGAGCAUGUACAGACUGAAGAACAGCUAGCUGAUAUCUUCACUAAGCCCUUGGAUGAGAAGAGAUUUAGCAAGUUGAGGUGUGAGCUAAAUAUCCUAGAAUCUUCAAAUGUUCUUUGAAAAGUACACUCAUCCUAACACUUAUGCAAAAUUGAUGACUUUGAUGCGCUACACACAAAGUAAAGUUUUUCUUCAAUCAAUGAAGACUAACCCUCUAAGUGUGAAGAAAUUAACGAAGAAAUUGAUUCUCAGAGCCCUACGACAAUUGUACGUGGUGUCUGAAAUCAGCUUUUUUAUACGGUGGGUCACGCCCCCACCAAAAGUUGAAAAUCUGCAAUUUGAGUUGUUCCUCAGUUUGAAAUUCCUCAGUUUUUUCUAAAUUCUUCAACUUNNNNNNNNNNNNNNNNNNNNNNNNNNNNNNNNNNNNNNNNNNNNNNNNNNNNNNNNNNNNNNNNNNNNNNNNNNNNNNNNNNNNNNNNNNNNNNNNNNNNNNNNNNNNNNNNNNNNNNNNNNNNNNNNNNNNNNNNNNNNNNNNNNNNNNNNNNNNNNNNNNNNNNNNNNNNNNNNNNNNNNNNNNNNNNNNNNNNNNNNNNNNNNNNNNNNNNNNNNNNNNNNNNNNNNNNNNNNNNNNNNNNNNNNNNNNNNNNNNNNNNNNNNNNNNNNNNNNNNNNNNNNNNNNNNNNNNNNNNNNNNNNNNNNNNNNNNNNNNNNNNNNNNNNNNNNNNNNNNNNNNNNNNNNNNNNNNNNNNNNNNNNNNNNGUGUGUGUGUGUGUGUGUGUGUGUGUGUGUGUGUUUAUGUCCUCUACAUCAUUCACUUAUUGCUAUUUCUUCAAGUUGAUUCUCUCUGCUAAGUGAAUGUGAUCGGACCCUUCCCCCUCUAUGCUAAACUCAACCCAAUUAUUCACAAAUUCUUCAUGUGCGUUCUAUUUAAACUUGUUGAAAAUCUUCACUGUGUCCUUGUCAGCUGAAGAAUUUGUGAACGGAACUUUUAACUCAUCGUAUAUAAAUUGUCGGCUUUGCCGCUCAGUCUAUACCGCAUCCCACGAUAAUACUUAUCUAUUCACCCACGAUCAUCACACGAUCGCCACCUCUCAGUACGUGGGUGACACAUGUCAAGCGAAUGAGAAGGGUUAGGGGCACGUUCGUCCGAUUUCCUCGGGCGUACAGUUUUUCACUCCAACUCUAAAUACCCCCUCCCAUUCCUCACUUUGUUUUUACUCCACUCAUUCUCACUCCCACUCGAGCUUCUCAAACCCUAGCGCCGUUGCUACUUCAUCAUCGCCGGUGAGGAAGAGCUUCACUGCCUCGACCUCGUCGCCGCCGUACUCGCGUCGGCUGCGGAUUUCUUCACUCCGCCAAUGUCGUAGUUGUUUUCCUCUGCCGAGGUAGGGCGUGGAAGAUCUGAACUGACGAACUUCACAUCUACACUUCCCAGUUCGUCGUGUUCUUCAUCUAGGGUAAUUAAAAGUUACUUUUAUUGCCCUCUUUGAUUCAAAUGUUUUCUUAAAAAUCUUCAAAGGUGUUUAUUCUUCAAAUCUUCACACACUGAACACCUCACAUGUCAUCUGCUCUUGAUUCGUUUCUCUAAGCAAUAAUUUUUCUUCAAGAUUCCUCAAUUGUGUGCAUCUUCGAUCUAUACAACUCUGGAACCUAAGACAAAGAACGCUUAGUGAAAUUCUUCAAGACUCAUCUGGUCAAAUUCCUCAAACUUAUUCUUUUUGAAAAACCUUCUGAGAACGCAUAUGACCUCUCCAAAUUCCUCGCAACUAUACUUUGUUCACAGGUACUCAUGUCUGCUGCUGAAUCACUAGGUUCACAUCAACUUAACUCAUUUGCAGCGUUCCUCGAAGAAAAGUUGCAUACAUCUUCAGAAAAUUCCAUUGUUCAUAUUCCUCGUCCGAAGAAAAUGGCUGAUGGUAAGAAGCCACAGAAGGGUGGAAAGAGGCAUGAGGUCAAUACUGCUUUCGAGAUCCCUGAUGACAUUUACAAGGAUUAUUGCACUCCUGAUGAGGCCAAAUUUGGCAAGGAGGACAAAAAUCAGCGCAAGGUGCGCAUACAAAGGAUAGAGAGGAGAUGGGCACGGGAAUGGAGGGAGUACAGAUAUGUUACUCUCAAGUAUAUGAAGAAAUUUGCUCUCAACCCUCCAUGCCCAAGACCUCCGUUGGGUCCUGGCCAAUUGGCAGAUCCCACCAGCCUCAAGCGCGGUGAGGAUUAUCCUGAUGAAUGGGCAAAGCGCCAGGCCAAACUGGCCAAACAGGCAAAAGAAGUAGUGAGGAAAUUUAAUGAAGACUCUGCUGCUGCUUCCACUGCUGCUGAGGCCUCUGCAAGCAAGCCAAAGAAGGCCAUGCCUAAGAAGCCUGCUUACAAGAUCCUCAGCAAUGCCCUCACGGCCAAGCUCCUCAGCAAUGCCCUCACGGCCAGAUUCUUCAAAGCCCUCACGGCCAGCUCCUCAAACUGCUCCUCCUCCUUACAAGUCUUCAGCUCCUUUGACACAGUCUUCAGCUGCUCCAACUAAAUCCUCGGCACCUGUGCAUCUCGCCACGUGUCAAAGGACUACAGGCAUCUCAAUUGCCUCGGGAGCAUCUGCAAGUUCCUCAGCUGCACCAAAUUCUUCCAUUGGCCCCUCUCUGCUGAAGAAAAAGGCCACUGCUGGACGAGGCCCUCGACCAAGUCCUCACAAGAAGCAGGUCGCCUUUCAAGUGCCAUCUGAUGAUGAUGAGGCUGAUGAUGAAGAACUCGCCAAAAUCAUCAGAGACAGGCAGGUCAAUGCCGCUAGAGCCAAAGGCUGCAAUGUGCCAAUGUUACUCGAUCCAAAGUUGAUCCUAGACUUCAUUGAUCUAUGGCACAAGGAUCCAAACACGCCUUUGCGGAGAUGAACCUCACUCCUGGUCAAAGUCAUGUCUUGACUACUUUCAUUGGAGAAGAAAAAUGGAAGUAUGACCAAGCAAGGUCACUGAAGAAAGCGUAAUACAAUAAGCAGCGCUACCUAAAGGACAACGUCCUCAAUCUUUCACCUGAGCAGCUUAUUGCACUGCAAGCUGAAAUCAAGAAGCUCAACGAAGAAUUUGAAGCCUACAAGGCUAACUGGAAGGGCGCCAAGGUUCGAUUCGUCAACCUGACGAAGACAUUCACUUCAAGUGUUGCUACUCCUGUGCACAUUGAAGUCACUCCUACUGAAGCAUCUGUUCAACCUACUGAAGAACAUGCCAGUACCGCUGAUGACAAUCAGAGUGCUAAAGAAAAUGAAAGUACCAGGGUUGAUGACUAUAUUCCAGUCGCUGAUGAAAUUGCCAGGGCAUCCACUAGUGGUGCGCCUGAAGAAAAUGAGAAAGUCAGGGCAACUGCAUCAGUUGUGCCUGAAAAAAAUGAACCAACUCCCUCUGCUCCUCCUGCACCAACACCAACGCCAACUCCAAUCCUUCCAUUUGUAUCAGAUGUGAAAAGACCAAGGCUGUAGAGCAUGCAGCAAUGAAGAAAAGGAAGGCAUCAGCUUCAUCAGAUUCUUCAGCUCCGAAGAAAAUGAAGCCUUUGACAAGUUCAUUUAACAACCCAAUUGAUGACAUUCCUGUCUAAUCCAUGCCAUCAAAGGACCUUGUUCCUUUUGAUGAAGAGUAUGUGAUUCCAAGUGAAUCAGAUGAAGACAUUCCUUCUGGUGCUUCGUCCGAGCAGAUGGAUGAAGAAAUUGAAGUGGAUGCAAUCCCUUCAACACCAGUUAUCUCAUCGCCUAUGCCUCAAUUUACUGCUGAAGAGGCUGGCAUUGAAGAAAUGGUAGAUGAAGAUGUGGACAUUGGCUAUACCACUCCCGUGAUGAAUGAUGACUUUUGGGAAAGUCAGCACCCCAACUCUCCACUGUUCACUCCACUUAAACAAAUUCCUCAGUCCCCUGUUGCUACUGAAGUACAAAUGGGAUCUGAAGAACCUCAUGCAACCCCAUCUGUCCAUGAAGAAAUUCCAUCCAUUAGUGCUGAUGAAAAUGUAAAUGAAGAAUUGAUGACCUAGGCUGCAACUAAAGAAGAGCCUGAAAUUCCUCAUCCUGUGAAACCUGAGAUUAUGAUUCUUGAGGUGGUGAUGCAAUUGACCGAUACUCCUCACCCCAAGCCAAAGGAUCCCUUCUCAAAGAACCAAAAAUUCAAGGCUGAUGAUUUCUUCGGCGAGCAUGUUUUCUUCACUGAAUUCAACCCAUAUGACUCUGCUCGUCUUAGAAGGAAGCGCUUCUGGACUGCCAGCCAGGCCAACUUCUAUUCUUCACUGCUUUUCAACAAAGACAAAGUCUUCGACCACGCGCAUAUUCCUCACGUGGAUAUGGAAUCAAUGCCUUGGUUCUCUCCAGUCCUCAGAGUAAUUCACGAUGCAGGACUGCUCAACUUUUGCACUGACAUUGUUGAUUGGAAUGAAGAGCUUAUUCUUCAGUUCUACGCAACACUGCACAUCACAGGUGAUGCUGCUGAUAUCAACACAGAUGACCGAGAAUACUCACUAUAAGGCACCGGCCUCUAAAUUACUUCAUGCCCUGCCAAUCAGCCCUCCACCUGAAGUUGCUCGUUGUCUGUGCCAAGAACCUAAACUCACUGCUCAUUACAUGGAAGUGCUAAUGAAGCCUUUGAAGCCCGUUCAAGCCCCAAGGAUCGAAUUCCUCGUGAAGGACUUACAGUAUGUGCCAAGAACAGCCUAUCACAUUCUGACGAAGACUUUGAGUCCUAUCAAAGGCCACGACUCAUCUGAUGAGGACAUUGUUGGCAUCAUGAAGAAUCUGCUAUUCAACAUCAUGCAUGGCAUUCCUGUCAAUUAUCAUGAUUUCUUCAUGAGGACUCUGGCAAAUGUUGCACAAUCUCCGUUUGAGCUGAAGCCUUAUGCUCCUUGGAUUAUGAGAUUCAUCAGAACAAGGUCUUCACUCAACUACAAGGCUAAUACACUCAACCAUGGCAGCUACUUGCCCCCUAUUGAAGUCCUCAAGCGGACAUUUUCCUCAGCUGAUGAAAAGGGCAAGGCCACUGCUAUUGUUGAUGAAGGCAUUCGUCCAUUGGAUGGUCAGUUUCGCAUAGCUGCAUCUUAUUCCACCAAUGAUGACUCUGCCACUCAUGAUUCUGCUGCCAAUGCACCCAAGUCAAAUCCUCAAGCCACUGCUCCUUGUGUGAUGACUGACCGUGAACUUCUUCUUAGUCUUCACCAGAAGGUGGAUCGAAACCACAAAUGGGUUAAGCGUCAGUUUGGUUCUCUUCUUCACAACAUGACUUCUACACACAAUGCAGUGAAGAAAACCCAUUACUACCUCCAUGAAGUCUUCGAUCGCACCUGGGCUAUAUUGUCACAUCUGUAUGGUGAAGAAGAUCUGAACCAAAUGGGCUUCAAUGACGAUUUUGAUUGGUCUGCUCCUCCUCCGAAGAAAUACAAGAGGGUCAAGGUUCCUCCCUUGGUAGCCAGUUCAUAUUCUUCAUUGCGCGACACGGACGAGUAUGAAAACUUGGACGACACUGUGGCAGGCCCUACAACAACACACGACCCCAACAACGCUGGCGCUCCUCCAUCUUCAUGAUAUUCUUCAGGGGCGUUAGUCCUCAUUUUCAACCCUUUUGGUCAUUCGAUGACAAAGGGGGAGAAAUUUGAGUUAGUCUUCAAGCGGGUCUAUCUUAUAUGGGCGUUUUUUGCUAAGUUACAACUCUCGUUCUUCUGAUGACUUUGUUGGAUUGAGUUGUAAUCUUAAACUCUAUUGUGGUCUGAUACUUUUGCUGAGUUCUUCUGCAUGCUUAUUCCUCAUUAAUGUCAUUACACGCAUGCUGAAUUACAUCAGUCACCACAUUUCAUCAUGCAUUUCAAAUUCUUCAUACUGUAUGUCAAAUGCGUGUAUGAAUUACAAGAUAUAGGGGGAGAUCUCCAUGAUUUUACUCUUCAAGUGUGCAUCGCUUCAAAAGCAAAAUUCCUCACUAUGCACAUCUUCAGGGGGAGUUCUUCUAUAUCUUGCAAUCAAAUUCCUCAAUAUUAGUAUUUACACUUCAUAUGUUUAUCCCCGUUGAAAACUUAACCUAUAUUGUCAUCAAUCACAAAAAAGGGGGAGAUUGUAAGUGCAUCUAGUGCCCCUUAGUGAUUUUGGUGUAUUGAGACUUAUAGGUUAAGGGGCUGAUGUGUUUGUGAGUGUACAUAGGUCUAUAAGUCUAUGAGGAGUUUGAUAUUUACAGAGAAAGUCGACCCCUAAAAAUGAAGUUCUUCGACUGAAGACUUUGGAUUUCUGAAGACUUUCUAAAGACUUUGAAAGUGAAGAAAUUGGUGUGACCUUGAAGACUUAGCAAUCAUUCGAGGAACAUGAAGCGUGAAGACUUUUGUUUUCGUAGUUUCAUUUUCUCUUUCUUGAGUCAUAGGAAACACCGUACUAUUAAAGGGGGUCGAGGCAAUACUAAGAAAAAAUUUCCAUGUGAUGCUCAACUCAAAAUCCUACACCUACCAAUCCCUUCGAGUGAAGCCAUUGGAAAUCUCAUACAGAUCAGUCAAUUUCUUCAGUAACAGAGACGAAGUUCUUCUAGUUGCUGAGGGAUUUGUUCUGACUAAGGAGUUAGGAAUUCGCCAGUGCGGAUUGCCUACACAGUGAGGAACAUGAUAGCCCUGAGGAAAUUUGAGAGUCAAAAUUCCGACCAUUGCUAUGCUAUGGCCAGCUGUCCCAAAAUAUCUACCCACCUAACGGUCAUAUCAUUGAAGGGCAUUUAUGUCUUAUCAUGUCGGGCUGCUCCCUAGGCUAUAAAUAGCCGCCCCCUACAACCACUAGUUGGUUGGCUGCUCCGAGAGAAACUGACACUUGUCAUUUGAGAGAAUCCCAUCCUUCGAGGACUUUGAGCGAAAAUCAUCAAGUGAGGAAAACCCAAACCCAAACACCUUCAAACCCGAAGUGAUUGAGCAUCACUGAAGAGAUUGAUCCUGCGUGGAGCUGACGCUUGUUUCCUUUGAAGAUUGUGCUUCUUCCGGACGGUUAGGCGUCAAGGUCUAGAGCAUCCAAGAGGAAUUGUGGAUUGCCGAGUGACCGAGUUUGUGAAGGUUCGGAAGUCACCUGAAGACUUACCACGAGUGAUUGGGCGAGGUCUGUGUGACUUUAGCUCAAGGAGAAUACGGUGAGGACUAUGUGUCUGGGACUGUGUGUCCUUUGGUUUAAAUACCUAGCCGCGCCAACCAGAUGUACAACUGAGACAGCAGUUGGAACUGGUCUACCAAAUCAUUGUCUUCACCAAGCUUACUGGUUCUAUUUCCUCAACUAUUUCAAUUCCUAAUUUCACUUGUUGUGUGCUUGUUCAUAUCUGUUUGAAGACUUUGACUAAAGACUUUCUCAAUUUCCUCAGUUCAAUUUCUUCAGUCUGUCCGUCCCCAUCCUGUGUUAUCUUGUGCUUACGCUUUAUGUACUCUGUGCUUGUCUUCAUUUCAUCAUGAUGACUAUGCUUGUGUUCUGUUAUGUUUACUUCUGACUACUUAUUCCGCUGCAAGUAGUUCUUCACUAAGGAAUUUCCUCACCAGCAAAUUCCUCACUAAAGAAUUCAUAAAAAUCGCCUAUUCACCCCCCUCUAGUCGAUAUAACGCACUUUCAAUGUCCGAUCAUCACGUGAGAUGGAGUAGUUUUCAAUGGUGAACAUCACUAUGUUGAUCAUAUCUACUAUAUGAUUCACGUUCGACCUUUCGAUCUCAAUGUUCCGAGGCCAUAUCUACAUAUGCUAGGCUCGUCAAGUUUAACCCGAGUAUUCUGCGUGUGCAAAACUGGCUUGCACCCGUUGUAUGUGAACGUAGAUCUUAUCACACCCGAUCAUCACGUGGUGUCUUAGCACGACGAACUGUAGCAACGGUGCAUACUUAGGGAGAACACUUGUACCUUGAAAUUUAGUAAGGGGUCAUCUUAUAAUGUUACCGUUGUACUAAGCAAAAUAAGAUGCAUAAAAGAUAAACAUCACAUGCAAUCAAAAAUAUAUGACAUGAUAUGGCCAUCAUCAUCUUGUGCUCAUGAUCUCCAUCACCAAAGCAUCGUCAUGAUCUCCAUCGUUAUCAGCGCGACACGUUGAUCUCCAUCGUAGCAUCAUUGUCGUCUCGCCAACUAUUAUUACUACGACUAUCGAUAGUGCUUAGUGAUAAAGUAAAACAAUUACAUGGUGAUUGCAUUGCAUACAAUAAAGCGACAACCAUAUGGCUCCUGCCAGUUGCUGAUAACUUUGUUAUAAAACAUGAUCAUCUCAUACAACAAUUUAUAUCACAUCAUGCAUUGACCAUAUCACAUCACAGCAAGCCCUCCAAAAACAAGUUAGAUAUCCUCUACUUUGUUGUUGCAAGUUUUACGUGGCUGCUACGGGCUUCUAGCAAGAACCGUUCUUACCUACGCAUCAAAACCACAACGAUUUUUCAUCAAGUGUGAUGUUUUAACCUUCAAAAAGGACCGUCUGUAGUCAAACUCGAUUCAACUAAAGUUGGAGAAAUAGACACCAGUCCGCCACCUUUAUGCAAAAGCACGUCGGUAGAACCAGUCUCAUGAACGCGGUCAUGUAAUGUCGGUCCAGGCCACUUCAUCCAACAAUACCGCCGAAUCAAAGUAAAAUGUUGGUGGUAAGCAGUAUGGCUAUUAUCGCCCACAAAUCACUUGUGUUCUACUCGUGCAUAUAACAUCUACGCAUAGACCUGGCUCCGAUGCCACUGUUGGGGAACGUGGUAAUUUCAAAAAAAAAUCCUAGGAUCACGCAAGAUCUACCUGGGUGAUGCAUAGCAACGAGAGGGGAGAGUGUGUCCACGUACCCUCGUAGACCGAAAGUGGAAGCAUUUAUUAACAUGGUUGAUGUAGUCGAACUUCUUCGCGAUCCAACCGAUCAAGUAUCAAGCGUAUGUCACCUCCGCGUUCAGCACACGUUCAACUCGAUGACGUCACUCGUUCUCGUGAUCCAGCUGAGGCCGAGGGUGAGUUCCAUCAGCACGACGACGUGGAGAGGGUGAUGAUGAUGCUACCAACACAGGGCUUCGCCUAAGCAUUACGAUGGUAUGAUCGAGGUGUGUAACUGUGGAGGGGGCACCGCACCGAUCACGUAUAUAAAGGAGGGGGAGGAGGAGUCCGGUCAAGAGGGGAGGCGCGCCAUGGGGGGGUCCUACUAGGACCCCAAACCUAGUAGGAUUCGCCCCCCCCCCUUUCCUAUUCCAAGUUGGAGAAGGGGAAGGUGGAGGAGGAGAGAAGGAAGGAGGAGGGCGCUGCCCCCUCCCCUUAUCCAAUUCGGAUUGGGGCAAGGGGGCACGCGCCACCUCCUGGCCGGCCCUCUCUCUUCUCCACUAAGGCCCAUGAGGCCCAAUAACUUCCCAGAGGGGGUUCCGGUAGCCCCCGGUACUCCGAAACUUAUCCAAAACGACCUGAACCAUUCUGGUGUCCGAAUGUAGCCUUCCAAUAUAUCAAUAUUUAUGUCUUGACCAUUUUGAGACUCCUCGUUAUGUCCGUGAUCUCAUUCGGGACUCCGAACAAAGUUCGGUCAUCAAAAUACAUAACUCAUAAUACAAAUCGUCAUCGAACGUUAAGCGUGCGGACCCUAUGGGUUCGAGAACUAUGUAGACAUGACCGAGACACAUCUACGGUCAAUAACCAAUAGCGGAACCUGGAUGCUCAUAUUGGCUCCUACAUAUUCUAUGAAGAUCUUUAUCGGUCAAACCGCAUAACAAUAUACAUUGUUCCCUUUGUCAUCGGUAUGUUACUUGCCCAAGAUUCGAUCGUCGGUAUCAUCAUAUCUAGUUCAAUCUCGUUACCGACAAGUCUCUUUACUCGUUCCAUAAUACUUCAUCCCGCAACUAACUCAUUAGUUACAAUGCUUGCAAGGCUUAUAGUGAUGAGCAUUACCAAGAGGGCCCAGAGAUACCUCUCCGAAACACGGAGUGGCAAAUCCUAAUCUUGAUCUAUGCCAACCCAACAAACACCUUCGGAGACACCUGUAGAGCACCUUUAUAAUCACCCAUUUACGUUGUGAUGUUUGGUAGCACACAAAGUGUUCCUCCGGUAUUCGGGAGUUGCAUAAUCUCAUAGUCUGAGGAACAUGUAUAAGUCAUGAAGAAAGCAGUAGCAAUGAAACUGUCACGAUCAUAAUGCUGAGUUAACAGAUAGGUCAUGUCCAUCACAUCAUUCUCCUAAUGAUGUGAUCCCAUCAUCAAAUGACAACACAUGUCUAUGGUUAGGAAACAUAACCUUCUUUGAUUAACAAGCUAGUCAAGUAGAGGCAUACUAGGGAUAAUAUGUUUUGCCUAUGUAUUCACACAUGUACUAAGUUUUCGGUUAAUACAAUUCUAGCAUGAAUAAUAAACAUUUAUCAUGAUAUAAGGAAAUAAAUAAUAACUUUAUUAUUGCCUCUAGGGCAUAUUUCCUUCAAAUAUUACAUGAAAAAUCCUCGUGAAAUUUCAGCUCAUUUGGAGUUGUGCAAAAUAGGUAGCUUGACGUAGCUUUUUCAAGUCUAGAUUUCCAGCUGCCAGAAUUCUCCCCCUUUGGGUAUACCUUGCACAUUAUGAGAGAAAAGGCAUUACAAUUACUCCAAAGAGCAUUAUUAUACAAUAAAACAACAUAAAUAACAAUAGGAAAACAUGAUGCAAAAUGGACAUAUCACUGGCUAGCGUUGACCAAGCACAGAGAUAAGAGAGGUCACUUCUCUCUAUUAGCUAGCUAACACAAUAUAUGAAACCCUAAAUUAACCCUCGAAACCCCCAUAAACCCCCCCCCCUUCAAAAAAAACAAAAACCCCAGCUCCUGCCAUAUGCUGACACGUGGAUGCCUUUUGGUCCCGGUUGGUAACCGGGACUAAAGAUCCUCCUGCCUGGGCACCCCGCGGUGACCACGUGGAGCCCUUUCUGUCCCGGUUCGAAGGUUUUGGGCUUUAGUCCCGACCCUUUAGUCCCAGUUCCAGAACCAGGGCUAAUGGGCCUCUGGAACUGGGACAAAUGGCCCAUUUUCUACUAGUGACUUUACUCCUAUGAGCAUCUCAGAGAGACUGAGCCGGCAUAUCAUCUUGAGAUUGACGAAGUCAUCAAAGGCGCCUCGUAGUCGAUGGGAACGUCUCUUCCCACUGAAUAUGCAUCGUUGAAAAUCAUGAAAUAAAUUCAGGAAUAAAUGCGAGCACCAGGAUUUCAACCCUGGUGGCCUGGGGAUACUACUGUCCACCUAAUCAUCCAACCACAGGUUGGUGUUCCUAUGUACAAUUUGGGGUCAUGAUGUCUGGAUAGCAGAUUGUGGAGCCUGUAUUUUUUGUUUCUAUAAUAGCCGCAGGACCCCAAAGGUUUCUUUCCAUCCAGAGCAAUUGUCGUGUCAGUUAAUUGGGAGGGGGCAGGGGAGAGAGAUAAACUGGUCACAGGUCAAUGGUUUUAACUUUCUACCCCAUGUUAAAAUAGGCGAAAUGAUUUUCUUCACCCGGCCUAUCCAGCAUGUGGCAUCCUCCACCUCUAGCGUGCGGAUGCGUGUCCUCUGUGGACCCUCCACACCGCUCUGUCUUUUUUCUUAUCCCACCCAAUGGUCGACCUUUGUUGAGAAAAAAACUACAAUAAGACCUCUGUUGCAAAAGUUUAUGCUCGCGACCUCUAUUUUUGCAAAAAAAAAAAAUUGAUUCUCCAACAUGACCUAUGUUGCAAUGAUAGGCAAUAGAGAAAAAGGAAAAAAAAUAAACGAUGUUGCUGCAAAAGGCCAAGCACAACAAGGCUCCUGUUGCAUAGAUCAGAGGGGAAAAAAGAAUGGUCUAAGGCUUUUUGCAAUUAGUCCGUGGUUUGAGGCCUUUUGCAACAGGUCCUCUGUUGUAGAGAGACGGGUGCAACUACAUACUUGUUGCAACUUCGUUUGCUCACGUGAAGAUGUACUGACUUUCUUUGUCUUUGUCCGACGACUAGGGAGGUGGACAAUCUUUUCCAUUGCUUAAACCGGCCAACGCCUAGCGGGGCCCAUAAAAUAAUUCCCGGUGCCUUUCAAGCCUAUGCAACUCGUAUGGAACACACUUUCUACUCUCUUGAUGUAUGGAUUGUCUCAUUGUUUCUAGAGGAAAUGAAUUUGGAACUGAGAGGCAUGGAAGAGAUUGAUAUUUAUCGGUUGAGAAUUGAUGACAUGAAGGUGCCGCGCUACCCACCGCAUUGCAUGGUUUUGUGUGGGCCCAUAAUAUUUGAGCACCUAUAAAUGAGCUCAGUUUGGGCAUCAUGACAUUUAUGUGGGGCAAACCACAUAUUUGUCGCGUCAUAGGCUCUUACUGCUUCCACGCCUGCCAACUAUAACCAUUCACAAAGAAUUAAGCAUACAACCAGCCUAUUAUAUCAAGUUGUGCUGAGAGCAGAGCAUCUCCAAUAACUGCCCUCUAAUAGGGCACCAAAAUUUGCUUGAUGUAAAAUUUGGGAUACAAAAAGGUGUAUUUUAGGGCACGAGAAAGUGAGUGUUUCCAUAAGUUGCCCUAAAAUGGGGCACUAAAUAGGACACCAUUGCUCCAACAGCGGCCAUAAAAAUAGGGCAGCCGCACCACAUCUUUCUUCUCCACAUAUGGAUAGAAUUUAAACUUUGCAAGAUUUCCUUGAGUGUCUUCUCCACCAACAGCUGGUCACAAAAUUCAACUACUAAAUUUGAGUGUCAUCUCCACCAACGGCUGCUCACAAAAUCCCACUACUAAAACCAAAUCUAAAGGGAAGACCGAUAAAAUCAAAGUAGAUACUCCCUCCGUCUAGGUGUAUAAGUCAUCUUACGAAAACCAAAUAAUCCCAAAACACUUAGGCAUGGUACAUUAACUUCCUCCUUGUUUCUUGUUUCAUGACAUAUCAACCAAUAAGAGAUGUGGACCAUGAAUGCUUUCAAUGCCUUGAAAUUACUAAACAUGACAUGCAGUGGUUAAUUCAUUGCAUGUAAUGCUAUUAACUAGAAAAAAAACAUUAAGUUAUCUUGUUUUCCCCUUCGCCUUAGUCGCGAUGCAUAACCUAAGAUGACUUAUACACCUAGACGGAGGGAGUAAUAAAUAUGAGUGUCUUCUUUUAAUUUCGUUGUAUUGCACACAACUACACACCAAACUGACAUGGGAUACAAUCUCAAUGAAUAACAAACGAAAUUGACAAGUUCCAUUGUAACUUUCUUCAGAAAAAGGAACACUGGAAGUCUGUAGUUUCUGAAAACUAACACUGCAUCUUGGCCUCGUACACUUUCUUCAGAAAAAGGAACGCUGAAAAACCGAACUUUACUGAUGAAUUCAAUCGGUGAAAGCAGCGGCGCAAUCCAGCAGCACCUCCACGACCCGUACAAACUCCAGCAACCCAUUCUGCAGCACCACCACACAAACCACUAACUAGCCAUCAAUCUUCCAUUUAGCUUUGUAUCCCCUCUGUAAACUAAUACUCCCUCCGUCCUAAAAUGUAAGACAUUUUUUUACACUAUGAGUGUCGAAAAAGUUCUUACAUUUUAGGACAAAGGGAGAAUAAGAUCUUUUAGAUCACUAGAGGGAGCGUAUGAUAAAGGAGCUUGGAAGAGGGCUAACUUGUUUUAUUUGGAAAUGCAAAGGUGAACCUAUCAUUUUUUNNNNNNNNNNNNNNNNNNNNNNNNNNNNNNNNNNNNNNNNNNNNNNNNNNNNNNNNNNNNNNNNNNNNNNNNNNNNNNNNNNNNNNNNNNNNNNNNNNNNNNNNNNNNNNNNNNNNNNNNNNNNNNNNNNNNNNNNNNNNNNNNNNNNNNNNNNNNNNNNNNNNNNNNNNNNNNNNNNNNNNNNNNNNNNNNNNNNNNNNNNNNNNNNNNNNNNNNNNNNNNNNNNNNNNNNNNNNNNNNNNNNNNNNNNNNNNNNNNNNNNNNNNNNNNNNNNNNNNNNNNNNNNNNNNNNNNNNNNNNNNNNNNNNNNNNNNNNNNNNNNNNNNNNNNNNNNNNNNNNNNNNNNNNNNNNNNNNNNNNNNNNNNNNNNNNNNNNNNNNNNNNNNNNNNNNNNNNNNNNAAACAGGUUCCAUCUCUUUCCUCCUCUACAAGAAAAGUUCUUCCCCUCUCAGCCCCCCGCAGGCGGAAGGGACACCGUUCUCAUUCUUGUUAAAUUCAAUGUCUUGGUUGGGACUGUGUGGCAACAACGAUGUCCCUUAGUAGGAAUAAUGUCUCCCAUGUUCUAUCCCCGUUCGGAUGGUACGUCUAGCAUCAUUGGAGGGCGUGUGGAGGUUUAUCUCCGUUGGAUCACGCAGGAUUCGGUCGGUGCAGGUCUUUGGUGGAUCUGUUUGGAUCAUGUUUCCGUUCGUCUUCAUUUGGGUGUUUACAUGUUUGACUUUUCUGAUCUACGACUUUCUUCAUCAGCGAUGGUUGUUGCGCUGGUGCGCUAAUCCUAUGUGGCCUUAGCACGACGACUUCCCGACUGUCUACUAUUACAAAAUUUGUCUGGCUUCGGUGAUGGAGGGGCGAUGACGGCAGCGUGCCUUCGGCUCGCUCUAGUGCUUGUAGUCGUCACUAGGUGGUUCAUGGACAUGGUUGUAAUUUUUAUUACCUCUGUUGUUCUUGUGGCUCAUGGACAAUUGAGCUGAGUUGGUUGCGAGAUCUUAUGGGUUUCACCUCUAGCCUACCCCAAUUUGUUUGGGACUAAAGGCUUUGUUGUUGUUGUUGUUCUUUGUACUGCCAUGAUUGAAGAUGAAUAGAUUGGAAGUUUCUCAAGAAAAAAAAAACUUCCUUUUUUUGGCAAAACAAAAUAACUGCACUACUGUGCUGCAAUCAGCAACAUAAUUGGUCCCUACGCAGACAACUCAGCUCAAUUCACUAAAUUAAAAAAAUUCAGUCACAGCACAAGAAAUUUCCACUUUAAAGGAAUCGAAACAUCCCCACCACGCAACCCUAGAAAUGCAUUUCUACUCUAUGAAACAAUCCUGGAUGCUCAGCCCACAACAUCGGAAGCUCCGAUUCAGCGAAAGCCCUUGUCUGGAUGUGCUGGAGCAGCCCAAGUCUUAAAUCUGCAGAAAUACCUGUUUUAUAUUUUUGGGAACCUGAAAAAUUUGGAGCAAAUUUUACUAUUGGAGCCUCCUUUUUUGCCGCAAAUGCUCUGAGUUGAUGGUGAGUUUAGUGUUUACACAAAUCAUUGUUUCAAUACGGAUGCAAGUCUUACAACGCUAGUUUCAAGCCCUAAAUAAACAAGCACAAUUGAAAAAUCUGCAAGUCAUAACAUCGCUUACACAAUCGGAAGCAACUUGCUUGGCUUUAGACCGUUACCGAAUGAGAUAAUGGAAGUAUAGACUGUUCAUUUCAACCAUUCACAAGGCAUAACAGAUAUUAAUCAUCUAGUAAAAUUUUAGAAACAUCUAUGACAAAAAAAAAAUAGAGCAGCAUCGCAUCACAAAAAAGAUGAGACGCAGGUGAGAAUUACAUAUUUCAGAGUACUGCAAAAUUAAUAGCUGCAUAAAAUUCAGUCACAAACACAUAUAAUCCUCACAUUACAUAAAACUCAGUACUGGAACAUAGCCAGACUAGUAUUAAACAACUAAAUUUGACCAAACACAGGUAAAAGCAACUUCCACAGCCAAAACAACAGAACAAAUCAAGAAUCACUAGACAAUGCCAUCACCCCUCAGAGUUCCGCUGCCUGGAUGCAAGAUGAUGCUUACCGCCUACUUGGAUCGCUGCCUCAUCUUUCGGCGCUUCCUCUUGAGCCUCCUCAUCCUCUUCUUCUUCCACUGCAAAUUACAGUACCCAAGCUGACCAUGAGCAUAAAUUGCAUAGGUGCUCCAUAGGAGAUGCAAUCAUAACAAGACUUCCAGAUGCAAAGGAACAGAUAGUAACUUGUUUUGGAAUCAGAAGAUUGAGUGUUUCAUUGGAUAUCCUCACGUGAUUUUCAGAAACACGGACCAAUUGUUCUUCAUCAUUUCCCAAACUGAAGUCAAUUUCAAAGGCAAAUAGGAAAAACUAUGAUAGGGUAUCUAAAGAACUAGCUAAGCAUAGUAUAGAAUCGCAGUCGGUUUGACAUUCAGAAUGAGUAGGAGGAUUUUAUCAUCAAAUAGAUCAGACGCCAAUUGUCUUCCUCAUCAUGCCAACCGACGCAGUUGAACGAAAGAAAGAACAAAUCUAGGGAAAACACUGGCAAAGAAAAUCCAAUGUUCUCUCAGACAAAUGCCUCGAUUGUCCACAUGGUUUCAUAGAAUGGAUUACAUCGGACUCGUCAUCUGUUUUCAUCAUCACAGAGAACCACAAACGAACACGCGCAAAGAAAAUUGAUUCAGUGAACAGAAACUACAUCCUAGAAUCUCUAAGAACAAGCAACUCGAACUAUAAUAGCAGGUUCUCUCAGACAAAUGCCUCGUUUUUGUCCCCACGGUUGAAUGGAAUGGAUUGGAUCGGACAUCUAAUCAGUGUUGAUCAUCACAGAGAACCACUAACUACGCGAACGAGCGGCAGCAACAGCAGGAACGAACGCUCGAUAAACACUAGCACACGUCCAGAUCUACCGCGGUCGCGAAGCAGUUAACAGCACGCAAGGUAGACGAGGGGCGGCAGUUCUUUACCUUGGCCCUCAUCGCGGCGGCGGAGUCGGCCUCGCUCUCCUCUUCGCGGCGGCGGAGUCGGCGGCGGAAGUGUGUGGACGAACCCGAUCUCCGUAUAUUGUUUGGCGGGGGCUCUCGCCUCGUACUUUAUAGGGGUUGGGGUGCUGGGAAGGGGAAACCCUAGCGGGUGGACGGCUCGGAUCAGCCGCUGAGCGGCGUUCUGAUCCGAUUGGGCCGGUCUCUGGUUCGCAGGCCUAAUAGGCCUUCAAACCAACGUCUCGGCCCACGGUCGCAUCUAAGAUGAUGGGCUUUUCUUCUCUUUUUCUUAAACUGGGUCUCCUCCUUGCUUGCUUGACUCGGCCUGAUCGGUUCUUGCUAAUAAGAAACAAAGAAUUUCUCAUUUCUCAGAAGAAGAAGAAAAAAACAAGAUGAAAAUCAUCCGUUGCGCUACUGCUUGAUGUUCCAAUGUGCUGAUGAGGAGCUAGUUGAACAUCUUGCACGAUGCAGAUCAUGUAUCAUGUUCCACCACUCAUGUCACACUUCAUGAGAAGUUCUUUCACAGAGCGAAACAGGGGAGGCAAGCAUGCACUGCAGGGAAGCUCUUUUUGGAGCUAUAUCAAUAGUGACUUCAACAGCUUGUUUAUACACACAUGAUGGAGAUAGAAGAAUUGGCGAAAACGCACAAACAUAUCGGUAAUAACAUCAAAAAGAUUAUCACAGCUGAGCACCUCAGAAUUCAUAAUCGCAUAAGAUUCACUCACACAAACAUAUCUGAAACUCCCGAGACAGCAAGCAUAUAAACAGCCCACGCCUUAGGAUUCAUUCCCUCAGGAUUAAUCACAAAUCAUCUCACUGACACUGUCCACACUAUAGGAUUUUUCUAGUCCUGCCUGGAACAGUUAUCAUACGUCUGUCCUCCAACAGCAUAUAAAACAGCAGCAGCAAAGCUCAAAUUAUACCGAUCGGGGCACAUGACAUCCAUAUCCACGUUACGGGAAUGCCCGAGAUUAAAAGAGGAUUCAAGCUACAAAAGAUCACUCUGCCAAGUCGAUCGUUGCUCAAAUGCCCGAUAAAGGGGUUUGGAUACAUGAUUGAUUCAACUCAUAACAUCGAAACAAUAUGACAAGCAGUAAUAGUUCUUGAACACAACGACUACAGAUAGGUGAAAGCAAUCUAGAAGAGGGAUGUUCCCUUGCCCUUCUUGUCUCCACCGAUCUCAAAAUGCUUGCACCUCUGCAGAGGAAUAAAGACAGGCUGAGCAAAGCACAACGGAACAAAAAAUAAAUGUUCAGUACAAGAAAAAAAGAAACAGACCUUGAUGGCGCGCUGGGAGUAGUGCUUGCAGCUCUGGCACUGCAGCUUCAGCACAAUCUUCUUGGUGGUUUUCGCCUGAAGAAAAGGUCACAUAAUUAGCAUUUCCCAACUGGCUUUAAUCUUUAUAUCUGAUUUUACACUAAGCAAACACAUCAUAAGUAGAUGGCAAUGAAAUUGAUAGACAAAUCAGAUCAAUUGACAAUCACACGCAGAGAUGUUGCCGUACCUUCUUGUGGAAAACGGGCUUGGUCUGACCACCGUAUCCCGACUGCUUCCUGUCAUAACGACGCUUUCCCUGGGCAGACAGGCUGUCCUUACCCUUCUUGUAUUGAGUGACCUUGUGAAGGGUGUGCUUCUUGCACUCCUUGUUUUUGCAGUAGGUCUUCUUGGUCUUCGGAACGUUCACCUAUUUAGCAUUCACAACAAAACUAAUGAUAAAACAGGGUUUGUAUGAAACUGCAUACAGUUUCAGAUGACACUGCAAUAGCUAAAAAAGUAGGCUCUAGAAACAAGUUCAGUAAAUAUUCAAGAAAUACUCAAAAAGCCAAUAGUACAAUAAACAAUUAGGUCCUCAGAAACAUGCUUAUGGUUGUCAUCACAAGGAUAAUCAGGUCUCAAAGAUUUCAUGCCAUCAUAGGACCCCAUAAUUAAAAGAGCAAACGAUAAACAGUAAGAAUUGAAAUUGCAGCAUUACUUGCAUAACAAAAUCAUAUUAUCACGUGGUAAGAAAGAAGUAAUUAAUGGCAGAUGGUCUGAUCGGGGGUCGGGGCAAUACAUGCAAACAAUGGCUGUAAGUUUAGUUUUAGGUUAGCUAAGUACACAAACAGUUCGGAUGUCAAACACACCAAACAAAAUCACUGAAUACUCCACAAUAUGGCCAACCGCGGUGGGUUUUAGAUGUAUCAUGUAAUGCAAAGUUGCAUGAAGCACGUUCACAAUAUUACAGAAUGAAAGACGCAUAAAUACAAACUAUAGUCGAUCUAAACACAAAAUAAAAACUAAAUUAGACUUUGUUUCUAACACAACGAGCUAUCCAUUCCAUCUUUGAAAAAAGGCCAGCUGCCUGAUAUAAACUAGUACACCAGCUUACAUAUCUAAAGCACAUCUCAUACACAGUAACUAGAAGCCUAGAGCAGUACUAAAUUAAGUUAAAAUACAGCUCAUCGGUGCACAAAAAUGCAGUGUGCACAGAGAGAAUAUAAUUCAAUCCUGUGCUUUUAGAAUCAGAAGCAUUGAGUGUUUUAUUGGACAUCAUCACAUGGUUUUCAGAAACACGGACCAAUUGUUCUUUAUCAUUUCAUUUCCCAAACUGAAGUCAAUUUCAAAUUGAAGAGGAAACAACUAUUCUAUGAUAUCUACACAACUAGUUCAGCAAAGUAGAGACCUGCAGUCGGUUUGACAUUCAGAAUGUGUAGGAGGAUUUAUUCAUCAAACAAAAUCAGACAAAAAUUGUCUUCCUCAUCAUGCUAGCGACGCAAUUAUACAAAAAACCAGUAGAGAAAAUGGUCCAAGGAAAUGGCUAAGCAAUCAAUGCUCUCUCAGACAAAUGCCUCGAUAGUCCACAUGGUGUAACUGAAUGGGUUGCAUCAGACUCGUCAUCUAUUUUCAUCAUCACAGAGAAGUAGCAAACAAAGCGCUCUAAUCUCACAUAAUAAGCACAUGGUAGAAUUCAAGCAGCAGCAGCAGAAGCAGCAGCAGCAGCAGCAUGACAGGGCAAAAGCAUAACACGACCAGUGUUCUCUCAGACAAAUGGCUCGUUUUGUCCCCAUGUUUUAGUGGAAUGGAUUGGGUCGGACAUCUAAUCGGUGUUGAACAAAGCAACAGCGCGUGAGCCGCAGAGAAAAAGAGGCAACAAUUGGUAAACACGAGCGCAUCUACCGCAGUCGCAAAGUGAAAUCGCAUCCUAAGGUAGGUGGACGGGGGAGCACAGGCGGGGGACAAACCAUGGCGGCCGCGGCGGCGGUGCGGUGCUCGCGCUCGGUUGUCUAGCGUCGGCGUCGGCGGCGGCGGAAGCGUGUGGAAGAUUGGCGGCGGAGGCUGUCGACUCCUUCUUAUAGGGUUUGGGUUCUGCGGAGGUGGACGGCUCAGAUCAGAUGAGCCGCUGCACGCAGUGAUCUGGUCGCGUCUCUGGUUGGUGGGCCUAAUGGGCCUUCGAACCGACUCCUAGGCCCACGCUCACAUAAUAAGAUGGGAUGACGGCUCGACUUUCCCUCAAAAAAAAUAAAGGAUGACGGCUCGACUUGCUCAGUUCUGAUCGGUUUUCCAGAGGAGUUCGCUGGGCGAGAUGACCUGCGGCGGCCUCCCCAACUCGCCGGCGCCGGCGCCGGAGGUGGCGGCCCCGCUGGAGGACGAGAACCUCCUCCCGGAGAUCCUCGUACGCCUAGCCCCGCUGCCGUCCGCCCUCCCGCGCGCCUCGCUCGUCUGCAAGCGCUGGCGCCGCCUCGUCACCGACCGCCGCUUCGUCCGCCGCUUCCGCGCGCACCACCUCCGCAGCGCACCUCCCCUGAUCGGCUUCUUCGAGGAGGUCAGCCGCAAACCCGACGCCCCCAGCCCCGCCACGGACGCCCCCGAAGUCCUCUCCUUCACCCCUGCCCUGGAGCCCCCCGACCGCGUCCCGGUCGGGCGCUUCUCCCUGCGCCUCCACGACGGCAGCGGCCGCUCCAACAUCGGCUGCCGCGACGGCCUCGUGCUCCUCAUCGACCCGGCGAAUGGGGCGAUCCAAUCUGGGUAUCCGCGGAUUUCACGAGCGGCGUAACCACCAUGAUUGAGAUGCGUGUUUCCAGCACCCUGGUUGGGAAUUCCCUCUACUGGUCCCUUUGCUCAGUUUGAUUUGGAUACACAACACCUGGCUGUCAUACACUUACCCUGCUUGGGCAAGUGUAGGAGGAAUGGCAGCCGGACCUUCCGGGCUGUGCCCGUGGACGGCGGUGAGCUUGGCGUCCUUGAGCUGUUAGACGCCAACCUCCAUUUGUGGAAAAGGAAGGUCGACCGUGAUGGUGUUGUUUCAUGGGUGCUGGGGAAGACUAUUGGAUUGGAGGAACUUCUUUACAUAGACAAAAGGAAAAUGGGCCCAAUGAUGCUCGGCUAUUGCGAGGACAAUAAUGUGGUGUUUAUAUGGACAUAUCACGGUAUUUUCAUGGUCCAGCUUGAGUCACUGGAAGUGUACAAGCCUCCCAUACAUACAUUUUACUGUCUGGUUCAUCCAUUCACAAGUGUCUACACUGCAGGUAGUAACUAAGUAAUUUUCUAUAUAUAAUUGAUUGAUGGAAAGUUUUUCACAUCCUUGUUGUUAGAUUAGACUAAUAUAAAUUAAAUAUCUGUUAACUGUUUUUUUGCUGCUCAAUUUGCUAUUUAAAUAGAUAAUCAUAUUGUUCAUGGUAUUAUUAUUAUUAUGAUUGUCAAACUAUGUGGUUUAAGUCAGAGGUAGCAAGCAUUUUAUGUUAAAUUUACGGAAAUAUUAACGCCACACGUGUGGGCGUUUGCAUCUCGCCCACACGCGUGAAUCCGCGUCCGUUCGUGAGCGCACGAAUCUUGGCAUGUUUCUAGUGCCACCUAGGACUGGUCUGGUGUGUGGGCGUUCAACCGGUCGGCCACACGGCCGUUUCACCACACGGGAGGGGCUGGUGUGUGGGCGUUCAGCAGUUCGCCCACACGCCACUUUCCACGCACGCAAAAGGGCUAGUGUAUGUGCAUUUGCUAUCUCGCCCACACGCCCGUCUCCUCUCCCACACCCAAGCUGCUAGUUGCCAUGUGUUUUGUAGUGCACAUGGUAACUGCCCUAGUAUGCUUUAUAAGCAGGUGGCAACUCUCUUUUUACCCGAGUUGCCAUGUGUUUUGCAGGAUACACGGCAACUGUCUAGCGUGCACGUAAGCAGAUGGCAACUCUCUUUUACCAAGUUGCCAUGUGUUUUUGCAUGGUAUAUGGCAACUGCCCUAACGUGCACGUAAGCAUAUGGCAACUCUUCCUUUUACAUGGCAACUGCCCUAGCAUGCUUGUGAGCACAUGGCAACUCUCUCAACUGCCUAGUGUUAGUAUGUGGCAACUCUUAAAGUUUUGAAAUCAUGGCAACUACAGUAGACCAGACCAUACAUGGCAACUGCAGUUGAGCAACCAUGGCAACUGCAAUUAAACGAACAUGGACGAGGGUCUGGACCAUGGCAACUGCGGGCGCGCGGUGACUGUCACGCGCAGGACAAGGGUUUUCACCCGGAACCACGGCAACUGUCUAGUGUACCACAUGGUACCACGAGGUACGAGGCCUGACAGUUGGGGCGUGUGGGCGUUAUCUACUUCGCCCACACGCACACGUGUGAGAGGGAUCGAAAGGGAAAAAAAGAGGUGUGUGGGCAUAUACUUGUUUUGCCCAUACAUAGGUAUGUGGGCUGUUCCUCUUAUACACCACACAAAAUAUGUGGGCAGACUCCCUAACGCCCACACGUGUGGCACUUAUCGGCAUCCUAAAUUUAUUCAAUGAACAAAAAAUAAAUAAAUAACAUGAAUACAAAGAUCAUUCAAGUUCUUUAAAGGCUUAAAACUAGUUACAUUCUUUGAUCCAUUUAUAUUGAUCUUGCUAACUUAAAUCGAUAAUAAAGGCCGGUUUUGAUCUUUACGAGAUAAAGUUCAUUUUUAUCACUUGUUGAAGUUUCGCAAGUGUCAGAGUCUAUUUGUACCAGAGGAUAAAUGAAUUCAGUUUGUUUUAUCUUUUCAAGCUAAAGUUAUUUAAAUAUAAAUUGUCAUUACGUCUUUGUUCUUUAAAUUUAUUUGUUUGAGUAUAUUAUAUUUUAUCAACUUUAAAUAACACAGGGCAAACUUAAGAAUAACUCUAGAUUACUUCUUAUUUCUGAUCAGCUAAUAUUAUGUCAUGCCAUUGCGUUUUAGGAAAUUACUGAGUAUCUAUACCGUUCUCAUAAAUAAUCUUUGCAAUGGAGUAGAUGUGCUUUUGUGUUUAUCUAUCCAAUGUUGAAAAAUGUGUUUUCCCUCUCUUAGUUUUGUCUUAUGUAAAUAUCUCGUUGUUAUCCCAUCAUAUAUUUGGUCUAAAUAUAAUUGGAUGUUUGGCUAAUGCUUGUAGACAUUUGUGGUGAACCUGAUGAAGCCAAACUUCUGUGCAAUGCAAUGCAUAAAGUGACUCUAUAACAUUGGUUGAGCAGGUAAUAUAAGCUUAUCUUCGUAUUUUCAGUCGAGGGAUCAUAAGUUCAUAACUGUUACUUCUUUUACGGAAAUGUCCCCUUUACAACCAUUUGUGACUAGCUAAAUUACAAGUGAGUACUAAUUCCCGACAACCCUUUGCUUAGUGUCAGCUGUUGCCCACCUUCCGUCAUGCUUUUAUGGCAGGCUGCCACUUAGCUCUUUUAUCCUGGUGCUGCUUCUUCUAUCCACCUUUUAUGAGUUUAUCUUGCAGCUCCAUUCCUCCCCUCAACCGCUUUCACCUACCUCCUAUCCUCUCUCCUGGAUGAACUCUUUUGCUUACCCUCCAGUCCAUCCAGCUGCCUUGCUACCAGUUUGCCUCUUCCCUCGAAACAGGCCGCUUUGUAAAUAAAGCAACAACCACAAUGAGUACAUGGCCGAACGAUACAAGAUGGUGAGGUGACCCUUUUACAAAGCCGAUCCCAAGAUAAUCGGGGAACGCAGACCACAAGAGACUAUGAGACCGAAAGAUAUCACAAGAAGGCAUGAGAACACCGCCACACAACGCCCUAGAACACCUAAGCUCUACGACAAUGCCCUCAGGAGGGGGAACGACGCCAGGUGUCGCCGCGGUUGAGUCCACAUGGACAAGGGUUUUCACCCGGAACCCACGCACGGAGAGGAGCACCACGACGACAUCUUCAAGAAGAUAACGACGCCCGUGAGCGUCGCCGUCACCGGCGACAAAGCACAGAGCUUUCGCUUGGAAGCUCCCCCAUGCCACCAUGAGGUCUUCAAGAGAGGCAUGGCGAGUCCAGGUCCCCAGCUCCAGAUCGGGGCGCCGCCACUGCCAAAGACAAAGGGCUCGCCUGAGCCAUUUGCCUCUUCCCUAGUGCUACUGCUCUCAUGUUUGGCAGUUUCCUCCCUAUAGCCCCUAGUAUGACUGAUGACUUUGGACAUUUCCCAUUCCCAAUUUGUGCACAUGUUCUUAACUGCACGUAGAUGACAAUGUUCCUUGCUAUGCAGUAUGUAUGAUACAAUGAAACACUCUCCCUUUCCUCCCUAUAGCUCCUCAGAUGUAUCAGGUCCUAUUGUGACUCGAAAGUUGUCACCUUAAUGUAAAUAUUUGAUAAUUAGCAACACCAAGCAUUUGGCUUCAAAGUUCAAACUUCCUUCACGUAUACAUGUUUAUAAGUACGCCCUUUCACAUUGAUGAUCAUUUUAAAUAGUAAUGAUACAUACCUAUUCAUGAACUAGUGAUUGCUAUGAGAGCAUGUUGUCGUUUAGUCCAGUUCUUCAGUUUUGCUUACUACAGAUCUUUAAAUUGAUGACUGGAUCAAAAUGAUAUUAAUAGAUUUAUAUAAAAAUGCUUCCACAGCAGUUAUAAUUUCGGAUUUAAUUUUCUGAGCGAAGGUGCAAAAACUCUGCACAUGUUUCAUUAAGAAAAGAAGAGGGUUUUGAUUCAAUACAAGAAAGCCACGUGCGGCUAAUUCACUCUCAAGGAACUGUGGUUAAUGCAAAUCAUUGUUGAAAGCAUGCUGACAUCUAUCUGCCUUCACUUUUAUCUUGGGCAACACCGUGUCCAUGUAUGUGCUCUCGCCUUACAAAGCACCGCUGCUCCUCUUGCUCCACGCAGAUAUCCCUGCGGCGGUCCUUUGUGCACCUGCUUCUUCCUUGAUUGCCACCACUGCUGGCCAGCUCAGUGAGGAUUGCUCAGCCAAAUCUAGCAGAUCUACGGGCAUCACACAGAAAGAUGCUCGGCCAUCUCUUGAUGAUAUGCACGAAGAGGACAUGUGCCCGGGUUUUUCUUCUGAUGUUGCUCAAGGUGGUUGGUAGUCCAACAGCGAUAUUGAAGGGCCAACCAAAUGAAGAACCGGCACUUGAGAGGCGACUUCGCCUUCCAGAGGAACUUUUGGCAGUUGUGGUAGCUUUGAUGCUGUAGAAUGUUCGAAAAAGUAGUGUCUAUUUUGGACCGAAGGAAGUAUCAGUUUAUAAUACGAUGCAUGAUCCCUUGCUCGAGGCUUGUGCUGCAUGAUUUGGUUGAUUUAAACUUUUAAUGUUUCUUACACUUCUAAAACAUGUGCCUUUGGGCUAGAAAGCAGAUGUAUCUGCUUUUUAUCCCUCAUAUAAUCAUAUGCCCAUGAGGCAGUGUUCCUUUUUCUUCCUUUUUGAACCUUCUCUGAUUUAGUGUUGGUCUUGAUUCCACCUUUGGAGGUCUGAUGGAAGUCCUGCAAGCAAUACAAACUUUGACUUUUAAUGGCUUUUGCAUCAUCAACCAGUGGUACAAAUUGGUUUGACAAGUGACUGUUCCGCAGGUAUCUAGAGCUCUCAUCCAGUUUCUGGUUUUGUUGCCGGCUUGUAAUGAUGAAGUUGAUGUUAUGCAAACGCUUUGACAUAGUACGUAUAACUUUAAUGGCUUUUGCCUAAUAAUCAAUCAGUGACACAAUUGGUUUGACAAAUAACACUGUUGUGCAGGUAUCUAGAGUUCCUAUUCGAGUGGCUGGGCAACGGAAUGGCUUACCGGCAACAAAACCAGAAACUGGAUGAGAGCAUGUUCUGGUCCACUGCGAAGUAGACUUGUAGGAUUGAUUUAUUUAUUUUUCCAGUUUGGUAACUUCCUUGCGUACCUGAAUAAUUGUAGGACGGGUAGCAACUUGCUUGGCCUCAUGAAUAAGGAAGUGGCAUAGGCUUUGCCUCUGUCGGCUCAUUGCCGCCUCCGGUUUCAUUCUCUCUGUGUCUUUAGUGCAUAGCUCAUGAUCAUGCAUUCAUUCAACUGAUUGGUACGGAGUGCUUAUGCUCCGUGUUUCCAUUUUGUAUGCUGUGUGGAGACUUCAACCUCGAGUCUCUGUUGCUGGUAGUACCAAAUUGUUGUUGGAUUGCUUGGCUUGAGCACGAGCUUGGAAAUGUCAUGGUUGCACAGCAACCCAUGGCAGCGGCCACCGCCUUUUGCUGCCUGCUUGUUCUAAGGCUCGAUCUCCACUCCUAUCAGCAGCUGAAUGGUGUCCGGCUCCGGUUGUAGGACGAUUGGUGGUUCAGUAGUUGGCGAGCCUUCGGCCUUCGCCCGUGCUUGGAAAAUGUUUUUUUUUUCUUUUUUUAUUUCUUUCUUUCAUUCAGCACCACUCUUUAUGUACUUGGUUCAGUGAAUUGAGCAAAGGAAAAGUGGUCGGAAUUCCUUUAAUCUCACUUUUAAAGAAAAGGGAACUUUACCAUCCACUUGGACCACUUUUUUGCAAUGUUUGACAAGUUACAGUUUCAUGUGUUUUGACUUUAACUUGAUUGUGUUUUUUCUAUUCCUUUCAAAAAAAAGAAGAAGUCAAAAUGAGUGUGUUGAACCGUCUCUGCCUCUCAAUCUCGCACGUAAUCGCAUAGAUAGUAUUUUGGGUCAAGGUGGUCCAAUCCUCGAUACAGAAAAUUCCCACAAAAAUAAUAUGCCGACAAACGAGUGUAGGAUUCAUCAAAAGCAUAGAACAUUUAUUGGAUUUAUUGCAUGGGUAGCAUGAUUGAUUGUCCAAACCCUGCCCUUACAUGUAACAGCCGAGGCAAAUGACAAGACACUUCAGAGCAAACACAUUACAAAGAUCGGAGGGGAUUGACCACAUGACCGAUGAAUAGAACCACACCGGAAGUGUCUUCUCGGAUAAGGAAGAGGAAAGGAUGAUCCGCGAUGAAAUCCAUGUCUGAGGGCGGACUUGCACUUAGCAGGACUGCUUUAGCAAUAGUUGCUGCCGCAGCCUCGGUUCCUGUUUCAUUCACUUCGACAAACGUUUUGUGGAAAACGGAUGAGAUGCGGAGGCCCUGUGGCAUUGGGGAAUCCACCAUCUCCGAAAGAUCUGCUUCAUCACUGAAUGGCAGUUGCAGACCCAAAUGUUUGAGCAAAUCGGAUGCUUCAAUUCCAAAUGAUAUCUUGAACUUCGGGAGCUUGAAUUGCCUGAGUGCAACCUUCUGCCUUGGGAUAUGGCGCUCCAAGAGCUCUGGCUCAGCACUCAACUUUUCUGCCAAGCUCCAGAUACCACUUGGUGCUUCUGGAAGAAGGAUGUACAUGGAGAACUGCCUCUUGUCCCCACCUUGCUUGUAAGGAAGCUUAAGUACCUUCAAGCCAUCAGAAGAAGAAAUGUAUUGUUCUUCUGAGCUGUACAUGAAUGGUGUUUGAAUUGAGCUCCCAUCAAGAAGGUAGAAGUAGUCGCUUUUUGUUACACGUGAAUCAAACUGGUCUGUCCAAGCUCCUUUGAAAUAAAGGGCAUUGCCAAGAACAAGUCUAGUGGUGUUGCUAAUAGACCCCGCGGGGAGAAUAUCUUUGAUGAGACCGGUUGUGACUUUCUCUACCCAUGAGUUCACUUGAGCAGUAACUUCCGCGGCCUGGACCAAGUCAAAAUAAAGAAAGCUCAGUUAUGUAAUGAAAAUAAUUUGACAACACUAUUGUGCUACCCAGUUUGAAAAAAAAUCUCUCAAAGUACAAAAUAUUACAGUUGCCAAGAAUGCAAAGCAGAAUACUAACGUUUUACAAAGCAUUUCUAUGUAUAAUAAAGUUUCACACACAUAGUAAAAUCAUCACAUACAACCACAGACGACAGAAAAAUAUUCAUAUGUGCAUACGAAAUUGAUUAAAUGGUCAUCACAACAUCUCGAAGCACCAUUUUUCAAUACCUAGGAAAAUUCAGCACAUAGAUAUCGGCUAUACAUACUCCUAUAUGUACACUACUCUGGACCACAAUAAGCAACAUGACAACACGACGAUGAAUAUUUCCACGGUAUCAUAAAUUCAGAUGAACAACAAUUACAUUUCAAUAAUUAAGUUGGACAGAAAUGCCAAGGGAUUAAUAAGUACUCCAUGCAUAUUACAAGUACGAGCUAGACAAAAAUAAAUUGCAUAAACCUGAAUGGUUUAACAGUAGGGUAUUAAGACAGUUCUAUUUUAUUUUACCCAACCAACCGAGAUACUAUAUGUAUGUAACUAUAGAAAGUUGAAAACGGUGCUAGAACUUCUAGUGUUAAAAACAGUGGUACAGAUAUAACCACUUAAUUUCAAAAGAAAAAGGACUAUAACAAAUCUUGAGGCUUUUCUAAAUAUCAGCAUAAACACAAUACCACUAUAUUACAUCAGCACAAAACAAGCACUUUGGGAGAAACAGUGGCAUAUGCCAUAGUUAUUUAACUUUGUACAUGAUAAUGCCAUAGAUAACGAGCAAACCUUUUUACCAUGUAUUUGUUUUAUGGUGAAAACCUUGUCGUCAUUUUGGGAACGGGCUAGGUAAAGAAGGGGGGUCACCUUAGUUUGGAAGUCCACGGACUGAGCUUCGGCCUUGUAUUUGCACACUGCAAGCUCCUGGAAGGAUGGCUUGAGCGGCAGCGAUGCGUCCACGAAGACGCCGUUAGCGAAGGUGACACGCGGACUAUCGGCAUAGGACGCGUCGGCAAGCACGAACUGCACCACCUGCUCGGCGAGCGCGUGGAGCCUCUCAGCCUCGCCUUCCCCCAGUGUAGCGACGAGUUGGUCACGGGUGGCGCCCCCAGCGCCAGCGGUGAUGAGGCUGAGCGCGACGUGAAGGGAAACCGGAGAGAAUGCGACAUUGUUGGCAGUAGAUUCGGGGUUGGAUGAGAUAGUGGAGGCGAGGCGAAAGCCGAAGCGGGUCUGGUGCGCAAUGGAGAGGCGGACGUCGGUGGCGAGGGUGGUUGCCAUGGCUGGGGUAGUGGUUCGUUGGGCUUUUGUUAGAGUUGAGAGAAAGAUGGGUGAUUGGGAAGUGUUGUUUUCAUGGGUGAAUUGUGGCUAUUUAACGGGAGCCACAUGCUAAGGAUUGAAGCAUCUGCGUCAUAAAGCAAGAUAAGUGGUUUGUUGUCUCUUGUGUAAUUAGUCAUUGUCGUGUCAUUUCGUAUAUAUGUAAGCAACCUAAGCUUAUCCUAUCAGCUUAGUGUGGCGCUUCCGGUCUGAUCUUCCCGUACGUCUGAGUUCUGUAGAACAUCGGAUUUGUGGUAGACCACUACACGCCUCGUAACCUUUUAACCGGUCAUUUUAAAAGAAUUGUUCAUUUUCUUAAAAUCACACAACUGAUUAGCAAUACUGAGUUCCAAGCUUAAGAUAGCGGUGCCGACCUUUAAAGUUUUAACUAGUAAAGAAGAUGUGCAUGGCAUUGCAUAAUUAGGAUUCUCUUCACACAACUGAUUAGUAGUACUAAGUUCCAAGCUUGAGAUAUAGCUAUACCAAUGUGUAAAGUUUUAACUAGAAAAAGAGGAUUUGCAUGAUAUUGCAUGACAAAUCCUAAUUGGGAUUUGCAUCACUUGCCGUGGGGUGUGGGCUUAACUUGUGGUCAAAUUAAAGUUUAUGAUCCAACGGAUGACACUGCGGCAUAUCCAACGCUACCCCUAGAAGAUGACAAAACUGAUAAUAUAUUAAUAUGUGCUUUUCAUCACUUCUGCUAGUUCCCCUAGAACAUCUGAUUUAUGUGGAGUUUGCUACACGUAUCGUGACCUUUUUGUUGUUUAAUUUAGAAGCUUGGUAUUUUCUUAAGAUCACACAACUGAUUAGUAGUACUAAAUUCCAAGCUUGGGAUUCCAAUGCCAACGUCUAAAGUUUAACUUGUAAAGAAGAUUUGCGUGAUAUUGCACCAUAUACCAAAUUGGGAUUUGCAUCAUUUGUUGUGGGGUUGGGCUUAGUUUGUGGUUAAAAUAAAGUGUUAUGAUCCAAAGCAGGGACGGACCCAGAAAAAAAAAGGGAAUGCGUGUACACUUUUUUCUAAAAAAAGGUCUAUUUCAAUUGGUUCGGAUGGGCCUUGAAAAUCAGCUAAUUAUUACUACUCCCUCCAUUCCUAAAUAUUUGUCUUUCUAGAGAUCUUAACAAGUGACUACAUACGGAGCAAAAUGAGUGAAUCUACACUCUAAAAUAUGUCUAUAUACAUCCGUAUGUGAUAGUCCAUUUGAAAUUUCUAAAAAGACAAAUAUUUAAGAACGGAGGGAGUACAUGGUAAAAAAAAUCCCAAAAUUCUAGGUGUGUCAUGGCACACCGCUUAGGUACGCCAUUGAUCCAAAGUGGAGCAAGAUUCCAUUCCUCAAAGAGAAAAAUUCACUACAGGUCCAUUUACUUGCGCUGGCGUUAGCUUUAGUCCCUGUGGUUACAAAUACCCAAAAUACAGUCACCAAACUUGCUCUAAGGGGUCAUCUAUGGUCCAUUAUACGGUUUUGUGUAUGUAUGCGCUGAGCUGGCUCGAGUCAACCGAUGCCAAGUGUGCAUUGACUGCCACAUGUGCCCAGCCGCUCGAUUACGCAUGCACCCAAUUAUUUUUUGCAAAACUGGCAGUUAUUAAAAGAUCUGCCCCCCCUCCCCACCCGGUCGCACACCUGGUCGGAUCGAGCCACACCCGCUCGGAUCGAGCCCAACCGUUGCCGAACCGAGCCACUCUCCCGCUUCUCGCUUCUCCCCUGGUUCGUCGUCGCCGCCGAGGUGGUUCGUCAUCUCCAGCGUGGGCGAGCAUGGCGAUGGCUCCAUGAGCUCGUCGUCGGCGCUGCGCCGCCGCCGUCCGCACCAUUUGGGAGGGGCCUGCAUGACGUCCCUCUCACACCGUCGCGUCGCGACGACCAUGCCUUGCCACCCCUCUAUGGUACGUCACCGUCGCUGGCAGGUAUUGUGCUUGAUCUGUCCAUGAAAGCUCCGGGGAAGAGCUUGCGUGCGAGUCAAUUGCGCAUAGCUGCUAGGGUUUGGGCUAUUUCUCUCCCUUUUUGCCACGAAUGGUGUAGGGUUUAGGGUUUUAGCAGAGGACGUUUAGCAGGGCCACAGAUCAAAGCUAGGGUUUCUGAUGUGCUAUGGAUCUUGUAUCUAGAGAUGGUCUAGGGUUUGCAUAGCAAAAUUAGGGUUUGAUUUUGGAGCAUGUUAGGGGGAGGCCAUGCUCGCUUCUCCCCUGUUUCUUUGCUUUAUAUGGCCUGGUUGUUGAUAAUGAUAUGAGAUGAUCGUUUUGCGCAUGAGAUGAUCAUUUUGCCCAUAAAAGAUCAUAUAUUUGGUCAAUGGAGGCCAUGAAUCCGUGCUUUCUCUCUGCAACAUGUAUGAAAUUUGCUCUGUAAGAUAACUGCAUUUAUAUGUGUUAACCUGUCUGAAUAUUGACAUGUCUGAACUUGAUUUAGUACAAUAAUUGGACAUUGACAUUGAGCAUUGCCACUUUGCUUGUUUUGGUCCAAUUACAUUACUUUACUGCUUGCUCGGUACCCUUGGUUAGGUCCUGCUUAAUCAGUUAACUGAGCUACUGGUGGUUUGAUACAGUAACCGAACUUUUGGAGUUAAUUGAAUAUUUUCAGCUUGACUGAACCUUCAUAAAUGUCUCUGUUUAUCUUGUUUGAACAUUGCAACUUUGAACGUUUUGCAGGACCCCUAAGCAACCAGUUCUCUGUUGAGGUCAUACAUGGUGGCUAUAUCCUUUAUGCAGGCAAACAUAGGGAUUACCACAAAGGCCACUCCAUUUGGUAUGGCUACUGUGACAUAGAUAACCACAAAAUCAUAAAGAUCAGCUGCAUCAUAAAAGCAUCAUAAAAGGAAGAUAAGUGGUUUGUUGUGUCUCUCUUAAUUAGUCACCGCUGUGUCAUUUCAUAUAUAUGGAAGAAACCUGAACUAGUCCUAUCUCGAGUUAGCGUGGCGCUUCCGGUACGUCUGAAUUCUGUAGAACAUCAUAUUUAUGGGAGACCACUACACGCCACGUAACAUUUUAACUGGUCAUCUUAUUAAGAUCACACACAACCGAUUAGCAAUACUAAAUUCCAAACUUGAGAUAGCGAUGCCAACCUGUAAAGUUUUAAUCUUCUAUAUCUAAAUAGGGGCACCCCACUAGCUGAUUUUCCUGCCUCCUAAUGAAGCCACGUCAUUUCAAGUGUUACAACCGUUGAUGUAGUAUACCUCAUUAGUCUAGAGCCGUCUGAUCAGAGUUGAUGAAAUUUACUAAGACCUGCCACCGGUAAGUGGGAAAUAACGAUUCAUUCAUUGGUACUGUCCCGCUCGCUUCCUAGGCCUUCGGUCAAAUUUUCGUAGGUGGGCUGGUAGUUGGUGGGAUUUGAGCACGUUCUAGCCCGUGGAAAACAAAUAGCCCAUGUAUCCUACCCACAUCACGUCAGAAAUAUUAUCCUCCAUCGUGCACCCUAUUUGCCCCAUCCAGCCGCCGCUCCCAACCCAGUCCACCAGCCAGCCGCCGGCGCGACGCUACUACUCCCCGGACUAUCCCUCGGCUAACCACCGCCAUGUUGAUCGCUCCCUGGCCAGUCUUCCGGUCAGCCUCCGCCAUGCCCGACGCUCUCUUGGCCAGAUGGCGGCGCCGCGACCGAGGCUCCUCAGCCUCCUGCCACCACCACCGCGACCGAGGCUCCUCCACAUGCCGUCGCCGCAACGACCGACGAUCUCCCGUGCAUUAAUUCUCUUCCCGCUACCGCUCUAUAGCCACCACUACCCUUCUGCCUCCACGGCGUAUGAUAUCCCAGCCACAAAUGCACAUGAAACGGCCUGCCGCACCACACAAUUCCUCCCCUCAUUACCUCGCCUUUCAUUACCCUGCAGAUGCGGAAGAAAGUGGGUUUAAAUACCCCUAUGUAGUGCCAUCGUCAUCACAGACGCCUUCUCGCGUCCCAUCUGGAAAGAGGCCUCCGGCCUGGUAGCGGCACACUCUCUGUUUCGAGCAGCCUAUGAUUUUCUCAUCAAGAUGCUUAUGCCUUUGAAUCUUCUCAGGUUGCGUUUCAGAUCAAAGGUGCUCUGCUCCAUGUUAUGCUUCAAACAUCUCUUGCCGCUGGGAAUUGUUUCAUUACUUCACAGGUCUCUUACUCUCUUUGCAUUUUUCCAGAUUGUGCCUUACUCUUACUUUGUCAUGUGCAGGAAUGAUAGACUACUAAUAUGAAAAAUUAGGCUUUCAAUUUUCGUGGUACUUGCUAUAGUUCUUCUAGAUACAUAUUGCUCAUCCAAAAAAACUCUCUUUGUUGCCCAUAUUAUUAUACCUGAAUCACUGCCAAUAGGUACUAGAUGAACUAACCGGAAAGAGGCAAGGGGUAUCGAUUCAUGUUUGCAUGUUGUUGAAGAGUAUCAUGGAAUUGGAUAUGGGCUUUUCUCAUGUUGUUGUAACUUAGAUUACCAAUCACUUUUACUCUGUAGGAAAAUUUUUUAUCCCUUUCAUGUUGACCAUUUAUAAUUGUUCAUCUCCCUUAUACCGUAGAAACAAGAUUAUCUUAGUUUUCUUCUGGGUUGGAUAGUUCAAUUAGUUAUUCGUAAAAAAAUGGAUAGUUAAAUUAGUUAAAUGAUUAUAUGUGCAUGAGUAUGUUUGUUAGCAAUGCAACAUAUGUCUUUUUUUAAUUUAAGACAGACUGUGGUGUUCAUGUUGAUUCUAUCAACAUUUUUGUUAUCCUCCUUCUGCACUCCCCUAGAUUGCACUCCUAGAUCGCAAGGUGUCGGGCAUUUUGCUUCAUAGAUAUCUUGCUACUUGCAUUGGUAAGCACAUACUCAUCUCUAAAUUUAAUUGUUUACACAUGAUGAGCAUACACAACUUAUAUUUCUUUCCAUGCAUAUUACGUACCAUUGAAUUUCUUCCCCUGAAUUAUUAUGUGCAUUGCGUUUGUUCAAAACAUAUAGGCUAUAAUCUUCUUCCUUUUAAGGCGAUUGAGUGCAUAUGGUUUACAAAGAUGGAUGGUGCCAAAUAUUCUUCGAUGCAUCUUCGUAGGCAUUUAGUCUCAUGCAGUCAUGGACACCCCCACCAUCAGUCAUUACAUGUUGUCACCCCUGAAAUGAACCAAUCUACUGCUUCAACACAAGUGUGUAGACAACAUAGAAAUAGAGGUUAGUUAGGAUAAAGUACUGCAAAUUACCCUCAAGAUUUCUAUGAACGGACCACUGUAUUAGAGAAUGGUUUCACACAUUGUGCAAUAAAAAUGGACUUGGCAUUACUAACACAUUAGUUGUUCCUCAUAAUGUCCACUGCAGGCAUGUGCAGAUAUCUUUUCAAGUAGAAUCAGAAAAGAAAAAUCUUUUCAAGUAUGUGACAAAAUGAUUUGAUUGUACCAGAUAAAAAAUGGAGUCUAAUGCUAGGUCAUCCUUUUCACCAAGUGAAACGGCCAAUGAAAUAGAUAUUCAUCGAGAGUGUCGCUAUAUUGCACCAAAUGAGGCUGUUUGGCGCUUGCCUAAGUAUGACAUUCACCAUACAUACCCGUCCACAGAAAGACUCCCUGUUAUUCUUGCUGGAAUGAAGAUUGAUUCAGUACCUCAGAUCCCCAAAGGUCAUGUCAUAAAGAAAAGCUUCUCUAUCGCUAAUGCACAAGUGUUGCCCUCUACAAAGGUUAGAUAAUUUCUAUUAAUUCAGAAAAGUAUAUUCUUCCUAAUUUCAACCAAAUUUGCCUGCAAAAUACUAACUUGAACCAUGUAAUAUCUCCAGCCAUCUCCAAUCAAAGAAUUGACGACCCAUUCAUCUUCAAUUAUAAUAAUCGAGAGGUUUGCCAUGAAUACCAAUAUAGAAGUUACAACCUCUAUCUAAACACCGCUGACCAAUUUUUUUCUUCAUAGUCCAAUGAUCCAAUCACCAGAGGACUCAAACAACACUACAUAUCCCUCUUGCCUAGCGGCAGAUAUUGACACUGAGGAAAAACAAAACAAGUAUGCUUAGAACUCUCUGUACAAAUCAAUCGGCAGAUAUUCAACGGGAAAUUCAAAUGUCAAUUUUUUCUUGCAGGCACUCUUUAGCUAAAAGGAUCACUGAAUUUGCGGAAGAUGAAACUACCAACAAAGAGAGGUAUGAACGGAUAACAAUAAUCCUAUUUACCAUAUAAUUUCUCAACGGUGCAAUAUUUACAUGUCACAGUCAAAAGGAGGUAGAUCUUGAGGCCGCAGAAUUUCAUCUUCAAGUUGUCAAAAAGCAUAAACAAGACUGCAAGAGUAUGUGUGUCAUCUCAUAUUACUUACCAAAUUCCAAAUAUAAUAUUCACCAUUAUUUUUUUUCGUCCUCAAGCAACAUUGCAGACAACAACAUGAAAAUGAACAACUUAAACGGCCAUGAGGAUAAACACCAAUAGAAGCAUAGGUACUGUAAAUUUCAUGUCCAAACAAAAUUAUCUACAGUUUUGGUUUCUCUCCUCUAGCCUGAAUAGAGGAGGAUAACUGUAUCAAUAGUGCUCUCUUUUUACAACAUGCAGGAUAUCGUCAAAAACUCACUCAAGCAGCAACAAGCUACACUGCCUUAUGUUUAAAUUAGUUAUAUUGUGUUGUAAUCUCUCUCAUUAGUAUUACUUCUGGGUGAUCCUAUGCAUGUAAUGAGUUAUGGAUAGUGCUUAUGCAACUAUAUACGGACUGGAUUACAUUGCUUUCUAUUUACAUAUAGUUAUAUUAUGGCUCAGAUUUCAAUCCAUUGAACACUCACUGGUAAUUACAUGAUGAUCCUAUGCGUGUAGUGACAUAUGGAUUCACCUGCAUUCUGAGGUAUAUGUGUUGCUUUGCACUUUAUUGAGAUGAGCAUGUGGAUUUUACUAUAAAUGUUUCAAUAUAUAUAUUAUUUUCCUGUUACAUGUGCGAAUGGUACAAAAUUUAGGAUAGGUCAUGUUAAAAUUUCUGGUGAAAUUGCUUCCAACAUCUUGAUUACAUCCAUAUCAACAAGGUGUGUAGCAAGCAUGUAACACGCGAAGGGCCGAGAUCCACAGCAAGCCAACGAUCUGGCAAGUGUUUGUUUGCUUUCACGAUUUCAACAUUUAUCAUUGCAUAAACUCUCAUCCACAAAUUCCCGUAGCAACGCGCGGGGUACCAUCUAGUUAGUAUAAAGAAGAUGUGCAUGGCAUAACAUAAUUAUGAUUUACGCCACACAACUGAUUAGUAGUACUAAAUUCCAAGUUUGAGAUAGCUAGUCAACGUGUAAAGUUUUAACUAGAAAAGAGGAUUUGCGAUAUUGCAUGACAAAGCCUAAUUGGGAUUUGCUUCACUUGCCGUGGGUGUGGACAGAUAACAACUUCUUUCGCUCGCGCCGCUUCCGCGAGCGGCCGGGCGAAACCCUAGCCCGUCGCCGCCGCCUCCCACACUUUCGCCUCCUCCUCCCUCGCCACCGCCAGGGGAUGGCGCCGGGCAAAGCCCGUGCGUGCGUCGGUGGCGGCGGGGUCCUCCCCUCCCCACGAGGCGCGGGCGGCGCGGGACGUCCGGCUCCCGUGGUGGCGCGCAUGGCCAGGUACGACGUGCAGGCGAGUGGAUCUGGCGUGAGGGCGGCCAGGUGAGGGCGGAUCUGGCGAGGGUGUGGCGCGGCCUGCCGCGGAGGCGGCCAGGCUCGCGGAUCUGGCACCGGCGACGGCACGCGNNNNNNNNNNNNNNNNNNNNNNNNNNNNNNNNNNNNNNNNNNNNNNNNNNNNNNNNNNNNNNNNNNNNNNNNNNNNNNNNNNNNNNNNNNNNNNNNNNNNNNNNNNNNNNNNNNNNNNNNNNNNNNNNNNNNNNNNNNNNNNNNNNNNNNNNNNNNNNNNNNNNNNNNNNNNNNNNNNNNNNNNNNNNNNNNNNNNNNNNNNNNNNNNNNNNNNNNNNNNNNNNNNNNNNNNNNNNNNNNNNNNNNNNNNNNNNNNNNNNNNNNNNNNNNNNNNNNNNNNNNNNNNNNNNNNNNNNNNNNNNNNNNNNNNNNNNNNNNNNNNNNNNNNNNNNNNNNNNNNNNNNNNNNNNNNNNNNNNNNNNNNNNNNNNNNNNNNNNNNNNNGGUGGCGGCCAGGCGAGGGCGCGUGGAGGUGCCUUGGUGUCGGCGCAGGCUGGCGGGGCGGUGCCCCUCCGGCGUGUGGUGGCCGGAUCUGGUCAAACCUGGCCAGAUCUGUGGUGUGUUUGACGCGCGCCGGCCCUGCGCGCUGGUCCUAUGAUGCUGGAGCAGGCGGCUCCGGCCGUGAUAGAUGCGGGAUGCAGGGACUAAUCUGGUCACUGUAGGCUCGCAGUGGGCGGGGUGGACCACGACUCCAUGGCUUCUACGACUAGGUUCUGCGGCGGUGGCGGUGCGAGACUGCAUGGACGAGCUUCUGUGGGCACGAGCGAAGGUGUGCGGCGAUACGGACGAAAGUCCUGCACGACCAGAGGCCGGUGGCGAUGGCACCUGUGGGUGUCAUUUUCCUCCUUGGAGGCGUCACCUGAGGUGUGUCGGCAUCUUCCUCGUGCUCGGAUGGUGGUUUGUCUCCGGGCGAAAUCCUAGGUCCGGUGUUGGAUCGGCGUGAUGGCGGCGUGUUUGACGUCGUUCCUCUGUUGGGAGCAUCAUGUUUGGAGACACUUCCUGGAAGCUCUUUGUGGCGCUCCUCCGGUGCUCACCGCUGUUCAAGGUGAAGCUCUAGGCGCAAUGUACGACAUCAUCGAUGAGUCCAAGACGAAGCUCUUUCUGGGAUCGACCAAGUCCCGCCAUCUACCCCCUGCUUCCUGGGUGGAUGGUGCGUUGGCGAGGGAAGUUGUAGUGGGAGCUGCUGCUAUCUUCGGAGGUGAUCGGCGUUGUUCGAGACACGGUGGUGAUGCUUAGCUUAGGACAAGUGCUUCGGUUGUGUAGUCAUGUUGUUUGUGGUGGGUGUAGCUCUCCGCAGCUAUUAGGGCCGCAGUUUUUUCUUUCUCUUUUUGAUCUUCGGAUCUUCACCAUGUUGUUCUUCCGCUGCUUUCUGCUAAAUCUGAAUCAAGCCAACAAUUUGUUGGAUCUUUCAAAAAAAAAACUUUUGUGUUAUGAUCCAAUAGACGAUACUGCGGCAUUACCCAAUGCCACCCCUAGAAAAUGACAAAGCUGAUAGUAUGUGCUCUUCAUCACUUUUGCUACUUCCCCUAGAACAUUCGAUUUAUGUGGAGUUUGCUACAUGUCUCGCGACCUUUUGGUUGUUCAAUUAAGAAGCAUAGUGUUUUCCUAAGAUCACACAACCGAUUUGUUGUACUAAAUUCCAAGCUUGGGAUUGCGAUGCCAAUGUGUAAAGUUUAACUACUCCCUCCAUCCCAUAUUGUAGGACAUUUGUUGGCACUAGUGUAGUGUCAAAAAACGUCUUAGAUUAUGAGAUAGAGGGAGUAGUAAAGAAGAUUUGCGUGAUAUUGCAAUGUAUAAGGUGACUUUAUAACAUUGGUUUACAUGUAAUGUAAGCUUAUCUUCGUAUUUUCAGUUGAGAGAUCAUAACUGUUACGUUUUUCUUUUUGCUACAGAAAUGCCCCCUUUACAGCCAUUUGUGAAUAACCAAAUUUUAAGUGAGGACUAAUUCCCGACAAACCUUUGCUCAGCUGUUGCCCACCUCCCAUAAUGCUUUUAUGGCAGGCUGCCACUGGGCUCUUUUAUCCUGGUCCUGCUUCUUCUAUUCACCUUUUCUAAGCUUAUCAUGCAGCUCCAUUCCUUUCCUCAGCUGCUCUCUGUGUACCUCCUAUCAUCUCUCCUGGGUGAACUCUUUUGCUUACCCUCCAUUCCAUCCAGCUGCCUUGCUACAAGUUUGCCUCCUCCCUAGUGAUACUGCUCUAAUGUUUGGUUGUUUCCUCGCUAUAGCUCUUCGGAUGGGUGAUAGCUUUGGAAAUUUCCCAUUCCCGACAGGUCCUAUUGUGAUUCGAAAGUUGUCACCUUAAUGUAAAUUUUUGAUGAGUAGCAAUACCAAGCAUUUGGCUUCAAAGUUCAGACUUCCUUCAUCGUAUACACACUUAUAACUACGCCCUUUCACAUUGAUGCUCAUUUUGAAUAGUUACGAUACAUGCCUCUUCGUGGACUAGUGAUUGCUAUGAGAGCAUGGGGUCGUUUAGUCUUAUACUACUAUGUGUCUUGUUGUUUUCACUUGUAGUUUACGGACAUAGGUGUUCUGUUUAGAUAUUGUUUUGGUAUAUAUCCAUGUCGAUCUCACUUGCAUCUGUAAUGCUGCAAGUGGACGAUGGCUCCCCAACUUUCGGCUCGCUCCCCACGCUUCUCUCCCACCCAGGAUUUUGGUUACCGCUCGAAAUUUCGAGAUUUACCAUGGUUACUGCAUAUUUCUGCCCCCUCGGUAAAUGGGCAUUUCCAGCAUUUUUCUUUUGAGUUUUUGAAUUUUUUUUAAUUCAAACGCUCAAUGUAUAGUAAAGUGUGGCAGCACCUCACAGCAUGCGUGUAGACAUGUUCCACUGAGCUAAUAGCUCUUUAAUGAUAAAUAUAAGUUCAAGUGCUAUCUAUAUCUAUUUUGCAAGAAUUUGAAUUCAAAAUUCAAUUAUAAAUUUCGUGGUAACCGUGGUAACCAUGUUUACCGGUCCUCCUCGGUAAAAAUGCCCCAUUCAGUAACCAAAACGUUGCUCCCACCCACCCCCGCGUGUCGGCUGCUCGCUCCGACGGCCGGCGGACACCCUCCCGUCCGUCGGCUGCUCGACGGCCGGCGGUCACCCUUCCACAGCCCCAUCUGACGACCGACGACGAGCUUCGGAAUGUCUUGCUGUACAGCAACCCAUGGCAGCGGCCACCGCCUUUUGUUGCCAGGUAGCAGCGGUGGCUGCCAUUCUAAGGCUCGACCUCCACUCCGAUCAGCAGUUGAAUGAUGUCCGGCUCCGGUUGUAGACAAUCGGUGGUUCAGUAGUUGGUGAGCCUUCAGCCCGUGCUCGGAAAAUAGAUUCUUUUUCAUUAAGCAGCACUAUUUAUAUACUUGGUUCAAUGCAUUGAGCAAAGAAAAGGUGGAGGGCAUUUCAUUUAACCUCAUUUUUAAAGAAAAAGAACUUUACCAUCCAAUUGGACCAUUUUUUUUGCAAUGUUUGACAAGAAUCUAGUUACAAUUUCAUGUGCUUUUUACUUUGACUUGAUUGUAUUUUUUCUAUUCCUUAAAAAAGAGAGUCAAAAUGAGUGUGUUGAACCGCCUCUGUCUCCCAAACUCGUAGGUAGUGCCAUAUCUAGUAAUUUUGCUCAAGGUGGUGCAAUCCUCGAUACAAACGAUUCCCACAAAAAUAAUAUGCCAACAUACGAGUGUAGAAUUCAUCACAAGCAUAGAACAUUUACUGGAUUUAUUGCAUGGGUAGCAUGAUUGAUUGUCGAAACCCUCCUCUUACAUGUAACAGGUGAGGCAAAUGACAAGACACUUCAGAGAAAACACAUUAUGAAGAUAGGAGGGGAUUGACCACAUGACCGAUGAAUAGAACCACACCAGAAGUGUCUUCCAGGAUAAGGAAGAGGAAAGGGUGAUCCGCGAUGAAAUCCAAGACCGAGGGCGGCGGUGCUUGUCGCAGGACUACUUUAGCAAUAGUUGUUGCUGCAGCCUCAGUUCCUGUUUCGUUCACUUCGACAAAUGCUUUGUGGAAAAUGGAUGAGAUGUAGAGGUUCUAUGCCAUUGGGGAAUCCACCAUCUUUGAAAGAUCUGCUUCAGCACCGAAUGGUAGUUGUAGACCUAAACCUUUGAGCAAAUCAGAUGCCUCUAUUCCCAAGGAUAUCUUGAACUUGGGGAGCUUGAAUUGCCUGAGUGCAACCUUCUGCCUUGGGAUAUGUUGUUCCAGCAACUCUGGUUCGGCACUCAACUUUUCUGCCAAGCUCCAGAUACCACUUGGUGCUUCUGGAAGAAGGAUGUACAUGGAGAACUGCCUCUUGUCCCCACCUUGCUUGUAAGGAAGCUUAAGUACUUUCAAGCCAUCAGAAGAAGAAACAUAUUGUUCUCCUGAGCUGUACAUGAAUGGUGUUUGAAUUGAGCUCCCAUCAAGAAGGUAGAAGUAGUCGCUUUCUGUUCCACGUGGAUCAAACUGAUCUGUCCAAGCUCCUUUGAAAUAAAGGGCAUUGCCAAGAACAAGUCUAGUGGUAUUGCUAAUAGAUCCUGCGGGGAGAAUAUCUUUGAUGAGACCGGUUGUGACUUUCUCUACCCAUGAGUUCACUUGAGCAGUAACUUCUGCGGCCUAGAUCAAGUCAAAAUAAAAGAAAGGUCAAUUAUGUUAUAAGAAUACAUUGAAAAGUACUAUUGUGUCACCAAUGUUUUAAAAAAAUCUUCUCAAUGUAUAAAAUAUUAUACUUGUGCUGAGAAUACAAAGCAGAAUACUAAGGUUUUUGCAAGACAUUUGUAUAUGUAGUAAGGUUUCACACACAUAGUAAAAUCAUCACAUACAAGCACGGUGAUAGAAAAAAAGCAUAUGUGCAUACGAAAAUGAUUAAAUGGUCAUCACAACAUCUCGAAGCAAUAUUAUGCAAUACCUAUGGGAGUUCAGCACAUAGAGAUUGGUUAUACAUAUUCCUAUACGUAUGCUACUGUAGAGUACAACAAGCAACAUGCCAGCACAACGAUGAAUGUUACCAAAGUAUGGUAAAUUUGUGUAACCAAUAACUACAAUUCAAUAAUUAAGUUGGACAAAAAUGAGAAGGGAUUAAUAAGUACUCCAUGCAUAUUGCAAGUUUGAGCUAGACAAAAAUAAAUUGUACAAGCAGCCUGAACGGUUUAAAAGUAGGAUAUAUUAAGUUGAAUCUAUUUUAUUUUACCAACCAACCCAAAUACUAUAUGUAUGUACCUAUAGAAAGCAGGAAAUUGUUCUAAAACAUCUAGUCACUACCAGAAAACAGACUUUUCCCCACGGCUAAGAACCCAUAGGAAAAAGCCAAAUCCCGUCAGGAAAAUAUUUCCUGACGGUUACCCGACAGGAAAAUUUCGCCAGGAAUAAAACGACAGGGAAAUCUUUUAAUGCCUGAUGGCCAGCCGACAGGAAUUAUUUUCCUGACGGUUAUUCCUGUCGACUACCCUCAGGAAAAUCUUGAUGCCGUCAGGUUUAUAGGUAGACUUAUUGUGACGGCCAGCCUACAGCGAAAAUGGCACGCAGGAAAAUGAAUUAUGUUGAGCAUGUAUUUUUCUUUCUUUAGGAUCAAUGUUGAGCAUGUAUCUGACAAAUCCAUAUCCUUCUAUAGUUACAAAUUUAUUAGCACAUAUCAAUGGUCCACGUAUGAUCCCAUUAAGUGAAAAUCCACAUCAUAUCUUCGUACAAGCAUCCAAAACCAGUAUAUACAUAGCACGUAUCCAUGCAUGAUUGAACAUCUGGUAGAUGACAUCUGAAAAUUUUAAUUGCUGUUGUUUUAUUUGCUCAACAACAGUAACAUGUCAGUUGUACGCAUACAUGCCACCGCCACCCAAAACAAUAAGACUCAUGUUUCUAAGUCCACUGGUUCAUGAUCUGGAGCAUCAUCUACACCUUCAUAAGUUUCUAAGUCACCUUAGGCUAUCACCAUGUUCUCAACAUCAUUGUUGCCUUUGCUGUUGCCAUUGCCGACGUGGUCGCCCAUAGCACCAUCCUCCAAGCUAACAGAGGAUAACUCGGUGUUCCCUGCAAAGUCAUGUACACAAGUAACGGGAAUAAUAUUGGAAAGAGAAGGAGAUGAUGACCAACAUCUUUCACCAUAUGAGUUGUUAUCCGCUUAACUCUUUCAAGUUUCAUCUUUUAGCAUAUCUAUACAAUAUAUCCUACAGCCCCAUGAAACAUAUAUUUUAUAUUUUAAAGUGGCUCCAAAAGAUAAUCUGGUCCACUUGAUGAUAAUUUAGCUAAUCAAGGACUAAAAAAGGAUGUUCAUUUAGUUUUUCUUUGUAAAUCUUAGAUAUGGCAUAUGGCAGCAAUGCAACCAUUAGAUGUUAUACUACCAUCUUGGUGCUUUAUAAAAUAAUGGAUAGGAUUAAACAAUACUCACUGGUAGCUUCAUGUUCGACCUUGUGCCCACUAGGACGACAUUCUUAACGAGGUCCUGCCCUUUUUGCCCUGAUGAAAAAUGUGCAAUCUCAAGAUUCCAAUCAAGAAUAGAUGAUUUUGUUCAGAACAAGACUAAAGAUUUCUGGAAAAGCAGAGUAUACUUGUAGCCAGCGGAAUAACAGUUUAUCUAAAAAGAUGACCAAGAAGGCAAGAACUUAAGAGAUUGCAUAAUCCCCUAAUUUUAGAUAUAUAGUAAAUUCAGCUUCAUCUAAACUAACAUGAUGGGUGAAGAUUGUAAUUCAAGGAAGUAAAAUAAAUUAAUGGGGUUAGGUAGAAGUUGGGCAAACAAUGGCUCCAGAUUCAAUGCACAAGAGCCAAAGACUGGACAAGAAGACCUGAACUAAAUCAUGCCCUCAAAGAAGAUCCAGCAUGCCAUACACCCUUGAGUAACUGAGGAAUAUGACUGCCAGUCUAGAUACAUGAUGGAAGUAACACACAAAUCAGAUAGAUAUGCAUGUGCAUUAAUUACCUCAUGUUGCUGACCUGCGAGAACUUCAUAAAGAAGAGGUAUGCACUCCUCAUAGUCUUCAGCAUCCAUGGGCUUGCACCUGAACCAAAACACACACACACACGCGCGUAAAACAGAGCACGGACACGCACUGACUCACUCUUCGAAUAGGGCAUAUGCGAACAGGUGCCGAGCUCAAGGGAUGACAUGUUCCAAACAACAAGGUACCUGCGACCAAAUAUGUGUUCAGGAGAAGAUUAGAGGAAUGGAUUAGUGGCGCUGUGCAUAUGAGGAGAGACUGAGUUAGCAUCAGGGAUAGAUGGUGUAUAGUCUCAAAACAAUUUACACUACCUCAUCAUAAAUAAGUAAUUUGCCAAAUAAAUAAGGACAGCAACAAAUAAUAAGGUAACAAUUUGGGAGAUAAUUGCCACAUAAAAGCAAGUAUGUAUAUUUCCAAAGUGUGAGAGGUACCUGAGACAGGUUUUGCCUUGCCCUUCCUUCCACUACAAAGACUUCUAAAGAUGAGAAACAAAACCUAAAAGAGAGUGGCACAACUAUGCAAAUAAUUACUUACAUUGCUAACUAAAAUAUGACUAACUUGCUUCUAAAAUUGAACGUUUACUGCCAAAAUUAUUUGUGAAGGGAGGCGAUAUAUAGAAGUUGUACCAGUGUGGCUGCAGCUUCAACAAAGGAUCCUUGAUAUGGCAGAUUCAAGCUACAAGAAAUCAAGCAUGAAAAAAGAGUAAAUAUUUGACAUCUGAUUUCAAGACAUUAUACUACAAUUUGCUCAUAAAGUUUUUCAAAUGUACAUAAAUACAUAAAUACCACUGAGAAAGCAGCUAUAGGCCUCAUCUUUAUAUGCGGUACAUAUUCUAAAAGUACAUAUCUAGCAAUGAUACAAGAAGCUUUUCAGUUUCUCAAUUAUAUUAGCUAACAUCAGUGCUAAUAACACAACCAAUUGUAGGUCCUAAAAUUUUGAGAUAUGUGAGAGAACAAAACUCUUUCUAGCAAAUUGAAAAUUGAACAAAUCAACAUACUGAAAACAGAUGCAAAGGGACCCUUAUUUUCCCACUCACAAGCCUACUCUUUUCACCAAUGAGCCAGCAAAAGAAGGAAAUCAAGAUCCGGAUGCCCUCAGAUCUAGAUUCUACAUAAAUUGUAUGAACAACUAAAGAUCCUGACUUCGUUAUUUGGAUGACCAUGGUUGGACUUACCACAGAAAAAUGGAUCAACUGGCUUGGACAAAACGGAGAGGAGGAGGCCGCUGCUGUCACGUCAGACGAGGAGGAGCAGGAGUUUACUGGAUGUGCAACAACAGACUUACCCAGAUCUGGAGCAGGGAGCACGGGGUACAAUCAUCGCGUCCAGGGAAGCCGUGUUGGGCGGAGUGGUCCGACGAAGGUGGGAUGCAGCAAGGGUCGGAGCUGCAGGCAAGCGACGGCGGAAGUCACAGACAUUAAAGGUGGGCGUCGGUGGCGGAUGCAGGUUGACCCGGGCGGCGGUGGUGGAGGUGAGAGACGACCAGUAGUGGAGGUCGGGAGAGUGGAGGGCGAGCGGUGCCGGAACGAUUUAGGGCGAGUGGCGCCGGCCAGGAAGUUUGAGGAGGGCGGCGGCCAUGGAGCAGAUGUGAGAUGGAGAGAUGGGACGAAGUGGGGAAUUGGUGGUCUAGGGAUUCUAUUCAUCUGGAUGGGCCUUUUUUCCUGUAGGCCCAUACACACAGGAAAAUCGGCGGAAGUUUCAUUUGAGGCGCCAAAGCGAAAAAAACGCAGGAGGUAAGAAUUUCCGGCGCCAGAGCCCGUUUCGCGGUGGUGAAAUGGCGGGCUGGGCCUCAAAUAUUUUUCCUGUGGGCUGGACUCUCAGGAAAAUAGUCAAUUUUCCUGGGAGCCAAAUUUAGCCCGUUAGGAAAAUUUAUAUUCCUGUGAUGGGCUUCGGGCCUCACAGGAAAAUUCGUCACCUGCAGGAAAAGUACAGUUUCUGGUAGUGAGUGUUAAAAACAGUGGUAUAGAAAUACCCACUAAAUUUCAAUGGAAAAGGACUAUAACAAAUUUUGGAGGCUUAAUUAGUUAAAUGUAACACAGUACCUCUAUGUUACAUCAGCACAAAACAAGGACUUUGAGAGAAACAAUGGCAUGCCAUACUCCAGCCUCAAAAUAAUUAUGACAUAGAUAACAGACAAAUUCUUUUACUCUGUAUUUGUUUACCGGUAAAAACCUUGCCGUCAUUUUGAGAAGGAGCAAGACAAGGAAGGGGGAUCACCUUAGUUUGGAAGUCUACGGACUGGGCCUCGGCCUUGUACUUGCACAGUGCGAGCUCCUGGAAGGAUGGCUUGAGCUGCAGCGACGCGUCCACGAAUACGCCGUUGGCGAAGGCGACGCGUGGGCUGCCGAUGUUAGACGCGUUGGCGAGGACGAACUGCACCACCUGCUCAGCGAGUGUGUGGAGUCCCUCAACCUCGCCUUCUCCCAGUGUCGUGGCAAGUUGGUUGCGGGUGGCGCCCCCCGCGCCAGCGGUGAUGAGGCUGAGCGCCACGUGGAGGGAGACCGGAGAGAAUGCGGCAUUGUUGACAGUAGACUUGGGGUUGGAUGAGAUAGCGGAGGCGAGGCGGAAGACGAAGCGGGUCUGGUGCGCAAUGGAGAGGCGAACAUCAGUGGCGAGGGUGGUUGCCAUGGCUGGGGUGGAGGUUCGUUGGGCUUUUGUUAGAGUUGAGAGAAAGAUGGAUGACUGGGAAGUGCUGUUUUCAUCGGUGAUUUGUGGCUAUUUAACGGGAGGCACAAGCCCUGAGAUAUGCAAAGGUUCGAAGCAUCUGCGCCAUAAAGCAAGAUAAGUGGUUUGUUGUCUCUUGUUUAAUUAGUCAUCGUUGUGUCAUUUCGUAUAUAUGUUAGAAACCUGAACUUAUCCUAUCUCGAGUUAGCGUGGUGCUUCCUGUCUGAUCUUCCCGUACCUCUGAGUUCUGUAGAACAUCGGAUUUGUGGGAGACCACUACAAGCCUCGUAACCUUUUAACUGAUCGUCUUAAAAGCAUUGUUUGUUUUAUUAAAAUCACACAACUGAUUAGCAAUUCUGAAUUCCAAGCUUGAGAUAGUGGCGCCAACCUGUAAAGUUGUAACUAGUAAAGAAGACGUUCAUGGCAUUGCAUAAUUAGGAUUUGCAUCACACAACUGGUUAGUAGUACUAAAUUCCAAGCUUGAGAUAGCUAUACCUGUGUGUAAAGUCCUAACUAGAAAAGAGGAUUUGCACAAUAUUGCAUGACGAAGCCUUAUUGGGAUUUGCAUCACUUGCCGUGGGGUGUGGGCUUAACUUGUCGUCAAAUUAAUAUGUUCUUUUCAUCACACUGUGACAUAUCCAACGCUACCCCUGGAAGAUGACAAAACUGAUAAUAUGUGCUUUUCAUCACUUUGGCUAGUUCCCCUAGAACAUCUGGUUUAUGUGGAUUUUGCUACACAUCUCAUGACCUUUUUGUUGUUUAAUUUAGAAGCAUGCUAUUUUCUUAAGACCAGACUACUGAUUAGUAGUACUAAAUCCAAGCUUCGGAUUCCGAUGCUAGCUAACGCGUAAAGUUUAACUUGUAAAGAAGAUUUGCAUGAUAUUGCACCAUAUAACAAAAUUGGGUUUUGCAUCAUUUUGUUGUGGGCGUGGGCUUAGUUUGUGGUUAAAUUAAAGAGUUAUGAUCCAAAGCAGAGCAAGAUUCCAUUCCUCAAAAACACCUAAAUAAUGGCACCACGUCAUUCAACGCUACCCAUGCAUUUGCAUAAUACCACUACAAUUGGAGUUUAGGGGUGUGGACUUAACUUGUGGCCAAAUUUAAUCGUAUGAUCCGACGACGGCAGCGCUGGGGAGGUGGACACGGGCACGUCUACCUGUCGCCUGUAGCGAGCCCGAAGUUUGUGUCGCCUUAGUUGCUUGUAUAUUGGGCCGGCCCAAUAAACACUUCCGUUCCUGCACCAACCAAUUUGCUAUAAAGUCGCUCAACAUAUGUAGCUUCAUGUGACAGAAUUUAGUUACAAAAUUAGGCAACAAAUAUUUAUGUGAUAUAAAUACACCACAUAUAUAAAAAUAGAUUUCCAUGUAUUCUUUUAAUCCAUGAGUGUGAAAUAUAUUUUCAAAGAUUAUCUUACUUAAAUUUUAGAAAAUGUUCAUUGUGCCUUCAAAAAAAUGUGAAUGCACUGUAAUAUAGAUUUCUAUGUAUUUUUAUAAAUUACGUUAAUAUAUUGCAUCCUUUGUUAAUUAUGUUAAUAUAUUUCAAACAUUAUGUUAAUUAUUACUUUUAAAUGUUCACCGCGCCUUCAAAAAAUGUUAAUGCUUUAAAAAGAAUCAUGCAAUUUAUAUUAAAAAAUUGUAACUUUAGAAAACAUUCCUUGUAUUUAAAAAAUAUUCGCAAGUUUAAAAUUUUGAUCAUAACAAUUUCCAAACUGUUCAUAUAUUUUUUAGAAAUAUUGCAUCAUUUGUAAAAAAAAAAGUUCUUAUCAGUCAGAAAAAUCAUGACAUUAAAAAAUGUUCAUGUGUUUUAUAAACAUGUUUCAUGACAUUUUAGAAAAUUGUUCUUGCAAUUAUAAAGAGAAAAUUCAUAACAUAUAAAAAGAUGUUCGUGACAUUUUCCCAAAAUAUUCUAGCACUUUAACAGAUAUCUACACGUUUUAAACAAUAUUCAUGUCAUUUAAAAAUAUAUUCAACGUGUGUUUAAAAAAGCUCACUUUAUAUUUACAAAAUGACAAUGUGCAUUUUUACUAAUAUCCAGCAUGUAUUUAAAAAAUGUUCAACAGGUAUCUUAAACAGGUUUGAUUUGUAUGGCAAAGAAAAUUCAUUUUACUAAAAUCAAAUCAAUAUAUAUUGAAAAAGGAAAAAUAAAAGGAAAAGGGAAAAUGAAAAAUAAAAAAUAAAAAAAUUAAGAAUAAUCGAUAAAAAAGCACAGAGAAAAGAAGAGGUACAACACCGUGUUUUUACUGGCACGGCGUUCUGACCCAGUUAAGUCUCUGGUUGGUGGGCCUACGCCCGACUUGAUCGGUUCUUUGAAAACGAAACCUCUGCUGAAAAGCAUAAAAAAAACAUCCCUAAAAGAAAUUAUAAGAAAGCUCGUUCGGUUUUCCGGAGCAGUUUUUUGGGCGAGAUGACCUGCGGCGGCCUCCCCAUCUCGCCGGCGCCGGCGCCGAUGCCGACGGUGGCGGCCCCGCUGGAGGACGAGAACCUCCUGCCGGAGAUCCUCGUCCGCCUAGCCCCGCUGCCGUCCGCCCUCCCGCGCGCCUCCCUCGUCUGCAAGCGCUGGCGCCGCCUCGUCUCCGACCGCCGCUUCGUCCGCCGCUUCCGCGCCCACCACCUCCGCAGCCCCCCUCCCCUGAUCGGAUUCUUCGAGGAGGUCACCCGCGAACCCUCCCCGGACUCCCCCAGCAGCCUCUUCUUCACCCCUAUCCUGGAUCCCCCCAACCGCGUCCCGGUCAGCCGCUUCUCCUUGAGCUUCCGCAACGGCGACGGCCGCACGAUCCUCGGCUGCCGCGACGGCCUCGUGCUCCUCGUCGACGCGGGGGGUGCCGAGAUCGAGGUCCUGGUGUGGGACCCCGUCACCGGCGACCAGCACCGCUUCGUCGUCCCUCCGGUGAUCGACGAGCGCCAGGUCGUCGAGAUCUUAAACGGGGCGGUUCUCCGCACCGCCGGGAUCCUCGACGACCGCCCAUUCCGGUUCCAGGUGGUCUUGGCAGGCAUCGACAGGCCAAACAAGCGGCUGUUCGCCUGCGUUUACUCGUCGGAGGCCGGCAAAUGGGGCGAUCCCAUCUGGGUAUCCGUGGAUUCUGAGAGCAACGUUCGCACCACGGUUUCAAUGCGUGUUUCCAGCACCCUGGUUGGGAAUUCCCUCUACUGGUCGCUGAAUGGGGAUACUGCUGCCGUCCUUCAGUUUGAUUUGGGCACACAACGCCUGGCUGUGAUACCGCUGCCACUGGAUAAGUGCAGCGACGGCAGCCGCUCCUUCCGGGCUAUGCCGGUGGACGGUGGCGGGCUUGGCAUCCUUGAGCUGUUGGAUUUCAACAUCCAGUUGUGGAAAAGGGAGAUCGACCGUGCCGGUGUUGUUUCGUGGGUGCUGGGGAAAACUAUUGAAUUGGAUCAGCUUCUUUGCCUGGACAAGAGGGGAAUGAGUCCAAUGAUGCUGGGGUAUUGCGAGGUCAAUAAUGUGGUGUUUCUGAGGACAGUAUUCAGUAUUUUCUUGGUCCAGCUUGAGUCAUUGAAGUUCAGCAAGCUACCCAUACAGGCAUCUUACUUCUUGGUUCAUCCAUUCACAAGUGUUUAUACUGCAGGUAAUAACCAAGUACUUUUCUACAAUUGAUCGAUGGAAAGCUUUUCACAUCCUUGGUGUUAGACUAAUAAUAAUAUAAAUUAAACAUGUGUCAACAGUUCCUUUUGCCGCUAAAUGUGCUAUUGAACAAACUGCCAUGCUGCUUAUGAUAUUAUUUUUAUGAUUUUCAAACUCUGGGAUUGAAGUCAGAGGUAGCGAGCAUCUUAUGUAAGUUUAUUAGAUGAAGAAAAAUAUAGAUUAAAACCAUUAAUGUAAAGAUAAAACAAAGCUAAAUUUCACUGCUACCUUUCUAUUGUGUUAUGCAAAAGACGUAUAAUGCCAGUGAUUGUGUUUCCCGCCUUGAGAUGGAAAACAGCUGGAAAUUCGAAAGCUGAAAUGUCCAAAUGGUGGCUCAAUAUAGAUUUAAAGGCUUAAAACUAGUUACAUCCUUUGACCCAAUGUUUAUUUAUUUUAAUCUUGCUAACUUAAAUCCAUAAUAAAGGCUUGAUUUGAUAAUAUUUCAUUUUUACCACUUGUUGAAGACUGGCAAGUGUCAGAGUCUACUUGUACCAGAGGAUAAAUAAAUUGAGUUUGUUUUAUCUUUUCAAGCUAAAGUUAUUCAAAUAUGAAUUGUCAUUAUUUCUUUGUUCUUAAAAUUUAUUGGUUUGAAUAUAUUAUAUUUUAUCUACUUCAGAUAACACGGGAAUAACUUUAGAUCACUUCUUCGUUCUGAUCAGCUAAUAUUAUGUGCAUGCCAUUCCAUUUUAGGAGAUUACUGAGUGUAUAUACCAUUCUCAGAAAUAUUCUAUGCAAGGCAGUAGAUGUGCUUUUGUUUAUCUAUUCCAAUGUUGAAACAUGUGUUUUUCCUCUCUCAAUUUUAGCUUAUCUAAAUAUAUCGUUGUUAUCCCAUCGUAUCUUUGGUUCUUUGGCUUAUGCUUGUAGACAUGGGCAUUGGUGGUGGACCUGAUGAAGCCAAACUUCUGUGUAAUGCAAUGCAUAAGGUGACUGUAUUGUGAUACAUUGGUUGAGCAGGUAAUGUAAGCUUAUCUUUGUAUUUUCAUUUGAGGGAUCAUAACUGGUACCUUUUGUUUUUGUUACAAAAUGCCCCCUUUACAACCAUUUGUGAAUAACCAAAUUACAAGUGAGGAUUCUCACUGUGGUUCACGCCACCUAUUGUCGAAACUUGAAAGUAGGCCGCCAUCUCUCUGCCUCCACUUUGAUCUUGGUACUCUCACCUUAGAAAGCGCCGCUGUUUGUCUUGCUCCACACAUAAAUUCCUGUGCUGGUCCUUGUACACCUGCUUCUUCCUUGAUAGCCACCACUGCUGCAUAGUGUCACGAGAUCGCAGUCUUGCUGCAAUGGCCAUUGCUCGGCCAAAUCUGGCAGAUCUGUGGGCAUCACACAGGAAAAUGCUCGGCCAUCUCCUGAUGCUGCGAUAGUAGAGGACAUGUGCCCAGAUUUUGAGGUAGUGGUGCUCGAGGCUGUUGCCUGUUGACAGCCAGCAGCGAUGCUGAAGGGCAAAUCAAAUGAAGAACCGGCAUUUCAGAGGCAACUUCGCCUUCCAGAGGACCUUUUGGCAGCUGCCAUAGCUUAAUGCUGUAGUGAGUUCUAAAAAGCAGUGUCCAUUUUGGCCCGAAGGAAGUGUCUUUAUAAUAGGAUGCAUAAUCCCUGAGGCUUCUACCACAUGGAUUUGGUUGAUCUAAACCCGUUAAUUAGUAAACGGCUAUUUCUUACAUUUCCAAAACAUGUGCCUUUGAGCCACAAGGCAGAUGCAUCUGCUUUCAACACCAUGAAGCAGAGAUUUUUUUUUUCCCUUUUGAACUUCUUCUGAUUUUGCUGCCGGUUUGAUUCUACUUUGGAGGUUUGACAUAAGUUCCACAGUGAUGACUUUGAUGUUUAUGCAAUACAAAAAUUUGUGAGGUGGUACAACUUUAAUGGCUUUUGCAUCAUCAACCGGUGGUACAAAUUUUUUAUGACCAGUGACUGUUUCGCAGGUAUGUGAGCUCUCAUUCAGUUGCUGAGCAGCUGGUGAAUGACUUCACCGGCGCAGGUUCCGUCGGUGCGGAAGUUGAUCUUCUACGGAGCAUGUUCUGGUCAACUGCGAGGAGUAGGAUUUAUUUGUCCAGUCUGGUAGCUCAUUGUGUCCCCUAAAUAUAAUUGUAGGCUUCAUCCAACUGGCAUGAUGACAAGCCGCCACUUGGCCGCACUAGUAAAUAAUCCAGCGGCUGAUUAUUGCCUCCGGUUUCAUUUUCUUUGUCUUCCGAGCAAGGCUCACGAUUUCAUCCGUUCAACUGGUUGGUAACUCAGUUCAAAAAAAAAAAAAAAAAACUGGUUGGUAACUCUGGUGCAUCCUGUGCUCUCGCUCGCCUACCUAUUUGGUACUGUUAUCCUUUUGUUUAUGCUCCGUCGUGGUUCCGCGUUGUAUGCGGUGAGGAGAUUUAAUUCUUGAAUUUCUGCUACUGGUACCAAAAUGUUGAAUUGAUUUACUUGAGAAAGAUGAAGCAUCUGCCUAAGAUACCUCGAUAGAAAAUGUCCGUACAUAUAUAAAUGAAUGGUCAUGUGUUUCAAAAAGCUCUUGUAUUUUUUUUUAAUGUUUGUGUCUACAAAAAAAAUCAUGCGUUAGAAAAUAUAUUUUUGGAAAUUAUUCAUGCAUUAGUAAGAAAUGCCUAUGUGCAAAAAAAUAAAAUUAAAAUGACGGAGAAAUUUUGGGGAAAAGGAAAAACGAAAAAAGGUGAAAAAGAAAGAAAAAUAGAAAAGAAGAAGAAGAAACAAAAUAACCUUUUUUUUGGAGCUAAGGAAACAAAAUAACCGGGCUGAAAAGAGGAUAGGCCGGCCCAUACGCGCGCGCGCGGUGCAGAAGGCCCAUCGGGCUAGGGUUAAGUAGGCCGUAUAGAGCCCUCGCCGCCAACCAUCGUCUUCCGGGACCGGCAUCUUCCGCCGCCGCCGCCGCCGCCGCAAACCGGAGAGCGAGACCGACCGCGCGCGCAGCACCGCCGCCGCCGCGAUUUUCGCUUAGUUUGUUCCUCGCCUCCGCUCCCCCUUUUACCUUAACUCCGUCCAUGGGCAUCGUCUUCCUGGCUGCAAUAGCCAGUGCUGCUGCCAUAAAAAAGAAGAGCCGCCCGCAACUGCACCUGGAAAAUUGAUGAUGUAGAAACAACGCCGUGCUUGCACUUUUUUAUUCUGUAUCUUCGUGUUAUUAUGUACUCUAUAAAGAUGCAUUCAGAAUUCUAUAUAUUUCGAGUUUCUUUUAUGCCAUGUCCAUGGUGGAAGGUUCAGCCACUGUAUUUUACUCUUUACCAUCCAUGCUGGAGCAGCCUUGCCAUGGAUGGAAGCAUUCACAGCAUAAUACUUUGGCGACGCGUGCCUCUGUUUGAAAUAUAUUGGUACACUUGUUUGUUGUUAUUAUGCAUGCUUCGUUCUGCAGUUUUUUAAGAAAUUCAGGCCAGGCAUGCUCAAAGUUACACUUGUUAUCACAGACAUGUACUAAGAUAUAAUUUCCUUGCUACCAGUACAGCUUCUUUGAUUAGUUCGUCGCCAAGAUUCAGCAGCAGCGUUCUGUGUCAUCAUCUAUCAUCUAGACGCUAAUUUAUUUUGUCUGACAUGGAUGGAUGGUUUAAAAGCAACUUGUUUCUCUUCCUUGAAAUGCUUUUUUCAGCUCUUGGACUGUCAGAUGGGCAAGAUGGUUGCCAUCAGGGUUCCCAGGAACAUGCGCGCCAAACGCGAGCUCCUCAAGCACGCACCCAAGCUUGUAAGCUUUCUCUUUUUCUCUUUGACCUUUUCUAUUUCAGCUGUUGCGAAAUUUCCUUUCCUUCAGUUUAAUUUGCAGUACCAGAAACAAACCGUCUCCGCAGAAUUAUUAUAAAUGCGGCACCCCUACAAUAAGAGUAAAUCAUCAUUAUCUUGUGUGUCCGUGGCCAAGCGAAAACUGGCAUCUUCCAGCAAUUUCCCAAAUUACUUUCAAGUAGUGUGCUGCAUCAGUGUACUUUGGAGCCGAGUUGCACGCAAAAGGCUUGGCCAGAUUUUCUGGCACAUGUGCAUAUAACCACUUGCAAAUCUUGACAUUAGUUUCUGUUGGAAGGCUCUGCUGCUUUAUAACCUUCCAUGACAAGAAACUAGAAAUAGUAUGUACGUGUUUCUUUUCAAUUCCCAUAACAGACUGUUGCUCUAAUGCUUGUUCCAGGUUGAGAAUGGCAAGAAGAUGCUUAUUCUCCAUGGUACAAAGACUAGCGCAGUUUUGAACGAUGUGCUCGCAGAUCUUUUUCACCUGAAGCGUGAUCAUGCUGUGAAGUACACCAAGAAGAACGACAACAUCAGGCCAUUUGAGAGCGGGGGUGAAACUUCCCUGGAGUUCUUCUCCCUUAAAUCUGACUGCAGCCUCUUAGUGGUAAGUUAUAUCAGUUCCCAUUGUGUAUGUGGUGAGAAUGCGACUUGUUAUUCACUUGAGAAAAAAAAAUACUAAACUGAUGAUGUUCUCAGAAGUAGAUAUAGUGAGCUAGGCAAUGACUUUCUGAGCACCAGCAUGGAAAUUAUCUGAAACCUUUUCCAUGUCUGUUAUAGUGAACCUUUUCAUUUUUCUUUGUAUAUUAAAUGUAGAGAAUAUUAUUCUCUAUUAUUUUUAACUGCAAAUAUUUAUAUUUUUGCAGUAUGGUUCUCACUCAAAGAAGAGGCCCAACAAUCUUGUUUUGGGAAGGACUUAUGAUCACCACAUAUACGACCUUGUUGAAGUAGGAGUUGAGAACUACAAAUCCAUAGAAUCUUACGCAUAUGAUAAAAAAUUGGCGCCUAAACUUGGGACAAAGCCUUUCUUUGCCUUCAUUGGGGAGCACUUUGAGAGUGUUGAUGAGCUGAAGCAUUUGAAGGAAAUGCUGCUUGAUCAUUUCAAGGGAGAGGUGUGCAUCGUUAUAGACAAGUUGGAACAUAGGACAUAGAUAAUCCCUCUAGCUUUAAUUCCGUAACUUAUUUAAUGUUGAUAUAGGUGGUAGAGAAUCUGAACCUUGCUGGUGUAGAUCGGAUAUUCGUGUGCACAGCAAUUUCCCCUACUACUGUCUACAUGAUGCACUGUGCUCUUCGUCUAAAAAGGUCAGGCACAUCUAUUCCUAGGAUGGAGCUGGUUGAAGUUGGGCCUUCAAUGGACCUGGUAGUUAGGCGGCACCAACGUCCAUCUGAAAGUUUACAGAAGGAAGCUAUGAAGGCUCCUGGUCAUGCUAAGAAGGUAAAUCCAAUGGAACAGCUGUCUUUUGUUCAUCAGAUAUUGUUAUCCUGCUGGUUAGGUUGCAAAAUGCGCCAUUAGCCAUAAACAACUAUACUUCCUGCCCUAGUUUUGACACCAAUAACUUGUAUGCCAGUAUGAACUCAGAACUACAUUUAACAUAUUUGCAGGUGAAAAAUGUGACGAAUAAUCCAGUUGACGGCAAGGAGGGCAGGAUCUACAUUCCAGACCAGGAGGUUUGUGUCUCUAAACUGUUUCACUAGCAGCUGUGAAGCUUAAAUAUAACCUAUUUGCCACACUAAUCCGAUACAUGGUUUUCUGACCGAAAGGUUUCGAAAUUGACCUUAACAAGCGACAUAAAGGGCCUGAAGCGGGAGCGCCGUGAAGCCAAGAAAAACAAGGAGCACUCGAAGAAGCAAAAGGUCAACCCUGAGUGAAUAACGCAGAAGGCUAUUCAUUCGUGGUAACUGGUCCUUUUUAAGGAUUUUUGGUGCACCUGAUGAUCGCAUCGGCUGUGUUAAGCCAACUGGUGACCAACUUGUUAGGUUGAGCUGUAAAUAGUGCGGUACCGUCUUUUUAGGCCGUAAAACCUGCCUACAGACUUCUGCAUCUGUAUUGAGGCGGCUUAUCUAUCAGACAUUAUUAGUGCGAAAUUGUUGGAGCAACGUGUGUUAGGAGUAUUUUGUUUUGCUAUUGUUGUUAGUCCUUGAUUCUAGCUGACCCGAGAUGAUUGUUGAGAUGACAUGGUUUAAGUCUGGUUACCAUGGGCAUUUUUUUUCUUCUGAAUCUGCAUAUCGUGUGCAUUUUUUGUCGUCUUUUCUUUUGUCCAUAUGUUCUUUUUAAUCCUGUAGCCCCUGUGAAUAUGCAGCUUGUCCGGUGUUUUGAUGCUUGGAUUCACGUGAGCUACAAAAAAAAGUGAAAAUCAUUUGUUUUAUACAGUACUCCCUCCGUCCCAAAAUUCUUGUCUUAGAUUUGUCUAAAUACGAAUGUAUCAAGUCACAUUUUAGUAUUAGAUAAACAAGUUCACUCUUUUAAAAUCACCAAUUUACCAUUUUUUGUGUAGCCCAUGUGUCAAUGUAUUUUUUCAUGAAAUUUUGCAUAUAUGUAGUAUACAUCCGUAUGAAAUUUUGUGUAGCUCACGUGUCAUUGUAUUCUUUAGAAUGUUUUGUUACCGAGUUGUGCUGUGACUCAGUUGUGGUGGCUGAGCAGUGUGGUAUGUUUCGUGUGCAUCAUCAUUUUUGGGUACUGAUUGUGAAGAGUUUGCGAGUCGUUGGGUCAGUGAUAACGAGAGAAAUUCAUGGCGACCUCUACAGCUGCUAUCUUGACUCUGCUGAAAUCCAUGAAUGGUGUUCCACUUUGGCAAAGGCAAAUGGCCUGCCUAGACUCUAGAGGAGGCCCCUCGCAAAAAAAAAAAAGACUCUAGAGGAGGCCGUUGUGCCCUGCCAAGAAGAAAGAGACGGCGUAUAAAAGGAAAUGUUCAUCAUUUUGAAUUUGACUUUGGAAGUUUCUGCUUCUGUGUGGAGUAAUUUUUCUAAGAGUCAUGGCAUGUAGCAGUGGUGUUGCUAGUAAAAUGAUCCUGGGCUACACCCUGCGCCAUGACACCAGGUCAGGUGAUUGAUGCCGGUGUUUGCCACUUCUUCUCCUUCCUCGUCAGUGGAUGGCCUCGUUGGGGUUGGGGUUGUCGCUGCUGCUGUCGGUGGCGCCGUCGCUCGCGCUGGCGGCAGGAGGCGUCGGCUGCGCACGGCUGGGCGGCGACGGCGCCGCGCCGGCGCCCCAUCCGUCCGGCUUGAAGCUGAACGGCAUGCCGCCCCCCGGGAUGCCUCCUGGCAUAGGCAUAGGCAUAGGCAUGCCGCCCCCCGGCAUGGGCAUGGCGGGCAUCCCGGGGAGGGCGGGCAAAGGCACGGGCAUGGCAGGGAUCGGCAUCCCGGGCAUGCCGCCGGGGUUCGGGAACAGCGGGAAGGACGGCAUCGUCGACGGCGGCAGCCACCACUUCAUGCUGCCGGUGCCUGUCCUUGCGGCGGCCGCGUCGCUCCCCGCCGUCGCCGGCCCCGGGGCAGGCCCGGGCGCGACCGUGGCGUCGUAGGACGCGCCGCGCCCCGGCUCGAACUCCACCCGGCUGAUCUCGUCCUCGUAGUCGUCCAAGGACGCGUCCUGCGGCGCGGUCUCGGUCGCCGCGGCCUCCAUGGAGCCGAAGGCGAACUCCCGGGCGUACUCCUCGUCGCCGACGCUGUCGUCGUGGAGGAGGCGCAUGCCGUGCCCCCACCCGGCGCAGGCCAGGAGCACGAGGAGGCCGAGGAAGACGGACGGCUUGCUCUGCUCCAUGGCUCGCUCUGCUCUCUGGCUCCUUGGCUGUUCUCGCCGGCGAGGUGGUGAGGAGGAGAGGAGUGGGCAACGCAGGUUUUAUAGCGAGGUAAUUUAGGAGCUUGGAGCUGGGGGUAGGUUGGAUCAUGGUGAGCUGCCCUGCACUCCGAUUUCUCAAUCAUCUCAUGGUUUUUUACAGCAGCUCAGGGUGCAUGCCGGAGGCGUGCAGCCGCAACACCACCUGAAAACUAACAACCUGGGUCAGCUUCUGCCUCCCAAAUCUGGUGCUUAAUCUGCACCCUUUGACCAGAUUUUUCGACAGAAUGCAAAAAAUUUGGGCAUGGACAGAAUGGAUGUGGAUCUCAAUCCCCGAAAAUAAAAUCGCGAUCACAAAUUUGGACCUGGCAGCGAGCAAUUCUUUUCUGACAAAGCACAACGAAUUUGAGCUCAACUUCCAGUAUAUGCAGACAACUUAUGGUCUCACCAAUUUUGUUGAGCAGCAUCCCACAAAUAAAUGGGAGAACAGACGCAUGCGUCGCGGUUGAAUUUAAACCAGCGUUCUGGUUCUGUUCAGGAAGCACCUGAGCACAAAUGCUCUCACAUGACAAUUGAGACACACUACAGGGCUGCAGCACACAAACUAGGCAGAAUAAUAGCAGGGAUUUCACUCGAUAAAUCAUGAGUGUCCAUCUGAUCUGAUCUAGUCUACUCUCUCUUCUUGUUCCUCUUGGUGGGUAUCCUGCUCAGGACGCCGCUGUCGAGUUUCUGGUACUGGUCCCGGAGCAGGCCCAGGAUGCUGUAGAGGAAGUCGUCGACCUGGUCCUCGUACUUCUCGUAAAGCACAGGGAGCGUGUGAGCGCACACAAACCCUGUUCCAGGCAAAACCAGGUGUUGUUUUCAUCAAUGCAAGCAGCGGAACGCAUGCUUUCGCGAAAUAGGAACAGUUAUGUUGUUUCUCAGUUGCAAAAAAAGGGGAGAGAAAUAAAUGUUAUAGCUUCUUACCAAUGUAAAUAACGGUCAGGAAAUUGAACCAGCUACCAGCUACAGAAGCAGACCACAACCCAACAAUUGCCUGAAAUAAAACAUAGCGUGAUAUCAAAACAUCUCUUGAUGAUGAACAGACACAAUAUCCACAUGCAGAAUUGAUUUUUAUGUUUUUCCUUUUUUGAACCCUGAACCAUAGAAGAUGCAUUCUACGGUAUUUUCAUAUAUAAAUAAAGUAUAUGUACAACCCUAAAAAAAGCCUUGGGCUCCACCAAUUCCAGUUUUGUGGAAAUCCAUCUAGGUUUAAACAGAGAUGAAGAUCAAUCCAAUUCCUGAACUCUGAUAUGCUUGCUUUUGAUUAUGUGUGAUAUGAGAAGCAGAUAGUUCUUAAGCAAGUGCCUCCAAAUAGAGACACUGGGCAGACCAUUUUUGAAGAUUUUUUAGUUUCUCUGAAUCCAGAUAUUCCAGCAAGCCAUGAUGAUGAUAUCAAGGGCAAAACAGUUAGGCAGAAUGAGCAUUGUUAGGCAGAACUGGUUUUCUUUAUAUUUUCCUAUUUGAUGUAAUGAUCACAAUGAGGGAAUACAAAAAGAACACAGUAAAGCUCUACGUACCAAUACAAAAUGCUUCAAGUUUCUUUCACAAGACACAUCUUGAAGGAAACCAAGGAACUUGUUUACUUGGGCACCGAUGGCAACAGCAAUGUUCACAAACAGGUCCUCUGGCAACUUAACCCGGGGUAUUUCAGAAGACCUACAUGUAGACAAUGCAUUUUCUAUUAUUAUUAUUGCUAUGUUGCUGAAAAGGACACAUAGUGUGCAUACACUUCAAAAAUUCCAUACCUUGAAAAGUUGGACCAAACAAACUGAACCACCAUUCCAAGAACAAGGGCAAAUGAAAUGAUUGUCAAGAAGUGGUAAUCAAGCCACUCAAAGAAGACCCAGAUAGCUGUUGCAAGACCCAAAACACUGGAAGAUAUCUUCUUGUUCCUCCAUAACAACACAUCAGCAGCUACAAUGACAAAAGAAAAGCCUCAGAGAUGCCCAGGAGAAGAAAACGUAAGUAAGCAGAUGAGCAGAUAACGUACACUUUCCACCACCCAAAACUCCAUGGAGAGACCUCUGACGACCAAACAUCUUGUUCUUCACAUCAGCGACUGAGCCUGGAUCGAAACGGCCAGAUCUCUGCUUAGGGAGCUUGUCAGAAAUGGUAUCCAUGAUGUUGCUCAUGAUGUUGUCAGACUUCUGCUUGGGGAGCCUGUCAGCAAUGGUAUCCAUGAUGUUGCCCAUGAGCUUCUCGGCCGUGCUCUCAGAAUGUUCCGACAUCUUCAGGUAUUUCGAGCUCGCUGUGGAGUAGGAUGGUAUGUCAAACACUAUGAUAUCCAAGAAAUGUAUAGGACAGACCAACUGACAAGAGCAUAUAGAGGGAAGCAGGACAGAAAAAAACAUGAUAAAUGAGAAUAUUAAGUCUGGUAUAAGAAAUUGGGCCAAUCACUUUGCUUCGACAUACUUCACUGGAAGUUUAGAACUAUAUUCAACCUUUCGGCCUAAAGCGUGGAGUACACGAUUAUGUUAUUACUGUUUGCUAUGACUCUCAGGCUGACUGGUAAGUUGAGUUGGAUGACUGUUUAACAAUCAAUAGCCAUUCAUUCAGGGACCAGCCUUUCAUCAUUCAUUUCUGACCAACGCUUUCAUAAAUGAACAAUCUGGUACACCAGAGCACCCCAUCCAAGCGAAAUAUAUGACUUGACAAACACUUUUUAGCAAUUAUUGUCCAAACAUAUACUUUAUGGAUCAACAUUGAAAUCGGCAUUCAGUUAUGUACCACCAAAAUCACUGCAACAACAACAUAACCGUCCCGUUCAACCGAAUCUAACAAGAUAAAGACCAGUACUUUAUGGAUCAAACAUCAAACUAAGAACUCGUUGGAUUGAUUGGCGAAGCAACCGAGGGAAGGAGGGCAAAAUCGCCAGAGAAGGCCGUUCAUCUCUUCUUCUUACCCGCAAUAGAAGCAUAUUCAGAACCCAUCUGCUAACCCGGUCAGCAAAAAAGGGACGAAAAAAAAAAAAAAAAAAACAAACUACCCAGGCAAACCAUGUUUACCCCGAAAGUUUUCUUAUCCUAUAAAGAACUCACAAAUCUACCUAGCUUUCCGUCCAGCAAAGCCGCUCUAUCGCUUUCAAGAAAAACAACAAAUAACCAAGGAAAGCGGCUCAGAUUCCACAUCGCGGCAGCAAAACAACUUGGGCUCCAGCAGCAGAGCCGCCGGAGAGAGACCGUACCGAGGAGGGGCGCGAGGGAGCUUAGCAGGCGGCUCCCGCUCCCGGAGUCGAUCGCGCGGAGGCGGAGCAGGCGGCGGCGGCGAGCGAGAGAGCGAGAGGAGUAUCCGUAGUGGUGGGGUUGGGGGGAAUCGCAGUCGCCCGCCGCAGCAGAAUUAUUUAGGGGGAGACGGACCGUGGCGUGGGGUCUCCGAGCUGCUGCGGCGACUGGCGGGUGGGGCUGGGCGCCCCCUCUCUUCAAGGCGCGUGCACGGGCUUGUGCGCGCGUGGGGCUCGCUUACGGGUGGGGCCGCGGGGGUGGGGUGCAAGUCGCGGGCCCGCGUGUAAGGGGGAUGUCGCCGUCACGGGGCGGUGUUCGGUGGGAUAAAGAAGCGCCGGUGUGGAGCACGAGGGGCAGGAUAUUUUGAUUGGCCUUGCUGCGUUGAGCUGAGCAUAUCGGCUUUGAUUGUUGACAGUUGGUCAGCAUUGAUUCUCUUGCUGCUAAAUAAAAUGAAGCAAAACGUCCGCUGAUUUGAAAACGGCGACGAUUUAAUUGGAUUGCAGGCAUACGUUUAGGCAUUGUUUUGCUAUCGCAACGCUGUCACGUGGAAGCACAUGUUAUCUAGAGGUACCCCGUUCCAAAAAACUUGUGUUUGAUUUGUCUAGAUACAGAUAGUGUUAUCUCAUCCAUAUCUAGAUAAAUCUACGACAAUCUUUUAGGAUGAAGGUAAUAAUUUGUUGUAGAUGUACAAGCAACUUGUGUUUUUUGUUAGGAUAAUGUUUCCAGCCGGGGCGCCGGCCGAAGCGUGCGCCGGUCGCAUCAGCAUCGUCAGAUCCCAUCUAAUCACACGGUUCCUUUUUUCUUUCCCUUCGUUUCCCCUUGCCUUAUCUUCUUCCGCCUCCCUUCGUUUCUUAUUAUCCAUAGCGCAGUUCUCGUUCCCAGGGGACCUGCCAGGGAUGAACUAUGGCACUGCUGCCGCUGCAGGCCAACCACCGCCGCCUGCUGUAGGACGAGCCGCCAUGGACGGAUAAAUGACCAAAACGAGCGCGUCCUCCUUCCUCUCUCCCUUUCUCAAGGGAAUCUCACCUAUGGCGCACACGAGCUGCAUCGGCGCCGAGAUUCAAUGCUUCAACAGUGAAUGGUUGUGGCUAGGAAACGGAGGCUUGACAUGCUGGGACGCAAGCUCCUUUUUGUGAAGCAACCACCAGCGAGCGUUGGCACGCGACCGACGAGGCGAUGUUAGAACCGUCGCAUAAAAAGGUUACAACCAUUGACGAAAAAGCUUCAAGCCUAGAUAAAAAAAGCUUCAACCGUCAACAAGAAAGCUUCAACCAACCAAUGUCAAACUCAAAAAAGCUGCAAUCGUUAUUAGAAAAGCUUCAACCUUAAGAGAGAAAAGGCUUCAAGUGCCAUUUCGUUUUUUGCUACAAUGCACCGUCGGCAGAAGCCCCGUGCGUGAUGCUACAACUAGCGUACGGUGCUACAACCUGCAGGGUCUCAUUAUACUACGACGCAUCGCCGGCAUUGAUCUUUUGCUACAACCACGCCGGCUAUUGCUACAACCGGCAUUUCGUCAUGCUACCACAUACCACCGACGUCGGUUCUUAUGCUACAACCACGUUGCUUUUUUGCUACAACCAGCAUUGCCAUUUGCUACUAUGAACCAACGGCAGCUGAGAAAAAGCUAUGACCGGCGAAUUUUGCUUUUUGCUGGGACCGGCGGUGUUUUUUUGCUACGACCAGCAGAGUUUUCGCUAGCACGGUGACGGCUGCUCAUUUUUUUGCCGGGAUGGUGAGGCUGCACUAGAGACGGCGAGGGGGCUGCGACGACGAGUACAGGAUGUUGCAACCGACGACGAGGAGGGACCAUGAGCGGUGUCGGUGAUGCAUAGAUCAUGACGAAUGGCGGCGAGACAGUUAGCAGGGUCAACAAUGGCGAGGGCCCGCGAAGGCGCCGGUGAUUCGUUGGAGGCCAUGGCCAACCGUGUCGCCGUCCGAUGAGACAGCCUGCGGGGCAGUCAUCUACAACUGGUCAACGAUGUGUCCCCGUCAAAAAACGUUGUGUUCCUGUCUCUAAUCUGAGACGAAGCAGUGCAGAGGGAUGGGGAAGAGAAAGGAUGACGUGGUUCUUUUUAAUCCGAUGGCCACAGAUGGAUUCAUCCAACGAUUGUGAUAGGACCGGCGCAGGGCUUGGGCCGGUGCACCAGCACAGAUCACUACCCUUUUAGUUACCGCAAAAAAAAAAUCGUUCAAGAGCUUAAACUAAGCUUAAUUAAUUAUCAGUAGAGCUCACUUGGGUGAAAGAGUAGAUGUACGGUCCUAUCAUUACCAUCCCUCUCAAAAUAUACUUAUAUUUAACAACGGAGGUACUAGUAGUAGUUUAUUGUAGGUGUACAAGUGACUUGUGAUUUUUGUUCCUGCAAAAGGGGAAAAACUCAUAAUUCGCCGAAGAGCUCGAAUUAGGCUUAAUUAUCAGGAGAGCUCACUUGGUUGAAUGAAGAGUAGAGGUACAGUCCCAUCACUACUAGUACUCCCUCCGUUCCUCAAUAUAAGGUGUAUAUUCUUCUAAAAAGUCAAACUUCUUUAAGUUUGACCAAGUUUAUAGACAAAAAUAUCAAUAUCUAGAAUACCAAAUGAUUAUCACUAGAUUCAUCAUGGAGUAUAUUUUUACAUUUUAUAUAUUUAGUAUUAUAAAUCUUUAUAUGUUUUGCUGUAAAGUUGGUCAAACAUAGACAACAGUUGACUUUUUGAAAAACUAAUACACCUUAUAUUUAAGAACGAAGGGAGUAUCAUCUAAGCCGAACUCUUCGAGCACCCGAAUUAGGAUCCAUACUUGUUCCGUCUUCUUUAAAAUAUUAACAUUUACUACUCUAUUUAUUGUGUGUUCACAAACUCAUGUGCCUUUGACUGGAACGAGAAUAGAAUGCUCGCCAGUGGUUGCCCGUGUAACCAUUACUUUCCUUGCAUAUAUGUACCACACAUGAUCGAUAUCGUUCAAACUCAUUUUAACAUACUAGGAGCACUAGUCUACGGGAUAGGUGGUGUUGAGUUGUUGAGAUGAUCAAGUUGAGGGGAGGAUGGGAACGAGAGAUGUCAGGAACAGUAGCAAAGCGAGGAUAUCAUGUAGGUCGGAGAUGCAACAGAGAUGCUUAACCUCAAUAUGAAGCCGUUGUUAUAUUGGGCUAAACCUAGGCAAACGUCGGAUCGGGCCGGGUUUCGGGCCGGGCUUGUAAAAGCCCAACCUUCAUUUCUCAAGCCCAAGCCCGGCCCGAAGCCCGAAAUACUCCAUAUUUUCAAGCCCGAGCCCGGCCCAAAGUCAAGCCCGAAGCCCGAAAGCCCGUCCCGAAUGCUAUUUUCUAGUACGCACACGUGCAAGCCCGGUCCGAAGCCCGAAAGCCCGGCCCAAAAUACGGGAAAAUUGAAGCCCAAGCCCGGCCCGAACUAUCUUUCGGGCUGCAAAAGAAAGCCCGAGCCCGGCCCGAAUGUCAAGCCCGGCCCGGCCCGGCCCGGAUUUUUCGGGCCGGGUCGUCGGGCCGGGCUGCCCAUGUCCGGGUUUAUAUUGGGCUUCUUGACUAGCUUCUCGUAGGAGAAAGUCAAAACCCAACUAAGGCUGGUCACAGUGGGGAGGAACUUAGGAGUAACAUCACACACUCCAAUACAACUUUGCUUAUGUGGCAUGUAUUUAAUGAAGAGAGAGGUGCUUGUGGUAACUAGCUAAGUUACCAGAACAUCACACACUCCAAGAAACAAUGAGUUUAUAACCUAAUAAAUACAUCAUUGCAUGACACUACAUAGAUGUUCCUACCCACUAUGGAGGUAGUAACAUAGUCUAGGGAAGUGUGAAGUUAUUAGCUUAUGUUCUUGCCCAUUGUGACCAGCCUAAACGCGUUUUUUCUGUAUCGACAAGGCCAAGUCCCAAAGCUGCUCUUCGCUAUAUCGCCCACAACCAUCUCCCGAUGUACUUUGGUACCAAAUCCGCUAUAUGUCUGCAAUCUACUGUUAGUAUUCCAUGGGGUUUGUCAACAAAAUCAAUAUCAAGAACCUCAACGAUCACCAAACGUAAUUAUUUGACGUGACGUAUUAUUAAGGUAACUUGAGUUUGGCAUGCUUGAUCUAUCUCCAUGAAUUGUUGUUCCUAGUCCACUUUGGAUUCAGACGAAUGAACUUCUGCCUGUAUUGUGUACGGUACCCUUGCUACUCCAGAAUUUGAUAAACUUUGAUUAUACUUACGUCUUUCCCAUUAUUCGAUGGUCUUAUUCCUACUACGUAAUCACUAUCGUGCCUAUGAUAUUACUUCCUAGGAAGAAUAGGUAAUGCAAGAUAGUACUGUGAAGCUUCAUUUCUUAUAUUUAAAUUUUGCUAUAAAAUACAACACUAUGGGAGAGUGUACUUUAUUUCUAGAGUGUCAUGUUUAUAAAACGAUAAGCAAAAAAGUUAUCAUUAAUUGAUUAUCAAAUUUCUUGGAUUUAGGUACGGUAUUUUUUUUACCAAACAAUGUAUAACCCUGCUCUGCAACAUUGCUUUUCUGUAAGAUUUGAUGGUUCUCGGAUCAUGUUAUAUUAUGGUCACUUUCACAAAUACAAUACUGAGUAUAGAUAAUAUUUCAGGAUGUUCUUUCGCAGUGGCGUAUCAAGUUUGACCCAUUGAACUGACAAACAACACAAGAUGUCUUGGAGGAGAAAUUCACCAGGAAAGUGGAGUAGGUACUACAUGAGGGGAGGUGGCAACCAUCAAAAGAUUACAGAAGAAGGGACAUGUGCUUAGGGAAUUAACGGAAGUGGAUGAGGAGGGUAACCACUGGCCAACAAAAGGAAGCUUCAAGUUCUUCUAAGCUAGUCGACUUUGGUACGGAUGUUGGUUAGCGUCUACUUUGUGAGCAUUGGAGUAGUGUUGCAUUUGUAAAUAAAUCUUUGACAACAGGAGGAACAUACUUGCAUUGUAGUGGUGAGAUAAGUGUUGUCUACCAAUGCCAAUUUCUCGUAAAAAAAUAAUUCUAAAGCAUCUUUCUUACAUAUUACCAUUGAAGAAGAAAGUUACAUUUAUAUUGGUUUAUUUUAUCACUCUUAAAAUGUAGAAAUUCGACAGACUCUUGUGGAGAAGGAAGAGGAGGCGCCUCCUUCCCCUUAGCUUGGCCCGUGUCGCUACUCUGGGCGAUUUCCUCACUUUGGUGCUCCUCUUCAAGCCACAAGAGUGGUGGUACUUGGAGCCCACCAAGAGGCGUUCACUCCGGGUGGCUAGAGCUCCUCGUUCCGAUCGUCACUGCCUUCAGGUGGUGACGUAUCCCGAAGUUUGUCACGUUUGCGACCUUCUUUCGCUAGACCCACAAUGUGAUUGUUGGGACCUCGGAGACCAGAGCGACCAUGGAUUCUCGUUGCCAACCCGGUGGACCAUGUCACGAGCUGGCUCAGUGCAACCUCGAACCUGGACAACGACCGGACAUCUCCUGGGGGAGUUGGUGGGGGUGGUGUGUAGGUCCACUGGAGGGGCGUCCCCCAACCAAGUGCAUGGUGGAGGAUCAGCCAGAUGGGAGGAGUGCUUGCUCCUUGAUUCGGGUUCGGACACAAGUGGUGGCCUUGAUUGGUGCGGUCUGCUUGACGCCCGAAUGAGUUGGACCCCAUUGACCAGUACACUCGUCAUGUCCUUCUUCACCCGCAAUUGGGCCCACUACCCCCUCUAUUUGGCUUUGCAUCUGAAAGGGGAUACUAGCAUACUGCGCCCCUACCUAGGGUUAACCAACUUCACCUACUGAAGUGUGAUGAUGAGGUCACCUUGCUUGUUUUGUUAUUUGCAUCCCUCCCGGCAAGACCAUGCUUCCUCAUUCACCGGCACUCGUGAACUAGGAAAGCGACCGUGAUCAAGUUCAUGACCAAGUUGGGUGGUGCUCCAAGCGAAACCUUGACGAGCUCCUGGUGGCUGAUGGUUUUCACGUCCAUGGACGUCGUUUCACCUCCUUGGAAGCACAACAUUGAUUCUCUACUAAAUAAAAUGAAGCAAAACAUCUGCUGAUUUAAAAAUGAUGACUUAAUUGGAUUGCAAACGCCUGUUUAAGGUAGUGUUUGCUACUGCAAUGCUGUCACACAUGAUUUUUGUUCCUCCAAAAAAACUCAUAAUUUGUAGAAGAGCUGGAAUUAAGCUUAAUUACGGUAGAGCUCACUUGGUUAAAAGAGUAGAGGUACAAUCCUAUCGGUACCAUCAUCUAAGUCGAUCUCUUAGAGUACACAAAUUGGGAUCCAUACUUAUACCAUCUUCUUUAAAUACAAACAUUUACCAGCCCGUCUAUUACAUGUUUACAACCCAUGCAUAAGGAUGGCAAUUUUAUCCAUGGACAUGGAUAUCCAUGGAUAUCCGACUCGAAUGGAUAGGGUUUGGAUAUGCUUUUCUGUCCAUGGGUAGCGCCCAAACCCGACCCGAUUGCUCAUGGGUAGGGCAUGGAUAUAAUCUUGUACCCGUGGGUAUAUCCAAACCCGACCCGUUAGUAUGACUUAAUGGGCAAAUCCGGCUAUCCCUAACCCACAGUUACAUGUCCCAGUGCAAUUUUACACUUUGUUAUCCAAAACAUGCAAAAGAAAUUACACAAUCCCCGUCAUAACUUUUAUUAGUUGACAUUCAAUAUCCUCUGUAACAUACCCCAACGCCCUUCCCUUAUUUUUUAUCUCCUUGUUAACUGACUCGUCAUUCUCAGCUGUUAGAAAAAUACUAAAUGAUCUUAUGUUGUUAGUGGAGGUUGAUUUACCAUAAGUGAAGCCUAGCAUGCCACGAAGUAAAGAAUGGAAGAGCUUAUGUUAACAUUGUGUUAUGUCUUAUUUAUAUGUCUAGAGAGGACCCAAUGGAUAUCCAGUGGGUAUGAAUAUCCAUCGGGUUUGGACAUGGACACAAUUUUUCACCCGCGGAUUUUUUCAUGGGUGGGCAAAGACUGUCUUCAUGGAUAUGGAUAUGGAUUUGGUAUUGUUCAACCCGAUCCAAACCCGACCCAUUGCCACCAUGCACCUUCAGCCGAACCGAGAAUUGAAUGCUCACCAGUGGUCGCUCGUGUGUGAAUGGUUGCUUUCCCGUAUAUAUAUAUACCACAGAUGGAUCUUCAAUCAAUGUUGUUCAACUCGUUUUAACAUACUGGGAGCACUAGCCUAGUAUAUACUAGAUACAUCGCCUUCUUGGGAAAAAGAAGUACUAGAUAGGUGGCAUUGAGAUGAUGAAAUUGAGGGGAUGAUGAGAGAAGAAUCAAACAUAUGUCCCAACAUGUAUGCGGAAUGGGAGAUGUCAUGAACAAUAGCAGGGCAAGGCUGUGAUGAAUAGGGCCGUAAGAAAAGCUCGAGGCUCGUGGGCUGCUCAAGAUCAACCCGUCUUUUGGCUCGGCUCAAGAUCGACUCAAAAUAAAAUGAGCUGAGUAUGCUCACGUUAUGUAGCUCGAUCAACAAACGAGCUGAUCUUGAGUGCUCGCUUGAUUUUAGCUCGAUAGCUCGAUAUUACUAUAAUUAUAUUAAAUAAUCAUGUAUAUAUUAGAGCAAAAUAGUAUAAUUUAUUACCAAUUUAGCACACAUGUUGUUAGGAUUUUUUUCUCUAUUUUAUGUACUAGUAAAUAUGGAAGCUUAAUUAAAGUGCAGAGAAAAAUUAUGCCUUAAUAUAGUACAUGAUCAAUUGUGUGUUAAACAUUCUAUUAUUACUGGCCAAAGUUUAAGAGUAGAUGGUUUUCUUCUAUUGCUAGCUAAACAACAUUGACGAAAUAUAUAAAUUAUCAAUGUUUUGAUUGAAAUAAUAUUUUAUAGUGGUUUCUUAUUGAUGUUGUGGUCUAUCUUGUUCGAAAAAAAUCACCUUAGAUUAUAAAAGAAAUGUCAUCUUAUUUAGCUCGAAACUAGCCCAAAAUCAACUCCAGAUUGUUACAAGCUGAGCAUGAACCACUUUCUACAGCUCGAUCUUGCGCUUCACUCAACUUGAGCUCGCUCGAAAUUUCAGUAUGAAUUGAGCCGAGCCUAGUCCAACUCGCUCGAACUCGACUCAUUUGCAGCCCUAGUGAUGAGGUUGAGAGAUGUUUGAAUUUAAGCUGAAGGCUUCAUGCAUUAAGCUGUGGAUUCCUGACUAUUCUCGUAGGAGAAACUCGAAGCCCACACUAUUUUGCCAGUGGCAUUUUCUUUGGUGCCUUCUGAGCAUCAAGACAACUGGGAGUGGUUCAUGGGUCAUGUUAGGCACAAGGUGAUUGGGGCUAGGGAGGUAUGCAUCAUAUCGGACCGGCACCAUGGCAUACUCAAGGUAAUGGACAUUGUUAUUCCAGGAUUUCCAAAGCUUCACCACAGAUGGUGCAUGAGGCAUUUCAAGGCCAACUUUUACCGGGCAUGUAAGAGCAAGGAGCUCAGCAAAGACCUUACCCAUGUAUGUGUGGCCUUCACCACCGAUGCUUUCGAUGCUCGGUACAACAAACUCUUUUCAUCGGUGAACGAAGGGGGAAAAGAAUUCUUAACUAGGAAUUUCAGCGAGAAGCACAAGUGGGCACGUGCUCAUGACGACGGAGGUAGGCGAUAUGGCGGCAUGACGAGCAACCUGGUUGAAUGUUUCAACAAUGUGCUCGUUCAUUGCCGGUGACUGCAAUAGUGGAGUAUACCUUCUUCAAGCUUAAUGAGUACUUUCAGAUGCAUUCUUAAGAGACUGCAAAGUGGAUAGGUGAAAAAAUGGAUAGUUAGCACUGGAUAAGAUGCUUUGGGCCCACCUUUAGCCCUCUCAUUCCAUUCUUCUACACUCACACUCACGAGCUGCUGCCCCCCUCACUCUCUAUCCACCACCCUAACCCCCCUCAAAUCUCUCACGAAUCGGUCCCGUUUCACUGUUGGAUUAAAGGCAUUUCCAAACGAGAAGGUAAAUCAACUCCACCCCCAUUAUUUGGUUGGUUUAAUGUAUCAUAGUUUUGUGCAAACCCUAGUUUUCUUUGUCCUAGUGCUCAAGGGUACUCAGUGGGAUUUGUGUCUUGUAGAUGGCUAAGGGUACUCAGUGGGUGCUUAGCCCUAUUGUUCAUGUCCAAGGCUUUCCUCAUAGUGUUGUGCAAGUUAGUGAAGUGGACAUCACUUUUGAUUGGUUAAAGACUACAUUCAUGUUGAAGCAAGGGUUGAAGGAAGACGAUUUUGUAUACUACGUCAGCAGCUUGCACUCAGAUGGCCCCGGGGAAAGAAAAUUGAUUGAAAUAACUGAUGGUGGCAAGAUUCAAGAAAUGUUGAAAGAAUGGGAAUGGAAAAGGGUCGUUGACUUGCAUUGCUAUAGGAAACCGAGUUAUAUGAGAUGUUUAUGUCGUUUGAACUAUCAUGGACCAACGUGGUCAUGAACUAUUUAUGUCAUUCAAGACAUUGUAUGUGAUGAAGUUGUCAUUCGAGACUAUGUUUGUCAUUCGAUACUAUUUGUGUCAUUUGAGAUUAUGUCGAAACUAUGUUUGUCAUUCGAGACUAUUUGGGUCAUUUGAUAUUAUGUGAAAACUAUGUUUGUCAUUCGAGUGGGGUGGGAGUAGGACUCAAAAUUUCAAUGAACUUCUUAAUAAUUUCAAUGGGUCCCGAAAUAUAUAAAAUGGAAUAUUUUCUUGGUCAAUUCAAACUUAUUUCAGUCAAACUCAAAUUUAGUGAAAUUUAGUUUAAAUUGAGUGAAUUUUGACAAAAAAAUUCCAAACUAUUUUUUAACAUUUAUAUCAAGCUAUAGUUCUCUCUUCAUGUAAGGACAUGUAUGUGGUACACAAUUUUUUCUAGUUGAUGCACCUUUCCUUUUAAUUUUACCAUUUUUGCAUAUUAAUAUUUGGAAUAAAAUAUCAAAUUUGAGAGUAACUUUUGAAUUCGUGAUUGAUUUUCUAAUCACUAGCAUUUUCUCAAAUUUGGGAACAAAAUUUUGGAAUUCAUGAACAAUUUUUUAGUUUGUGAACAUUUUUUAAAUCGGCGAAUAGGUUUUGAACUAAGAAAUUUUUUGUGAAAUAUGCAAACAUAUUUUGAACCGAUGAACAUUUUUUGAAAUUUUGAACAACUUCUAAAAUUCACAAACAUUUUUUGAACUGGUGACCAUAUUUUGAAUUGGCAAAUAUGGUCACGUCGGCCCGACAGGCGGGACCCACUUGUCGAUUUUGUUGUUUUGGCGACCAAAUUCCAGCAUCAGUGCUCCGCGUUACGCAUUAGACGCAAUUUUGGUGGUUUUUUGUGCCCUGGUUCAAAUUUGGUACUAAGUUGUUACCCUAGCCCCAAGUGUGGUGGUUCUGGGUAAAUAACUUCUUCACAUACCCCAUCCUGCAGCGAGCUCUGAGGUGCCCCACUAGAUCUAUAUCUCGCUUCACGCGAGACUAGCUUCCGACUUGUCUGAAGGGCCCUUAUAGGCACACAAACGUAUGAGCCGGACAAGUAGCAUGUUGAUCCGUCGGUUGUUCGUUUAGUUUUUUCGCUGAUGCCUUUGUACCGUUUUUCAUUUUCUUUUGUUUUUCUUCGGUCUUCUUCUUUCUUUUGGUAUUCUUCGUUGUACAUUGUUUUUUUUUUCUUUGGUUUCUUUUGAUUCUUUGUUGGUUUUCAUCGGUUUUUUCUUUCUUUUUCUUCAGUUUUCUUUGUUUAUUUCUUGUUUUUCAUCCUUUUUUUGUUUCUUUAUUGAUUUCACUUUUUUCAUUCUUUUACACUAGUUUUCUUUUAUUUUCCUUUUCCUUUUCUUCUUUCUUUGGUUUCCUAUGUUUCCUUUUCGGGCUUCUUUGUUUCCUUUUGUUUCAUUCUAUAUUUUUUCAUACAUCAGCAAUAUUUUUUAUACACAUGUUUAAUAUUUUGAAAUACAUGAUUAUAAUUUUUUCCCCAAAUGUUCUUAUGUCUACCUUUUUGCACACACAUUAGUACAUUUUGUGUAUACGUCAUAAUUUGUUUUACAUAGACAUGUAUAAAGAAAAUUAAAUACAUGAUUAUUAUUUUUCAAACAUAUUUGUUAUGUAUAUUUUUUUCAUAAAUUUAGUACGUUUUUCUAAUAUAUCAUCAAUGUUUUUAUACACUUUUAACAUUUCCUAAAUACAUGAUUGACAUUUUUUAAAAUAGUUUUUGUUUUGUGUCUACUUUUUCUGGUACACAUUAUACAUUAUUCAUAAACAUCAUCAACAUUUUUUAAUACACUUUCGCUUAUAUUUCUUUACGGAGGGAGUGAUUAACAUUUUUUUAAUAUUUUUUAAAUACAUAAUUAACAUUUUUAGUAUAUAUGUUUUGAUGUAAUUUUAACAUACACAUUUGUACCUUAGGAACAUUUCUUAUACACGUUUAACAUUUCUUAAAUACAUGAUUAACAGUAUUUUUUUUCAUUUACAUGUCUUGAUGUCUAGACCUUACUUCACGUGAGACAGAGCGCAGCGGGAACAGAUUAAAUUUUUGCGGAGCGUCUGAGGCGGGACUGCUCAUUGUUGUCCCUCUACUUCAACUAUGUCCCCGACCUCUUCAACAUCGUCAUAGCUGAAAACUCUGAAGUUGCUAAGAAGAAGCCGAGGAAAACGCACUGCACCCUUGUCUGUCCUACUGAAGGAUAUGAUCCGUUCAUCCCUUAUUUAGUGGUUCAUGUGCUUGUUUCAUGGAUGCUUCAGCUCUAUGCUUACUAUGUGCUUACAUGCUUAGAUAUCAGUAUGAAGUUAAUAUUGUCCAGAUCAUCUUCAUGAUUUAUUUAUGGAUUAAAUCGAUAAAAACCCGCUAAUUUAUCCAACAUUUGUCGACCCACCUAUGUGAACCACAUUUUCUUCUAAAAAAAAAAGGAACUUGUUCAAAUAAGAAAAAUCGAGCUCGUUGAGAACCAAAGAGACAGACCACUAUUUUUUUGAAGGGAGGGACACCUUAUUAAGUAUUCCCUCCAUCCCAAAAUUCUUGUCUUAAAUUUAUCUAGAUACGGAUGUAUAUAAGAAAUACACUCAACUGCGUGCUGCUGUCGUAGGGGUCAUUCCUAACGUACAUGCUGCUACUGUAGUUGUUGGGUGCUGGUCAGUGAGUGAAAGACGCUAGCAGCUCUCUGCUCAGCUCCCUGUCUCACUCAACUUUCUUCACAUCCAUCCAUCCAUCCAUCCAUCAGCGCAUCUCGUCCUCGGCUCCGUCGAUGAUGGAGGCAGAGACGGAGACGGAGGCCGGCGACGACCCUGCGCUCGUGGCGGAGGGCACCGUCACCUGCAUCAGGCUCGCCGUCGCCUCCAACCAGGAGAUCGUAAAUUACCACUUGUCUUUCUCAUUCUCCUUCAUUCCAACCAACCAUGGCUUCAUGUCAUCAUCUUCUCCUCCCCCUUGUUCUUCGCCUUGCACCUUCAGAGAAAAACAGCAAGCGAUGAUUAACUAACGGCGCUCAUGCAUGGUCGCAUGCAUCGCAGGUGAAGGCGCAGCCGAUGAAGGAGGAGUUCCCGGUGACGCACCCGAGCCAGCUGGCCGGGAACCCGGCGCUGGGCCUGCCGCUGCAGCUCGGCCACUGCGACUCCUGCGGCGCCACCGACCUCGCCAAGUGCGAAGGUGACUCACUGCUUAGUUGCUCUCCGUUUUACUUACCUGCUACUAAUUCCACUCCGUGGCAGUUUGCUUGGUUAGCCCAUCAAUUAACCUACGCAAAGAGAAAAAAAAUGGAGUGUCACUCAACGUCUGCAAACAUGCGGCUAAAAUUUUCAACAGUACGCGAUAAGUUAGCUGAUCAUAGGGUUGAUGCUUCUGCAUUGCCAGACUUUCUAGCUGAAACUGGUGUUUUUUCUUUUUCUUUUGGUUUCUAUGAACAAAAUGAACAGAAAGCUGUGCGAGAUCCAUAUGAUCUUUUUUUUAAGGUUUUCUAUAAACAAGGUUCUGCCUCUCUUUUUAAGUUAACAUGGAUAGUUGACGCUACUUCGCGUCUACAAACAUGCACCUAAUUUUUCUGGUCAGCUAGCUAGUUCAAUUUGUGAUAAUCCUGCAUAGACAGUUCAGUGUGUGACAAGUUCAGAACCGAACUCGAGAUAAUUUUUCAGGUUCCUGAAACUAGAUACAACCAAACUGAAUGAUAUUCAACUACAGCUCACUUUAUUGGAACGCAAGUACUUACCUAGGCAAGAUCACUUUGUUGGAACACAAAUAGUUGGAUACGAUAUGGUCGCGGCGAUUAUUCAAGUCACAGCUGAACUGACUACUCACUUGAGUGUUAUACAUUCUUGGUAGAAUCAAUUCUGCAGCAUUUACCUCAAUCAACUGAGAGAUAACUCAUGUUCUCCUAUGCUUUCGGAAACAGUCAAAAACUUGGCCAUGGUGACAGCUUCUCUUCCCACCUGGAAAAUAUUCAUCUAAGUCAGUUUACUGGAGCAUAACACUUUCUAGGAACAUAAAUUGUUUGAUAUGGUAAUGAUUGCACCUGGCUGCUUAGUAUAGUGUUGUACACUGUCAGAGACAUUGCUGGUAAAAAAACAAUGUCGCAGCAUUUAUCUCGACUGAGAGAUAUAUUGUGUUUCUGAUCUUUCAAAGAUGCUGAAAGAGUUUGCUGUAACGACAGCUACUCUGUCCCCAUAUUACAAAGAGAUAUAUGAAAAUUUGCAUGUCCAUGUUAACUUCUGCAAUUUUUUAACUAACAUUCUGAAUCAGAGACAGUGCCCAUAUGUAUACAUACUGCAUCUUCAAAUAAAAUGCUGACAAACUCAUCUUCUCAUGGCUGGCUCAAGGUCAUUUCGGGUUCAUCAAGCUGCCCGUGUCUGUCUACCACCCAAGCCAUAUCGCCGAGCUGACAAAGAUACUCAACAUGAUCUGCUUCGGCUGCCUCCAGUUCAAGAACUGCAAGGUACAUGCAGAAAUUAAACCCUCCCCAGGCAUACUUUGAUCAGUGAUUUAGCGGCUAGAAUUAACAUGGAAGUUCUGUACUUUGCAACAGAAACAGAAAAAUGCUGAAAAGGAGAGCAACUUCACCUCAUGUUCAUAUUGUCAGGUAAUUAAGUGAUAACUCACAAAGACGAUUAAAUUGUUCAAGCUUCCUUUAAGUUGCAUUAGUAGGGCCGGGUUGGUCUGCAUAAUAUACACAUUCAUAUGUAGCUCACCCUAAUUCUCCGAGAAAAUCUCAAGGUAGCUGAAUCUACUGCAGAUAGACGUAACUGAAUCGUUGAUGAUGAAAAAAAAACCAAAAAGCUGCUGCUGCAGAGAUAGCGUUAAGCAGCUAAAUACAAAACAAGUGCAAGUAGUUCAGCUUAAACACUAGAGCAGUCAGAGAAGAUGAUGAGCUGAAAUUUGGAAGUGACACUAGCAUAACUUGGAUCUUCCCAGGAAGAUGUAUGAUCCAAUUCAAAAGCAACAGGUGCAGAGUUUAAAAUGCAUGCAGCAACUACAAUAUCAAUUAUCUCCAAAGGAAGCAGAUGACAUGCUUUAUUUAACACACAUUGUUCUGUAACCUAGACAUUUGUUAUGGUUAAAUUCCACCACAUUACCCAAACCCUCAAACAGUACAAAUCUCCACUCAAAAUUCAAGUUUAAAUUAAGACUAUUAGUUAAGUUAUUAGUGGCUGGUGUUUGUUUCUAGUUGUACGUUUCUGAGGAGCAUGACAUGUGUACAGUACAAGCACUAGUUAACUAUGUUUUGCCAUGGUUCGGUUUUUUUAAAUCUGGAGUAUCGUUUCCCUUAAUCCCUCUAACUAACCAGCCACUAUUAUUUCCUUUGUCAAAUUCUGCAUUCAUCUUCUUCCAGGAUCUCCCACCAAUACAUGUUGCAAAAGUCAAGAAAUCCAAUGGAGCCCUUACCUUGGAGCUGAGAGUGCCAUCCAGGAAAGAACUGGAAGAGGGAUUUUGGAGUUUCCUCGAUCAAUUUGGCUUUCACACGAAGGGCAGCUCUCACUGCCGUCGUUUAUUCGCAGAAGAGGUACUAGUACUAGAUAGAGACUUGUUGCUCUCGUGGCAAAAGCCACCCUGCAAGGGAGCAGGAUGUAGAACAAAAGUCUCAGAACUUAGUUGCUCUGCUUUGCAUUAGAAAUGGUUAUGACAAGACAAAUUAAUGAAUACUUCAGAAUUAAUAGGUGCUAGAGAUACUCACAUUUUGUUCUUUUGUUUCUUAGGUUCAGAAAAUAAUGGAGAAGAUCUCUGAAAAAACAAGAAGGCAGAUUGCUGCUAAGGGAUAUAUACUUCAGGAUGGAUUUGUGAUGAGCAAUCUCCCUGUUCCACCAAACUGCCUCCGCGCUUACAAUGUUUUACAUGAAACACUCAUGUGCUCUCCCGUAAGUACCUUUUGAGACUCAUCACACUCAUGUACUUUUGGUUGCACCAGAAUUUCCUUUGUUUCACCCUCACUCCUGAGAUUUUUCCUCCCUUCUUUAGGAUGCCUCCACAAACUUGCUGAGGAAAAUCGUACUUAACGUACAUGAAAUCAGCAACUCAAGAGUCGGCCCCCCAACCUACCAAGAACAUGAGGUGGAAGCAGAUGAUCUUCAGCUUGCUAUUGCUGACUACAUCAAGCAUGCAGGAACAGCAAGGGUAUGUAGAUAAUAUGUAAAUGAAGUGCAUACUAUCUACUUGAUCAAAACUGUGUGUUCAUACCUGGUGUCGUGUAUCUUUCAUAGGGUCCUCAAGAUAUCACCUUUAAAAGUCUGCCUGCAACAAAACAAUGGCAGCAAAAGAUGAAGGCACUCUGCAUCAGCAAGAGCUCAAGCUUCUCAUGCCGUGGUGUGAUCACGGGUGACCCAUACAUUCCUAUGAAUGUGGUAGGAGUUCCUGAUGAAGUAGCAAGACGAAUGUCGGUACAAGAGCGUGUGACAGACUACAACAUUGCUCAGCUGCAAGGCAUGAUGGAUAGAGGUCUUUGCCUGACACAUGAAGAUGCUAAUUCUAUCACGCACUCCUUGGAUGUGGGGAAAGCAAAUAAGAAACGGACCAUACUGAAGGUUGGUGAAACGGUCAACCGGAGAAUUCUGGAUGGAGAUGCGGUAUUUGUCAACAGGCCACCAAGCACCGACAAGCACUCAGUCCAAGCAAUGUAUGUCCGUGUACAUACUGGUCACACCAUCAAGAUCAACCCACUCAUAUGUGGACCACUUGGAGCAGAUUUCGAUGGCGACUGCGUCCACAUUUUCUUCCCAAGGUCAGUGUCAGCAAGGGCUGAAGCUAUAGAGCUCUUCACGGUGGAGAAGCAGCUGGUCAGCUCUCACAAUGCAAAGCUGAAUUUUCAGCUCAAAAAUGAUUGCUUACUAGCUUUAAAGAAAAUGUCUGCUAGAAAGUAUUCCAGAAGGGAGGCCAAUGAACUUAUAAAUGCAAUGUUCACGGCAGGAUUGAUUCCCAAGAAGCGACUAUCAGGUGGACCAGAGUGGAGUUUCGCUCAGAUUCUAGAGACGGUACUACCACAGGAAAACAAAAUAUUAAUCAGAGACUUGGUUGCUGGCACUAUUACCAUCUCAUCAGUUCUGUCCACGAAGAAUCCAAGGGAGGCCAUAGAAUUUCUGAAUCUUCUGCAGCCCCUACUAAUGGAAUCAUUAUUUACUGAUGGUUUCAGCGUAAGCCUGAGAGACUUCAAUGUCCAGAAUCCGAUAGCACAGACAAUUCAGCAUGAGACACUUGAUCUUGACAAGUUACGGAAACCAAUUGUGGACUUCAUUACUUCUUCUGACAUGCGCUUCUUGGUUGACCAAAAGAGAGAUUCAGCCAUGACCAAAGUAGUGGAGCAGAUUGGUUUCUUGGGACAUCAGCUGCAGCACGACGGAAGAUUAUAUUCUGGCAGCUUGGUAGAGGAUUGCCUAUCCAAGUCGCUAAGCAAGUGUGGCAGCAGCACCAAUGGUUGCCAUCCUUUGGAGGCACAUGGUUUUGUCAGGAACUCACUUUGCAAUGGACUGAACCCAUAUGAGGACCUACUCCAUUCAAUAUCUGCAAGGGAGAAGACAAUACGCGCAUCUAAAGGACUUGUGGAGCCGGGCGUUCUCUUCAAGAACAUGAUGGCAAUGCUCCGGGAUGUUGUAGCACGCUAUGAUGGAACCAUAAGAAACUCGUGUGGAAAUUCAGUUGUCAAGUUUGACUCGACAAAUUCAUCGAAUUCUGUGACACCAGGAGAUCCCGUUGGUAUCUUGGCAGCCACUGCAGUUACAAAUGCUGCAUACAAGGCAGUGUUAGACCCAAAUCAGAAUAACAUGGCCUCAUGGGACUCGAUGAAGGUGAGAGGCCCAUUUGUUCAGUUCCAUCUAAGACUUAGUUCAUAUGUUCUGACUUCUGGUUGUUGCAUUUACAGGAAGUACUACUUACAAGAGCUAGCUCUAGAAAUGAAAAUGACCAAAAAAUAAUUUUGUAUCUAAACAAAUGCUCUUGUGGGGAUAAUUUUUGCAUGGAAAGAGCAUCACUCACAGUUCAAGCCUGCUUAAAGAGGACCAAAGUAGAGGACUGUGCUACUGAGUUAUCAAUCCAGUAUGUACCAUUCAUACUUCCAUAAUAAUUUAUCAUACUACAAUGUUCCUUACGCCCCAAGUUACAUACUCCCUCUGUUCGGAAAUAAGUGACGUAGUUUUAGUUCAAAUUUGAACUAAACCACGUCACUUAUUUCUGAACGGAUGUAAGUAAUACUAUUUUCCCAAACUAUGCACUUUAGUAUUAGUUUCGCAUGAGUGAAUCAUAAACAUGAACAAGACUAGCAAAUUGUUGUUUCUUGACAUCGUACUGAACUUGGAAUCUUUGAUCAGUCCAGUUCAGCUUUACACUGUGUUAUACAGUUAUAAGCCAAAAUCAAAUCACAAGUAACUACUUCUUGCACAUUUCAGUGUAUACUGUGCUAGGCUCACAAUCGUUGUCUUGUUUCAGUUAUCAACAACAAAAUAUUCAAGCAACACAUUGUCUUGUUGGCCACAUUCACCUUGACAAGGUAUUUUUCCAUUUCUCCUACUUUUCAAAUAGUAUAACUGUUUCAGCAUUAUCAUCAAGACUAUAUGUUGAAGAAAUCAUUUUGUGCCCUUACAGAAGCAACUGGAUGAAAUGAACAUAAGUAUGGAAGGUAUUCUUCAGAAAUGCCAGAAAGAAAUAUAUAGAUGGGGAAAGAAGAAGGGGCAGGUGAAUCAACUUAUGAAGAGAGUUGUGAUCUCAAGGUGCUACGACCUUUUACUGUUUUAACCUUGAAAUAGUACAGGAGGCUUUAUUUUCGUAUUCUUCUGAAAGAAUAUUCCAAUGGUUGGAUCUACUUUUCAGAUCCACUAAGAUUUGAGUUCUUUAUUUGGUAACUUAAGUUGAAUAAUGCCUUUCAUUGGGUAUUUAGGCAUGCUAUAUUGAGAAAAUCAAGCAUGAAUUUUAAAUGAUCUAUUCUUUAGUUUCUGAACAUAAUCUGACAUUUCUUCUUUGCAGUGAAUGAAUAUGCUACCAGGAUGCAGAUGACGAGGAACAGGUCUCCUGUUUGCAGUUUUUCCUAACUGAAAGUGUGACCACACGAAUGUCUGAAUCUUCUGCGCGAGUUGUCCAGUUGAUGGCCAAUACCAUUUCUCCUAUACUCUUGGACACAGUCAUAAAAGGUAAACCAAAAAUUCACAUUCAUACUAGGUAUCAUGCAUAUAGAAAAUCCAGAUGAACAUGCUGAUAGUUACGGCUUAUGCAAUUCUGCUUACUAAAGAGAUGUUCUCUUGCAUCUUCUCCCAGGUGAUACAUGAGUCCAGGAAGUGAACAUAGUAUGGGUUGAACCACAAGACACAUGUUGGGUCCAGAACUCCGGUACAGAACAGAAGGGUGAAUUGGCGCUCGUAGUCACAAUGGAUAAAUACUCAACUGGAGAGAGUGGUGAUGUCUGGGGAACAGCAAUGGAUGCAUGCAUCCCUGUGAUGGAUCUGAUCGACACUACCAGGUCUCUGCCCUACAGCAUCCAACAAGUUCAGCAAGGGUUUGGAAUUUCCUCUGCCUUCGGUCGAGUCACACAGGUCCAGCAAGUUCUUGCUUUUUUUUUUACUUUCCUGAUGAAUUCAGUAUCUUCUAUUUAAAAAUUACUCAUGUUUUGCUCUUCUUCUUUUUAUCCUUUCGACCAUCCUUCCAGCACCUUUCCAAGGCAGUUGGAAUGGUUACAAAAUCAGUUCUCGAAGAACACCUGACAACUGUUGCAAGCAGCAUGACCUGCACAGGUAACUUGCAUGGCUUCAACAGCUAUGGUUACAAGGCCACAUUCAAGGCCCUCAAGAUUCAGGCACCCUUCAUGAAGGCUACACUCGCUGUAAGUUCUCCAUUUCAUUUUGUUUUGAACCCCCCAUUUUGAUGAGCAAGUGUUGGCAUUGAUUAAAAAACCGAGAAAAACAUGUUGCAGAGGCCAUUGCAAUGCUUCGAGGAGGGUGCAGAGAAGGUCUAUUCUGAUCAGCUGGAUAGUGUUGUGUCUACCUGCUCUUGGGGCAAUCCUGCACCAAUUGGGACUGGUUCAGCCUUCAAAAUCCACUGGAAUGAUGGGAGCACGGUACGACGAAUAUCUCACCUGCCUAUGUUCUCUCAUGUGUGCAGCAUGCAAUUAUUUUUUUCCCUUCUCCUCUGAACCUCUUGGUCUUUUACAGUCAGCAGGCAAUGAGAACCUUGGAGGGUAUGGUUUGUAUGAAUUCCUCAGAGGUAGAAACAACAAGAGCCACUGAAGAUAAUAUAAUUGUUCCAUACGGUUCCUGCUUGUAUGAUGUUGACAACCUUGAAGAAGAUGAAAUCGAAGAGGAUGAAGUCUUACGUUUGGGAGGAAACAGUCCAAUCACUUGGACAGACAGGCCAAAAGCAAAUCUCCUGCUGCAUGAUCUUCAAGGUUGGAGGGCUGAACAAGGGCACCAAAAAGUGCCAGUUGCAAAUUGGCAACAUGGUAAACAUGUCGCCACAGAGUCAAGUGGCACUAGUGGAUGGAACCAGAGCAGUUCUACCAUGAAAGUUUAUCAGAGAAGGCAACGUAAUAGUAAUUGGAGCUCAGAUGCAACACAGCAAGAUGGUAAACCGAGUUGGAACAAAGCAUAUGUGGCAGGCCCGAGCAACUUUGCCAUUACAGGGCCAUCAUGUGGUACUAGUGGAUGGAACCAGAGCAGUUCUACCACGAAAGUUUAUAAGAGAAGGCAAUUUGAUAGUAAUUGGAGCUCAGAUGCAACACAACAAGAUGGUAACCCAAGUUGGAAGAAAGCAAAUGUGGCAGGCCAGGGCAACUUUGCCAUUACAGGGCCAUCUAGCUCUGGUGGAUGGAGUAGAAAGACCAAUAAUCUUGGUAGAGGUCGAGGUGGUGGUAGAGGUGCAGUGUGGAAAUCAGAGGGAUCACACCGUGGAGGUAACAGUAGGUGGAAAGCCCAAAGAGCCAAUACCACAAGCGCCCCGAACUUCCACAUUUCAGGACCAUCCAACUUUGGUGGACGGAACAUCAAGACCGGCAAUCUUGGCCCAUGCCGUGGCAGAGGACCAGCAUGGAGAUCAAACGGACCAAACCGGGGAGGUAGCAAUGGUGGACCAAGAGGGAGUUCAAAUUUUACACUAGCGGAACAGCAGAUACAUGCACAAGUUGAUCCAAUCAUGAAGGAAGUAAAGAGGAUCAUCCGUGAAUCAAGGUAUAAUAUGUAGCCCAUUGCAACUCUAAAAAAUCACAAAGCACUGAAAAAUAGCUACACUUCUUCAAGUAAAUGAUGAUAUGACUGUUCGAUUUAAGUUUGAACAUCACAAAGUCCAAGUAACUGCAAUGACUGAAAAGUGCACCUUCUCUUGUAGACCCCAAGUGGCUUCUUCUCUGUGUUCGUAAUCCUUACUCACAGUCCAUCUAUUCCCAUAUUCUGCAGGGAUGGCAUCAAGCUUUCUGGAGAUGAUGAGAGGUUCAUUGUUGAAAAUAUUCUCAUGUACCACCCAGAGAAGGAAAAGAAGAUGGCAGGGAAUAACAAUUACAUAACGGUAAGCAGCAUACCUUUCUGUCUUCCGAUGCAUCACAAGAACCAAAAUCCAAAAUGGAAACUUCAUGAAAUUUCUUCCCCUGUUUGCAGGUUGCUAAGCAUCAAAAGUUCCAUAGCUCCAGGUGCUUGUACGUCGUGUCCUCAGACGGCCCUCCUACAGAUUUCUCCUACAAGAAGUGCCUAGAGAACAUGAUCAGGAUUCACUACCCACGUGAUGCAAGUUCAUUCUGCAGAAAGUACUUCCAGUGAUGAGCCAUAGCAUGUCCAUUCACGUCGAACUGUGUGCGCUUGCAGUAGUGCAAUGUCUAAUCCCCUGAAAUGACCUCAUCUGGCAUACACGAUUUAUGUGGACUCUGAUGUCCAUAGACUUGUAUAAUUCGGUGUGCUUGAAAUUAUUCUACAACUGUUAUGCUAUUUCUGAACAUUAAGGAAACAAAACCUGGCAUACAUGAAUUUCCCACAAACUUAUAUAUGUUAUGCUUAAGAACAUUUUAUAACUGUGAGAUUAGUUCCGAGCAGUAGCAAUCAAAAAUACCAAUAAUGCUUGAAUUUUUGUAUGAAUGCUAUUUCUUACUGUAGUAGAGAGUGUUCACCACAACAAUAUGUUUUGAGUUAGUGGCAAACACAAAAGAUUCAGGUUUGUGGGCUUCAUUGUAAUCGUACACGCCGACACACUGCCACAAAUACAGAUACAUGUAACAGAAAAAGUAGUGUAUGGAACAUUACUUCAGGAACGCCAGCCUGAAAAUGUAUGCCUCAAAAUAACUUGCUACUAAUCAAAACCAAUGACACAUUCAUAACUGGCACAUAUUAUUACUUGUUGUAUCCUUCAAACAGCUCUAUAACUGAAAUUGAAAUGAUGCUUAGGUGAAUACAUUUGGCGGGUACAUUGUGUCUGCAUAACAAUAUCAUAGCUAGGUAGCUACAAGAAAACUGCACACUAGCCGGAGUAAGCGAUUACCUUCCUGAAAGAAGGGAAGGAAUCGUGCACACUCAAGCAGCAGCAACUCCGGUCUUCACCUCAUCCGCGGCUUUCCUUUCGCACGAUUCAAGGUAUGACUUGAGGAUCAUGAGCCUGGCGGUCUCAAAAGCGCAGUAGCCAAUCGCAGCGAAGCAGGCGCUGUGCAGGACCCUCGGCCCGAUCCCCCGGGACAGGCCCAUCAGGCCUUCCUCGGCGAUGAUCUCCUGCAUCGUGCCCACCACCGUGCGGCUCCCCUGGGUGCCCACCCUGGUCAUCAGCCGCGUCUUGACGACGUCGAGCGGGGUGGUGAGCCCGGCGGAUAUCGCGCCGGCGAGGGCGCCGCACAGCGCACAGCACGCUCUCCCCCGGCGCCAGGUUGGCGCCGUUGCUCUUGCUGAGGGCGAAGGCCUUGAGGUACUCGAAGGAGGAGUAGCUGACACGCCGGCGGGGAGGUUGCGGAGGAGCGUGGCGGCGUAGCCGGCGUAGAGCCCGAAGAAGCCGUCGGUCUGCAGGAUCUGGAGGGAGAUUUGGUUAUCGUCAAUUAUCCCAGGAUCUGGAGCAGCACCUGCCAGGAGCGGCCCGUGGCGGCGCCGGACUGGAGGCGCUGCGUGAUGAGCUCCUUGGGCACCAUGAUGGCCGAGGAGGAGAUGUUGCCGCUGGCGCCGGCGAGCGGGGGCACGAGGAAGGGCGGCAGGUGCGGGCGCAGCAGCGACUUGGCGAGCUCGCAGGUGCCGAAGUAGAUGGCGGAGGAGGUGGCGGAGCCGAGGAUGACGGCGGACAGGCCCCGGUAGAGGCCGAGCGGGCCGUCGGCGCGCAGGAUGUCGGCGAACACCUGCCAGGAGCCGCGCGAGGCGGCCCCCGCCUGCAGCCGCGUCUUGACGGCGUCGAGCGGCAGCAGGGCCGCGUAGGUGAAGGCCCCCGCCGCCGCCCCCGCGCACGCCCCGAUGGCCGCCCGCGCCAGCGGUGUGACUGCGCCUGCGCCUGCGCCGGGGCGGCGGGGGCGGGGAUGGAGAGGGAGGAGGAGGAGAAGACCGGGGCGCGGCCGUGGGGGGUGGAGGCGGCGGCGGGCGAGUGGUGGAGGAGGAGCGAGGUGAGGUCGGAGAAGAGCGAGGGGAAGUCCUGCGAGCGGCCGGCGCCCGGGAGCGCGAUGGGGAGCGGCUCCCUCGGGCGGCUUGACGACGGCAUCCCGUCGGCGCCGGUGCCGCCGCUAGGGCCCCGGUGGAGGCGGAAUGGGGAUCGGCUCUUUUCCCUAUUUUGACCUUUUCAGAAAACUUUCACACAAAAGAACUUCACGUAAAAUUAUUUCACAAUCUGAUUCUUUCGGUAACAUCAUAAGCCGUGGCAUUUCUUCUUUAUUUAGAAACGCCGAGUUAGCCAGUGUUGCUUGUCUGGUCGAGACGCUACGUGACAGGGCAGAAACACCAAAUUAUGUUGCGUCGCUGGAAACGCCAAUGGGGUUGGCGUUCCAACUAGCUUGUUCAUAUUGUCAUUUAUUUAUGAAGUGAAGCAACGCUGGCUAGCUCGGCGUUUUUAAAUAGAAAAAAAACGCCACGGCUUGUGGCGUUGCCAAAAGGAUCAGAUCGUAAAAUAGUUUUAUGUGAAGUUUAUUUUGUUCGAAAGUUUUCUAAAAGGGCCAAAAUAAUGAAAAAGGCCAUGGGAUCUGUCGCUGUGUUGCAUAUUGUUUUCUUUUUAAGGUAAGUCCUUGGGCCAAUCAUGAGCUUCCAACUGAAGUACUUUGUUUUUGACAUCCUAUAUAAGAAGUUGAUUCCCAAUAUCCUAUUUAUCUCAACAUGCACACAUAUCAUGUCAUCAAAGGCCCAUCACUACAUGCAUGAGAGAAAAAAAUCAUUAUUAGUUGAACUCAUGCACACCUUUCAACUCACCACACAUGCCACCUCAUCAAAAGUUCACUCAACAUGCAUAAUUUUUUUUCUAUUAUACCACCUAUAUUCGAAAUAUUUUCCGACUACANNNNNNNNNNNNNNNNNNNNNNNNNNNNNNNNNNNNNNNNNNNNNNNNNNNNNNNNNNNNNNNNNNNNNNNNNNNNNNNNNNNNNNNNNNNNNNNNNNNNAUGUAUUAUAGUGUUGCCUAGAGCUACUCCCUGAGCUUAAAAGUCUAUUCAGGAAAACCUUUUAUAUGAAACCAAUCUUCUUCCCUUCAAAAAGUUUGUUCCUUACAAAUUAUUAAAAGAUGCUUCAGUGACUUCUGAGAGAUUAAAAGUCUCCUUGUUCAUUUUGGUAACUAGAGGAACAUGACGGCCAUUCCUUACAGAAACAUGGCAACUUCAACAGAAGAAACAUCAAUCAACUCUUGUACUGCUCUGCCCCCUGCUUGCUUUUUAGGCUUUCCAGUGACAUGAUAUUUUCAUUCAGAGGAGGUUGCACUGCUCUGCUCUCUGCUUGCUUUUUAGGCUUUCAAAUAAUUCCAAAUUAAUUCAAAUAAAUCUAGCUAAUUCAAAGAAUCCCAAAUUAAUUCAAAUAAAUCUAGCUAAUUCAAAUAAUUCUAGCUAAUUCAAAUUAAUUAAAAGUACUCCUUGUUCAUUUGAGCACGUACUCCUAGUGUGAAAAGAAAACCAUGAUGAAUUAAGCAAGUACUCCUAGUCUAACACAAUCAAGUACUCCUAGUCUAACACAAUCAAGUACUCCUAGUCUAACACAAUCAAGUACUCCUAGUCUAACACAAUCAAUUUUCAGCUUGUACAAAAUACUGAAAACUACAGUAGAAACAAUGACUAAACAACAAUAAUUCAGUAGUUUUCUCAAAUUUUUGCAGUAUGUAGACUAUUUAGAAAUUCAGAGAUAAUGAAAAGAUUGUGCUAGGAUGUUCUGAAGCUAACUGAAUGUUCUGAAGCUGUCAAUUUUUUAAUAUAGAUUGUGCUAGGAUUGCACAAAUUGAUGUCACUUUUUUAUAUAGAUUGGGCUAGGACAUUGUAGGUUACUGAAUUUGCCUCGCUCACUCUGCUUUUGACUGAAUUAGUGCAUCAAGUGAUGUCACACUCCACUUCUUCAUCCUGCUACUGACUGAACUGGUUUUGAGCUCACUAACUGAUGCCACUCACUCACUCACUGCUCUCAGGGAGGUUGUGCGGCACCGAGCGGAUGUACGGCGAGGUCUCCGUAAUGGUGUCAAGUCACCCUUGCCAUAUGGAACAUAUGUAAGCUCUUCCUGCUAACCUACAGGAGUACAUUUUCGUGCUUCAAGUCUGAGCCUAUGUAUGGAAAAUGCAUGCUUCAAGUGUGAACCUAUGCACUCCAUUUUGUGGUGAUUAGUCGCCACUUCUAUGUGCACUAAGAAAAAGAAGCCUGAACAUGGCAUGCAUGCUUUCUUGUGGUGUUAGCAUCCCAGCACUGAUCAACACAACUUGUCCUCACAAGCACAUAGAAAAUGACAGGUUCUGAACAUCAAGUUGACUGAACACAACUUGUCCUCACAAGCACCUUUAUUUGUUCUAUGAAACUUCUUGUAAUAUGCAUAUUACAUCAUUUAAAUUCAGUGUCAAAACAUGGAAAAAUUCAGUUGUCAAAACACCUCAAACAUGGCCAAAUUCAUAUCAGUCCAAAAUUUUCAUGUUUCAGAGAAGUUUACAAUUUUUGUGGCCUCUUGAUACAAUUUUUUUUUAUCAAGAACUGUCAAUUUUACAUCCAUUUAACUCCAUUGAUGAUGGAACAGGAGGAGCAGCAGCAGCACAAGGAGCAACUCCUUACAGUAGCAGAGGCAGUCGCCGACAACAGCAGCAGAUGCAGUCGCCAACAGCAACAACUGGUCCGCGCGGACUCGAUCGGUCGGGCUGCAGCGGCAGAAGUAGGUGGCGGGCGAAGGCAGCGGCAGGUGGCAGACGGACGGCAGCGGCAGCAACAGGAUCCCGCCACCGGGGAAGACCCGCGUGGCCCUGCCUGACAAAGUCAGGGAGAGGGGAGCGGCGGCUGGGGUUGCUGCAGGCACGAGGAACCUGCGCCGGCGAGGAGAGCGACGACGAGGAGGCGCCCGUCGAGGAGGAUGCCGCCUUGGAGGAGCAGCUACAGUCGGGGUCGGGCUCCUCGGAGGAGCAGCCGCAGUCGGGGUCGGGCUCCUCGAUGAUGCAGGCGGCGCCGGCGCUGGAGGCGAUGAUGCUGCCCCGCUCGCCGGCCGUGCUCGAGCCCCUCAAUCCCCUCCUCGAGCCCCUCGAUCUCCUCCCUCCUCCGGGACACGGAUGUGCUGCUCCUGUCCCUCGACGACGCGGCCGUCCUCCUCGGCGAUCUCGUGGCCGACAGCGGUGGCGAAGUCCACGGGCAGGUCAGCGGGGCGGUGGGAGAGCGCGGCCAGGGCCUCGCUGUUGGGGAACGUAGCAGAAAUUCAAAAUUUUCCUACGAAUCACCAAGAUCUAUGUAUGGAGAAACCAGCAACGAGGGGAAGGAGAGUGCAUCUACAUACCCUUGUAGAUCGCUAAGCGGAAGCGUUCAAGAGAACGGGGUUGAAGGAGUCGUACUCGUCGUGAUCCAAAUCACCGGAGAUCCUAGUGCCGAAUGGACGGCACCUCUGCGUUCAACACACGUACAGCCCGGUGACGUCUCCCAUGCCUUGAUCCAGCAAGGAGAGAGGGAGAGGUUGAGGAAGACUCCGUCUAGCAGCAGCACAACGACGUGGUGGUGAUGGAGGAGCGUGGCAAUCCUGCAGGGCUUCGCCAAGCACCGCGAGAGAGGAGAAGGGAGAGAGGUAGGGCUGCACCUGGGAGAGGUGAAACUCAUCUGUCUUCAGCCCCAAAAACCCUCAAGUAUAUAUGGGGGAGAGGUGGGGCUGCGCCCCCACCUAGGAUUUCACCCCUAGGGGUGGCGGCCAGCCCAAUCCCAUCUAGGGUGGCGGCCAAGGGGGGGGGGAGAGAGGGGAAACUUGCCCCCCAAGUUAGGUGGGUGCGCCCCCUCCCCAAACCCUAGGCGCCUUGGGCCCUUGUGGGGGGGCGCACCAGCCCACCUGGGGCUGGUCCCCUCCCACACUUGGCCCAUGCAGCCCUCUGGGGCCGGUGGCCCCACUUGGUGGACCCCCGGGACCCUCCCGGUGGUCCCGGUACGUUACCGAUAAAACCCGAAACUUUUCCGGUGACCAAAACAGGACUUCCCAUAUAUAAAUCUUUACCUCCGGACCAUUCCGAAACUCCUCGUGACGUCCGGGAUAUCAUCCGGGACUCCGAACAACAUUCAAUAACCACAUGCAAACUUCCUUUAUAACCCUAGCGUCAUCGAAUCUUAAGUGUGUAGACCCUACGGGUUCGGGAAUCAUGCAGCCAUGACCGAGACGUUCUCCGGUCAAUAACCAACAGCGGGAUCUGGAUACCCAUGUUGGCUCCCAUAUGUUCCACGAUGAUCUCAUCGGAUGAACCACGAUGUCAAGGACUCAAUCGAUCCCGUAUACAAUUCCCUUUGUCUAAUAGUAUUGUACUUGCCCGAGAUUUGAUCGUUGGUAUCCUGAUAUCUUGUUCAAUCUCGUUAUCGGCAAGUCUCUUUACUCGUUCCGUAACACAUCAUCCCGUGAUCAACCCCUUGGUCACAUUGUGCACAUUAUGAUGAUGUCCUACCGAGUGGGCCCAGAGAUACCUCUCCGUCAACCGGAGUGACAAAUCCCAGUCUCGAUUCGUGCCAACCCAACAGACACUUUCGGAGAUACCUGUAGUGUACCUUUAUAGCCACCCAGUUACGUUGUGACGUUUGGUACACCCAAAGCAUUCCUACGGUAUCCGGGAGUUGCACAAUCUCAUGGUCUAAGGAAAAGAUACUUGACAUUAGAAAAGCUUUAGCAUACGAACUACACGAUCUUUGUGCUAGGCUUAGGAUUGGGUCCUGUCCAUCACAUCAUUCUUCUAAUGAUGUGAUCCCGUUAUCAAUGACAUCCAAUGUCCAUGGUUAGGAAACUGUAACCAUCUAUUGAUCAACGAGCUAGUCAACUAGAAGCUUACUAGGGACAUGGUGUUGUCUAUGUAUCCACACAUGUAUCUGAGUUUCCUUUCAAUACAAUUAUAGCAUGGAUAAUAAACGAUUAUCAUGAACAAGGAAAUAUAAUAAUAACUAAUUUAUUAUUGCCUCUAGGGCAUAUUUCCAACAGUCUCCCACUUGCACUAGAGUCAAUAAUCUAGUUCACAUCGCCAUGUGAUUAACACUCAUAGGUCACAUCACCAUGUGACCAACAUCCAAAGAGUUUACUAGUGUCACUAAACUAGUUCACAUCAUCAUGUGAUUAAGACUCAAUGAGUUCUAGGGUUUGAUCAUGUUUUGCUUGUAAGAGAGGUUUUAGUCAACGGGUCUGCAACAUUCAGAUCCGUAUGAACUUCGCAAAUCUCUAGGUCAUAUUGUAAAUGCUGCUUCCACGCUCCACUUGGAGCUAUUCCAAAUGGUUGCUCCACUAUACGUAUCCGGUUUGCUACUCAGAGUCAUUCGGAUAGGUGUUAAAGCUUGCAUCGACGUAACCCUUUACGCCGAACUCUUUAUCACCUCCAUAAUCGAGAAACAUAUCCUUAUUCCUCUAAGGAUAAUUUUGACCGCUAUCUGGUGAUCCACUCCUUGAUCACCUUUGUACCCUCUUGCCAGACAUGUGGCAAGGCACGCAUCAGGUGCGGUACACAACAUAGCAUAUUUUAGAGACUACGUCUAAGGCAUAGGGGACGACCUUCGUCCUUUCUCUCUUUUCUGCCGUGGUCGAGCUUUAAGUCUUAACUUCAUACCAUACAUCUCAGGCAAGAACUCCUUCUUUGACUGAUCCAUCUUGAACACCUUCAAGAUCAUGUCAAGGUAUGUGCUCAUUUGAAAGUACCAUUAAGCGUUUUUGACCUAUCCUCAUAGAUCUUGAUGCUCAAUGUUCAAGUAGCUUAAUCCAGGUUUUCUAUUGAAAAACACCUUUCAAAUAACCCUGUAUGCUUUCUAGAAAUUCUACAUCUUUUCUGAUCAACAAUAUGUCAACAACAUAUACUCAUCAGAAAUUCUAUAGUGCUCCCACUCACUUCUUUGGAAAUACAAGUUUCUCAUGCACUUUGUAUAAACCCAAAAUCUUUGAUCAUCUCAUCAAAGCGCACAUUCCAACUCCGAGAUGCUUACUCCAGUCCCUAGAAGGAUUGCUGGAGCCAGCAUACCUUUUAGCAUCCUUAGGAUCGACAAAACUUUUCUGAUUGUAUCACAUACAACCUUUUCUUACAAAAACUGGUAAGGAAAACCGUCUUGACAUCCAUCCGCCAGAUUUCAUAAAUGCAGCUAAUGCUAACAUGAUUCCGACGGACUUAAGCAUCGCUACGGAUGAGAAAAUCUCAUCGUAGUCAACUCCUUGAACUUGUGAAAAACUCUUCGCCACAAGUCGAGCUUCAUAGACGGUGAUAUUACCGUCCACGUCCGUCUUCUUCUUAAAGAUCCAUUUAUUUUAAUGGCUUGCCGAUCAUCGGGCAAGUCCACCAAAGUCCAUGCUUUGUUCUGAUACAUGGAUCCUAUCUCGGAUUUCAUGGCUUCUAACCAUUUGUUUGAAUAUGGGCCCACCAUUGCUUCUCCAUAGCUCGUAGGUUCAUUGUUGUCUAGCAACAUGACCUUCAAGACAGGAUCACCGUACCACUUCGAAGCAGUACGCGUCCUUGUCGUCCUACGAGGUUCGGUAGUGACUUGAUCCGAAGCUUCAUGAUCACUAUCAUAAGCUUCUACUUCAAUUGAUGUAGGUGCCAUAGGAACAACUUCCUGUGCCCUGUUACACACUGGUUGAAGUGAUGGUUCAAUAACCUCAUCAAGUCUCCAUCAUCCUCCCACUCAAUUCUUUUGAGAGAAACUUUUCCUCGAGAAAGGACCCGUUUCUAGAAACAAUUACUUUUGCUUCCGGAUCUGAGAUAGGAGGUAUACCCAACCAUUUUGGGUAUCCUAUGAAGAUGUAUUUAUCCAUUUUGGGUUCGAGCUUAUCACGAUGAAACUUUUUCACAUAAGCGUCACAGCCCCAAACUUUUAAGAAACGACAACUUAGGUUUCUCCAAACCAUAGUUCAAACGGUGUCGUCUCAAUGGAAUUACGUGGUGCCCCAUUAAAGUGAGUGCGGUUGUCUCUAAUGCCUAACCCAUGAACAAUAGUGGUAGUUCGAUAAGAGACAUCAUGGUACGCACCAUAUCCAAUAGGGUGCAACUAUGAUGUUCGGACACACCAUCACACUAUGGUGUUCCAGGCGGUAUUAAUUGUGAAACAAUUUCCACAAUGUCUUAAUUGCGUGCCAAAGCUCGUAACUCAGAUACUCAUCUCUAUGAUCAUAUCAUAGACAUUUUAUCCUCUUGUCACGAUGAUCUUUAACUUCACUCUGAAAUUACUUGAACCAUUCAAUAAUUCAGACUUGUGUUACAUCAAGUAAAUAUACUCAAUAUCUACUCGAAUCAUCUGUGAAGUAAGAAUAUAACGAUAUUCACUGCAUGCCUCAGCACUCAUUGGACUGCACACAUCAAAAUGUAUUACUUCCAACAAGUUGCUAUGUUGUUCCAUCUUACUGAAAACAAGGCUUUUCAGUCAUCUUGCCCAUGUGGUAUGAUUUGCAUAUAUCAAGUGAUUCAAAAUCAAGUGAGUCCAAACGAUCCAUCUGCAUGGAGUUUCUUCAUGCGUAUACACCAAUAGACAUGGUUCGCAUGUCUCAAACUUUUCAAAAACGAGUGAGUCCAAAGAUCCAUCAACAUGGAGCUUCUUCAUGCGUUUUAUACCAAUAUGACUUACAUGGUAGUGCCACAAGUAAGUGGUACUAUCAUUACUAUCUUAUAUCUUUUGGCAUGAAAAUGUGUAUCACUACGAUCGAGAUUCAAUAAACCAUUCCAUUAGGUGCAAGACCAUUGAAGGUAUUAUUCAAAUAAAUAGAGUAACCAUUAUUCUUCUUAAAUGAAUAAUCGCAUUGCGAUAGACAUAAUCUAAUCAUGUCUAUGCUCAACGCAAACACCAAAUGACAAUUAUUCAGGUUUAAUACUAAUCUUGAUGGUAGAGGGAGCGUGCGAUGUCUGAUCAUAUCAAACUUGGAAACACUUCCAACACAUAUCGUCAGCUCACCUUUAGCUAGUCUCCGUUUAUUUCGUAGCCUUUUAUUUCGAGUUACUAACACUUAGCAACCGAACCGGUAUCCAAUACCCUGGUGCUACUAGGAGUACUAGUAAAGUACACAUUAACAUAAUGUAUAUCCAAUAUACUUCUAUCGACCUUUCCAGCCUUCUUAUCUACCAAGUAUCUAGGGUAAUUCUGCUCCAGUGGUUGUUCCCCUUAUUACAAAAGCACUCAGUCUCGGGUUAAGGUUCAACCUUGGGUUUCUUCACUGGAGCAGCAGUUGAUUUGCCGUUUCAUGAAGUAUCCCUUCUUGCACUUCUUGAAACUAGUGGUUUCACCAACCAUCAACAAUUGAUGCUUCUUCUUGAUUUCUACUUUCGCGGUGUC
rnacentral:lncRNA from 1 species